GAAGAUCAUCACAGAACAUUCAGAAGAACUAGUGAAUGUUCAUAAAUUCAGAUAUUGGAUGAGUAUCCAAUCGAUACAUGCAGGAGAUAUGAUCAUUCUUCCCCAAAAGACACCAUAAUAUCUUUAAAAACUACAGGACAUGAAAGACUAUUUAUAUUCGAAAGAUUCCAAUGAUCUCUGCAAACUAAGGACAAGCCUAGUUCAGGUGGCUAUGUAUUGAGUAACUUGCGGAAGCUGACACAAGAAUCUAAGAUGAGCAUUACUAAGACUUUUUUUUAGAACGAAGAUGCCAGCGGCAUCCGGCUUUAAAUUAAUAAAGCCACGAAACGGCAUAGUCACAAACACCAACAAGGUCUCAGACGCACACAGCAACAGAGACGAAAACAGGGGGUUCCAACAAGUGACAUAACAAGGCAAGCGCCACCCCAAGCACACAGGUUACUAAGACUUCCAUGCCUUCUCCAACAUAUCUGCUACGAUAGUCUCCUCCAAAUUAUCUCUAGAUAGAAAGUGAAAAGUGAAGCAUACACUACCUCGUCUCAGGUGGCUACAUGUUAACUAAGCCAUCUAUUAUAACCCAGGAUGGACACACUAAAAUUUGAGAAGCUUCAUAAGUCUCUCCAAGAUAUUUACUGAGGCAGCAGGGCAUGAUUUCUUCAGGUGCACAUACCCUUGGCUUGCCAACACAUCAUCCAAUCUAUUUGAAGACAUGAUAAAUUCAGCACAAGCAUCUUUUAGCCUGCUGCAGUUAUGCUGAUCAGCUAGAGCCAACAUUGUCGCCACAGUCUCAACAUCAAGAGUUUCACAAAGAAUGUCUUCACACAUCAUCUUCAUCCUUUCCAUUGCAUACCGAUCUGCAGCCAGUAGUAAGUGCCUGACCAUUUCUUUUUUCUCAUCAUCAUCAAGGUUGUCCAUGGAAGGCAAUGAAUCUGUGUAGAUAAAGUGAAGCAAUGCCUUGAAAACAGCAGGCUGCAUUUCUUCGACGGUGAUGUUCUGUCCACACUUGCCUCUCAUCGGUCCAUACAGCUCCGCCUUGAAGACUAGAGACCGUGCUGCGAGCACAAUCUUAUGUGCAGGAAAAAUCUCACCUUCAACCUCGAAUGCCACAUCUGCUUCCUCGGCCGCCUCUAGCAGUUUUCCAAAAAUUUCUGCCAAGUCUGAGGGUGGCAUCUGGACCUCAGCUGUUAUCGCAGUGUCCGCAACAAGUGGUUCCUUAAUGACAGUUAGAUCGCACUCAAUUACAAGACGGUCAUCCCGCAGGUAAUCCGACUUCUCUAGCUCACUCUUCUUCUUAAAAUAUGGAAGACCCCAACUAUAACUGGUCCCACUGGUGCUGAGGGAAUCGAACACCAUUGGGGAUUUCAAGACUGAGAAAACCGAUGACGACAACCCAGUGGUGUGGUCGACCAGCCUCAAGUCGUAGAGCGCCCUUACCUUGGCACCCUUGCUCAGGAGCUCCAGGUAGACUGAGACGUGGCCCAGGCUGUUGGCGUGUGUAUCUGCCCCGUCUGGGUAGUAGCGGAUGCACCAUUCGUACCCGCCAACGGAGACGGCGGUGGACCGGAUGAACUUGUCGGCGCCCAUGCCCUUAUGCAGACUGUACCCGUCGAUCUCGAACACGAGCGUGGCCGGCGCCGUCACUGGGGUGCACCUCGACGCCCUCCUUUCUGUUGGCCUCUGCAGUGCUGCCAUCGUGGGAGCUUCGGUGGGGGACGGGGAAUGGAUCAAGGGCGGUGGCGAUGGGGGAGCCCGGGGAGGGGGAAACGUCGGUGUGAUCUGGGCGUGGAGAGCGGCGACAGAGGGGGAAGGCAGGGGGGCGGCGCGAUCCGACCGGAAGAUCGACGAGGGUUUGGGCGCGCGCCGGAGACGAGGGUGUUAAGCUCCUCGAUCUAGGGUUCCGCUCGAUGCAAGCCACACGAAUGUCUGAGCCGGGGAGGAGCAAGAACAGAAAGGGGAAAGGGUGGAAGCCGCAAGACAAGGUUCCUGGUCCUUGGAUAACCCCACGCGCUUCACUCGCUGCCUCCUUUUCGUAUAUAAGUUUUUUUUUUGGAAACGUUUGGGGCCGGGGCACCGGCCGAAGCUUUGGCCGGUCUAGCCCACGCGCGCACGCCGCGACCCAGUCGCAAGCAACCACGUGGCGCUGCGGAUCUCGCGAAUCUCGCUUCAUUCCUGUCUCGCAGCUCCGCGGAGCUCGCCCCCAUCCUCAUCUCCUGCAGCGCCGACGCCCACAUCUCGCCGUCGCCAUGGAAGGUCGAAUCCCCCGCGCGUCCAUAGUUGUAGAUCUCACCCCGCCAUGCUUUUUACAGCCCGUUUCGCCAUUGGAUGCAGCCCGUUGACCAAUCCCCAUCCCCGGCGGUUGCAACUCCCACACGUCUCGUGCUUCUGCCUCGCCGCCGACGAGCCGGACGGCGAUGGUCGACACCGGAGGCUUCUGCAGAAUCGGCGCACCCCCUCAUGUUGCAACCGUUUAAAAAAAAGCUUCAUCCAUAGAUGAAAAAGCUUCAACCGGAUGUAGAGAAAGCUACAAGCGGUCAGCGCCAUCGCCGGAAAGCUACAACCGUUGACAUGAAAUGCUACAUCCUUCGAUUAAAAAAGCUUCAACCGAAACGACACAAAAAGCCUUGACCAAGUGCUGCUAAAAAAGAAAAUAGCUACAACUUUUGGUAGAAAAGCUUCAACGGUUGUUGGAAAAAGCUCCAACCAUUGAGAGAGAAAGCUACAACUAGACACUAUGAAAAUAAGAAAGCUUCAACCAGCGACGGCUGGAGGUGAAAGAAGAUGAUAAAAUGCUGCAGUUUUGCUACAUGCUUCAACCGGCAUAGAUUUUUGCUACAACUGGCAUAGCAUUUUGCUACAACUAGCGUCACGUUUUGCUACAACACACAACCGGCGUCGCGGUUUUGCCACAAAUAGCAUCGUUUUUUGCUACAACCGGCAUAAUGUUUUGCUACAUCCAUCACGGCCGAGCUGCGACCCGGCACGGGUUUCCGUGAAUUCCGGCAGCGAGAUCCAGCACAGGGGGCAGGGGCGGAUGCUGCAACCGGUCGCCGACGAGCUGCUACGGGCUCGCGGCGGGCUGCAACCUCGACCGGCCGUAACCAUGGCCGCACGCUGCUGCAUCCACGGAGGCUUCAGAAACACACGAAGACGACAUAGGUGAGGGCGGGCGACCAGCGGCGAGGGCGGCGACCGUAGGCGACCGACGGCGAGGGCGACCGGUGGUGAGGAGGCGAGGCGAGGCGGUCGGCGCGUGCUGGGGCAUCGAUGCGCACGAGGGGGCCUAUCCUUUUUCCCGUGCGGGAGGUUGAAGAAGGAGGUGAGGGGAGGAAGGGAUCUGACGGUGCAGGGGACCAGAUCUGACGGCUGGGGCUGGACCGGCCCAACCGUUGGGCCGGUGUGCCGGCGCAGAUCACUUCCCUUUUUUUUGGGAUAAACCAAGUUUUAUUGAUCAAAUGCCACAUAGAGUGAAAUACAUCUCAGGUCAUAGGUUGCCCUAGCCACACAUGACGUCGCAAAGCUAAUAAAUGCGAAAACUUGGCUAGAUUAUGAGCUUCUUUGUUUGACUUACGACUCUCAAAAAUAAAAUUACUAUUAAAUAUAGAUGAUCGCUGUUGAAUCUCUUUAAUGAUGGUGCCAUAUCUCCCUUGAUUGUCUUUGAGGAUAUCUCCUACUACUUGCUUGAAAUCUGAUGCAAUUACAAAGCUAUGCAAGAGUUGGUCUUCGGCUAGGGAAAGGGCCUCCCUGCAUGCUACUGCUUCUAGAGUUGCAGGGUUAUGGACGCCAUGAAUUAUGAGUGUUGAGCUUCCCAAGUAGUACCCCUGAUCAUCGCGAGCGACCGCUCCUGCUGUGCAUCCUCUUGAUGGCGUGGACAUGCCCGCAUCUACAUGUACCUUGGCAAAUCCCACUGGCUGUGCCUUCUGCCUUCUCUCGCCCCUUGGUACAUCACUUGGGUUAGCAGUUUGUGUUGGCUUCGUCUCUCUUAUGAUCUCCAAUUCCAAUAUGUAUCUAUCGAUGAAACUCUGGGUAGCUUGUGGACUUUGAAAAAUGCCCUCAUGAUUUGCUUUCCUCCUAGACGACCAUAUCGCCCAUAAUGUGACAGCUACUCUGAUGAAUUGCGUAUGUGUUAGGCCAUCAAUUAAUGAGAAUAGCCAAUGCUUCCCCCGAGGCUCCGUAGUGAACACAAGGGUGCUGCGCUAGAUCGUCAUCCACUAGAGCCCAUAUGCACCUGGCUACCGUAGACUCCAGAAGCGAAUGCCUUCAUGAAUCUUGGCUGCCACACAACCCACAUGAACUAGAGUUUGACAUAUGUCGGUGAGCUCUGACAUCUUUUGUUGGGAUGGAAUGCUUGGACAAUCGCCAAAGAAACAUCCUUAUCUUGGCAGGCAUUUGAAUUUUCCAAAGCAUGUUCCACGACUUCUCAUUAUUUGUGAUUGAAGAUGCGGCGGUACCUUCUAACCACGCCUCCCUUCUUUGUUUUUGUGGACACGAGCAUUCUAUAAGAGGAUCUUACAGAGAAAACACCGCUCCUCUCAAAAUUCCAAGCCCAAAAGUCCUCGGUGUCCAUGGUACAUAAAGGUAUUCCCAAGAUAAUUGGCACAUCCUUUUGGCAUGAACACUUGUUGCACAUGCUGCCUAUCCCACAUAGCCGAUGUGGCAUCAAUGAGUUCGGCCACCUGAACUAGCGGGUUUGGAACCAAACAUCCAUACGGCCUCAACAUCUCAUUACGUGGUAGACAAUUUUCCUCCCAUAUAUUUGUUGUUGAACCAUGGUCAAUUCUUCUAAUUAGACCUUGUUUCAAAACAACCAUACCUUCGAUGAUGGAUCUCCAAAUUUGACUAGGAUGACUACCAAGGCUUGCAUGCAAAAUAGACGAGUCUGGAUAAUAAAUGCUCCUCAGAACCCUGGAACUCAGACUUCCAGGUUGUUGCAAGAGACGCCAUGCUUGCCUAGGUAGCAGAGACAAGUUAAAUAACUCAAAAUCUUUAAAGCCCGGGCCACCCAUACCUUUUGGUUGUGUCAUAACUUUCCACGAUACACACCCUACUCUCGGCUUCGGGUCAAUUCCCAGUGAUAGCCAUGGGGCUUUGGAAAGCUGGUCUGCAUCUCAAAAUUAAUGUUUUCCCUUUGGCAAAUGUUUCAGAACCGUAUUCCCACGCCCAAUAACAUGGCUAAGAGACAUGCUUCUGAUGGUACUUGCGCCAUAUGCAGAAACGCUGAAGAUGCUAAACAAAUUUUCUUCCAUUGUCACAUAGCACGUUUUGUGUGGCAUGCUGUGCGAGAGGCUUUCGAUCAUAUCUAGAACCCUUCCUCGGGUGUUGAUCUGCUCAGCGUUCUAAAGGCGCACAGAGGCCCUUUCGGCAAGGUUCUUUGGCAUUGCAUUAGGGGUGCUUUUAUGGGCUUUAUGGUCUAUUAGGAGAAAAAUUACCAUUGAGAAGUGCUUCCCUUCUCACCUAGUUUUUGUAUUUUGAAAUGCCACCUUUUUCUACAUCAAUGGGUGCCUCUAGGUAGACACUGGAUGCUGAGAACAUGCAAUAAGCGAUAGAGAAAAUCAGAAACAUUCAAGUCAUCGCUUGGCAGCCGUCCCCGCCCGUUAGAUUCCCUGUCGGUUCCUUUUGAGCCUGCACACUCUUUUGAGGAUUAGGGAUAGUUGACCCUCCAUAUCGUUCUAUCUGAUCUAGAUUUGUUCCUGGUCUGAUGUUGUAUUGCACUUUUUGUAUGACUCUAGGCAUGAUGUGGGCUUUAUUAGUUUAAUGUCAGACGCUUCUUGUGUCUUUGUUCUAAAAAAACUUGUACACCACCACGGCAACGCACGCGGAGAUGGUGCAUGGGCUGCAGAACUUGAAGGAAAGCUUGUGGUUGGCAUGAUGCCACACAGAGGAUUUGAUGUAAGAUUCACUAGAACUAGACCCCCUUAUUAGGUGUGUUUGCUAUACCCAACUAGUUGUCUCCGGCUUACACACUGCUUGUACGCCGCCGCUGGUAACAGUCUACUAGCAAUGCUCUAGCUAAGCGCUCCUAGUAUGUACGGAGCUUAUGAGAUUUCUUGUUGAGUUUUGUGUUGUGAAGUUUUCAUGUUUUGGGUAAAGAUUUGAUGGACUAUGGAAUAAGGAGUGGCAAGAGCCUAAGCUUGGGGAUUACCAAGGCACCCCAAGAUAUUCAAGAAUAGCCAAAAUCCUAAGCUUGCUGAUGCCUCGGAAGGCAUCCCCUCUUUCGUCUUCGUCUAUCAAUAACUUUACUUGGAGCUAUAUUUUUAUUCACCACAUGAUAUGUGUUUUGCUUGGAGCGUCUUGUAUGAUAUUAGUCUUUGCUUUUUAGUUUACCACAAUCAUCCUUGCUGUACACACCUUUUGGGAGAAACCCACUUGAUUGGAAUUUAUUAGAAUACUCUAUGUGCUUCACUUAUAUCUUUUGAGCUAGAUAGUUUUUGCUCUAAUGCUUCACUUAUAUCUUUUAGAGCACGGCGGUGGCUUAAUUUUGUAGAAAUUGUUAAUCUCUCAUGCUUCACUUAUAUCAUUUUGAGAGUCUUUUAGAACAACAUGAUAUUUGUUAUGGUUAUAAAAUUGGUCCUAGAAUGAUGGGCAUCCAAGUUGGGUAUAAUAAAAACUAUCAUAGAAAGUGAAUUGGAUGCUAUGAUCAAUUUGAUACUUGAUAAUUGUUUUGAGAUAUGGAGGUAGUGAUAUUAGAGUCAUGCUAGUUGGGUGAUUAUGAAUUUAAAAAAUGAUUGUGUUGAAGUUAGCAAGUCCCGUAGCAUGCACGUAUGGUGAAAGUUGUGUAACAAAUUUGAAACAUGAGGUGUUCUUAGAUUGUGCAUCCUUAUGAGUGGCGGUCGGGGACGAGCAAUGGUCUUUUCCUACCAAUCUAUCCCCCUAGGAGCAUGCGCGUAGUGCUUGGUUUUUGAUGACUUGUAGAUUUUUGCAAUAAGUAUAUGAUUUCUUUUUGACUAAUGUUGAGUCCAUGGAUUAUACGCACUCUCACCCUUCCAUCAUUACUAGCCUUUUCGGUAUCGUGCAUUGCCCUUUAUCACCUUGAGAGUUGGUGCAAACUUCGGCGGUGCAUCCAAACCUCGUGAUAUGAUACGCUCUAUCACACAUAAACCUCCUUAUAUCUUCCUCAAAACAGCCACCAUACCUACCUAUUAUGGCAUUUCCAUAGCCAUUCCGAGAUAUAUUGCGAUGCAACUUUCCACCAUUCCGUUCAUCAUCAUGACACACAUCAUCAUUAUCAUAUUGCCUUGCAUGAUCAUGUAGUUGACAUCGUAUUUGUGGCAAAGCCACCAUGCAUAAUUUUUCAUACAUGUCACUCUUGAUUCAUUGCCCAUACCGGUACACCGCCGGAGGCAUUCUUAUAUUAUAUGUUGUUCUAGUUUUGGGUUGUAAUUCAUGAGUUGUAAAUAAAUAAAAGUGUGAUGAGCAUCAUUAUUAAGAGCAUUGUCCCCAAAUAAAAAAAAUAAAAAAAAAGGAAAAAAGAAGAAAGGCCAAAAAAAGAAAGGCCAAAAGGAAAAAAAAGAAAGGCCAAAAAAAGAAAGGCCAAAGAAAAAAAGAAAAAAAAGGGGGGGGGCAAUGUUACUAUCCUUUUCCACACUUGUGCUUCAAGGUAGCACCAUGUUCUUCAUAUAGAAAGUCUUUUAUGUUGUCACUUUCAUAUACUAGUGGGAAUUUUUCAUUAUAGAACUUGGCUUGUAUAUUCCUACGAUGGGCUUCCUCAAAAUGCCCUAGGUCUUCGUGAGAAGGCAAGUUGGAUGCACACCCACUAGUUUCUUUUAUUGAUCUUUCAUACAUUUAUAGCUCUAGUGCAUCCAUUGCAUGGCAAUCCCUACUCCUCAUGUUGACAUCAUUGAUGGGCAUCUCCAUAGCCCAUUGAUUAUCCUCGUCAAUGUGAGACAUUCUCCUUUUUGUCUUCUCCACACAACCUCCAUCAUCAUAUUCUAUUCCACCCAUAGUGCUAUCCAUGGCUCACGCUCAUGUAUUGCGUGAAAGUUGAAAAUGUUUGAGAUUACUUAAGUAUGAAACAAUUGCUUGGCUUGUCAAGAUGGGAGCAUUUUUGUGUGACGAAAAUGAAGCAUAGCCUAACUAUAUGAUUUUAUAGGGAUAAACUUUCUUUAGCCAUGUUAUUUUGAGAAGACAUGAUUGCUUUGAUUACUAUGCUUGAAGUAUUACUAUUUCUUAUGUCAAUAUGAACUUUUAUCUUGAAUCAUUUGGAUCUGAACAUUCAUGUCACAAUAAAGAAAAUUACAUUGAGAAUUAUGCUAGGUAGCAUUCCACAUCAAAAAUUCCAUUUUUAUCAUUUACCUACUCGAGGACGAGCAGGAAUUAAGCUCGGGGAUGCUUGAUACGUCUCCAACGUAUCUAUAAUUUUUGAUUGUUCCAUGCUAUUAUAUUACCCGUUUUGGAUGUUUAUGGGCUUUACUUUACACUUUUAUAUCAUUUUUGGGACUAACCUACUAACCGGAGGCCCAGCCCGAAUUGCUGUUUUUUUGCCUAUUUCAGUGUUUCGAAGAAAAGGAAUAUCAAACGGAGUCCAAACGGAAUGAAACCUUUGGGAGCAUGAUUUUUGGAACAAACGUGAUCCAGAGGACUUGGAGUGGAAGUCAAGAAACAAGGGAGGCGGCCACGAGGGUGCCCGGCGCGCCCCCUAAGGAUGGGCGCGCCCCCCACCCUCGUGGGCCCCUCGGGAGUCCACCGACCUACUUCUUCCUCCUAUAUAUACUCAUGUACCCCGAAAACAUCAGAAGCGACCACGAAAAACUAUUUCCACUACCGUAACCUUCUGUAUCCGUGAGAUCCCAUCUUGGAGCCUUCGCCGGCGCUCCACCGGAGGGGGAACCGAUCACGGAGGGCCUCUACAUCAACUCCAAGGCCUCUCCGAUGAGUUGUGAGUAGUUUAUCAUAGACCUUCGGGUCCAUAGUUAUUAGCUAGAUGGCUUCUUCUCUCUCUUUGAAUCUCAAUACCAUGUUCUCCUCGAUCUUCUUGGAGAUCUAUUCGAUGUAACUCUUUUUGCGGUGUGUUUGUCGAGAUCCGAUGAAUUGUGGUUUUAUGAUGAAGUUUAUUUAUGAGAAAUAUUUGAAUCUCCUCCGAAUUCUUUUAUGUGUGAUUAAGUUAUCUUUGCAAGUCUCUUCGAAUUAUCAGUUUGGUUUGGCCUACUAGAUUGAUCUUUCUUGCAAUGGGAGAAGUGCUUAGCUUUGGGUUAAGGGCGGUGUCCUUUCCCAGUGACAACAGGGGCAACAAGGCACGUAUUGUAUUGUUGCCAUCAAGGAUAAAAAGAUGGGGUUUACAUCAUAUUGCAUGAGUUUAUCCCUCUACAUCAUGUCAUCUUUCUUACUGCGUUACUCUAUUCUUUAUGAACUUAAUACUCUAGAUGCAUGCUGGAUAGUGGUCGAUAUAUGGAGUAGUAGUAGUAGAUGCAGGCAGGAGUCGAUCUACUUGUCACGGACGUGAUGCCUAUAUACAUGAUCAUGGCUAGAUAAUCUCAUAAUUAUUCGCUUUUCUAUCAUUUGCUCGAUAGUAAUUUGUUCACCCACCGUAAUACUUAUUGUAUCUAGAGAGAAGCCACUAGUGAAACCUAUGGCCCCCGGGUCUAUCUCUUAUCAUAUAAGCUUUCAAUCUACUUUUAUUUGCAUCUUUACUUUUCCUAUCUAUAUCAUAAAAUAUCAAAAAAGUAUUUAUCUUAUCAUAUUAUCUCUAUCAGAUCUCACUUUCGCAAGUGGCCUUGAAGGGAUUGACAACCCCUUUAUUGCGUUGGUUGCGAGUUCUUGUUUGUUUUUGUAGGUGCGUGGGACUUUUGAGGAUCCUCCUACUGGAUUGAUACCUUGGUUCUCAAAAACUGAGGGAAAUACUUACGCUACUAUUGCUGCAUCACCCUUUCCUCUUCAAGGAAAACCAACACAAGCUCAAGAUGUAGCACUGCUCGGGCCAUCGGCCAAUAGAUACCUGUGCAGAAGGGCUUGCUCACAAGGGCCCGAGCUGCAGCGUGGUGACCACCGAGGCCGGCAUGAAUUUCAGCCAAGAGCUUCCGCCCCUCCUCCUCGGAGAUACAUCGUUGAAGUACUCCGGUAGCGCUUUUCUUGUAGAGUUCUCCCUUGUGAACCUUAUAGGCUUUAGAUCGCCGCACAAUGUAGCGCGCCACGUUCUGAUCCUCAGGGAGUUCUCGCCUAUUAAGGUAGGCCAAGAAAGGUUCGGUCCAUGGGGCAAUGACUGCCAUGAUGAGAUGGGCCGACGGUGUAAUUUCGGUGGCUGAACCCCCGAUGAUGUCGGUGUGUUCGGAAUCUGGGGUUGUAGUCCGAUCCGGAUUGGUGUUGCCGCUCUCCCCUUGCCACACAAUGGAUGGCUUGAAAAGCCUUUCCAAAAAGAUGUUAGGUGGUACGGGGUCGCGCUUGGCGCCGAUGCGAGCAAGGACAUCCGCCGCUUGGUUACUUUCUUGAGCCACAUGGUGAAACUCGAGCCCCUCGAACCGAGCUGACAUUUUGAGAACGACGUUACGGUAAGCCACCAUCUUUGGAUCUUUGGCAUCGAAAUCUCCAUUUAUUUGAGAUAUUGCGAGGUUUGAAUCUGUGCGCACUUCUAGGCAUUGUAUGCCCAUGGAGACGGCCAUCCGAAGACCAUGCAAUAAGGCCUCGUAUUCGGCUGCGUUGUUGGAGUCCGUGAAUAAUAUUUGGAGGACGUACUGAACUGUGUCUCCCAUAGGGGAUGUUAGGACAACGCCUGCCCCUAGGCCUGCCAGCAUUUUGGAGCCGUCGAAGUGCAUGACCCAGUUGGAAUAUGUGCUGUACUCUUUAGGGAGUUCGGCCUUGGUCCAUUCGGUGACGAAGUCGGCCAGUACUUGAGAUUUAAUGGCCCGUCGUGGUUUGUAUGUUAUGUCAAAUUGGAGGAGCUCAAUGGCCCACUUGGCAAUCCGGCCCAUGGCGUCGCGGUUGUUUAUUAUGUCAUUGAGUGGUACCUCAGAGGCCAUCGUGAUUGAGCAUUCUUGAAAGUAGUGUCGUAGCUUUCGAGAUGCCAUGAAGACCGCGUAUGCUAUUUUUUGGUAAUGAGGGUACCGGGAUUUGCAUGGUUUGAGGACAGUGGAUACGUAGUAUACCGUCUAUUGAAGCGGGAAUUUGUGUCCGUCCUCCUCUCGUUUGACGACGAGCACCGCACUUACGACUUGGUGUGUGGCUGAUAUGUAUAAUAACAUGGGUUAGCCAACGUUUGGGGCGGCCAAGAUUGGGUUGUUUGCUCGAAGAGCCUUUAUUUCUUACAGUCUGGCCGUUGCCGCGUCUGUCCACUCAAAGUGAUCGGUACGUCGGAGUAGGCGAUAGAGUGGCAACGCCUUUUCUCCUAGUCUGGAGAUAAAGCGGCUUAAAGCUGCCACACAUCCGGAUAAUUUUUGGACUUGUUUGAGGUCCAUUGGCGUAGCCAACUGUGACAAAGCUCUGAUUUUAGCUGGGUUUGCCUCAAUUCCUCUAUUGGAAACGAUGAAGCCCAGCAGUUUUCCAGCGGGAACGCCGAAAACACACUUUUCCAGAUUGAGCUUGAUGUCACAUGUUCGGAGGUUGUCGAAUGUGAGACGCAGAUCGUCUAUUAAUGACUCGACGUGCCUAGUUUUGAUGACUACGUCAUCCACGUAUGCUUCAACUGUCUUGCCGAUUUGUUUCUCCAGGCAUGUUUGAAUCGUGCGUUGAUAGGUGGCACUAGUGUUUUUGAGCCCGAAGGGCAUAGUGUUGAAGCAGAAAGGUCCAUAUGGGGUGAUAAAUGUCGUUGUGGCUUGAUCGGAUUCCUUCAUCUUGAUUUGAUGGUAUCCGGAGUAUGCGUCGAGGAAACACAGUGAGUCGUGUCCUGCGGUAGCAUCGAUAAUCUGAUCAAUGCGGGGGAGGGGGAAGGGAUCUAUCAGCGUUCUGGGAACGGGGGUCCCCAGACUUGCCUGCCUGCGGCCUGCGGCAUGGCUCAAGUGGUGGCCCAGCACGGCCCGUCUUCAUUAGCACAAGACUCAAGACCCUCGCGAGGGGCCAAGCCUCGCGGGGCGGACGAUGCAAGGCUUCCUCAGGGAUGGCCUCGCCAGGCAGGCUCGCGAGGAGGUGGAGAGAUCAAGGCAGGGUACCUCGCGAGGUGCUCGUGACGCAAGCCAUGACGAUCGAGACCAGGCGGGCGCCAGACGGGCGCCGGCGUGCGCAGUGUCCUUAUUUCCUCUUUGAUGCAAAGGGGGCAAGCACAGACGUGGAGUACCGAGGCAUCAGGCAAAGGUUGCCAUUUCAGUGCAAUGAGACCAAGACCAGCGGAGCGGCAGGAUGGAGGUCACCGUGGAGCCCAAGACGGCGUCAUCGCCAGUGCAGACCAACUUUAGUCAGGAUAGCUUGUACUAGAUGUUCCCCUUCAAAAUGGCCGUUGUUGGCGCCCUUCCUGCUUAAUAUUUGGGGAAGAUGCCCAGGGCCUCUAUAAAUAGAGCUAGCCACCACUGAGUAGGGGGGAUUCAGAUUUUGGGAAGACUAGAGAGAGAGAUGCGAUCGAACUCACCCAGGCAGUUCAUCGCACCAGCUCAAGAACACCUCUCGCGAGGCCGUUCUUCCCCUGUAGUGUUCAUCAUCAGCCCCUGAGGCAAUCCACCACACCACACACUGGAGUAGGGUAUUACACCACAACAGUGGCCCGAACCAGUACAAAUCUCGUGUCCCUUGUGUUGUUCAUCAUUUUCAGCUUAGAUCUCACGAGGCGAUCGGACGUAGAUUGGUAGGGGAGAUAUCUUCGUGCGCACCCCAGUGUUCGAACCUUAAGGGUCUGCAGGAACCCAACAUCCAACAUUUGGCGCAGGUAGGGGUGCGCUGGAAUCUUCUUUCCUCUGUCCUACGUUCCGCCACGUCACCGCCUCCAUGUCCGGUGACCUGACGGCCAACUCUGACCGCUGGGCGGCAUGGCCUGCCCAUGCCGUGCCGCCUGCCCAAGGCGACCUCAACCCUGCACCUCAGGCAGCCCGUGCCCCGCAGAACACUACAGGACACGGGCGACACGGUUAGGCAUCCCCUGCCCUCACUCCACGACAAGUACGAUCGGCAGCAAGGGCCUCAAGCCACGCUGCGGCCACGACGCCGCACACCCGACGGGAGCAUGCAAACAUGAAGGCCGCACUCAUGGUGGCGCGGGAGCUGCGGCGGUGCAGACUGCAAGAAAGUGGUUGUGACGUGCUGCUGGAACGUGUCGCCGAGCUCCUGGAUGCCGCCGCGUCAGGGGCUCCACCGUUCUGCGUCCAGCUUCGACCCCAGGCCCCGGGAGGAUCACGGAGCGGGCCGAUCCGCGCCCACGCGCCCCCGAGUGUGCCUCAAGGCUUCAUCAACACCGGCUUGGCCAUCAGCGUUGAGCAGCAGGCUGCCCCGGCACCACCCCUGGUAAGCGAGGGCAUGCGCAACGCUGCCUUUGGCCCCAGCGGGCUGCCACCUUACCGUCCCUAAGAUGGAGCUUCAAGUCGAGCUGCAUGGCAUGCGGAGCACCACGGCGAGGGCUUUGGGGUGGUGGGCCCGUAAGCCUAUGUGCCCCACAUGGUGGAUCAAGGGUACACGUUGGAGGAAGACCAUGGCUCAUUCCUCGGGUCAGGCUAGGAGGAAGAAGCUCCAGAAGCCGAGCUCUUUCAGGAGCCUCACGGGAGCCUCGACAACUACCGGGUACCGCUAAUUCCUCAGGAGAAGGCUUAUGCUAACCAUGGGUCCAGGAGGUUCAGGUCACCGCAGCGGAUGGCUGCCCUAGUGCGGCGAUCUCCUUCCCCUCAGGCGGAGGGCACUGGGGGCAGCAGGAGAGGGGUCGGGAGCCAGGCUCCUCCCCGCGGCGCGCAGAGCAAGGUGUUCUUCGGAGGUAGGCCCUCUGCCGGGGAGGUGCCCCAGGGCCUGCCCCCGGCAGAGGACCCGUGGUCGUCGAGGGAACCACUGGCGUCCCCUUUUCCCCAUUGGCGUCGUCCUGGUUUCCGGUCGCCGUCGGUGGGGUCAAGGGUGGCGCAAGGUGGGGCCCUCAUCUGGCGAUAUGAAGCAAGGCCGGUAACUGUGAAGAAGGCCCAGUGCCUGUGAAGCUCGCCGCCCGUGACACUCUCACGUAAUAAUGAGUUGGGGCUGUACACGCCCCGCAGUCUCCGAAGAGCCGCCCUCGGGCCUCGGGGGCUCCCUCCCACGCCCACUGGCAGCACUUAGCUCCGCGAUGGUGAGAAGACGUCGAAGACUAGACUAGGUGCCGGACGGGGCCAUUUGCUCUUGUUUUCUCCUUUCGUCCGAACAAGCUUUCUUGCCUCAGAUCUAAGUUGAAGUUGAAUUUGUGUUUGCGUAUGCGGGAAGGGGUGUUGUGUCUUAUUCGCGUGCUUUCUCGUGCUCCUAUUUCCGCUCAAGUUGGAAUUCACACUAGCUGCCUCCCUCUUGCGGGCCCCUCACGAGCAGGGCAGGGCCCAGCACGUGUGCUCGCCAUCCCGCAGCCAGAGUUUGCUCCAGCCAGGCUCUCGCCGCAUGGUCGAAUGGGACCCCCAUGGGCCCUCGAAUGUACACCACAAGCCCGCUCGAGGCACGCCAAGACAAAGGUAAAACCACAAUGACCUAUUCAUCAUGACGAUCACGGCGUCAUGCAGGCACUCGUCCGGCCCAAUCUUGACGACACAUAGGCAACCAUUUUCUUACAUGAGGGGCUUCCCCUCCCAAAAAUGCUCUCACAACCUUCAGGGCCACGCCCAAGUCUCUUCCUGCGCAGGGCAAGCAGCGGGAGGAAGCACGGGGUCAAUCGGACAAAUCGCUCGCCGCAUCCCCGGAGGCGUCGCUGGCACCACCAUCGUCGUUGCCACCCCGCGAUAUGACCCGACCGGAGAUAUGACCCGGCUGGGACUUGAUGUUUCAUUGAUGACCCGGCAGACACAGUCAUAUAACCCGACAGGCACAGUCAUAUAACCCGGCAAGCACAGUCAUAUAACCCGGCAGACACAGUCAUAUAACCCGACAGACACAAUUAUAUAACCCGACAGACACAGUCAUGUAACCCGGCAGACACAGUCAUGUAAGCCAGAUGGUAAGCCAGGUGGUAAGUCAGAUCGUAAGCCAGACCGUAAGUCAGAUUGUAAGCCAGGUUGUAAGAAUCCCAAGACGUUAAGAAGCCCAUGGUAAGACAUCAAAAUAGGUUAAGUCUUAAGUCCGAGUUGGACUCUACAUGUAACCCGCCCCUUCAGCUUAUAUAAGGAGGGGCGGGGCACCCCAAGAGGGACAGGUUGAAUAAUCUCUAAGUUAGACAUAACCAGGAGAGUCGGCUUACGGUGACUCCUCUCAUAUCAUAAUGAGACCUAGACACAAACAACAUGUAGGGUUCUUACCGGAUGAUGUUUCCCGGGGCCUGAAGCUGUCUAAAUCCUUGUCUUGUGUUGUGUUUCUCGAUUCCGCUCAACCCCUCUCAAGCUACUACAUAGAUGUGUUGGCCUCACGACUAAGUCCUCACACUAGGACAUCUGACGUGACAAUUCCACGACAGUUGGCGCCCACUGUGGGUCCUGCGCACGGUGGUGUUGAGUUCUUGGAGGGAUCUCUCAUAGGGAUUGAGAAGCUCGUGAUGUGUUGGAUGAAAAAGACCCGACGCAGAAAGAUAUACAUCACAUCCGUGUCAAGCAGUCGGAGCGACAUACAAGAUUGAGGUUAAUAGAAAUUAGGGGUUUGCGUUCUGUACCUUGCCGACAAUCUGUUCAAACCGCCACUGGUCUAAGCGAGCGGUCAAAUCAAGAGUUGCCUGCACCAUCAUCUUUGACUAUGGCCUGUUUUUAUCGGUAGGUUAAAUCUUGAUCUGCAAAUCACGUGAUGGGGGUCUCCGUUUUGUUCGGCGUUGUUUCGCCGAGUCGGAUGGGUGCACAUCACCAGCCAUGUACAAAGCCAAAUCCCCAACCGAGUCAUAAUCAGAUUAUGGAUUGGGUAUCGUUUGGGAAGAUUAAUAAGGAAAUUGAUGGAUAGCUAUUUGGGAAGGAAGGAUUCAAUUGGCCGAGUCUGAAGCAACAACACGCCGGGUCUGCCUUGCUGCCAGAGCUGCCUCUCCUUUAUUGAUGUGAGCCGCCACCGCUCCUCCGCGGCUGACCAUGCCGAGUCGCCGCUCCUGCCUGAGUCGCCACCGGCGUGGGCCGCCGCGAGUCGCCGCGCUGCUGGCCUGCUGCUUGUGUCGCUUUGAUCCGCCCGAAUGUGAGCCGCUGCUGUCCGCGAGUUGCUAUUCACCUCAGUCCCGCGCUGGGGCCCUGCUGUGACCCGCCUCGCCUGCUGCGAGCCGUCUCCGCCGCCUCGAGCCCCCACUGCGGGCUCACCGGCGCGCUGCCGCUCCUCACGGCCGUGGCUCCGCCUCCGCUGUAGCCACCUCAGCGGGAUCCCAAGCCGGAUCGGAUCCCCGCGGCCUUCCUCGCGCGACGACGAGCCGGCCUCUGAGCCGCCCGACCGCGUCCGCCCUCGUUGUUAACCCGCCCAUCGUCGCAAGCGGGAGAGUCGCCGCCACGUUCUGACCUGGCCUGCCGCCUCACUGGCGUCGUCCGUGAGCCACCCCGCUUCGCCAAAGUUGUUGUCCCCACGGCCUGAGUCGCCUCUUGUCUCUGCUGGGCCUCUGCUUUGUUCUACUCCAAGUUUCUGCCACAAACCGGAGAAGGGGCAAAAUCGCCUGUCAGAUUUGCACUAUCGCCUUUGCUGAGGUUCACCCUUGCGAAAGCGCGCCUUGUGCCACCGGCUCAAUGAGGGAGUCACCGGGUCACCUUCGAUGCCGCCGAGGCCUUGGCCCCGUACCUCCUCGCCCUUUGGCUUCCAUCUCAGCUGACUCGCCGCGUCGAGCACCCACCCCCGUCGUGGGUUCUUUCUGAGCUUCGUUUCAAGCCGCCUCUGCUGCAACCCGGCCCGACUCUUUCCGCGCGCACGUACUAUCGUGGGUCGGCCGCUAGCCGCGCCGCAUCAUUACUUCAACCGCGGCAGGGACGAGCCGCUGUUGUUUCUGUUGUCGUUGGCUUGCCCCUCGCGCCGUGGCCGGCACUAAGAGCAGUCGCCGCUCCGCCUCUGUCAAGCAGUCACCGUCCCGCCUCGCCGAACCACUGCAUCUACUUUCAAACCCGCCGCUCACUUCUGCCUACGUGUGGCUUCUGAGCCGCCGGUCGCCGCGGUCUUCGUUGCAGGCCGCCGUCACUUCGGCACGAGUGCCUGCCUUGGAUGUUUGUCAUAAGCAAGGUGAGCCGGGGAGGUAGAGGCUGUUGCAAGCCCCAAGCCGGAUGACUUCAACCCGCCGUUGCGGGCCGACCUAGACUUCAAUGUGAGCCGCCAGUGGCCGGAUCAAAUCGCCAGCGCCAAGUUCUACAGCCAUGGGAAAAUUCUGGCCAAGCUCAUUUCCGUGGCCUGCACGCCCUCGCCCAUGUUGGCUAGCUAGUGCUAGUUGUGUUUGCGUGUAUAUGGUACAGACAGAGCAGAGCGGAGGCCGGGGGCAGCACAUACGCCUGCAAGUAAGUUUUCUGAUAUUCUGCUAGUCCUUGGAAAGUGCUAGAUGAAGCACGUAUGCAAGUCAAAUGCAUUUUCAUCCGAAUUUACUAUGAGUGCAAGGCAAAGACUACAUGGAUAAGUGCUAAAGGUAGUACUCUCAGUCAAAACGUCUACAGAAUACCAAUGCAAUUACCUGCUGCUGCAACACACGAGGAGCAGAGAAAUAAAGCACGCGAAGAAGGUUGCGCCAAGGACAAGUCUGGAGGCGUUAUUUCUCCUAACCUGUUGACGAGACUGAGGAGGUACAGAUUUUAAACAGUGCAAACGGAGGAUGCUUCAGAAGAAAGUGCUGCAGGCGCUCUACUGCAGAGAGCUCACACCAAAUAUGACCCCAACUCCAGACGCCUGCAGUCUAAAUCCGUUUGUCCAGCUUCAAACAUAGUUUUAUACCAUUGGAAGGAAAAGUGACUACGAUUGUUUUCAAGAGAGAGGGUCAAACUACGUUUGACUCCCAUAUACAUGCAUGGAAGCAAAAUCAGUUUAGUACUACAGAGUACUACUACGACCCAUGCAGAGAUCAAAUGAAAAAGAAGAUAGGCAGCAUCAACACAAACAUGCUUUGGAUAAAUAUAUGGAUCAACAGGAAUUCAGUAACAAUACUGAAAAAUUAUCUACGAACAGAUGAUCCGUCGUAGAAAAGAAUCAGAUGAUAUCGGUCUAAAUCUAUUUUAUUAGCACAAUAUUGUUUUCAUCAAAGAAACGAUUACUUUGGUCUGUAUCUUUUUGUAUGCAGGGCAAUUAUUUAUUUCCAAAUGACGUUAUAUCAUAGAAAUUUGUCCUUGCCGUGCCACUCAAUAGAAGCACCCAAGCUGCUGCCCUUGCAGACCAAUCCAUAUCGGCAUAUCAGGGUCGCACCCGCUCAUACAAGCUGCCCAAAGGACGUUUGUAAACCGCCGCCCGCGGUCCGGUUUAUUCCAACAAAAUCUAGAGCAAUUAAUGAUAUCGGCUCCCGCUUAUACCGGACACCACUGGAGUUUGUAUAAACAUCAACAAGCAGAUGGGAUGAACCAUUGGCCGAGUUGCUGACACAGCUCAUACGGGAUUAUUUAUAACCCACCGCAGUCACCUCAACAUUCUAUGGAUUCACAUCGUGCUAUCGACGCCAAUAAUAUACACCUUCUGCUAUGGUCAAAUAUGGAGAAUCUCAAGACAACUCCUCGAGUCGUCCUAAGACUCGGGGGCUACAAUGACAUGACUCAACAAAUCUUGCCAGUUUCAGCAGGCUCAAGAACUCCGGAUCAUUGGAGGGAAGAUAAACCGGUUCCGGAGGACACCGCCAUAUUGAUGAAAAUUUAAAGGCCGUCAGAAAAUUAUCGGUCCAAAAUAAAAAUUCCGGUUUAAAAUCUGGUUCAAGAGACAUCUCUCUCCCGCAAAGCUUUGAAGCUCUCAAAACCGGUUCAACAUCCGGAUCAAGGUAAAUUUGUCCCUUACAAAGCAUUGAGGAUCUAAAUAUCCGGUUUAAGAACUUCCGGUUCAAAACAUGGGUAUCCUGCCUUACGGCUUAUCUUAUUAUGGUCACUUGGGGGCUUCCUGCUCAUCGGGCAAAGCUAUCAGUACCCUCUUGAUCGGCCCAAUGCCAAAAAUUUAUAUGGUCACUUGGGGGCUUCCUGUUCAAACAUAGGUCAUAUUCGAACCAAAGAGAACAUAGCUGUUGAUACCCUUUUGAUUAGCAAACUGCUGAACCUACUUGGAGGCUUCUUGAUCGUAUCCGAAUCAUAGCUCAACCCCUUUGGGAAUUGACAUGGAUCAUAUUCGAAUCAGCGUCGUUAAACAACUUUUAAGGUCAUUUGGGGGCUUCCUGUUCAAACAUAGGUCGUAUGUUGGAUAUGCCCUAGAGGCAAUAAUAAAAGGGUUAUUAUUAUAUUUCCUUGUUCAUGAUAAUUGUCUUUUAUUCAUGCUAUAAUUGUAUUAUCCGGAAAUCGUGAUACACGUGUGAAUACAUAGACCACAAUAUGUCCCUAGUGAGCCUCUAGUUGACUAGCUCGCUGAUCAACAGAUAGUCAUGGUUUCCUGACUAUGGACAUUAGAUGUCAUUCAUAACGGGAUCACAUCAUUAGGAGAAUGAUGUGAUGGACAAGACCCAAUCCUAAGCAUAGCACAAGAUCGUGUAGUUCAUUUUGCUAGAGCUUUUCCAAUGUCAAGUAUCUUUUCCUUAGACCAUGAGAUCGUGUAACUCCCGGAUACCGUAGGAGUGCUUUGGGUGUACCAAACGUCACAACGUAACUGGGUGACUAUAAAGGUGCACUACAGGCAUCUCCGAAAGUGUCUGUUGGGUUGACAUGGAUCGAGACUGGGAUUUGUCACUCCGUAUGACGGAGAGGUAUCUCUAGGCCCACUCGGUAAUGCAUCAUCAUAAUGAGCUCAAAGUGACCAAGUGUCUGGUCAUGGGAUCAUGCAUUACGGUACGAGUAAAGUGACUUGCCGGUAACGAGAUUGAACAAGGUAUUGGGAUAUCGAUGAUCGAAUCUCGGGCAAGUAAUGUACCGAUUGACAAAGGGAAUUGUAUACGGGGUUGCUUAAAUCCUCGACAUCGUGGUUCAUCCGAUGAGAUCACCGAGGAGCAUGUGGGAUCCAACAUGGGUAUCCAGAUCCCGCUGUUGGUUAUUGACCGAAGAGCCGUCUCGGUCAUGUCUACAUGUCUCCCGAACCCGUAGGGUCUACACACUUAAGGUUCGGUGACGCUAGGGUUGUAUGAAUAUGAGUAUGGAGCAAACCGAAAGUUGUUCGGAGUCCCGGAUGAGAUCCCGGACGUCACGAGGAGUUCCGGAAUGGUCCGGAGGUAAAGAAUUAUAUAUAGGAAGUGCAGUUUCAGCCAUCGGGAGAGUUUCGGGGGUCACCAGUAUUGUACCGGGACCACCGGAAGGGCCCCGGGGGUCCACCUGGUGGGGCCACCUAUCCCGGAGGGCCCCGUGGGCUGAAGUGGGGAGGGGACCAGCCCCUAGUGGGCUGGUGCACCCCCCUUGGGCCCCUCCUGCGCCUAGGGUUGGAAACCCUAGGGUGGGGGGGGGGCGCCUCCACUUGCCUUGGGGGGCACUCCACCCCCCUUGGCCGCCGCCCCCCCUUGGAGAUGCCAUCUCCUAGGGCCGCCCCCCAAGGGGGCCUAUAUAAGGGGGGGGGGGGCGGAGGGCAGCCGUACCCUGAAGUCUUGGCGCCUCCCUCUGCCCUGCUAUACCUCUCCCUUUCGCAGAAACUCGGCGAAGCUCUGCCGGAACCCUGCUGCAUCCACCACCACGCCGUCGUGCUGCUGGAUCUUCAUCAACCUCUCCUUUCCCCUUGCUGGAUCAAGAAGGAAGAGAUGUCAUUUGCUCCGUACGUGUGUUGAACACGGAGGUGCUGUCCGUUCGGCACUUGGUCAUCGGUGAUUUGGAUCACGACGAGUACGACUCCCUCAACCCCGUUCUCUUGAACGCUUCCGCUAGCGGUCUACAAAGGUAUGUAGAUGCACUACUAUCACUCGUUGCUAUAUGAACUCAUAGAUGGAUCUUGGUGAAAUCGUAGGAAAUUUUUUAUUUUCUGCAACGUUCCCCAACAGUGGUAUCAGAGCUAGGUCUAUGCGUAGUUCUCUAUUGCACGAGUAGAACACAAAUCUGUUGUGGACGUAGAUGUUGUCAACUUUCUUGCCGCUACUAGUCUUAUUUUGCUUCAGCGGUAUUGUGGGAUGAAGCGGCCCGGACCGACCUUACACGUACGCUUACGUGGGACAUGUUCCACCGACUGACAUGCACUAGUUGCAUAAGGUGGCUAGCUGGUGUCUGUCUCUCCCACUUUAGUUGGAGAGGAUUCGAUGAAAAGGGUCCUUAUGAAGGGUAAAUAGAAGUUGACAAAUCACGUUGUGGUUAUUCGUAGGUAAGAAAACGUUCUUGCUAGAACCCAAUUGCAGCCACGUAAAAGAUGCAACAACAAUUAGAGGAUGUCUAACUUGUUUUUGCAGAAAUUGCUAUGUGAUGUGAUAUGGCCAAAAGUUGUGAUGAAUGAUGAAUGAUAUAUUGUGAUGUAUGAGAUCAUGUUCUUGUAAUAGGAAUCACGACUUGCAUGUCAAUGAGUAUGACAACCGGCAGGAGCCAUAGGAGUUGUCUUAAUUAUUGUAUGACCUGCGUGUCAAUGAUUUAACGCCAUGUAAUUACUUUACUUUAUUGCUAAACCGUUAGCCAUAGUAGUAGAAGUAAUAGUUGGCGAGCAACUUCACGGAGACACGAUGAUGGAGAUCAUGAUGAUGGAGAUCAUGGUGUCAUGCCGGUGACGAAGAUGAUCAUGGAGCCCCGAAGAUGGAGAUCAAAGGAGCUAUAUGAUAUUGGCCAUAUCAUGUCACUACUAUAUAAUUGCAUGUGAUGUUUAUUAUGUUUAUGCAUCUUGUUUACUUAGAACGACAGUAGUAAAUAAGAUGAUCCCUUAUAAUAAUUUCAAGAAAGUGUUCCCAAUAACUGUGCGUCGUUGCUAAAGUUCGUCGUUUCGAUGCACCACGUGAUGAUCGGGUCUGAUAGAUUCUUACGUUCACAUACAACGGGUGUAAGACAGUUUUACACAUGCAAAAAACACUUAGGGUUAACUUGACGAGCCUAGCAUGUACAGACAUGGCCUCGGAACACAAAGACCGAAAGGUCAAACAUGAGUCAUAUGGAAGAUACGAUAAACAUGGAGAUGUUCACCGAUGAUGACUAGUCCGUCUCACGUGAUGAUCGGACACGGCCUAGUCGACUCGGAUCGUGUAACACUUAGAUGACUAGAGGGAUGUCUAAUCUGAGUGGGAGUUCAUUAAAUAAUUUGAUUAGAUGAACUUAAUUAUCAUGAACUUAGUCUAAAAUCUUUGCAAAAUAUGUCUUGUAGAUCAAAUGGCCAACACUCAUGUCAACAUCAACUUCAACGCGUUCCUAGAGAAAACCAAGCUGAAAGAUGAUGGCAGCAACUAUUCAGACUGGGUCCGGAACCUGAGGAUCAUCCUCAUAGCUGCCAAGAAAGCAUAUGUCCUAGAAGGACCGCUAGGUGAAGCACCCAUCCCAGAGAACCAAGACGUUAUGAAUGCUUGGCAGUCACGUGCUGAUGAUUACUCCCUCGUUUCAGUGCGGCAUGCUUUACAGCUUAGAACUGGGGCUCCAAAAGCGUUUUGAGCGACACGGAGCAUAUGAGAUGUUCGAGGAGCUGAAAAUUGUUUUCCAAGCUCAUGCCCGGGUCGAGAGAUAUGAAGUCUCCGACAAGUUCUAUAGUUGUAAGAUGGAGGAAAAUAGUUCUGUCAGUGAGCACAUACUCAAAAUGUCUGGGUUGCACAACCGCCUGUCCCAGCUGGACAUUAACCUCCCGGACGAGGCGGUCAUUGAUAGAAUCCUUCAGUCGCUCCCACCGAGCUACAAGAGCUUUGUGAUGAACUACAAUAUGUAGGGGAUGGUGAAAACUAUUCCUGAAGUAUUUUCAAUGCUGAAGUCGGCAAAGGUAGAAAUCAAGAAAGAACAUCAAGUGUUGAUGGUCAAUAAAACCACCAAGUUCAAGAAGGGCAAGGGUAAGAAGAACUUCAAGAAGGACGGCAAAGAUGUUGCCGCGCCCGGUAAGCCAGUUGUCGGGAAGAAGUCGAAGAAUGGACCCAAGCCUGAGACUGAGUGCUUUUAUUGCAAAGGGAAGGGUCACUGGAAGCGGAACUGCCCCAAAUACUUAGCGGACAAGAAGGCCGGCAAUACUAAAGGUAUAUUUGAUAUACAUGUAAUUGAUGUGUACCUUACCAGUACUUGUAGUAACUCCUGGGUAUUUGACGGUGCCGCUGCUCAUAUUUGUAACUCACAGCAGGAGCUGCGGAAUAAGCGGAGACUGGUGAAGGACGAGGUGACGAUGCGCGUCGGGAAUGGUUCCAUGGUCGAUGUGAUCGCCGUCGGCACGCUACCUCUACAUUUACCUAUGGGAUUAGUUUUAAACCUCAAUAAUUGUUAUUUAGUGCCAAGUUUGAGCAUGAACAUUGUAUCUGGGUCUUGUUUAAUGCGAGAUGGCUACUCAUUUAAAUCCGAGAAUAAUGGUUGUUCUAUUUAUAUGAGAGAUAUGCUUUAUGGUCAUGCCCCAAUAGUCAAUGGUUUAUUCUUAAUGAAUCUCGAACGUAAUGUUACACAUAUUCAUAGUGUGAAUACCAAAAGAUGUAAAGUUGAUAACGAUAGUCCCACAUACUUGUGGCACUGCCGCCUUGGUCAUAUUGGUGUCAAGCGCAUGAAGAAGCUCCAUGCUGAUGGACUUUUAGAGUCUCUUGAUUAUGAAUCAUUUGACACAUGCGAACCAUGCCUCAUGGGCAAAAUGACCAAGACUCCAUUCUCCGGAACAAUGGAGCAAGCAACCAACUUAUUGGAAAUCAUACAUACCGAUGUGUGCGGUCCAAUGAGCGUUGAGGCUCGCGGAGGAUAUCGUUAUGUUCUCACUCUCACUGAUUACUUGAGUAGAUAUGGGUAUGUCUACUUGAUGAAACACAAGUCUGAGACCUUUGCAAAGUUCAAGGAAUUUCAGAAUGAGGUAGAGAAUCAACGUGAUCGAAAGAUAAAAUUCUUACGAUCAGAUCGUGGAGGAGAAUAUUUAAGUCAUGAAUUUGGUACACACUUAAGAAAAUGUGGAAUCGUUUCACAACUCACGCCGCCUGGAACACCUUAGCGUAACGGUGUGUCCAAACGUCGUAAUCGCACUCUAUUGGAUAUCGUGCGAUCUAUGAUGUCUCUUACCGAUUUAGCGCUAUCAUUUUGGGGAUACGCUCUAGAGACAACCACAUUCACUUUAAAUAGGUCUCCGUCUAAAUCCGUUGAGACGACACCGUAUGAAUUAUGGUUUGGGAAGAAACCUAAGCUGUCGUUUCUAAAAGUUUGGGGAUGCGAUGCUUAUGUCAAGAAACUUCAACCUGAAAAGCUCGAACCCAAGUCGAAAAAAUGCGUCUUCAUAGGAUACCCUAAGGAAACCAUUGGGUAUACCUUCUACUUAAGAUCCGAGGGCAAGAUCUUUGUUUCCAAGAACGGAUCCUUUCUGGAAAAAGAGUUUCUCUCGAAAGAAGUAAGUGGGAGGAAAGUAGAACUCGAUGAAGUACUACCUCUUGAACCAGAAAGUAGUGCAGCUCAGGAAAAUGUUCCUGUGGUGCCUACACCGACUGGAGAGGAAAUUAAUGAUGAUGAUCAAGGUACUUCGGAUCAAGUUGCUACUGAACUUCGUAGGUCCACUAGGACACGUUCCACACCAGAGUGGUAUGGCAAUCCUGUCCUGGAAAUCGUGUUGUUAGACAACGGUGAACCUUCGAACUAUGAAGAAGCGAUGGCGGGCCCAUAUUCCAACAAAUGGCUUGAAGCCAUGCAAUCCGAGAUAGAAUUCAUGUAUGAAAACAAAGUAUGGACUUUGACAGACUUGCUCGAUGAUCAGCGAGCGAUAGAAAACAAAUGGAUCUUUAAGAAGAAGGCGGACGCGGAUGGUAAUGUUACCAUCUAGAAAGCUCGACUUGCCGCUAAGGGUUAUCGGCAAGUUCAAGGGGUUGACUAUGAUGAGAGUUUCUCUCCUGUAGCGAAGCUAAAGUCUGUCCGAAUCAUGUUAGCAAUUGCCGCAUACUAUGAUUAUGAGAUAUGGCAGAUGGACGUCAAAACGGCAUUCCUUAACGGCUAUCUUAAGGAAGAACUGUAUAUGAUGCAGCCGGAGGGUUUUGUCGAUCCUAAGAAUGCUAACAAGGUAUGCAAGCUCCAGCGAUCCAUUUAUGGGCUGGUGCAAGCAUCUCGGAGUUGGAACAUUUGCUUUGAUGAGAUGAUCAAAGCGUUUGGGUUUAUGCAGACUUAUGGAGAAGCCCGCGUUUACAAGAAAGUGAGUGGGAGCUCUGUAGCAUUUCUCAUAUUAUAUGUAGAUGACAUACUUUUGAUGGGAAAUGAUAUAGAACUUUUGGACAGCAUUAAGGCCUACUUGAAUAAGUGUUUUUCAAUGAAGGACCUUGGAGAAGCUGCUUACAUAUUAGGUAUCAAGAUCUAUAGGGAUAGAUCGAGACGCCUCAUAGGUCUUUCACAAAGCACAUACCUUGAUAAGAUAUUGAAGAAGUUCAAAAUGGAUCAGUCCAAGAAACGGUUCUUGCCUGUAUUGCAAGGUGUGAGAUUGAGCUCGGCUCAAUGCCCGACCACGGCAAAAGACAAAGAAGAGAUGAGUGUCAUCCCCUAUGCCUCAGCCAUAGGAUCUAUUAUGUAUGCCAUGCUGUGUACCAGACCUGAUGUAAACCUUGCCGUAAGUUUGGUAGGAAGGUACCAAAGUAAUCCCAGCAAGGAACACUGGACAGCGGUCAAGAAUAUCCUGAAGUACCUGAAAAGGACAAAGGACAUGUUUCUCGUUUAUGGAGGUGACGAAGAGCUCGUCGUAAAGGGUUACGUCGACGCUAGCUUCAACACAGAUCUGGAUGACUCUAAGUCAAAAACCGGAUACGUGUAUAUGUUGAAUCGUGGAGCAGUAAGCUAGUGCAGUUGCAAGCAGAGCGUCGUGGCGGGAUCUACAUGUGAAGCGGAGUACAUGGCAGCCUCGGAGGCAGCACAUGAAGCAAUAUGGAUGAAGGAGUUCAUCACCGACCUAGGAGUCAUACCCAAUGCCUCGGGGCCAAUCACUCUCUUCUGUGACAACACUGGAGCUAUUGCCCUUGCCAAGGAGCCCAGGUUUCACAAGAAGACCAGGCACAUUAAGUGUCGUUUCAACUCCAUCCGUGAAAAUGUUCAAGAUGGAGACAUAGAUAUUUGCAGAGUACAUACGGAUCUGAAUGUCGCAGAUCCGUUGACUAAACCUCUUCCGCGAGCAAAACAUGAUCAACACCAAAACUAUAUGGGUGUUCGAUUCAUCACAAUGUAACUAGAUUAUUGACUCUAGUGCAAGUGGGAGACUGUUGGAAAUAUGCCCUAGAGGCAAUAAUAAAAGGGUUAUUAUUAUAUUUCCUUCUUCAUGAUAAUUGUCUUUUAUUCAUGCUAUAAUUGUAUUAUCCAGAAAUCGUGAUACACGUGUGAAUACAUAGACCACAAUAUGUCCCUAGUGAGCCUCUAGUUGACUAGCUCGUUGAUCAACAGAUAGUCAUGGUUUCCUGAGUAUGGACAUUAGAUCUCAUUGAUAACGGGAUCACAUCAUUAGGAGAAUGAUGUGAUGGACAAGACCCAAUCCUAAGCAUAGCACAAGAUCGUGUAGUUCGUUUUGCUAGAGCUUUUCCAAUGUCAAGUAUCUUUUCCUUAGACCAUAAGAUCGUGUAACUCCCAGAUACCGUAGGAGUGCCUUGGGUGUACCAAACGUCACAACGUAACUGGGUGACUAUAAAGGUGCACUACAGGCAUCUCUGAAAGUGUCUGUUGGGUUAACACGGAUCGAGACUGGGAUUUGUCACUCCGUAUGAUGGAGAGGUAUCUCUGGGCCCACUCGGUAAUGCAUCAUCAUAAUGAGCUCAAAGUGACCAAGUGUCUGGUCACGGGAUCAUGCAUUACGGUACGAGUAAAGUGACUUGCCGGUAACGAGAUUGAACAAGGUAUUGGGAUACCGACGAUCGAAUCUCGUGCAAGUAACGUAUCGAUUGACAAAGGGAAUUGUAUACGGGGUUGCUUAAAUCCUAGACAUCGUGGUUCAUCCGAUGAGAUCAUCGAGGAGCAUGUGGGAGCCAACAUGGGUAUCCAGAUCCCGCUGUUGGUUAUUGACCGGAGAGCCGUCUCGGUCAUGUCUACAUGUCUCCCGAACCCAUAGGGUCUACACACUUAAGGUUCGGUGAUGCUAGGGUUGUAUGAAUAUGAGUAUGUAGCAAACCGAAAGUUGUUCGGAGUCCCGGAUGAGAUCCCGGACGUCACGAGGAGUUCCGGAAUGGUCUGGUGGUAAAGAAUUAUAUAUAGGAAGUGCAGUUUCGGCCAUCGGGGGAGUUUUGGGGGUCACCGGUAUUGUACCGGGACCACCGGAAGGGUCCCGGGGGUCCACCGGGUGGGGCCACCUAUCACGGAGGGCCCCGUGGGCUGAAGUGGGAGGGGACCAGCCCCUAGUGGGCUGGUGCGCCCCCCUUGCUCCCCUCCUGCGCCUAGGGUUGGAAACCCUAGGGUGGGGGGGCGCCUCCACUUGCCUUGGGGGGGAACUCCACCCCCCUUGCCCCCCCCUUGGAGAUGCCAUCUCCUAGGGCCGGCGCCCCCCAGGGGGCCUAUAUAAAGGGGGGGGGGAGGGAGGGCAGCCGUACCCUGAAGUCUUGGCGCCUCCCUCUCCCCUGCUAUACCUCUCCCUCUCGCAGAAGCUCGGCGAAGCUCUGUCGGAACCCUGCUGCAUCCACCACCACGCCUCGUGCUACUGGAUCUUCAUCAACCUCUCCUUUCCCCUUGCUGGAUCAAGAAGUAGGAGAUGUCAUCCGCUCCGUACGUGUGUUGAACGCGGAGGUGCUGUCCGUUCGACACUUGGUCAUCGGUGAUUUGGAUCACGACGAGUACGACUCCCUCAACCCCGUUCUCUUGAACGCUUCCGCUCGCGAUCUACAAAGGUAUGUAGAUGCACUACUAUCACUCGUUGCUAGAUGAACUCAUAGAUGUAUCUUGGUGAAACCGUAGGAAAUUUUUUAUUUUCUACAACGUUCCCCAACAUCGUAUUCGAACCAAAGAGAAUAUAGCUGUCGAUACCCACUUUGAUCGGCAAUGCCAACGCCAUUGGGGGCUAUAUGAUCGUAUUCGAAUCUUAGCUUAACCUCUGUGGAACGGUUUACUGAUCGUAUUUGAAUCAGAAGCCUCAAUUUUUUUAUCUGUUUUUAUACAAUCGCAAGUAUUUGAGUUGUCACAAGUAUCAUAUGUGCCGGCUCUUACAGAGUUGAGUUAUCAACUUCAUUGUCCUGGUCACAUAAACCGGCGGUAUCAUUCAAAGGAUCGUAGGGAUCUUGUGAUCUACUUGUGUGCAGGGUAAGACUACAUUUGGGUGGUUACCCGCCCUUGCCCUUGAUGUUAAGUUGCGAGGGCAUAUGUUGUUUAAACUCUGUGCAGGAUUUGCAGAAUUAUGACAUAUAAAUGCUUCAGUCCAAGCUCAUCACUGAAAUUGGUGUCUCAAAAGGGUUAUCAAUUAUUUAUUUUCUCAAGGGCUAUAGGUCAUCGGGUUACAAAAAUUCCGGCUUACAAUGAAUGUGCAUUAAGUCAUCAUCGUCCAAGAGCCGCCAGGUAUUUAAACUCCGGAUUUACUUGUCAACCGAUGAGGUAUUCAAAUCUUUUAUAGCCAAAACUGGCUGGAUUUUCAUGAUGAUAUUGAAUGAUUGAGGUUUUCAUACCGGAUUAUAUUAUUCAAAUCUCGAAUAGCCAACAUGGCUGGAUUUCUAUUGUGAUUAUCAAUAACCAGUGUUAUGAUUGAGGUCUUCAAAGUCGCUUUAGCGCAAUGGCAAUUAUAUUAUCAAUGGAUAGGAUUUAUUCUACAAUUGGAGGAAUAGUCCCGAGUUGCUGCAGGCUUACGAGCCGGCACUUGGGGGCGUACAUUAUUUAAGUUGAGAUUAUAUCAAAUAUGCAAGUCUCAUGUCACUACAAGCAUGCACCAUGACACUUGGGGGCUAAUGCAAAGUCAUUUUUACUGGCCUUAUUAAAGACCCGACUCAUCAUAUCAUAAUGAGCCGGCCCUUGGGGGCUACACGUUGUUGUUCAAGUCUACAUGAUCAUAUCUACAAAGUCCCUGCUCAUUAUUGCAUAAUGACUCGACCCUUGGGGGCUACACUGGUUGAAGUUUUGAUUAGCAUAAAGCAAUUUCAAGUCCCAGGUUAAGCAUGACAACCCGGCACUUGGGGGCUAUAUAUGUGGAAUACUCAGUUUUGACUAGUGAUUGAGAUAAACAACAUGGAUUUCUUCAAAGUGAUAAUAUUUUUAUUGAAGCAAGUCUUAAGUCAUUACUUUGUUUUGCUCAAGACUUGGGGGCUACAGGUAAUAUGGAUAUGAGGGAGAGAAAUCUUCAAAAUUCUCAGUUUUGACCCGGCAUCGGCAACAAUUAUGACUUGGCAUCAUCUAUUUUUAAACCCGUCAAGUUUUUUCAUCUUUAAGCCGGUUGAAGGUCACAUGAGUAUUUCAAGACCAAUAUUUUUAAGCAUUGGGAGCUGAGUCAAAUGAGUUAUUCUUCAGUCUUCCUCUGUGAUAAACCAACGUCAGCAAAUUGAUUAUGAAGUUUAUUGACCCGGAUCUUCGAAGGAGAAAAUAACAAGGAGUUAAGGAUGAUCAGGUUCCGGCGUACAAGAAUAUUUAACCCGGAGCAUAACCUGCUAAAAUUGUUCUUGUGUUUUGUUUACAGGAUCAGUUUAACAUGGAUAAAUCCAAAUUAAACUGGGGGCUAAUGUCGGGGAUAUACCCCGCGAUAUGACCCGGCCGGAGAUAUGACCAGGCUGGGACUUGAUGUUUCAUUGAUGACCCGGCAGACACAGUCAUAUAACCCGACAGGCACAGUCAUAUAACCCGGCAGGCACAUUCAUAUAACCCGGCAGACACAGUCAUAUAACCCGCCAGACACAGUCAUAUAACCCGGCAGACACAGUCAUAUAACCCGGCAGACACAGUUAUAUAACCCGGCAGACAUAGUCAUGUAACCUGGCAGACACAGUCAUGUAAGCCAGAUGGUAAGCCAGGUGGUAAGUCAGAUCGUAAGCCAGACCGUAAGUCAGAUUGUAAGCCAGGUUGUAAGAAUCCCAAGACGUUAAGAAGCCCAUGGUGAGAAGCCCAUGGUAAGACGUCAAAAUAGGUUAAGUCUUAAGUCCGAGUUGGACUCUACAUGUAACCCGCCCCUUCAGCUUAUAUAAGGAGGGGCGGGGCACCCCAAGAGGGACAGGUUGAAUAAUCUCAAGGUUAGACAUAACCAAGAGAGCCGGCUUACGGUGACUCCUCUCAUAUCAUAAUGAGACCUAGCCACAAACAACAUGUAGGGUUCUUACCGGAUGAUGUUUCCCGGGGCCUGAAGCUGUCUAAAUCCUUGUCUUGUGUUGUGUUUCUCGAUUCCGCUCAACCCCUCUCAAUCUACUACAUAGAUGUGUUGGCCUCACGACUAAGUCCUCACACUAGGACAUCUGACAUGACAAUUGCACGACAAUCCCCAUUGUUGGCGCCAUCUCCACCAUCGUUCACCACGACGCCUUCAUCGGCAGCAACGAUCACCCCGUCGUCGUCAGAAGUGAAGGCCCGGACGAGCGCAUCAACGUUGUCCUCCACCCAUCGUGCUAGGUCGCCUCGAACGGCCUCAGGCACUGGGGCGAUGGCGGCAUCAAAGUCGAAGAGGGGAUCGAGGUUCUGAGGAUGGCUGAAGACGCGGGAGAAUGCCCGCGCGAGCAGGCCGCGACUCCGUUCCUCCACCAGCUGGUGAGACCUCUCAGAGCGGUUCUUCAGAUGCGUCACCACGUCAGUGAAGAACUGGAGGUUGCCGGCGUAGUUGGUCACGUGCGGCUCCUCGGCGGCAGCCUCACAGAUGUUGCCCAAGGCCGUGUUAGCCCUUUCCCUAAGCGUUCAGAGCAUGGGGCUGUGCAUGUGCUCCAAUGUCUGCUGCUGGCGGAUCUCGUCCGCAUUCCGCUCCGCGACGGCCUCGGCAUCAUCAACCCGCCAUUGAAGAAGAAGUAGCUCGGUGCGGGAGGAGGCUAGCUCGGCCUGCGCCGAGCUUAGCGCGACAACAGUGGCCUCAGCUCUGUGCGUGGCUUCAGUCAACCUCGUCCUGAGGGCAGCUGAGGGAGUCCUGGACUAGGGGGUGUCCGGAUAGCCGAACUAUCAUCAUCGGCCGGACUCCAAGACUAUGAAGGUAUAAGAUUGAAGACUUCGUCCCGUGUCCGGAUGGGACUUUCCUUGGCGUGGAAGGCAAGCUUGGCGAUACGGAUAUGUAGAUCUCCUACCAUUGUAACCGACUCUGUGUAACCCUAGCCCUCUCCGGUGUCUAUAUAAACCGGAUUGCUUUAGUCUGUAGAACGAACAACAAUCAUACCAUAGGCUAGCUUCUAGGGUUUAGCCUCCUUGAUCUCGUGGUAGAUCUACUCUUGUAACACACAUCAUCAAUAUUAAUCAAGCAUGACAUAGGGUUUUACCUCCAUCAAGAGGGCCCGAACCUGGGUAAAACAUCGUGUCCCUUGUCUCCUGUUACCAUCCGCCUAGACGCACAGUUUGGGACCCCCUACCCGAGAUCCGCCGGUUUUGACACCGACAUUGGUGCUUUCAUUGAGAGUUCCUCUGUGCCGUCGCAAUCAAGAAGGAUGCCUUUUCCCGUAUUUAAAGACGGCGCCGUCGUCAAGGGAGCUUUGGCCGCCGACCAAACUAUCCGGCUAGUUGGUUUUCUUAUGACCGCCUGUUCGGCCACCGCCCCGACGAUGACCUCUCAGGUCAUCAAAAGCGAUCUUCACGCCAGCUCAGAAUUCGCCGAGCAGCUAGAUCCGAUUGAGCUCUCCUCCGUAAACAAGCUCUUGGAUCGCAUCGCCGCCCUAGGAGUCGCUACAGACUACGAUCAGAUUGGUCUUAGAACCGAUUUGAGAGAAAUUAACUCUCCCCAGGCUACCCACCACGUUGUUGUGGUAGAGGAACAAUGCAACGACUCUUCUUCUAUGUUAAAAACCAGCUAUGUCCGGAUUCCCGAUCCCUCCAUGCCGGUUUCCCGCGGAGGGACGGACGUCAAUCAAAUACUGAACCUAAAGUCAGGCAUCGGACCAGAUUUGUCGGAAAACAUCCAACAAACCAAGCUUCCAAAUCCGGAAACCUCUUGGCCUUUGAGCCUCAGAUCGGGCGGGGUUCCGAACUUAAUUCCACCAGCCCACCCAAACAUAAUCGAUCUAUCUCAAAUACGGCAAGAGCCCAAUGAAAUAGUACAUCAUUACUGGGCCAGAUUCCUCCUGGUUAUGAACAGGAUAAAGGACUGCCGUGAAGAAAGCGCGAUUUCAAUUUUCUGCAACAAUUGCACGGACAAGGGAAUCAUGAACGCCAUAAGUCGUCGCGAAGUUACAUGCUUCACCGACCUAGCGACCAUUGUACAAAAAUACUGUGCGAUGGAGAGCGCCUGGAAAACCAAAACCAGGUUUUGGGACAAUCCGGCCCUGAAUACAACCCCAGUCCGAAAUAAAAGGGUGCGUCAUACUCAAGCACCUGGGUUAAAAACCAAAAAGCAAAAAACCCCUAAAGGGCACGGAACCGUACUAGAGGGAUGGCUCAACGGACCCGGCAAAAUCCACAGUACGGAUGGCGCCACUCCAACACAUAGCCUCCGAGCAUGUUGGAUACUAUGGCAGGUGGCCAAAAGUGGCGAAGGCUUUCUAGCCCCGGGCAACCAGCCCAGCAGUACCAGUACGGUAUUAACAGUCUUCGAGACUUUCGCAUCAAAUAACAUGCGGAAGUGAACAAUCCGCAGCCUCACCGAAGUCUACCAAGUAGCAACAACAAAUCCAUGGAGCGACACGGCCAUCACCUUCAAUGCCAGCGAUGAGCCUAAAUUCAGAACAGCUCGAGCACCAGCCGCAUUGGUCCUCAGUCCGAUAGUGGACGGCUUUCGUCUUACCAAGGUACUCAUGGAUGGCGGCAGCGGACUAAACCUCAUCUACGAGGAAACCCUUAAAAAAUGGAAAUUGACUGGAGCCGCAUUGAGCGAAGAAGCACAACCUUCAGGGGAAUAAUCCCUAGUCGAGAAGUACGCUGCACAGAAAAAAUCACACUAGACGUCGUGUUCGGCUCGCCGGACAAUUACAGGUCCGAAGAGGUCACGUUCCAAGUGGCCCCAUACGGCAAUCACAACCUUCAGGGGAAUAAUCCCUAGUCGAGAAGUACGCUGCACAGGAAAAAUCACACUAGACGUCGUGUUCGGCUCGCCGGACAAUUACAGGUCCGAAGAGGUCACGUUCCAAGUGGCCCCAUUCGGCAGCGGAUAUCAUGCCUUGUUAGGGCGAGAGGCAAUCACAAUCUUCCAAGCUAUACCCCAUUACGGGUACAUGAAGCUCAAAAUGCCCGGGCCCAAUGGAAUAAUCACUCUCACCAGUGAUCCAGAUAUAGCACUCCGCGCUGAAAAUAAGACAGCCGCACUGGCCCUAGAGGCAUUAUCCGAAGCCCUAGCGGCAGAGGAACUCACUGCGUUGGAACAUUUGCUUUGAUGAGAUGAUCAAAGCGUUUGGGUUUAUGCAGACUUAUGGAGAAGCCUGCGUUUACAAGAAAGUGAGUGGGAGCUCUGUAGCAUUUCUCAUAUUAUAUGUAGAUGACAUACUUUUGAUGGGAAAUGAUAUAGAACUUUUGGACAGCAUUAAGGCCUACUUGAAUAAUUGUUUUUCAAUGAAGGACCUUGGAGAAGCACCUUACAUAUUAGGCAUCAAGAUCUAUAGGGAUAGAUCGAGACGCCUCAUAGGUCUUUCACAAAGCACAUACCUUGAUAAGAUAUUGAAGAAGUUCAAAAUGGAUCAGUCCAAGAAACGGUUCUUGCCUGUAUUGCAAGGUGUGAGAUUGAGCUCGGCUCAAUGCCCGACCACGGCAAAAGACAAAGAAGAGAUGAGUGUCAUCCCCUAUGCCUCAGCCAUAGGAUCUAUUAUGUAUGCCAUGCUGUGUACCAGACCUGAUGUAAACCUUGCCGUAAGUUUGGUAGGAAGGUACCAAAGUAAUCCCAGCAAGGAACACUGGACAGCGGUCAAGAAUAUCCUGAAGUACCUGAAAAGGACAAAGGACAUGUUUCUCGUUUAUGGAGGUGACGAAGAGCUCGUCGUAAAGGGUUACGUCGACGCUAGCUUCAACACAGAUCUGGAUGACUCUAAGUCACAAACCGGAUACGUGUAUAUGUUGAAUCGUGGAGCAGUAAGCUAGUGCAGUUGCAAGCAGAGCGUCGUGGCGGGAUCUACAUGUGAAGCGGAGUACAUGGCAGCCUCGGAGGCAGCACAUGAAGCAAUAUGGAUGAAGGAGUUCAUCACCGACCUAGGAGUCAUACCCAAUGCGUCGGGGCCAAUCACUCUCUUCCGUGACAACACUGGAGCUAUUGCCCUUGCCAAGGAGCCCAGGUUUCACAAGAAGACCAGGCACAUCAAGUGUCGUUUCAACUCCAUCCGUGAAAAUGUUCAAGAUGGAGACAUAGAUAUUUGCAAAGUACAUAUGGAUCUGAAUGUCGCAGAUCCGUUGACUAAACCUCUUCCGCGAGCAAAACAUGAUCAACACCAGAACUCUAUGGGUUAAGUCUUAAGUCCAUGGUGAGAAUCCCAUGGUAAGACGUCAAAAUAGGUUAAGUCUUAAGUCCGAGUUGGACUCUACAUGUAACCCGCCCCUUCAGCUUAUAUAAGGAGGGGCGGGGCACCCCAAGAGGGACAGGUUGAAUAAUCUCUAGGUUAGACAUAACCAAGAGAGCCGGCUUACGGUGACUCCUCUCAUAUCAUAAUGAGACCUAGCCACAAACAACAUGUAGGGUUCUUACCGGAUGAUGUUUCCCGGGGCCUGAAGCUGUCUAAAUCCUUGUCUUGUGUUGUGUUUCUCGAUUCCGCUCAACCCCUCUCAAUCUACUACAUAGAUGUGUUGGCCUCACGACUAAGUCCUCACACUAGGACAUCUGACAUGACAAUUGCACGACAAUCACCAUUGUUGGCGCCAUCUCCACCAUCGUUCACCACGACGCCUUCAUCGGCAGCAACGAUCACCCCGUCGUCGUCAGAAGUGAAGGCCCGGACGAGCGCAUCAACGUUGUCCUCCACCCACCGCGCUAGGUCGCCUCGAACGGCCUCAGGCACUGGGGCGAUGGCGGCAUCAAAGUCGAAGAGGGGAUCGAGGUUCUGAAGAUGGCUGAAGACGCGGGAGAAUGCCCGCGCGAGCAGGCCGCGACUCCGUUCCUCCACCAGCUAGCGAGACCUCUCAGAGCAGUUCUUCAGAUGCGUCACCACGUCAGUGAAGAACUGGAGGUUGCCGGCGUAGUUGGUCACGUGCGGCUCCUCGGCGGCAGCCUCACAGAUGUUGCCCAAGGCCGUGUUAGCCCUUUCCCUAAGCGUUCAGAGCAUGGGGCUGUGCAUGUGCUCCAAUGUCUGCUGCUGGCGGAUCUCGUCCGCAUUCCGCUCCGCGACGGCCUCGACAUCAUCAACCCGCCAUUGAAGAAGAAGUAGCUCGGUGAGGGAGGAGGCUAGCUCGGCCUGCGCCGAGCUUAGCGCGACAGCAGUGGCCUCAGCUCUGUGUGUGGCUUCAGUCAACCUGGUCCUGUGGGCAGCUGAGGGAGUCCUGGACUAGGGGGUGUCCGGAUAGCCGAACUAUCAUCAUCGGCCGGACUCCAAGACUAUGAAGAUACAAGAUUGAAGACUUCGUCCCGUGUCCGGAUGGGACUUUCCUUGGCGUGGAAGGCAAGCUUGGCGAUACGGAUAUGUAGAUCUCCUACCAUUGUAACUGACUCUGUGUAACCCUAGCCCUCUCCGGUGUCUAUAUAAACCGGAUGGCUUUAGUCUGUAGAACGAACAACAAUCAUACCAUAGGCUAGCUUCUAGGGUUUAGCCUCCUUGAUCUCGUGGUAGAUCUACUCUUGUAACACACAUCAUCAAUAUUAAUCAAGCAUGACAUAGGGUUUUACCUCCAUCAAGAGGGCCCGAACCUGGGUAAAACAUCGUGUCCCUUGUCUCCUAUUACCAUCCGCCUAGACGCACAGUUUGGGACCCCCUACCCGAGAUCCGCCGGUUUUGACACCGACAUUGGUGCUUUCAUUGAGAGUUCCUCUGUGCCGUCGCAAUCAAGAAGGAUGCCUUUUCCCGUAUUUAAAGACGGCGCCGUCGUCAAGGGAGCUUUGGCCGCCGGCCAAACUAUCCGGCUAGGUGGUUUUCUUAUGACCGCCUGUUCGGCCACCGCCCCGACGAUGACCUCUCAGGGCAUCAAAAGCGAUCUUCACGCCAGCUCAGAAUUUGCCGAGCAGCUAGAUCUGAUUGAGCUCUCCUCCGUAAACAAGCUCUUGGAUCGCAUCGCCGCCCUAGGAGUCGCUACAGACUACGAUCAGAUUGGUCUUAAAACCGAUCUGAGAGAAAUUAACUCUCCCCAGGCUACCCACCACGUUGUUGUAGUAGAGGAACAAUGCAGCAACUCUUAUUCUAUGUUAAAAACCAGCUAUGUCCGGAUUCCCGAUCCCUCCAUGCCGGUUUCCCGCGGAGGGACGGACGUCAAUCAAAUACUGAACCUAAAGUCAGGCAUCGGACCAGAUUUGUCGGAAAACAUCCAACAAACCAAGCUUCCAAAUCCGGAAACCUCUUGGCCUUUGAGCCUCAGAUCGGGCGGGGUUCCGAACUUAAUUCCACGAGCCCACCCAAACAUAAUCGAUCUAUCUCAAAUACGGCAAGAGCCCAAUGAAAUAGUAUAUCAUUACUGGGCCAGAUUCCUCCUGGUUAUGAACAGGAUAAAGGACUGCCGUGAAGAAAGCGCGAUUUCAAUUUUCUGCAACAAUUGCACGGACAAGGGAAUCAUGAACGCCAUAAGUCGUCGCGAAGUUACACGCUUCACCGACCUAGCGACCAUUGUACAAAAAUACUGUGCGAUGGAGAGCGCUUGGAAAACCAAAACCAGGUUUUGGGACAAUCCGGCCCUGAAUACAACCCCGGUCCGAAAUAAAAGGGUGCGUCAUACUCAAGCACCUGGGUUAAAAACCAAAAAGCAAAAAACCCCUAAAGGGCACGGAACCGUACUAGAGGGAUGGCUCAACGGACCCUGCAAAAUCCACAGUACGGAUGGCGCCACUCCAACACAUAGCCUCCGAGCAUGUUGGAUACUAUGGCAGGUGGCCAAAAGUGGCGAAGGCUUUCUAGCCCCGGGCAACCAGCCCAGCAGUACCAGUACGGUAUUAACAGUCUUCGAGACUUUCGCAUCAAAUAACAUGCGGAAGCGAACAAUCCGCAGCCUCACCGAAGUCUACCAAGUAGCAACAACAAAUCCAUGGAGCGACACGGCCAUCACCUUCAAUGCCAGCGAUGAGCCUAAAUUCAGAACAGCUCGAGCACCAGCCGCAUUGGUCCUCAGUCCGAUAGUGGACGGCUUUCGUCUUACCAAGGUACUCAUGGAUGGCGGCAGCGGACUAAACCUCAUCUACGAGGAAACCCUUAAAAAAUGGAAAUUGACUGGAGCCGCAUUGAGAGAAGCAGCACAACCUUCAGGGGAAUAAUCCCUAGUCGAGAAGUACGCUGCACAGGAAAAAUCACACUAGACGUCGUGUUCGGCUCGCCGGACAAUUACAGGUCCGAAGAGGUCACGUUCCAAGUGGCCCCAUUCGGCAGCGGAUAUCACGCCUUGUUAGGGCGAGAGGCAAUCAAAAUCUUCCAAGCUAUACCCCAUUACGGGUACAUGAAGCUCAAAAUGCCCGGGCCCAAUGGAAUAAUCACUCUUACCAGGGAUCCAGAUAUAGCACUCCGCGCUGAAAAUAAGACAGCCGCACUGGCCCUAGAGGCAUUAUCCGAAGCCCUAGCGGCAGAGGAACUCACUGCGUUGCGCUCCAUGGUGGAUAGGGACGAUGUGAUACUCGAUAAGAGGUCCAAGUCCACCCCCUUUAAACCAGCGGACGAAGUAGUCAAAUUCCAGGUCCAUCCAACAGACCCCACAAAGACGACCUCCAUCGGGGCACAAUUGAAUCCUGAUGUAGAAGCCGCACUAUGAGAAUUCCUUCGGGAAAACCGGGAAAUUUUCGCCUGGCAUCCUUCAGAUAUGCCAGGAAUCCCACGCAGGCUAGCAGAACAUAGCCUAAACAUCCUAAAAGGAUUCAAGCCAGUCAAACAGGCUCUUCGGCGAUUUUCCGAACCCAAAAGACAGGCAAUGGGAGAGGAGCUAGCCAAACUCUUAGAAGCCGGAUUCAUCAGAGAUAUAAAACAUCGGGAUUGGCUAGCCAACCUAGUAAUGGUACCAAAAAAGGACAAAUCCUGGCGCCUUUGUGUCGAUUUCAAAGACCUUAACAAGGCCUGUCCAAAGGACCCUUUCCCCCUCCCUCGCAUCGACCAAAUCAUCGAUGCUACCGCAGGGCAUGAUUCAUUGUGCUUCCUCGACGCAUACUCCGGAUACCAUCAAAUCAGGAUGGCGGAAAAAGACCAGGCCGCAACGGCAUUUAUUACUCCAUACGGACCAUUCUGCUUCAACACAAUGCCCUUCGGACUCAAAAACACCGUCGCAACAUAUCAGCGCAUGAUUCAGACAUGUCUGGCCACCCAGAUAGGCAAACACGUCGAAACUCUAGUAGACGACUUGAGGGUGACAUUCGACAACCUCCGAGCAUAUGACAUUAAGCUCAACCCGGAAAAAUGUGUUUUCGGCGUACCAGCCGGAAAGUUCUUGGGCUUCAUUGUAUCUGGUAGAGGAAUUGAAGCAAACCCGGCCAAGAUCCGAGCUCUGUCACAAUUGGAUAUCCCAAAAGACCUCAAGCAAAUACAAACACUAACUGGAUGCGUGGCGGCUCUAAGCCGCUUCAUCUCCCAUUUGGGAGAAAAGGCACUGCCCCUCUAUCGCCUCCUCCAGCGCACCGAACAUUUCGAAUGGACGGAUGCUGCCACGGCCGGACUCGAAGAAAUUAAGGCCGUAUUGGCAACAAAUCCGGUCCUGGCUGCGCCCAACCUGGGCGAACCGAUGUUAUUAUAUAUCGAAGCAACACAUCAAGUUGUCAGCGCGGUACUCGUCGUCGAACGAGAAACAGAAGGGCACAAAUUCCCUCUUCAAAAACUAGUGUACUACGUAUCCACUGUCUUAACUCCAUGCAAGUCCCGGUACCCACACUAUCAAAAGAUAGCGUAUGCGGUGUUCAUGGCAUCCCGGAAGCUGCGACACUACUUUCAAGAGUGUUCCAUAACGGUGGCCUCCGAAGUACCUCUCAACGACAUUAUAAACAAUCGCGAUGCGACGGGCAGGAUUGCAAAAUGGGCCAUUGAGCUCUUACCAUUUGAUAUAACCUACAAACCACGACGAGCUAUCAAGUCGCAAGUUCUGGCUGACUUCAUCGCUGAAUGGACCGAAGCCGAACUCCCUAAAGAGUACGGCGCAUACUCCAAUUGGAUCAUGCAUUUCGACGGCUCCAAAAUGUUGGCUGGCUUGGGGGCUGGCGUCGUCUUGACGUCCCCAACCGGAGACACAGUCCAAUACGUGCUUCAAAUAAUGUACAUGGACUCCAACAAUGCAGUCGAAUACGAGGCCCUUCUACAUGGCCUCCGGAUGGCAAUCUCCAUGGGUAUUCAAUGCCUAGAGGUGCGCGGGGAUUCAAACCUCGCAAUAUCCCAAGUAAAUGGAGACUUUGACGCCAACGAUCCGAAAAUGGCAGCCUACCGUAACGCCGUCCUAAAAAUGUCAGCCCGGUUCGAAGGACUCGAAUUCCACCAUGUAGCCCGGGAUAAUAACCAGGCAGCAGACGUGUUGGCACGCAUCGGCGUGAAACGCGACGUCGUCCCUCCAAACAUCUUCCUGGAGCGGCUCUUUAAGCCAUCCGUAUUAUGGGAAGAGGAGUCCGGAAAUAACAAUCCGGAACCAAAUGCAUCACCUAACACAGAACAUUCUGACACAAUCGGUGGCUCAACCAAUGAAAUAACAGAUUUAGCCCAUGAAAUACUGGCAGCAAUUGCCCCAUGGACAGAACCAUUCCCGGCCUACUUAAUCAGGCAGGAACUUCCCGAAGACCAAAAUGAGGCCCGCUGCAUAGUUCGGCGAUCUAAAGCCUACAAGGUCCAUGAGGGAGAACUUUAUAAGAAAAGCACGACCGGAGUCCUUCAAAGGUGUAUCUCCGAAGAGGAAGGGCGAAAUCUCCUGGCUGAAAUUCACGCCGGACUCGGCGGGCACCAUGCCGCCGCCCGGGCCCUUGUAGGCAAGGCCUUCCGUACAGGAUUUUAUUGGCCGACCGCCCGGGCAGAUGCUCAGGACUUAGUCCAACGAUGCGUCGGUUGCCAGCUCUUUGCUAAUCAGAGCCACAUGCCACCCACCACCCUCAAAACUAUACCCAUCACUUGGCCGUUCGCGGUCUGGGGGCUUGACAUGGUUGGGCCCCUUAAAGGGGGAACCCACAAGCACAAAUACUUAUUGGUCAUGGUGGAUAAAUUCACCAAAUGGAUAGAAGCCAAGCCGGUUAAAACGGCAGAAUCCGGACCUGUGAUAGACUUCAUAUCCGGGGUAGUACACCAUUUUGGCAUCCCCCACAGCAUCAUCACUAAUAACGGCACGAAUUUCACGGUCGAUGAGGUGAAACUCUGGUGCAAAAACAUGGGCAUCAAGCUCGACUACGCUUCAGUCUACCACCCUCAAACUAACGGUCAAGUGGAACGAGCAAAUGGUCUAAUCAUGAGCGGCAUCAAACCCAGAUUAGUGCGGUCCCUCAUGGAAUCUAACACACACUGGGUAGAGGAGCUCGACUCCGUACUCUGGGGGCCGCGAACCAUGCCAAACCGCACAACCGGAUUCACACCAUUUUUUAUGGUAUACGACGCUGAGGCAGUUUUGCCUUGCGAUAUAAUUCAUGACUCACCUCGCGUGCGCAUGUACGAGGAAAGAGAAGCCGAGUUGGAUCGGCAGGACAGUUUGGACGCUUUAGAGGAGGAGCACGACGUGGCAAAAUCCCGUUCCGUAUUCUAUCAACAUCAGGCUCGAAGAUAUCAAAGCAGGGAAGUACGGGCCAAAACUUACAAUGUUGGCGAGCUAGCUCUAUGCCUGUCGGACAAGAAAAAGGACAAACUUAAGCCCAAAUGGGAAGGUCCCUUCAUCAUCGACCAAGUCCUUACCGGCGGUGCAUACCGUCUAUGCAACGCAUCUGACAACCGACUCGAGCCAAACCCAUGGAACGCAGCCCGUCUCCGAAGAUUUUAUGCCUAGCGCCGGACUCAGGGUUCGUCUCCUUCCUCCGUCCACCUUUCAUAUUUUUUCGCUGUCUUUGUUUCCCCCCUUUUUUCCUCCCCCUUUCAGUACAAGCCUCUUUAGGGCUGAUCUGCGCUUUGUUCGCACUCACUUGAUGUGCUACUCGCACUCGUUAUACGUGGGGGCUUCUUUAACAGAAGCUUAUUUAUAUGGGCUUCAUGCCCAACACAUGUGUCACACUUCCGCAUGUGCCUUUUGAUCACCAUUAUAUGCAUCGAUAUGAAUUAAGUUUUGGCCAAGCCGGGUUGCCUGGCUCCUGUGCUUACCCCUACAUUCCCGAUUGUUCUGCUAGGAGGUAAAGGGAGCACCUCUGCGAUUGUUACUGCCGGGUCAGCCGGGUGUGUACCUCAGACUGGGUGAAGCCGAAGGCUAGCGUUCUUAAGGGAAUAUUCGGUCGGUGACCUGAAAGAUGAUUUAUUACUUACUUAUUUAUCAGCCCCCAGAUGCUUUUUCUGCUAUUUUCGCAGUCCGGACAUGCACUUUAGGGCAUGCCUCCCAGGGAAAGGAACCCUUAACGGAACUAUUCUCCCUGGAAGAUAUUUCUUACUAACCAUGUAAUAUAACAUAGCUAGUUGGGCACUUGUCUGAUAAAGCAAUUAUGACCCCUAUGCCUUGUCUCCAUGCAUGCCCCGGUUCUUUUAUAACCAUAAGGGUAUUCAGACACACUCCGGACUGUUGGGUCCCGAGGUUGAAGCGAAAAGGUCCGCAAAGGCAAACGAUCUACAAUCCGGCUAGAAGGCAUUUUACAUGUCAUUUUAAAAUUACAUCGUCAAACAGACUGAUUGUACUCCUCUUCAAUCCCAUCUAACAGGCUGUCUAAUUUACAGUCCUGUUGGGAAUAUUUCGCAGCCAAUUCUACUUGGCCAUACAUCAGGCUCACAGGGAUCUCCUUCCCAUCGGGCCGCACAGGUCCGACCUCGGCCAUGUGGUUUGGGUCAGCCUUCGGGUACCGCGUCUUCACCAUGGCCCAGGCCUCCCUUGCGCCCUGACGGCAGGCCGAUAUCUUCCACAGACGGAGAUGCUGCCGUACUCCCUGAAGCUUCUCAGCAAGCCCUCCAAGGCCCUCGGGUAGGGAGACAGAAGGCCAUAGGGCCUGAACGACGCCGCUCAUCGCCUGCCGAACAUGUACGUGCAGUUGCAACAGCUCGGGAAGAGGGUCUCCCGUGGAACAAGGCAUCUCCUCCGCCGAACGACCCGUGAGCACACCUACAGACACAUUUCUGUCAAUCGACUUCCUCGCUGAACUCUUCUUUUCAAAAGAGUUUGCUCAAGCACUUACUAUAAAUGCCACGAUGAAGCCGCCGAUUCUCCUUUACGGAGUUAGACAGCUGGACCCGAAUAUCUUUUAGUUCUUCGCCCAGCUGGGUGUUGGCAUCUUGGAGUUUGUUCCUCUCCUGCUGCACCUUCAUAAGCACCCUCUCGCCGGCCUUCAACUGGCGCAGCAGAUGUUGCUUGUCCGGAUCUAGUCCGGCACCCUCUACAAUAUUAUUGUCAGACUAUACACACACGUCGCACUUCAUAAACUACUUCAUUUCAAAAUAUGAAUUACCAAAGGGGGUCUCCGUGGCUCCCCCGGCAGCGGAUAGUGCGGCCUCAAGUUGGGCCUUGCAUUCUUGAAGCUCCUGGGACAGGUGGGUAUUCUUCUCGGUAAGAUCCUGCAUAACAAAUGAUCCUUAAAUCAGUUAGUUUAACUAUUUUAAGUCUCGGGGGCUACUGGCAUAUAUAACUAUUAAAAUUCCUCACCCAUAUGUCUUUUACAUACUGCUCCGUGGCUCUGGUUAAACCAUCUUGAGCAGCACGGAGGUGCGCGUCUCCCGCAUUAAAGGCAUUCAACGCCUCUGGGGAGAAACACGCGUCACAAAGAACUGUCCGACGGCGCCUGUGAUUCAUGGCGCUCUCCACCUCAGACCUGGUGGUGGACAACCUGUCGGCAUCCUCUGUUGGAGAAGCAUCCGGCUCGCGCCUUGCGCUCGCCUCCCCCUCCGGACCAGGCGUUGGACCUGGCUGGCGGAGGCUUGGUUGGCACCCUCCCCGGACUCAGUCCGGCGAGCGCUCUUUCUCCUGGAAGAAUCAUGAGCAUUAAUAUACCUCCCAGGAGUCUUUCCCUUAAAAGACAAUGGUGCACCAUACCUUUGCGGCGACGUUUCGAUUCGCGCCGCACUCCUCUUCUGCCUGCUAGGCCGCACUGGCCUCGUUUGGUUAGUCGCCGCGGGCUCGGCUUCCCGCCGUAAAGGCACCUCCUGCGAAGCACCAUUGGUACACGGUGGUCAGAAAUAAGCAUUAAAAAAGUAACGGUGUCAGGACUUCAGUCGUACGCACCUGGGAAGCCGGACAUAAACCGGGGUAGUCAGCCGUAAUGGCAACUAAAGCAUUGUCUAUGCUGAGCUGGUGGAACACCCCGUCAAUCAAAUCCACCUUUAUGUCCGGAUCCUCUUCGGAGGCUGGAUCAAGGGAUCUUCCCGGAUCCUCGGGUUGUGGAGUUGGGCUUUCUAUGCCCGCCACAUCCCGGCAUAUUUCCUGCGUCGAAAUCAUAAAGUAAGACACUUAUCUUUGAAAGCACGGAUCAGAUAUAUAAGCGUCCGCUUACCCAGCUCCGAGGGUUAUUCAUGGAGAAUCCAUUCAAUGGAUUCAUGCGGAGGAAGUCCUCCUUCUCCCCCUUGUACAAGCCGGACAGGAUCUUCACCAGAUCGGGGGCCGAUCCCGGCACGGUGCGGCCAUGACGGGUGGCGUCAUUCUGCCCCUUGAAAUCCCACAUGGGGUGGCCCCUAUAUUGGAGCAGCUGCACCCCUCGCAUAAUGCAUGUGGCCAUGACUCCAAUCAUGAUUAAUCUGGAAUGGGCUAGUAACCGUAUCCGUCCCAUCAGAUAGUGGACGCUCCUGUCGUCUUCCCGUUGAGGGCUCCGUGGGCGCCAACUCAGGCGUUUCUUCAGAGGAGUGUUGCUAAACUCCGGGAGGCCGAUCCGAACUGGAUCCGGUAGCGGGGCGUCUUCCAUAUAGAACCACUCCGAAGGCCAGUCUUCGGACGCCUUCUUCGGGGUUCCGGAUAGAUAUCCGGUCCCGGCGAUGCGCCAUAUUUCGGCUCCGCCCACUUGAUAUAUCGACCCCUCGUGAGAACGGGGUACAAGGCAAAACAGCAUCUUCCACAACGCAAAAUGGGGCUCGAUGCCCAAGAACAACUCGCAAAGAGCUACAAAGCCCGCGAUGUGCAAAAUGGAGGCAGGCGUAAGGUGGUGAAGUUGGAGUCCAUAGAACUCCAGGAGCCCCCGGAGAAACGGAUGUAUGGGAAAUCCGAGUCCCCUUAUUAGGUAGGGGACAAAGCAUACCCGCUCUCCUUUGGAGGGAUUGGGGACGCUCUCCGCCUGUUUCCCACCCUUGUAGGUGGCCAGUCCGGCUCGAACCGGAACCAUAAAGGCUGGGGGAAGGUAUCCCUCUGCUUGGAGCGUCACUAACUCGCUAUGCGGGACUGAGCAUCUCCUCCAAUCUCCUGGCUGAGGACUGGGAGCGCGAGAAGAGGAGCCGCGUCGACUAUCCAUGAUGGAAUGGAUUUCUUGUCAGAUGCGCCUUGAUGAGUACUUGCGGAAGGAGGAUGGUGUGAUUUGGAUCUGGAUCCUCGCCUCUCUUAUAGGCAGCUUAUUCGCGCAGCUAGGAGGUAAAACGUAAGAAUACCCUGGCUUUUCGCAUUCGUACAACACGUGGAAGAAGGCCAUUAUUGGACGUGGAAGCCAAGGAGCACAACAUUUAUGAAGCAACCGGACACUAUCCGGCAAACACAUGGAGCGUGAAGGAGAACCCGCCUUGCAAACGCCGAAGACAACAUACGCGCCGGACUCGUCAUCAUUGAAGCCUGGUUCGGGGGCUACUGAGGGAGUCCUGGACUAGGGGGUGUCCGGAUAGCCGAACUAUCAUCAUCGGCCGGACUCCAAGACUAUGAAGAUACAAGAUUGAAUACUUCGUCCCGUGUCCGGAUGGGACUUUCCUUGGCGUGGAAGGCAAGCUUGGCGAUACAGAUAUGUAGAUCUCCUACCAUUGUAACCGACUCUGUGUAACCCUAGCCCUCUCCGGUGUCUAUAUAAACCAGAUGGCUUUAGUCCGUAGAACGAACAACAAUCAUACCAUAGGCUAGCUUCUAGGGUAUAGCCUCCUUGAUCUCGUGGUAGAUCUACUCUUGUAACACACAUCAUCAAUAUUAAUCAAGCAGGAUGUAGGGUUUUACCUCCAUCAAGAGGGCCCGAACCUGGGUAAAACAUCGUGUCCCUUGUCUCCUGUUACCAUCCGCCUAGACGCACAGUUCGGGACCCCCUACCCGAGAUCCGCCGGUUUUGACACCGACAGCAGCAGUCAUGCCCGUGGCUUCGGCCCUGAUCAACUCCAGCCGCUCUUCGUACUCGCGCUCAAGGACGGCGUGAGCCUCCGCCACGCGAUGGUCGAUCUCCUCCUGGAUCCGGGCCUCCCGCGUGCUGACGUCGUCCUCCGCCUGGGCAACCUGGCGCUCCCUCGUCUCCAACCGCUCCAGAUCAAGGUUGCGCUCGGCAGUCUCCAGCGUCAGCGCUUCCUCACGCCUCCGGAGUUCCUGCUCUUCAGCGACCCAUCCCUUCAGCAGUGCGAGGGCGGAUCGGCGCAACUCCACCUGCUACUCCAGGGAGUUGCACCAGUCUUGCAGCUCCCACGCGCGCUGCUCCGCAGCUUCAUGUCGCUUGUCAGCCUCCCGAGCUUCUUCAAGGGCCCGGGAACAGGCCUCCCGAGAGGCUGCCAAGGACACUUCGGCCUUGGCAUUCUCGAGGUCACGCUGGUGACGCGCGAGACCAACAGCCGCCUUCAACUUGCGCCGCUCCUCGACCAGCCUCAAGCCUUCAGCUUCGAGACGCGCGUCUUCAGCCGCCAGCUCUACGCCGAGCUGGCUCACUACAUCGACUGCCCUUCGGAGGAACUCUUGGCGGAGAACUCUGCGCUCCCGCGCACGCCUACAUGUCGUGAACACCUAUUGGCGGCCUGACGGGGCCUCGGGGGCUUCUGCCUCGGGAGCGGCAGGCCGUGUUCCCUCGCCAGCCACCACCUCGCGAGGGGUGCCAUCAGCUCCGGAGGAUGGCGCCUCGGGAGCCCCACGGGACAUCAGCACCUUGUCAUCAGGCCCCUCGGCUCCCGCCAUGUCACAUCCCUAGCUUCUGGUUUGCUCUGAGCUAGCUAGUCAUGUGUUGCAUCAUGUUUAAAUUUUGCCUAAAAUUGAAAUGGGGAUGUUCAAACCCUAGCAUUAAAUCAACUCAACUAGGGUGAAUUAAAAUCUUUUCAAUAAACCCAAAAGGUUCCUAAGAAAAGUUCAUGAUUUCUGGUUAAGGUGGAAACCUCUGCCAAAAAUGAUGAAUAUAUUCUUAGGUCAUUUUUGGAUUUUUGAAUUAAAUCAUAUUGUAUUUGACUUUGGGCAUUUAAAUACUAUAAAUAAUUUAAAUGUUCAAAUAAAUGUUGGAAAUUGUUAAGGGUCACUGAAAUAAUUCAGAAAACACCCAUAAUUGUUUCCAGGAUUUUAUUAAAUGAUUUGGUAUUUUAAAUCAAAUCAAAAACAAAAUAACAGAAAUAGAAAAGAAAUAAAAGAGAGAGAGAGAAGGAAGUUACCUGGCGCCCACUUACCUGGCCCAGCACGGCCCAGCCCAUCUCCACUCCCCCCCCUGUCGUCUUCCUCUGCCAGUAGGCAGAGGCGAGGUGUGGCGCGCGCCCGAGAGGCCUCGGCCACCUCCUGCUUCCCCCUGGCCACCUCCUGCUUCCUCCUCGACGCCGGAGACACCACGCACCUCCCUGCCUCUCUCCCUCACUCUCCCGUGUCCUCAUCCUCUCCCCGGAACACUCUCCCCCUCCUCUGUUCUCCUCACCCGAACGGAGCCGCCGCCACCGACGAGAGCCACCGUGGCUACCGGCCACCCCACGGCUGACCGACGCCCCAGGAAGCUCCGCCGGUCCUCCCUCUUCCUCCUCACCAAGACGGAAGGCGCCGGAAGCCCUGGAUGGGACCAGCUUCGCCGUUCCCCUCCUCGGCCACCGCGGAUCGCCGCCGUCAAAUCCGUCCCCGUCCGGCCUCCCUCAAGCUCGCCGUCCACCUCUACAGGGUCUACGUGAGCUCUCCGUCCGUUUCCCCCUUUCUGUUUCGUCGUGCGCGCGCCGUAGCUAGGUUAUCCACCAAGGCCGAAACCCCAUCGCCACCGGCCAUGGCGCCGCCGUGGCCAGGGCCACCGCAGCCCGCGCCUGAGCACGUCACCGUGCUCGGUGAACCCCCAGGAGCACGUAGCCCUCCUCGUUUUCUCCUCUAGUGCGCCGUAGCUUCGCCACCGUUCGUGCCCGAACUCCGGCCACCGCGGAAGUGCUCGCCGCCGUCGUCUCCGGCCACCCCACGGCCCCUCGUGCAGCCAGCUAGGUGCGGCCGUGUACGGGCUACCUUCUGGUGGCCUUCGCGUGUCCAGCCGCCGCCCGUAGCGCAACCCUGGUGAACAUCCGCCGCGUUUCGUGUCGCCGCCGGCCGAACUCCGGUGGCCAGUGACGUGGCGCUGUCAUUAGCCACUAAUGACGCACUAACCAACCCCCUAGGCCACUGACAGUGGGCCCCACCCCUGGUCAAACCCCAGUCAGCGCUGGGUUUGACCGGGAUUAGCUCCUGUGUCACUGACGUGUGGGCCCCACACGUCAGGUUUGACCUGGGGCGCCCAGUUGACCCUGCUGACGUCACCAUGACGUGGUGCUGACGCCAUAAUUCAUUUCUGGAUUUAUAUUAUUCAGGAAAUUCCAGAAAAUGCCUAAAACUUCUAAAAAUCAUAGAAAUUUAACCGUAACUCCAAAUUAAAUAAUUUAUAUAUGAAAAAUUAUCAGAAAAAUUCAAGGAAUCCAUCUGUACCAUUUUCAUGCAUGUUAGAACAACUUAUAGCUGCUGUUUAGCACAAAUCAAUUAAAUGGUAUUUGAAUAAUCACAUAUGGAGUUUGAAUUUGAAUCUUGUAUUCAAACCAACUUCAUUUAAUCUGUUGCUAGUUGCAUUAGCUCAAAACACAUUCAUAUUGCCAUGUCAUGAGCAUGCAUCAUAUUGUGCAUUGCAUUGAUUGUAUUUCUUCUUUGUUGCCGGUAUCUGUUCCCUCCCGGUAGACGAUGUUCCGAUGUUGUGAUCGUUGACACUGAUGAAGACUCAAUGUUAUCUUCAGAAGUGCCAGGCAAGCAAAACCCCCUUGUUCAUUCCGAUAAAAUCCCACUCUCUCGCUCCUGCUCUCUUUUACUGCAUUAGGACAACAACGACAUAUUUGUUACUUGCUGCGGUAGCUGAACCCCUUUAUCCUUUGCAUGACCUGUCAUUGCCACAGUAAAUAGAUGAAACCCACUAGCAUGAGUAGGAGUUGUUUGAGCCCUGAUGUGCCUACUCAUUCAUGCUUGUUGUCAUGCCUGCUAUUGCUUAGAGUUGAGUCAGGUCUGAUUCAUCGGGGAUGAAUCAGAGGCGUGUGAACAUGUCCUACUGUGUGUGAGAUAAGUGUGUGAACACGAUUUGGUAAAGGUAGCGGUGAGAGGCCAUGUAGGAGUACAUGGUGGGUUGUCUCAUUGCAGCCGUCCUCAGGAACUGAGUUCUGUGUUUGUGAUCCAUGACCAGUUACUACCACACAUUGGGUUCCGGUAACUCGACCCCUCUCGACUUAUUAAUCAACAUGAUCUCUGUCCAGGAGUUGCAACUAGUUUCUGGUGUUUGUAGGUAGUGUUAGUAGUCUACCAAGUGGCACCCGGUACAGGUGGGCUUGGGACAGACUAGGCAUAGUGGCCCGGUGUACCAAGUGGCACCCGGUUGGUGGGCUUGGGAACCCUGCACACAUCGUUUGGGGCCGUAAGCGACACCCCGGCCGGAUCUCCUUGCGGAUGGAACCCGAAUAGGCGAUAAACCUGGACUAGAGACUUGUUCGGUUAGUCAGGUCGUGGCCGACUCCCUCGCCCGGCUUCCGCUUGAAGGUUGCCGAGGUACAUGACGUGUACAGGGCGGUAAGUGGCGAGAGCGUGUGUGAAGAAGUACACCCCUGCAGGGUUAUCAUCAUCUAUUCGAAUAGCCGGAUUCCUCGGAUAUGGAAACUUGGACCCCUUGUACAGUUCAUAGACAAGUGAAAGUGGAUACUCUAAAAUACGCAAGAUAAGCGUGAGUGCUAUGGAUGGCGUUCUCGUAGGGAGACGAGAGCGGAUCCAUAGUGGUGUAUUGAUAUGGUGAAUAUGUGGACUCGUGUGCGCCACCUCAAAAGAGUUACUUGCAGUCGUAGUUCAGGUUAGCCACCGAGUCAAAGCUGGCUUGCUGCAGUUAAACUCCACCACCCCCUUGUUGAUAAUGAUGCAUAUGUAGUUAGUUCUGAUGUAAGUCUUGCUGGGUACAUUUGUACUCACGUUUGCCUAUUUUAUGUUUUUGCAGAGAGACUUCAGUCUCACUAGUAGUUCCGCUUGGACUUCGACGUUUAGCUUGUUACCUCAGCUACGAUCUUGUGCCCUCGGCAGGAUCUGGUAGAUAGUCAGGCUUUCAGCCUUUUUCAUUUAUAGACGUCUGUACUCAGACAUGAUAGCUUCCGCUUGUGCUUGGAUUUGUAUGCUCUGAGUGUUGGGUCAUGAGACCCAUGUUUGUAAUAUCCCGCUCCUCGAAGCCUAUUGAAUAAUUACUUGAGUUGUAGACUCAUGUUGUGAUGCCAUGUUGUAUCUGCACAUAUCGAGCAUAUUGUGUGUAUGUUGUUGAAAUGCUUGGUAUGUGUGGGAUCUGACUAUCUAGUUGUUUAUCCUUAGUAGCCUCUCUUACCGGGAAAUGUCUCCUAGUGUUUCCACUGAGCCAUGGUAGCUUGCUACUGCUCCGGAACACUUAGGCUGGCCGGCAUGUGUCCUUCUUCGUUCCUGUGUCUGUCCCUUCGGGGAAAUGUCACGCGAUGAAUACCGGAGUCCUGUUAGCCCGCUACAGCCCGGUUCACCGGAAUCCUGCUAGCCCAGUGCUACAGCCUGGAUUCACUCGCUGAUGACCGACACGUUCGAUGUUGGGUCAUGGAUGCCUGUCCCUGUAAGUUUGUGCCACUUUGGGUUUACGACUAGCCAUGUCAGCCCGGGCUCCUUACCAUAUGGAUGCUAGCGACACUAUCAUAUACGUGUGCCAAAAGACGCAAACGGUCCCGGGCAAAGGUAAGGCGACACCCGUGGGAAUACCGUGCGUGAGGCCGCAAAGUGAUAUGGGGUGUUACAUGCUAGAUCGAUGUGGCAUUGAGUCGGGGUCCUGACAGCGUUGGUAUCAGAGCUUGACUGCCUGUAGGAUUACCAAGCCAAACUGGUCGAAGUUGAGUCUAGAAAUUCUUUAGUUAUAUAAGGGAAUUGAUUGUGGGUUGGAACGUAAGGCUCUUUUUUACUCCUUAUACCUCAUGCCCUUCUGAUCUGAGUCAUCUUAUCUUUCCUACGGGGAUUAAGAACUAGGCUAUCUCUUCUUUCUAUCAGGAUCACGUGUUACUAAUCCGUAGACUUAUAAGACUGUUGGACUCAAGCCUCGUUUCAGUUCCUAUCACUUCCGUAUGUUGAUUGUUGAUCUCGAAACCUUGAUAUUGUGCUUCUGAGUGGUUAUGCCACCAUUUUUGUGAAUGUCUCAAAUCUUUUCUGAGCAUUUACAGCCGUUAUGCUGUCCAAGUCAUCCCAGGUCUCUAAACAGUCUGAUGCAUUUGCAAAUCCUUUCCUUCCGUCUUCGAUGUCCCUUUUGGUCGGAAUAAGCACACUAAUCGGUAGGUUGAGGUACUUUGUUGCCUCGGCGUAGAUGUUGGAGCUAUUAUUAUGACCCUAGGUGUCUUAGGGGAUCACCUAGUAAUCCAGUCGUGCCUUGUGUUCCCAGUGUGAUGAUUCUGGCUAUCAUUCUCGAAAGCAUCCCGUGAUGCUACUUAGUAGUAGGUAUUCUACUCCUUGGGUUUUGAACCCGAGAUUCACCCUACUUACUUCAUGUUGAUAGUAAUUGCUAGCUCCCUUAGGUUAUUAGUAAUCUUUGCGAUAGUCCUUGGAGUCCGUGGUAUCUUCUUCUUCCAAAUACCAUGAACUACUUAUGGCAGAAGUUCCUCGUUGGACUGAACGAUCACAACCAGAAUGCUCUUGAUGAGUUCUCCAUUAUAUAUUGUGACUCUGCCAGUUCAACCUUUCCGCAUAGGUUAUCCGGAAGAAACAUGUUGAGCUCUGCUCGACAUACUAAUCUAUGCAUCCACAACUCAGAAAACAUAUGUUCCUUUGGGUUGUCCCUCGUUAGUUGUCUUCUGACCCUUGUCUAUCAAUUGAUAGUCAAGAGUAUGUGUGGAACCGUUCAUCGAUGCCUAUUAUUCUUGUGGUCUGUCAAGCCAUUCUAUUCAGGAUGACUAGGAGAAACAAACUCCAGUACCUCAUCCAUAUCUAGGAUUGGGUCAAAACAAUUGUACUCCGCAGAUCAAAAUGCCAAUCCAGCUUUUGCUCUGUUCUACCUUGGAGUAUUACCAUCUUUUAUAUCGGGAUUAUGGUAGGAAUUGCACACCAUCCUAUGAACUCUUGGUACAGUGAUACUUCUUUCCAUCAUUGUUCAUUCCUCGGUUCCUGUGUUAUUGUAACCGGAAUGCCAACAAGUGAAUCGUGGUGUGUGAAAUCAAUACUGCUAGCAACUCUGUUGCUUGGUAGUAAAUGGAUAAUAUUCUCAUUCUUAGCAUGUUGGUUAUUGAAUCACCAUUCUAAGAUAGAUUGUGCUACCUAGUCCUUAUUUCCUGGUGCACUCUUUGAUUGAUGAGUUAGGAUUUUUGGCAAUCCCUCGCCCUUUUUAUCAUAUCGUCUCGCCCUUAAAAGCAAGAUUGUUCUCAGGUUUAGUAACAUACCGAUGGUUCGUGAUUUUCCGAAUAUCUUCUCGAAAGUAUCACUAGGUUGUCACCUGACUGUUAUGUUGAGCUCGUGAUCAAGUUGGUUUAUCCUGUAAACCACCCCUCUCUGCAAGAAUUCGUGUUGGAUACCCCUGAGCUAGUUAGAUAAGCUAAACAACAACUUGGAGAGUUGGAAGAUAAAAGCUUGCCUGACUUAGUUCGUUCCAAAGGGAUAUUCUUGUGUAGUGUGUGUUGAAGAAAGAUUAUAUCUUCAUCGAUUGGUCCCUGUGAUCAAUUGCUGGACCUAUUGUCUUAUCAAUCCUUUGAUUUGAGUGUGGGCUAUCGUCAAAUCAAACCAGUACCAACAAUGUUCGUAAUGUUGUUUUACUCGUGGUUUUUCCUCGAGCAUACACCAUUAUAUUCUUGGGGUCUGACCAAUACUAUCACCUUGAUCACAUAGUUAUGGAAUUCCAUCUCCAUGGGAAUCUGGAUGAAUUGUUGUUGAGCCCAUCGACAACAUCCUUGUCUUCUCCAUAAUUUUGCUGAACAUUAAGCUAGUGUUGGAAACUUUUGAAAGCAUUUGUUCAUGCUAGCUCAUGAAGCAUAUGUUCGGAUGAAAUGAGUGACUUCCUCUUAUACACGAGCAUUUAGUGAUAGUUGCCGCCAUGAAUUUGAGAAAGUUUGUUUUUGCUCCUCUGGAAUCAUCCCAAGUCAGUCAUGCAUGUGCAAACUAUACUAUGGUUUGGUAGAUUAAUUACCUCCACUCCAUAUGUAUUCCUAGCACACCAAGCCACUGAUUGAGUUGUUCAAAGAUAAAGGAGUCUGUCCAAGGUGAACUCCUUGGACUUCCACGCGUGGAGACUUCGAUGUCAUUAAUGAUGGUUCCCCACCUGAACUCGGUAGUGUUUUAUUGUAAGACUACCAUGUGAUAAUGUUUGUCUAGGACAACAUGUUCACAUGUGUGUAGCAGAACCAGCUCGUGUUUUGGAGCUUGCUAUCAUAGUUCAUUUCCCGAGAAUCUCGCAACGUCAUUUCGUCGAUUGGUGUUGCAAACUUUCAUUUUUCUGCCUAGACUCGAUGAGUCUGGAAUAUCCUGACACCAACCAGAUCUGAAUCUCAGGCAGAUAUGAUGGUUGGAACAUUUCCCAAGAACUAUAAUAUUGGUCCCUCGAUAACCGGUAAAGUGGAUGUCGUGGCCAACACACCCAACCGGAAGACCUAUUAUUGUAGUAUCUUGUUUGAGGAAGUUGGCCACCUUCCCAUAAGGAUUUCGCAGGAUUUACCUCCGUAAUUGAUCUUAUGGAUUUUGUGUUCCCGAAGUCUGACCUUUUACUUGAUGUCUAGUUACCAAACCAUUUCAAUGAAUGGGAUAUGCUAGCACAUCAAGGAGAACAUUAGGAGUGGAGUGCUAAAUGUCUCUCGGUCGAUCAUCCAGAUUUUGUUUCCUUGGCCUCGCUAAGGUAAAAUCUGAGAAAGUGUUAUCUUCCUUUGCAUCUGCAUCGUCCAUCGUUGUUCAUCAUGGUGGUAUGUUGUGUUGCCAGGAUCCUUGACACGGAUGUUGGUAAAACCUUGAUGAAUAUGGGAAUGCUCAAGUUCUUGAGAGCACACACAAGCGCUAGGUGUUAUCAUUGGCACUAACUGGGUUUGCUCUCAGCUUCCUCGGUUAUGCUAUGACCUUUUCAAACAGUGAAUUCACUCUCUAUUUGUUGGGUUCUUCCCCAGUUACCAGAAUCAUUCCCAUCAUUUGCAUUUUGUUCCCAGCUUGCACCGCCAAUGUGCCAUUCUACCAUGGGUCUCUUCCAUUCUCGGUGGUAAGCAAAUUCAUCCAUUACGUUGUCUUCAACAAGGUAAUCCACAUCAUCCAAGUCCGAGUAUGCCAUUCUACCGACCCCCUCCAAACGAUCGCUCGAGAAUUGCCUUAGGCUGGUUUAAAGAGUUUCAAUGAUCUCUGAAUCAAAGGUAAUUCUUUUUGCCACUUAAGGGGAUAUAUCUACGAGUCACCAUCCCUAAGAUGCCUCGUUGUGGUAUCAUGGCAACUCCUCGCUACGUUGACAAUCAAUUACCACCUUCUUAGGUGUGGAAUUGUUGUCUACCUAGUGAACCUCCGUCAUCUGCUUCACUCCAGUCCUAUGGAUGUGUGCUUCGUCUCUCAGCUCGAGAGAUGUUGCUAUGUCUGUUAAUCCUGAGUUGUUCGACCUUCGAGAAGAACAAUUCUUUUAGAGUUUUUCCUUUCCUCUCGUUGUCAUGAUUGGUUGGAGUUCUCGGAGCAAGACAUCAAGAUAAUGGUGGUGAUCAAAUCAACACUCUUAUGGAAUGCACCCUGGAUCGUGAAGAUUAUACUAGUCUGCGUUACCCCUUCACCUUACCCUACGCUUGAAUCUCGAGACGAGAUUUUUGUUUAGUGGGGGUGAGUUGUCACAUCCCUAGCUUCUGGUUUGCUCUGAGCUAGCUAGUCAUGUGUUGCAUCAUGUUUAAAUUUUGCCUAAAAUUGAAAUGGGGAUGUUCAAACCCUAGCAUUAAAUCAACUCAACUAGGGUGAAUUAAAAUCUUUUCAAUAAACCCAAAAGGUCCCUAAGAAAAGUUCAUGAUUUCUGGUUAAGGUGGAAACCUCUGCCAAAAAUGAUGAAUAUAUUCUUAGGUCAUUUUUGGAUGUUUGAAUUAAAUCAUAUUGUAUUUGACUUUGGGCAUUUAAAUACUAUAAAUAAUUUAAAUGUUCAAAUAAAUGUUGGAAAUUGUUAAGGGUCACUGAAAUAAUUCAGAAAACACCCAUAAUUGUUUCCAGGAUUUUAUUAAAUGAUUUGGUAUUUUAAAUCAAAUCAAAAACAAAAUAACAGAAAUAGAAAAGCAAUAAAAGAGAGAGAGAGAAGGAAGUUACCUGGCGCCCACUUACCUGGCCCAGCACGGCCCAGCCCAUCUCCACUCCCCCCCUGUCGUCUUCCUCUGCCAGUAGGCAGAGGCGAGGCGUGGCGCGCGCCCGAGAGGCCUCGGCCACCUCCUGCUUCCCCCUGGCCACCUCCUGCUUCCUCCUCGACGCCGGAGACGCCACGCACCUCCCUGCCUCUCUCCCUCACUCUCCUGCAUCCUCAUCCUCUCCCCGGAACACUCUCCCCCUCCUCUGUUCUCCUCACCCGAACGGAGCUGCCGCCACCGACGAGUGCCACCGUGGCUACCGGCCACCCCACGGCUCACCGACGCCCCAGGAAGCUCCGCCGGUCCUCCCUCUUCCUCCUCACCAAGACGGAAGGCGCCGGAAGCCCUGGAUGGGGCCAGCUUCGCCGUUCCCCUCCUCGGCCACCGCGGAUCGCCGCCGUCAAAUCCGUCCUCGUCCGGCCUCCCUCAAGCUCGCCGUCCACCUCUACAGGGUCUACGUGAGCUCUCCGUCCGUUUCCCCCUUUCUGUUUCGUCGUUCGCGCGCCGUAGCUAGGUUAUCCACCAAGGCCGAAACCCCAUCGCCGCCGGCCAUGGUGCCGCCGUGGCCAGGGCCACCGCAGCCCGCGCCUGAGCACGUCACCGUGCUCGGUGAACCCCCAGGAGCACGUAGCCCUCCUCGUUUUCUCCUCUAGUGCGCCGUAGCUUCGCCACCGUUCGCGCCCGAACUCCGGCCACCGCGGAAGUGCUCGCUGCCGUCGUCUCCGGCCACCCCACGGCCCCUCGUGCAGCCAGCUAGGUGCGGCCGUGUACGGGCUACCUUCUGGUGGCCUUCGCGCAUCCAGCCGCCGCCCGUAGCGCAACCCCGGUGAACAUCCACCGCGUUUCGUGUCGCCGCCGGCCGAACUCCGGUGGCCAGUGACGUGGUGCUGUCAUUAGCCACUAAUGACGCACUAACCAACCCCCUAGGCCACUGACAGUGGGCCCCACCCCUGGUCAAACCCCAGUCAGCGCUGGGUUUGACCGGGAUUAGCUCCUGUGUCACUGACGUGUGGCCCCCACACGUCAGGUUUGACCUGGGGCGCCUAGUUGACCCUGCUAACGUCACCAUGACGUGGUGCUGACGCCAUAAUUUAUUUCUGGAUUUAUAUUAUUCAGGAAAUUCCAGAAAAUGCCUAAAACUUCUAAAAAUCAUAGAAAUUUAACCGUAACUCCAAAUUAAAUAAUUUAUAUAUGAAAAAUUAUCAGAAAAAUUCAAGGAAUCCAUCUAUACCAUUUUCAUGCAUGUUAGAACAACUUAUAGCUGCUGUUUAGCACAAAUCAAUUAAAUGAUAUUUGAAUAAUCACAUAUGGAGUUUGAAUUUGAAUCUUGUAUUCAAACCAACUUCAUUUAAUCUGUUGCUAGUUGCAUUAGCUCAAAACACAUUCAUAUUGCCAUGUCAUGAGCAUGCAUCAUAUUGUGCAUUGCAUUGAUUGUAUUUCUUCUUUGUUGUCGGUAUCUGUUCCCUCCCGGUAGACGAUGUUCCGACGUUGUGAUCGUUGACCCUGAUGAUGACUCAAUGUUAUCUUCAGAAGUGCCAGGCAAGCAAAACCCCCUUGUUCAUUCCGAUAAAAUCCCACUCUCUCGCUCCUGCUCUCUUUUACUGCAUUAGGACAACAAUGACAUAUUUGUUAUUUGCUGCGGUAGCUGAACCCCUUUAUCGUUUGCAUGACCUGUCAUUGCCACAGUAAAUAGAUGAAACCCACUAGCAUGAGUAGGAGUUGUUUGAGCCCUGAUGUGCCUACUCAUUCAUGCUUGUUGUCAUGCCUGCUAUUGCUUAGAGUUGAGUCAGGUCUGAUUCAUCGGGGAUGAAUCAGAGGCGUGUGAACAUGUCCUACUAUGUGUGAGAUAAGUGUGUGAACACGAUUUGGUAAAGGUAGCAGUAAGAGGCCAUGUAGGAGUACAUGGUGGGUUGUCUCAUUGCAGCCGUCCUCAGGAACUGAGUUCUGUGUUUGUGAUCCAUGACCAGUUACUACCACACAUUGGGUUCCGGUAACUCGACCCCUCUCGACUUAUUAAUCAACAUGAUCUCUGUCCAGGAGUUGCAACUAGUUUCUGGUGUUUGUAGGUAGUGUUAGUAGUCUACCAAGUGGCACCCGGUACAGGUGGGCUUGGGACAGACUAGGCACAGUGGCCCGGUGUACCAAGUGGCACCCGGUUGGUGGGCUUGGGAACCCUGCACACAUCGUUUGGGGCCGUAAGCGACACCCCGGCCGGAUCUCCUUGCGGAUGGAACCCGAAUAGGCGAUAAACCUAGACUAGAGACUUGUUCGGUUAGUCAGGUCGUGGACGACUCCCUCGCCCGGCUUCCGCUUGAAGGUUGCCGAGGUACAUGACGUGUACAGGGCGGUAAGUGGCGAGAGCGUGUGUGAAGAAGUACACCCCUGCAGGGUUAUCAUCAUCUAUUCGAAUAGCCGGAUUCCUCGGAUAUGGAAACUUGGACCCCUUGUACAGUUCAUAGACAAGUGAAAGUGGAUACUCUAAAAUACGCAAGAUAAGCGUGAGUGCUAUGGAUGGCGUUCUCGUAGGGAGACGAGAGCGGAUCCAUAGUGGUGUAUUGAUAUGGUGAAUAUGUGGACUCGUGUGCGCCACCUCAAAAGAGUUACUUGCAGUCGUAGUUCAGGUUAGCCACCGAGUCAAAGCUGGCUUGCUGCAGUUAAACUCCACCACCCCCUUGUUGAUAAUGAUGCAUAUGUAGUUAGUUCUGAUGUAAGUCUUGCUGGGUACAUUUGUACUCACGUUUGCCUAUUUUAUGUUUUUGCAGAGAGACUUCAGUCUCACUAGUAGUUCCGCUUGGACUUCAACGUUUAGCUUGUUACCUCAGCUACGAUCUUGUGCCCUCGGCAGGAUCUGGUAGAUAGUCAGGCUUUCAGCCUUUUUCAUUUAUAGACGUCUGUACUCAGACAUGAUAGCUUCCGCUUGUGCUUGGAUUUGUAUGCUCUGAGUGUUGGGUCAUGAGACCCAUGUUUGUAAUAUCCCGCUCCUCGGAGCCUAUUGAAUAAUUACUUGAGUUGUAGAGUCAUGUUAUGAUGCCAUGUUGUAUCUGCACAUAUCGAGCAUAUUGUGUGUAUGUUGUUGAAAUGCUUGGUAUGUGUGGGAUCUGACUAUCUAGUUGUUUAUCCUUAGUAGCCUCUCUUACCGGGAAAUGUCUCCUAGUGUUUCCACUGAGCCAUGGUAGCUUGCUACUGCUCCGGAACACUUAGGCUGGCCGGCAUGUGUCCUUCUUCGUUCCUGUGUCUGUCCCUUCGGGGAAAUGUCACGCGAUGAAUACCGGAGUCCUGUUAGCCCGCUACAGCCCGGUUCACCGGAGUCCUGCUAGCCCAGUGCUACAGCCUGGAUUCACUCGCUGAUGACCGACACGUUCGAUGUUGGGUCAUGGAUGCCUGUCCCUGUAAGUUUGUGCCACUUUGGGUUUACGACUAGCCAUGUCAGCCCGGGCUCCUUACCAUAUGGAUGCUAGCGACACUAUCAUAUACGUGUGCCAAAAGACGCAAACGGUCCCGGGCAAAGGUAAGGCGACACCCGUGGGAAUACCGUGCGUGAGGCCGCAAAGUGAUAUGGGGUGUUACAUGCUAGAUCGAUGUGGCAUUGAGUCGGGGUCCUGACACGCCAAUCCUUGCCUCCCUGCAACGAUUCCUGAGGCGAGGUCGGCGCGGGCAGCCAGGGGAAGGACCACGGCAACCGGAUUCUCGUGAGGCCCCACAAGGUUGGCUGGGCGCAGCCCCCAUUCGUCGAAACGGGGCAUCUGCCUUGCAAAGUCGACCCUGUUUUUGCAAAGAUAUAACAGGGCGCCCCCAUGGCCAGCGCUGCCAGGAAAGGGGUCGCCCGUCAGGACCAGCAGCACGUUCUUCAACAUCUCCGGUGCGAGAUUCCCUUCCUGGAGCCUCAUACGGUCCUAGCAACCGGUAUAAGUCCACAUUGGGCGGGAAUAGCGCUGGAGAGGAGCGAUGCGGCGCCGGAGGAACUCCUUCACCACCUUGGGCGCCGUCACCCCGAGGUCCCUCAACCUCUUGAAGCGAUGCCAGGUGAAGGCAAGUUGGGGGUUCGUGAGUUCUUCGUGAUCCCAACCAGGAUUGGGAAUAGCAGGCAGCGUCGGGUGCGUGAGCAGGGGGCUGGGCACCCCAACGUCCACGUACAACCACCGCUCCCAGAACCUGCUCACAGAAGGUGGGAGGCUAAAAUCGAUCCCUGAGGCGGCCAUCUCCGGCAUGGCCUGGAAGCUCACGCACCCCAAACACCGGGAAGGAUCGGUCAAGCGCAGCGAGAAGAAGUGGCGCAGAAGGGCAACGGAAGGAGGAAUCGCCACCAUUGCCUCCCAAACGAAGGCGAAGACAACAAGUAGAACAAUGGAUUGGGGGCCAAGAUGCAUCAUGUGGAUCUGAUAAUGGGAAAGCACCACAUUGAAGAAGGCGGAAAAGGGGGGAACCAGGCCUGCCCACAGGGCGUCGGCGAAGAAUCGAACCUCCGUGACGACCCUAUCGAAGGAGGCGUGGGACGCAGGCCAGACCGUCAUCUUCCCACACUCAUUGAAGCUGGAGGCAAGCGCGGAGCAAACCUUCUCCAGGGCCUCCAGGUUGAGUAUGAGCGAUUUGUCAAUGGCGGGAGCAACCACCGGGGGCAUGCUGGUUGAGGGCGCGGGUUUCUUCCCCUCAUCCUUUUUCGUCGGUGCCAUGGCAAUGGGACGGGGGAAGAGCUCGAGGUGGAUUGGGGGCGGAAGCAGAGGCUCGAGGAGGAAAGAGGAGCAAGAAGUGUGCAGGUUGCGAAGGGAGGAUAACUGUGUGCAAAUCUCAUGGCCGCCUAGCCAGGCGCAUAAUGAGGGAGCAUGGGGAAGCGGAGACGCCCACAUCCAAUCAACCGCCACACGGCGCCCAAGGCCGCAGGCUGAUGGGUCCCACGGUGCUCCGCACUUGCCCCUUCGCUUCUCCGCUAAGCCAAGUCCGAGCGCGCCUUGGGCCCGGGGGCUACUGUCGGCAUUCUGGGAAUGGGGGUCCCCGGACAUGCCUGCCUGCGGCCUAUGGCGUGGCUCAAGUGGUGGCCCAGCACGGCCCGUCUUCAUCAGCACAAGACUCAAGACCCUCGCGAGGGGCCAAGCCUCGCGGGGCGGACGAUGCAAGGCUUCCUCAGGGACGACCUCGCUAGGCAGGCUCACGAGGAGGCGGAGAGAUCAAGGCAGGGUACCUCGCGAGGUGCUCGUGACGCAAGCUGUGACGAUCGAGACUAGGCGGGCGCCAGACGGGCGUCGGCCUGUGCAGUGUCCUUGUUUCCUCUUUGGUGCAAAGGGGGCAAGCACAAACGUGGAGUACCGAGGCAUCAGGAAAAGGUUGCCAUUUCAGUGCAACGAGACCAAAACUAGCGGAGCGGCAGGAUGGAGGUCACCGUGGAGCCCAAGACAGCGUCAUCGCCAGUGCUUUUGGCAGCCAAAGACCAACUUUAGUCAGGAUACCUUGUACUAGAUGUUCCCCUUCAAAAUGGCCGUUGUUGGCGCCCUUCCCGCUUAAUAUUUGGGGAAGAGGCCCAGGGCCUCUAUAAAUAGAGCUAGCCACCACAGAGUAGGGGGGGAUCCAGAUUUUGGGAAGACUAGAGAGAGAGAGGCGAUCAAACUCACCCAGGCAGUUCAUUGCACCAGCUCAAGAACACCUCUCGCGAGGCCGUUCUUCCCCUGUACUGUUCAUCAUCAGCCCCUGAGGCAAUCCACCACACCACACGCUGGAGUAGGGUAUUACACCACAAUGAUGGCCCGAACCAGUAUAAAUCUCGUGUCCCUUGUGUUGUUCAUCGUUUUCAGCUUAGAUCUCACGAGGCGAUCAGACGUAGAUCGGUAGGGGAGAGAUCUUCGUGCGCACCCCAGUGUUCGAACCUUAAGGGUCUGCCGGAACCCAACAUCCGACAGGAUCCUUAGGGCAGGCCUUGUUGAGGUCUUUGAAAUUGACGCAUAGGCGCCAGGAUUUGUCCUUCUUUUUUACCAUCACAAGGUUUGCUAGCCAGUCCGGGUGUUUUAUCUCUCUGAUGAAUUCGGCCUCGAGUAACUUGGCUAGCUCCUCCCCCAUGGCUUGUUGUUUGGGUUUGGAAAAGCGCCGCAAUGUUUGCUUGACCGACUUAUAUCCCUUCAGUAUGUUUAGGCUAUGUUCGGCCAGUCUGCAUGGGAUCCCUGGCAUGUCAGAAGGGUGCCAGGCGAAUAUGUCCUAGUUUUCGCGUAGGAACGCCCACAGUGCAGCAUCCACCAUGGGGUCCAGCUGUGCCCCGAUUGAUGCUGUCUUCGUGGAGUCCGUUGGGUGGACUUGGAAUUUGACUAUUUUGUCUGCUGGUUUAAAGGAGGUGGAUUCGGGUUGCUUAUCGAGGAUCACGUCGUCCCUAUCCACCGUUGAGCGCAACGCGGUUAACUCUUGGGCCGCGAGGGCUUCAGAUAGCGCCUCGAGGGCCAAGGCUGCUGUUUUGUUUUCGGCGCGGAGUGCCAUGUCCGGAUCGCUGGCAAGGGUGAUGAUACCAUUGGGCCCGGGCAUCUUGAGCUUCAUGUACCCGUAAUGGGGUAUGGCUUGGAAGCUUGCAAAUGCAUCUCUCCCUAAUAGGGCAUGAUAUCCACUGUUGAAAGGGGCCACUUGAAAGGUUAUCUCUUUGGACCAAUAAUUCUUCGGCGUGCCGAAUACCACAUCGAGUGUGAUUUUUCCCGCACAUCGCGCCUCCGGACAGUGAAUAAUUCCUCGGAAGGUCGUGCUACUUUGCUCAAUGCGGCUCCUGUCUAUUUCCAUUUUGUGGAGAGUUUCCUUGUAAAUGAGGUUUAGUCCGCUUCCACCGUCCAUGAGCACUUUGGUAAGCCGAAAGCCCUCCACGAUCGGACUGAGGACCAAUGUGGCUGGUGCCCGGACUGUUCUGAAUUUUGGUUUGUCACUGGCAUUGAAAGUUAUGGCUGUGUUGUUCCAGGGGUUUAUUUCUGCGACUUGGCAGACUUCAACAAGGUUGCAGAGUGCCUUUUUGCGCAUAUUGAUUGAGGCGAAAGUCUCUAAGACUGUUAAUACUGUAGGGUUGUUGUUUUCCGUGGGAUGUUGCUCUGCGGUAUUUUUGCUGAGGAGAUCCUCGCCACUCUUGGCCACUUGCCGGAGUAUCCAACAUGCUCUAAGGCUGUGGGUUGGUACGUUAUCCGGUGUUUUGUGUAUUUUGCAUGGCCUAUUAAGCCAUCCUUCCAGAACGGUUCCGCGCCCCGUAAUGGGCUUUGAUUUUUUGGGUAUUGGAUUAGGCGACCUACGAGGGUGCAUCCUUUUAUCCGGACGAGGGGUUGAGUGGAAACUGGUGGCUCCCAAGAAGCUGCCUGAGAUUUCCAGGUGCUUUCCAUUGCGCAGUACUUCUAUACUAUGGUUGCCAAGUCUGCGAAGUGUGAUAUGUGAUGGUGGUUGAUGGCAUUGAGGAUUCUCUCGUCCGUGCAAUUUUUGCAGAAUAAUGAGACUGCGUCUUCAUCGCGACAGUCUUUGAUCCUGUCUUUGACAAGGAGGAAUCUAGCCCAAAAGUGAUGGACUGUUUCUUGAGACUGUUGUUUGAUGUGGAUAAGAUCGCGUGUAUCUUGGUGGGUGGGUGGAUUUAAGUCCGAACCCUGACCCAAUCUGGGAUCCGUAGUUUGAGAAGCUUCUGAGCUUAACAAUUCGGGCUCCGGGAUAUCAACCAAUUUUUCAGGCUCACAGUCCGACUCUAGGUUCGAAGUAUGGGGCACGUCUUCCCGCGGGCGGGUAUCUGGCUCUGUGAGACCGGAAAUCCGAACAUAGUUCGUCCUCAAUAUAGAGGAAGAGUUGUUGUAUUGCUCCUCCACUACCGCUAUCUGAUGGGUGAUUGGUGGAGAUUCAAUCUCUCUGAUCAGGUUUAAGCCCAAUCCGAUCGUAGUCCGUAGCGACUCCCACGGUGGCGAUGCGAUCUAGGAGUUUGUUUAAAGAUGACAACUCCGUUGGAUCCAUCUGCUUGGAGUAUUCUCGGUUGAUGCGGAGUCAAUCUUUGAUGACCCGAGAAGUCAUUGUCGGCACGACGGCCGUACGGGCGGUCUAAGUGAAGCCAUCCAGCCGGAGGGUUUGGCCUGAGGCCAGGGCUGCCCGGAGGUGAUGUUGUCCUUGACGACAAGGCGAGCCAUCAACCCUUUUUUCGGUGUCACAACGGAACUCUCAAUGAAAGCACCAAUGUCAGUGUCAAAAUCGGCGGAUCUCGAGUAGGGGAUCCCGAACUGUGCGUCUAAGGUCGAUGGUAACAGGAGACGGGGGACACGAUGUUUACCCAGGUUCGGGCCCUCUCUAUGGAGGUAAUACCCUACUUCCUGGUUGAUUGAUCUUGACAAUAUGAGUAUUACAAGAGUUGAUCUACCACGAGAUCGUAAUGGCUAAACCCUAGAAGUCUAGCCUAUGGGAUUAUGAUCGUUGUUGUCUCUAAGGACCAAACCCUCUAGUUUAUAUAGACUCCAGAGGGAGCCAGGGUUACACAAAGUCGGUUACAGAGGAAGGAAUCUACAUAUCCAAAUCGCCAAGCUUGCCUUCCACGCCAAGGAGAGUCCCAUCCGGACACGGGAAUAAGUCUUCAUCUUGAACCUUCAUAGCCCAACUGACCGGCCCAUGUAUAUAGUCCGGCUGUCCGAGGACCCCUUAAUCCAAGACUCCCUCAACAGGCACCAGAAGCCCCCGAGGCUUCAAUUCCAAAUCAUGAAGACCUUGCCGAUGAUCCACCGCCACAAAUUGAUGCUACGGUUCUUGAGCCAAUGAACACUGGGAUUGACCCGACUGUUUGCCCAGACCCACCAAGGCUCAAGUCGCUAAUUCCUCCGAGGCUAACUGAAGAGAUCCCUUUCGAGAAGACCACUAAAGAUGUCAUCAUCACUGGCACAGGGUAUACAGAUCCAGGAAAUCCUACUAUCUUGGCUAAACAUAGUGCCAAAGAAGACCUGCCAGCCAUAUACAAGGACAAGCUAAAACUAGACCUGCAAAACUAUGCAGAUUUUAGCACAGGCGAAUUGCACGCAGGCUACCUAAACCGCCUGCACACAAGCCAUGACAUGGAAGCUGGCCUGGUUAAUCUGAUGAAGCAGAAAUACGAGGUACAAAUUCAACCUCAUUCCACUAGUUCAUAUAUGCAUAGCCAUGUAGCCCCAAGGGCCGGCUGUCGGUGUCAAAACCAGCGGAUCUCGGGUAGGGGGUCCCGAUCUGUGCGUCUAAGGCUAAUGGUAACAGGAGGCAAGGGACACAGUGUUUACCCAGGUUCGGGCCCUCUCGAUGGAGGUAAAACCCUACUUCCUGCUUGAUUGAUAUUGAUGAUAUGAGUGUUACAAGAGUUGAUCUACCACGAGAUCGUAGAGGCUAAACCCUAGAAGCUAGCCUAUGAUAAUUAUGCAUGUUGUGAUCGUCCUCAUACGGACUGAACCCUCCGGUUUAUAUAAACACCGGAGGGGGCUAGGGUUUACAUGAAGUCGGUUACAAGGAUGGAAAUAUAAUUUCCGAAUCGCCAAGCUUUUCUUCCACGCAAAGGAGAGUCCCAUCCGGACACGGGACGAAGUCUUGAGUCUUGUAUCUUCAUAGUCCAACAGUCCGGCCAAAGUAUAUAGUCCGGCUGUCCGGAUACCCCCUAAUCCAGGACUCCCUCAGUAGCCCCUAAACCAGGCUUCAAUGAUGAUGAGUCUGGCGCGCAGUUUGUCUUCGGCAUUGCAAGGCGGGUUCCAUCUCCGAAUACUCCAAAGUAAUUAUCGAACACCUGAAUCAUGUCUGGAUCUGCAAGACGAUCUUCGCAUACCAUCGUAGAGAGAAUAAUAUCUCACAAGUGUAAUCUGCUGACAACUUUAGACAACGUGACACGACACUAUGGUCAGGUCAUUAUUCAAACCGUUUCCCCACAACCAGCCACAUCGCACAUUGCGAGGCGGUUCUUUGGCACGUCUUGUCAAAGCAGAGGUCAUGUCCCCUUAUCACUGGAUUCCCAUCAAUACGGGUAUGGGUAACCCAACCGCGCCAUCUAUCGUGGCGCUUGAGAAAUAAGCGACCCUCAACGGGCAAGUGGGGAGGCGCACCACUUUCUUUGCCUCUAUGAAGGGACAAGGGUUCCCCAUUCUCACCGACGCCUUCUUCCUCCUUCGCUAAUCCAUUCUUGCCUCCUCGCGCUCCAGCGCCCUAGUCCACGCCUUCUCCGCAUAGCCAAACAUGUGCGGAGUAGGAGGCAAGUGGGUGGCCUCCACCGUGAAGGAGGAGCAUAUUGCGAAGCUUUGGGCGGCCGGAUACUUGGCCGCAGACAUCGCGCACCGGCUACCAGAUGCAGGGCAGAUCAUUCCAACUCUAGAACCCCACGAGAGGGUCGUGUUUCUCGCCCACUUCGUCCGUGGACUAGGAUUUCCACUUCAUCCCUUCGUCCGCGGGCUCAUGUUCUACUACGGGCUAGAUUUCCAAGAUCUAGCCCCAAAUUUCGUCCUCAACAUCUCGGCGUUCAUCGUCGUGUGCGAGGCAUUCCUCCGCAUCAAGGUCACUUCGGCUUGUGGCUAUGAACCUUCUGCGUGAAGCCGAAGAUCGUGAGCGGCCAGCAAGUGGAGUGCAGAGGCGCCAUGGUGGGCAAGAUGCCUAACGUCACCUGGCUUGAUGGCUCCUUCGCGGAGACCAUGAAAGGGUGGCAACUGGGGUGGUUCUACAUCACCGAACCACGCGGUGCCAACUGGGCGGCGGCCCCCGAAUUCCGAUCCGGAAUCCCCAUGCGGCUCACCUCCUGGGAGAAGAAGGGCCUGGCCUGGGGCAAGCCUGUGGAGCUGACCGGACUUCAAAACUGUAUCAAAAAUAUGAUUGACAAGAACAUCAAGCUUGUCAGCAUAGUCCAGUUCAUGCUCGUCCGCCAAAUUCUUCCGUGCCAAAGACAUGCUUUUAAUCUGUCGGAGUUCGUCCCGGCCGAACACCGGGCACUCCUAGAGCUCUACGGCAUGACCCUUAAGGAUGCAUGGAAGGUGCUGUUUAAGGGUACCGAAACACCUCCUCCCACGUCCGAGGACCGCGGACUCCACCCCGAGCGGUCCCCCCGUCCGGUGAGUUUUCUAACCAUCACCAGGGGUAGCUUUCCCAGCAUACUCAUGGGAAGAUGCUAAGUUAUUGCAUGUACUUAAUCAAGAGUACAUGGAGAUGGCGAAGCGGAUCGACUGUCCGGCUCCACUGCCAGAAGGUCCGGAGACAGCUCUCCUGACGGAGAUGCUAGUCCCGGCGCCAUACAAGGCGCCGAAAAAGAGGGCCGAGAAGAAGGCCCCAGGGACCAGGAAGGGUCUCCGGCGCAAGGCUGUACAGGACGCCUCGUCCGAAGACGACGACGCACAUUCCUCCCAUGAAGGGGAGGAGGAGAAGGAGAAAGAGAGGGCUGCCCCAUCUGGAGAGGCUGAAGGGUCUAAGAGGGCGGCCCAGGGGACCAGGAAGGGUCCCCGGCGCAAGGCCGUCAUAGGCUCGUCAUGCAAGGACGACGAGGCGGAUUCUUCCCGCGGAGGCGGGGAGGAUCACGAAGAAAUGCCACCUCCACGCACAGGGGAGGAGAAGAAAAGGAAGGCCGCCCCGGACGGGGAGGCUAGGACGCCCAAGAAGGGAAAGGCGUCCCUUCCGGAUUACUCCACCACGGCCGCCUACAACGAGGAGUGGCUGCCCAGGGGGAAGCCCCCAGUAAGAUUGUAAGUAUUCGUGCUUCCGUUGUAUUUUAGUGCGACUUUGCUUUAUAGUCUAUUAUAACGCUGAACACGCAUAUGCAGUCCGCCCAGGGCCCAUCCCGAGGUAUCUUCUUCGGACGGGUCUUUGAGCGAUUCGGCGAUGAAUUCGCUCCCAACGACCACUUCCCCUCGGCCUGCGGACAACAUAAAGGUGUUGUCCCAAAGGCUCCCUGAGCCAGGGGAGGCGAUUCCGGAGAUGCCUCAAGGCGAAACCCCAGAUGCCAGUCUCACAGGGCGCAAGAUCCCCGCAGACCAUGACGACGGGAGCCGCAGCAAGUCAAGCUCCCAGCCGAACACUAUACCGGAGCCUCCAAAGGCUCUGGAUUCAGGCAGGCAGCCCCUCGCUAAGGAGGGCGAGCCAUCCGUGCCGAUGACUUCCGCUAUAUGCCAGAGGCGUCGGAUAGUCUGCUGGAAGCACUUCGCGGCGCUUCCAUGGACGAAGAGCACUGCACUCUUAUGAGUGUGGUGAUUCAUAAGGUUCUGUCCACCAAGAGCGGACUAACCAAAGCCUGCACCGGCCUCCUAACAGGCUUUGAGGUAAGUAAAAAGUGUGUGAAGUUAUCACCCGAUAGGUAGUAGCUCCUGAUACUCUGUUUGGUGUUCGGAACGAAAAGCCAAACAGAGGGUCAAUUAUAAUCCGCAUGAGUUUAAUAUUAGGUGUUCAUGUGAAUAAACAGGCGGCGCUGGUUGCCGCUUUUGCCCGCACCGCGGAAGUCUCCAGACUCAAGCGGGACUUGGAGCAGGCCCAUGGGGAGCUCGGCCUCACGAAGAGGCAGCUCAAAGAGAACAAAGGUGAGUAAUACCCCGUUCAAAUAUCACAAAGGACAGAAAAAAUUGGUGACGCUAAGAAAGUGUCAUGAUUUGGUAGGGGCCACAACCGAAGUGGCGUCCUUGAAGAAGGCACUGUCCGAGGCCGAAGACAAGGCAGCCUUGGAGAGUAUUGAGCGUGAAAAGCAGAAUGCUAGGGUGGGCGAGGUACAGCAAGAGCUCCAGGAGCUUGGCAAGAAGUUUGAGUCCUUGGAGCGUGACUACAAGACGAAGGAGUCUGAGCUUGCGAAGGCCCUUGUGAGCAUGAAAGGCGCCAAGGCCGAAGCAAAAAAGGCCCAGAAGGAAAUCCAGGCGGCCAAGAAGAUAGCGGCGGGUAAGACAUUCUCAAUGCAAAGCAAGCAUGUGGAGGAGGCAUUUCUUUUACUAACCCGAAUUCGGGGCUCUCCAGGGGCAUUCGUAGAUCUGCCACACAGCGUAUCUGAUGCUGCGGAGUUCUACCGCGCCGAGGAGGGGAGCUCCACGGAGAAGCUGUUCUGGUCCCAGUAUGCUGGAGCCGAAUAGUCGAUGCCUCUGAGUGACCAACUGAAGCAGUUGGUUGAAAUCCACAGGGCGGCUGAAGUGGCUAUGAAAGAUUUCAUAGUCCGGCUGUGGCCUGGUGAGCCCUUGCCCGCCAGCUACUUUGGCCUGAUAAAGCAGAUGGUGAAUGCCUGUCCGCGGCUGGAAGUCAUCAAGCGGUCCGUUUGCAUUGAGGGUGCCCGCCGAGCCUUUGCUCGUGCGAAGGUGCGUUGGGGCAAGCUGGACGCGGAGAAGCUGGUGAAGGAUGGAUCGCCAGAGGGCAAGGCGCAUCGGUAUCCGAAAAAAUAUUAUGAUGGUGUUAUGAAAGGCGCUCGUCUCGUGGCCGAUGAAUGUACCAAGGACACGAUCUUGGAGUGAAUUCACUUCUGUCAUUUUUGUAAUAUAAAGACGAAGUUACUUGCGCUAUAUAGCGCUGUUUGAUUUAAAAUAUUACCUUAUGUGCGGCUGUUUAUAAAAUUUUGUAAGUAGGCCAGUCGUCGGCUUCCGCCCCCACGUAACUAGUACUGGGGUGUUCGUGGAAAACCCAUACACUCUUUAUCCAAAUAUUUGGUCCCUAAAGGAGGUGUCUAGCGCAGCGAACAACGCAAUCAGACUAUGCGGCUUUAUAACUUUCACUUAGCCAUAGAAGUCUACAAUUUUAAAUUUCGGCGAAGCCCCUAGAAUUCGGAAGGCUGAAUUGGGGCGCUAUAUACGCCUAAAUCGGACGAGGCCGAUUCCUGGCCUUAAGCGGAAAAAUCUUUAAGGAUUUUGAGACCUCUCGAACAGCGACCGCCUCUUGCCACAUCAUGCCGGUCAGUUUUCGGCUUUCUCUACUGAGGUGCUCGUCCGGAAGAACCGGGACACAAUCGCAGUAGUUCUCCCUGCGCUACCUUAGCCGAUAUAACGGAAUGUAAGGUACCAAAACAAGGGAGCCGGGCUAACCCAACUAUUGACCCAAGACAUGAUUCAGAGCUGAUGCAUAUAGUGCUAUAAGUUCGGGGUGCCGCACUAUUGAAAGUGUUCGGACUUGUCUUGCCAUAUUAUGGGGUGCCAUAAGAAGCCCCUGGCAAACUAAAUGUACCAAAGUGUACGGAUGCAAUAGUAAAUAAACAUUUAUAGAAAAAAUGUGCAGAUAGGAAUAAUAAGUUGACGCUGUAUAUAAUAUCCCAUUGAUGUAUAAUAGGUUUAAGCGUAGGUUUACAAUGAAUGCAUUAAGCAGAGAUAAAUAGGACUAUUUGACAUGUCCUAUCCAAGGGCAGGCCGCAUACAGGUAUAUAAAACAGGUAUUGACGAUCCUGAAUAGAUUCCACCUGGGUAUUCCCUUUGUGCGUGACACCUUUUGCCUCCUUGGAUUUCUCUCCUGUGAAGGUCCGAUAAUCCGGCUCUUCUGGAGAGGCUGCCCGAAAGCGGGUUCCUGAAAGAUAAAGGGGGUUAUUAAAGUGUGUUGCAGCUGACCCACACUGUUGACUGUGCCACUAUUGCGCCUCCGCCUAUGUCCAUGGUAUUUUGAGUGCGUAAUUGUGUACGCGCGCCACGAAUGCUGCCUUAAUGGGGCUGGAGCGGAGGCCGGACUGCUAGUCGCGCUCUUGGCAUGCUUGGCGAUCCUGUUGCGGGGUACUUUGGACUCGCUUGACGGUGUUCAGAGUUGUUGUCGCUGGAUUGGUGGUUUGCCGGGGGAAGCUGCUUUGUACUUCUGCCGCGAGGGCUACAGUGUGCUCUUCUGUAUGGGGAGAGCGGUCCAUGUUUCCGUUGACUGUUAUGACCCUGCGAGGUCCUGGCAUCUUGAGCUUAAGGUAUGCAUAGUGUGGCACCACAUUGAAUCGAGCGAAUGCGGUUCGUCCGAGCAGUGCGUGAUAACCACUGCGGAAAGGGACGAUGUCAAAGAUUAACUCCUCGCUUUGGAAGUUAUCCGGAGAUCCGAAGACCACCCUCCAGUGUUAUAGAGCCCGUGCAGCGGGCCUCUACCCCUGGAAUUACACCUUUAAAGGUAGUUUUGGUGGGCUUGAUCCUUGUAGGGUCGAUGCCCAUUUUGCACACUAUGUCCUGAUAAAGCAGGUUCAGGUUGCUACCUCCGUCCAUAAGGACUCGUGUGAGGUAAAAUCCAUCAAUGAUUGGGUCAAGAACCAGUGCGGCCGAACCGCCAUGAUGGAUGCUGGUAGGGUGAUCCCUACGAUCAAAGGUGAUCGGGCAGGCUGACCAUGGGUUGAAUUUCGGGGCAACUGGCUCCAUCGCAUAGACGUCCCUCAGUGCUCACUUUCGUUCCCGUUUGGGAAUGUGGGUAGUAUAGAUCAUGUUGACCGUUUUCACCUGGGGAGGGAAUUUCUUCUAUCCUCCCGUGUUCAGACGCUGCGGCUCAUCGUCAUCAUUGCUGUGCAGCCCCUUGUCCUUGUUCUCGGCAUUUAUCUUGCUGGCCUGCUUGAAAACCCAGCAGUCUCUAUUAGUGUGAUUUGCUGGCUUAUCCGGGGUGCCGUGAAUUUGGCAUGAGCGGUCAAGCAUGCGGUCCAGACUGGAUGGUCCCUGAUUGUUUCUUUUGAACGGCUUUUUCCGCUGAUCGGAUUUUGAGCCACUGAAUCCGGCAUUGACUGCCGUGUCUUCAGUGUUAUCGCCAUUGUUCCGACGCUUAUGUUUGUUACGUCGUGGCUUGCCGUUAAUGUCGUGGACGUCUGAAGUGCCUGAGUUUAUUGGCGUGGUGCUGCUGCGAGCCAACCAGCUAUCCUCUCCUGCACAAAAGCGUGUCAUGAGUGUCGUGAGGGCCGCCAUGGAUUUUGGUUUUUCCUAGCCGAGGUGCCGGGCAAGCUACUCAUCAUGGAUAUUAUGCUUAAAGGCUGCCAGGGCUUCGGCAUCCGGAUAGUCGAAAAUUUGGUUCUUUUUAGUUAGGAACCGAGUCCAGAAUUUUCUGGCUGACUCUCCGGGCUGUUGGGUAAUGUGGCUCAAGUCAUCAGCAUCCGGUGGUCGCACGUAUGUGCCCUGGAAGUUGUCGAGGAAAGCGUCCUCCAGGUUUUCCCAACUGCCAAUGGAAUUUGGCGGCAGGCUAUUUAGCCAGUGCCUGGCUGGUCCUUUGAGCUUAAGGGGAAGAUACUUGAUGGCGUGUAGAUCGUCUCCACGGGCCAUGUGAAUGUGGAGAAGGAAAUCUUCGAUCCAUACUGCAGGGUCCGUUGUGCCAUCGUAUGAUUCAAUGUUCACGGGUUUAAACCCUUCUGGGAAUUCAUGAUCCAUUACUUCAUCAAUGAAGCAGAUGGGGUGUGCGGCGCCUUUGUGCCGGGCUAUGUCUCGAUGUAAUCCGACUAAGUCUGGUUGGUUGUGUUCGGCCCGGCCGGAUUUACUAUUAGUGUAUCUGGUAUGACGAUCAUCGUCAUGUGCUGUGGCGCGCCCCGUGAUCCAUAGAUCGAUCUUGGUUGUCCUGCGUUGUUUUCCAGUCUGUCUCGCAGGUCCUACGUAUUGCCCCGGGCCGUAGUAAACUGGCGUGGGGGUGUGGGCUGGUAUUCGGGCUGAUAUGCCGUUUUAUCCCGGCCACGAGGUGGCCGGUCAGCCGUGUGGCGCUCGAGUCCAUAUUCCUCGGCUGAUAGGACUUCUGUCCAUCUGUCUGUGAGCAGGUCUUGAUCAGCUUGGAGCUGCUGCUGCUUCUUUUUAGGCUCCUCGCAGUGGCCAUAAGCCGGCGCUUGAAGUGCUCCUGCUCCAUGGGGUCCUCGGGCACGCCGAACUCGCCGUCGCCGAGGCUAAUCUCGUCUUCGAAGGGGGCAUGUAGUUUUCCUCCUCCGGAUACCCGUCCGUCGCCUGUUCGUCUGGGUUGACCUGCCCAUCUUCCUGCAUGGCCUGCUCGAAGGCAGGCUGAUCGGGGUUGUAUUCAUCUUCGGCACCGUCCGGAUUGUUUUUGUCUCCGGUGCCGGUAUUGCUGUGGCGGGGCUUGGAGCGAUGCUGGCGACGCCCAUGCUUUGCUUUCUUCUUUGAGGGGUUAUCCUCAAUUGCCUCAUCGCCAUUGGUCUCUUUCAGAGUGUCCACCAUAUAUAUGUCAUAGGAAGAGGUGGUUGUCCACUGCCCCGUGGGUGGUGGUUCAUGUUCUUCUCCUACAUCGUCGUCCAAACUGUCGAUGUCUUCGGAGUCGAAGUCAAGCACGUCGGUCAAAUCAUCCACCGUGUCUAUGAAGUGGGUGGUGGGUGGGCAACGAAUUCCCUCAUCGCCGGCUUUCCACUCGAGCCGGACAUAGUUCGGCCAAGAGUCUCCUGACAAAGAGAAAGAUUUUAACGAGUUUAGCAUGUCGCCAAAGGGCGAGUGCUGGAAGAUAUCCGCAGUGGUGAACUCCAUUACCGGAGCCCAACCAAGUUCGACGGGCUCGAAGGUGCGCGGACUAGAACCUGCUGCCGGAUACGAGUCCAGGGGUUUGGUGUCAUAGGCUUCCUUGGGGGUGAAGUCUGUGUUCGGCUCUACCGCCGAUGGGUGUGCGGCCUCCGGAGCGGGGUCCAUCCACCCAUCCCCGGGCUGCGCAAUCUUCCCCGGAUUUAGGUCCGGGACUCCUGCAGGGGCGAUAUCCCGAGCACUGUCCGACAGCAGGUCUAAGCCAUGACUGUCCGGUGCUCCUAGCGUAGGCCCGAAUCCAUUGAAGAUCAAGUCUCCGCGGAUAUCGGCCGUGUAGUUUAGGUUUCCGAACCUGACCUGAUGGCCAGGGGCGUAGCUGUCGAUCUGCUCCAGAUGGCCAAGCGAAUUGGCCCACAGUGCAAAGCCGCCAAACACGAAGAUCUGUCUGGGGGAGAAAGUCUCACCCUGGACCAUGUUGUUGAUGAUUGAAGGAUCCGUCGAGCCUUGCAGCGACGGCACAGAGAAACUCUCAAUGAAAGCACAAAUGUUGGUGUCAAAACCGGCGGAUCUCGGGUAGGGGGUCCCGAUCUGUGCGUCUAAGGCUAAUUGUAACAGGAGGCAAGGGACACAAUGUUUACCCAGGUUCGGGCCCUCUCGAUGGAGGUAAAACCCUACUUCCUGCUUGAUUGAUAUUGAUGAUAUGAGUGUUACAAGAGUUGAUCUACCACGAGAUCGUAGAGUCUAAACCCUAGAAGCUAGCCUAUGAUGAUUAUGAAUGUUGUGAUCGUCCUCAUACAGACUGAACCCUCCGGUUUGUAUAGACACCGGAGGGGGCUAGGGUUUACAUGGAGUCGGUUACGAGGAAAGAAAUAUAAUAUCCGAAUCGCCAAGCUUGUCUUCCACGUAAAGGAGAGUCCCAUCCAGACACGGGACGAAGUCUUGAGUCUUGUACCUUCAUAGUCCAACAGUCUGGCCAUAUAGUCCGGCUGUCCGGAUACCCCCUAAUCUAGGACUCCCUCACCGGCUUAUCCUAACAAGGAUGAGCCGGGUCUUCAAAUCAUUAACUUUGAAUAAAACCAUAUGUAGCCAUCCCGGGCCGGCUUAUCCUAACAAAGAUGAGCCGGGUCAUGAAAUCAUUAACUAUGAAUAAGAUCACAUGUAGCCCUCCAGGGCCGGCUUAUCCUGAUAAGAUGAGACGGGUUUCAAUGACCUUGAUAAGAUCAUACAUGUAGCCCCCAUGGGCCGGGUUAAACUGACAAGAUUAGCUGGGUCUCAAUCGGAAUUUUGGAAUGACCUACAUUAGCCCCUAAGUGCCAAGUAUAUUGCUUGCAAUGUGCUUGGGACUUAAAAAACUUGCUCCUUGUGUCAUAACUAUUGCCUCAAUGUUAUAUUUCAGGAAAUGUUGAAGGAGCAGGAGUCGCAGCUUGGCGACUUAAGAAAAAAUAUAGAAUUACAGCAAAAAGAGACUUCCAAGGCCGACUUAAAGCCGAAGACUGCACUGGAAGAAUUUAAGAAAAUUAAGGCAUGGUUUGACGCUGAGAGAACCGCCUGGGAAGCUGACAAGGCUGCCCUGCAGAAAAGAGCUGAAGAUGCUGAAGCUGAACUUAAGCUGGUGAUUGAAGAGUUAGCCAGCUUAAAGCAACAUAUUAUUCAAAUGUCAGACGCCAUCUUUGGUAAGAUUCAUAUGCAACACAUCAUCUGCUUUUACAUUUGUUCAACACGCCUGGUGGUUUGUAAUACAUAAUUUCUUGACCCGCCUGACGACUCUUAUGCAUACAUUAAACAUGCUCCAGAAGCGCCAGCCUUGGUCAAAACACGUUGCUGAAGCUUAAGGCGGCUUAUUCUUUGACAGAACAAUUGUACACUGGAACGCCGCAAAGUCGUGUGGCCUUGUCAGGUGGCAAAAGCCUCCAACUCUGAUCAAGACGAUCUUAGAACAACUGUCAACUGCGCCGGCUCAAAUUGAAGGGAUUAAAUUAUCAGCCGCCCGAACUGGAGCCAUUGUUGGUCUAGGUCGGGCAAAAGCGUGGCAAUCAGAGCUUGACCCGGAGGAGAUAGCCACUGGAUGCCCAAAGUUCAAGGAUGAUGAUUCAAUAUUUGAAGAACAAGACUUCAACAAAUGUGUCAGGGAGAUGCGGCCCAUAGCAUGCAAGCUUAUAGAAGAGCUGAACUUGAACCAGUACACGUCGGCUUAUGAUGAAGACAACAACAAGAUUAAUCCACCCACGCAUGAAGUGAUGGAUCUUGUUCCUCCUAGGCGUAAGCACAUCUUCACCCCUGACCUCGACUCUUCCAUUAUUAUUAAUGAUGAAGCCACAUUCGAGGCUUUAACAGGCAUCGACUAGACAUCGGCUGACCUCCAGAUGGUCGACGAAGAAGAGCGCACGCGGGAUGACCCACAAUCUUCAAGGCGCCAGGAAGACAACUGACCAUAGCGAUGAUGAUCCAGGUGGCUCUCAAGCCGAGUUAUGGGAGUGCAGCUCCAAAAACUCUUGAUUGAAAAACUUUUUUGGGAUCAGUUGAAGCCGUGUAAUAGGGUAGUUGAAAACAUUGAUCUGCCUUGUCAUGCCUUCAUCCAUGUUUUAUCUACAAUUUUGAUCUAGUAGUUGAACUUUGUGUGAUGCUCAAUCUGACCAUAUCCAUAUGAGCCUUUUCAAAUGACUAUGCUCUUCACCUUUGGUCUUGUAUAUUUUGCAGAAGACUCAUCAACAUAUAUACCGGUGACUUAAAGUCAGAAACCAAGGAGGGUUACCAAACCCGAAGACUCAUAGGCUCAUACAAUAGUUUGAAAACAUGAUUAACAUGGCUGGAGAGCCAAAUGAUGCUGGCGGCUUAAAAACCAAAAGCCAGGGCGGGUGACAACCCAAAGACUUGUAGUCUCAUAACCACGACUGUUCAAACCAAAACAUACUAACGACUUAAAGUCCAAAGCCAGGAUGGGAUACAACACAAAAAUACUCAAACAUGGGCAACAUAAUCCAGAGCCUCACGACCCGGGUAGUCAAAAUUUUCACAAAAGCAAAAACUUAACAUAAGAACAUCCUAAGAAUCCAAAAGAGAGAUACAAAAAAUCCCAAAUUUUUGCUAGGACGACUUUCAAGACACGACCGAACAAGUUGGCUCUCAGUUCUUUUGCUUUCAAGGACGCAUAACCAUUUAGUUUAUCCUAGCUCACUGUAAGCCGACCCUCACGUGACACAAGCCACUGUUUUAACCUUAACAAGUUUAGGGUCUUAGAAAAGAUUGACUACUAAGAGUUCGGCGGUCACCUGGUGGAGUAGCAAGUCGCAAAUAGGUAGGUGUAACUCAUAAUAUGGCAACUCAGGCCGGUCAAGAUGGUAUGAAAACUAAACCCGGUGGGUUGGAAGCCCCCAAGUGACCUUAUGAUCAGAUAACAAAGAAUCAGAUGCACAGAUAUGAAACGACAAAGGCCCUGAAUUUCAGGGAUGCUGGCUUUAUUAUAUUAAACAUAAAAGAAAUAUACAUUGACAAAUGUAUGUACAAAGGAUAAGAUAGCCGAUGGCUCAAGUAUAGUAAGGCUGAAGAUGAGCAAUAUUCCAUGGCCGGCGGGUCUCCUCUAUUGACUAGCGUGAAUCUUUGUGUUCUCGUAUAUCAAUGAGGUAGUAAGACCCGUUAUUGAGAUUUUUGCUGAUCACAAAAGGCCCUUCCCAAGGAGGAGAAAGCUUAUGCAGCCCUGCGUGAUCUUGAAUCAAACGAAGCACUAAGUCACCCUCUUGAAAGGUCCGGCUUCGAACUCUACAACUAUGAUAGCGACGUAGAUCUUGCUGAUGUAUCGCCAAAUGAGCCGUCGCAAGGUCACGCUCUUCAUCCAAAGCAUCAAAUGAGUUCUGAUGUGUCGUCUCAUUAUCAGCUUCAACAUAAGCCGCCACUUGAUACGUCUCCAACGUAUCUACUUUUCCAAACACUUUUGCCCUUGUUUUGGACUCUAACUUGCAUGAUUUGAAUGGAACUAACCCGGACUGACGCUGUUUUCAGUAGAAUUGCCAUGGUGUUAUUUUUGUGCCGAAAUAAAAGUUCUCGAAAUGACCUGAAAAUCCACGGAGACAAGUUUUGGAAUUAAUAAAAAAUAUUGGAAAGAAUCAAAGUCAGGGGCCCACACCCUGUCCAUGAGGGUGCAGGGCGCGCCCACCCCCUGGGGCACACCCCUGCCUCAUGGGCCCCCUGGACCUCCACCAAUCUCAACUCCAACUCCAUAUAUUCACUUUCGGGGAGAAAAAAAAUCAGAGAGAAGGAUUCAUCGUGUUUUACGAUACGGAGCCGCCGCCAAGCCCUAAUCUUCCCCGGCAGGGCUGAUCUGGAGUCCGUUCGGGGAUCUGGAGAGGGGAAUCCGUCACCAUCGUCAUCAUCAACCAUGCUCCAUCACCAAUUUCAUGAUGCUCACCAUCGUGCGUGAGUAAUCCCAUCGUAGGCUUGCUGGACGGUAAUGGGUUGGAUGAGAUUUACCAUGUAAUUGAGUUAGUUUUGUUAGGGUUUGAUCCCUAGUAUCCAUUAUGUUCUAAGAUUAAUGUUGCUAUGACUUUGCCAUGCUUAAUGCUUGUCACUAGGGCCCGAGUGCCAUGAUUUCAGAUCUUAAACUAUUAUGUUUUCAUGAAUAUAUGCGAGUUCUUAAUUCUAUCUUGCAAGUCAAUAGUCACCUACUAUGUGUUAUGAUCCGGCAACCCCGAAGUGACAAUAAUCGGGACCACUCCCGGUGAUGACCGUAGUUUGAGGAGUUCAUGUAUUCACUAAGUGUUAAUUCUUUGGUCAGGUACUCUAUUAAAAGGAGGCCUUAAUAUCCCUUAGUUUCCAAUAGGACCCAUCUGCCAUGGGUGGGUACGUAGGACAAAAGAUGUCAUGCAUGUUCAUUUUCAUAAGCACGUAUGACUAUAUUCAGAAUACAUGCCUACGUUGCAUUGAUGAACUGGAGCUAGUUCUGUGUCACCCUAUGUUAUAACUGUUGCAUGAUGAAUUGCAUCCGAUGUAAUUAUCCAUCACUAAUCCAUUGCCUAAGAGCUUUUCACAUACUGAACCUUGCUUAGUUACUUUUCCGUUGCCACUGGUACGACUGCUACAAACUGCUACUGUUACUUUUGCCACCGUUACCGUUACUUCCAUAAUACUAUGCUACUAAAUACUUUGCUGCAGAUAUUAAGUCUUUCAGGUGUGGUUGAAUUGACAACUCAGCUGCUAAUACUUGAGAAUAUUCUUUGGCUCCCCUUGUGUCGAAUCAAUAAAUUUGGGUUGAAUACUCUACCCACGAAAACUGUCGCGAUCCCUUAUACUUGUGGGUUAUCAAGACUCUUUUCUGGCGCCGUUGCCGGGGAGCAUAACUCUAUUCUUUGAGUCACUUGGGAUUUAUAUCUGUUGAUCACUAUGAGGAACUUGAAAGAUGAAAGAACCAAUAUUUUUCCCGCAACUACGAGGGGAGGUAAGGAACCGCCAUCUAGCUCUGCCUUUGAUUCACCUUCUAUUAUGAGUAAAUAUGUGACACCUACACCUGCACCUGCUAUUGACUCUGAUAUGUCGCAUGUUAUUGAUGAUGCCACUUCUGCUAUGCAUGAUGCUUGUGAUGAAACUAGUUGUCUGCUUGAUAAUACUAUGCCAUUAGGUGAAUUUCUUGAUGAACAACUUGCUAGGGUUAGAGAGAAUGAAAUUAUUGAAAAUGAUGAUAUUAAUUAAAGUGAUGAUGAAGAUUCUCCCCCUAGAUAUGAAUUGCCUAUUGUACCUGAGGGUUAUGUUAUGGAUGAAGAAACUGCGAGAGACUUUCUUGCUUGCAAUGAUAGAUAUGAUCUUAAGAAACUAUUAGCUAAGCUGAAAGAAAAGUCUUUGAAUGCUAGAAUGCAAUAUCGCCCUGCUUUUGCUACUUCACCUAUCUGCAUUACUGAUAAGGAUUAUGAUUUCUCUGUCAAUCCUAUGUCAAUUACGUUGGUUGAAUUUGAUCCUUUCUAUGGCCAUGAAUCUGAAACUAUUGUGGCACAUCUUACUAAAUUUAAUAAUAUAGCCACCCUAUUUACUCAUGAGGAAAAAAUUCGCUAUUAUUAUAUACUUAAACUGUUCCCGUGCUCAUUAAAGGGUGAUGCUAAGAUAUGGUUUAAUUCUCUUGCUCCUGGUUGUGUGCAUAAUCCCCAGGAUAUGAUUUAUUACUUCUCUACUAAUAUUUCCCUGCUCAUAAGAAACAAGCUGUCUUAAGGGAAAUAUAUAAUUUUGUUCAAAUUGAAGAAGAGAGUCUCCCACAAGCUUGGGGGAGGCUUCUCCAAUUACUUAAUGCUUUGCCUAAUCAUCCUCUCAAGAAAAAAUGAAAUACUUGAUAUCUUUUAUAAUGGACUAACCGAUGCUUCGACAGACCACCUGGAUAGUUGUGCUGGUUGUGGUUUUAGGGAAAGAACCGUUGAGCAAGCUGAGUUACUAUUAAAUAAUAUAUUGAGCAAUGAUAAUGAUUGGACACUUCCUGAACCAACUCCUAAGGCAAAUCCAAAGAAAAGGGCUAUUUUAUUUCUCAGUCCUGAAGAUAUGCAAGAGGCAAAGAAAUCUAUGAAAGGAAAAGGUAUUAAAGUCGAAUAUGUUAAGAAUUUACCAGCUAUUGAAGAAAUACAUGGUCUUAAUAACCCGACACAUGUAGUAAAGGUAAAUUCUCUCUAUAGAUUUGAUGAAGGUGAUAUCCCUCAUUAUAAGUCUGCUAGCGAAUGCUUGGAUGAGUUUGAUAAUUUUAUUGUUAAACAAGAAAACUUCAAUGCUUAUGUUGGUAGACAAUUGAAACGUAAUGCCUAUAUGAUUGAACACUUGAGUGAUUAUAUGUCUAGAGUUAAAGGUGACCUUAAUCUUAUUAGUAAACGUGCAUCCGUGGUUACCACUCAAAUAGAACAAGUACUUAAAGCACAAGAUGAUUUGUUCAAUGAAUUAAAUAAUAAGAACAAUGAUAAUGCUGUUAGAGUUAUGACUAGAGGUGGUAGAAUGACUCAUGAAACUUUGUAUCCCUAGGGCCAUCCUAGGAGAGAUGAGCAAGAUUUUCAGAGAAUUAAUGUUGAUGCACAUAGUCCUUCUAAGAAAAAGAAACAGAAAAUGAUAGGACUUUGCAUGCUUCUAGUGAACCUACUGAAAAUCCCAAUGGUAUUUCUAUUUCUGAUGCUGAGACACAAUCUGGUAAUGAACAUGAACCUAGUGAUAAUGUUAAUGAUGAUGUUCAUGUUAUGCUCAACCUAGUAAUAACAAUGAUGUAGAAAUUGAACCUGUUGUUGAUCUUGAUAACCCACAAUCAAAGAAUCAACAUUAUGAUAAGAGAGACUUUGUUGCUAGGAAGCACGAUAAAGAAAGAGAACCAUGGGUUCAGAAACCCAUGCGUUUUCCACCUAAGCCAUCCAAGAAAAAGGAUGAUGAGGAUUUUGAGCGCUUUGCUGAAAUGAUUAGACCUAUCUUCUUUGCUGAAAUAUGAUAUUCUUAUUGUUGGGGACAUGCAUAUCCCCGUUGAGGUAACCUAGUGUUAUUCAAAAAUUCUCCAGUUUCAUGUUAUUCAGAAGAAGUUUGUUAACAAGACUUGAUCAACCUUGUUAGUGGAUUCCUUUUGAUGAGCAUGAGAUGGAUGAAGUUAGAAAGCACCACUCUCUGUACCCUCCUUUUACUUUCUGUUAUUUAGAUUAAAUAAAGCAAAAAUAGUAGUUUUCUGUCUGUUUUCUGAAUUAUUCUUGCAAUAAAAAAUACGCCGAAAAUAAAAGUUCUCCAAAUUUCCUGAAAAUGUAGUAUGAUUUUUUGUAGAAUAUUUAAGAAUUUUUGGCAUUGGGUACACACCAUUUGGCCACGAGGGCACAGGGCGUGCCCACCCCCCUGGGGCGCCCCCCCUGCCUCAUGGGCCCCAUGUGCCCCCUCCACUUAUUCCAGCACCCACUCACUUCGUCUUCCUCCAGAAAAAUCAUCCCAUAGCUCAAAUCCGUGUUCUAGCUCAUUUUGCUGCCAUUUUUGAUGUCCUUGCUCAAAGCACCAUUCACAAAACUGCUUUGGGGGAUUGUUCUUCGGUAUGUGACUCCUCCAAUGGUGCAAUUAGUUUUUGUUCUAGUGCUUUAUUUAUUGCAAAUUUUUGCUACUAAGGUGACCCUGUUCUUGAGCUUGCAUGUCAAAUUUAUAUGGUCCAAAGUAGUUUUAAUGCAUGAUGUAGCCUCUAGGCACUUGUGGGAGUAGUUGCUAUCAAUCUUGUUGAGUUUAGUUCACUUUUAUUUUGAGUCACUAAAAAAUUCAGAGAAAGAAAAUGAUGAAGAGAUUGUUGAGGGGCUCCUCGAGUCGAAGCUCGAAGGAUAAGCAGAACGAGGAGAAUAAAAAGCCCAAAUACAAUCUUCCUCGCACCACAGAGGUUCGGCCGUGUGAAUGGCCUUGUGAUGCAUUCUUGAGGGCCGCCGGAAUUUAUUACGACUUUUAUUACUUGGCUGAGAAUGCAAGCCUCACCGACUUCCUCCACGACCAGCGCGAACAGUAUCUCCUACUCACUAAUAUUUUCACGCAAAACUUUUACUUCCAUGCUAAGAAAUCACCACCUUCAGUGGAAUUUCACUUAUAUGAUGAGGUUAAGGAGAUGUCACUCCAUGACUUUUGUUUGGUUUGCAAGUUACCCUUUGUGGGCAGCAUCGAGGAACCACAUCCUAGUGGUGUGGAUGGAUUUAUUGAUAGGAUUGCUGUAGGAGAAAUGAGAAAAGUUUCAGAUGCAAGAACUACUAGUAUACAUUUUCCUGUUCUAUGUUACUUUGCGAUAUUUGCUAGCAGAUGCUUGAUUGGUCGCGAGAACAGUGGAAACCUUAGUGCUCCUGACCUUGUUAUUUUGCGCCAUGCUUUGUUUCGUGAUACAACCUUCAGUUUAGGCGCUAUUGUUGUUAAACGGUUAAGUCUAAACCAUACAAAGGGCCCCAUAUUCUAAGGUAUCUUUGCUACACGCCUUGCUAAACACUUUGAGAUACCUAUUAGGCAUUAUGAGAAAGAGGAAAAGUUGCUGCCCACUAUUUUUCUAGACUAUAAGAGUAUGGUAGCACAUGAUUUUAUUGUUAAAAAUAAUAAGAAGAUGCUUAAGUAUAACUUGAUAUUCGCUAAAACUCAUUGUGAGACUAUUACCUUGCCUGCACCCUCUUUGUUUAACAUACUUUCAGGCACGUACCUCAUCUUGCCCGAGGCCAUUUAUGCAUUCUGGAAUAUGACACAAGUUCUAGAGCCAGAGCCAGAGCCACCACUUGACCCAUAUCAAUAGCCUAUUUAUCAGUGGGAUUCAGAGGAUCUCGCUAACCAGUGGCACCCUAAGGACCCUCCUCAGUACACCGGAGAGAGUAGCUUCGAUCCGUGGGCAUAGACCAACUUAGGCCAAAAUCCUAAGCUUGGGGGAGUACAUAUUUGUCAUCGACAUUACAUUCAUGUUCACACACUCAUUCUAGUUGUCGGUGCUCAUUCUUUUUCAUUGUACUAUCCAUGCUAGUUUAUUUUCGUUUCUCACUUUCUUCUUGUGUGUUUGAAAAACUUUAAUAAAAACCAAAAAAAAUAGUUGUAGCCUUUAGCUAGUUUACUUUCCAUGCUUGUAGUAGUAAUAUUAAAAGACAACCCAAAAAGAUUUCCCGUUCUUCUUUUGCUUGUUGGGAGCUUUCCCAUGUAAAUAGUUUUAGUUCUUUUCUUUUCUUUGGGGGUCGAAAGGAGAAGACCACGAUGAAAAUGUUGAGUGGCUUUCAUAUGCACUAUUGUUGAUCUAACCAAGAGCCCAUAUUACCUUGUCUUCUCCUUUGUAUUAAAUGCUUGCAGAUUCCAGCUUAGUCCAAUGCACGUGCACUGUUAUUAUCAUCUACACCGUUCAGUCGUGCAAGUGAAAGGCAAUAAUGACGCUAUAUGAUGAAAUGAUUGAGAUGAGAGAAGCUGGUAUGAACUCGACCUAUCUUGUUUUUAUAAAUAUGAUUAGCUCAUCGCUCUUGAUUCAGCCUAUUAUGAAUGAACAUGUCUGCAAUGACAAGUAGAGUUAUAGUUGCUCAUGCCAUGCUUAAUUAGCUAGGAGCUUACAAUGGUUUGUCUUGCAUGUCAACAUUCUAUUAAAAUGGUUAUGAUGUGGUAUGAUAGGGUGGUAUCCUCCUUUGAAUGAUUCGGGUGGCUUGACUUGGCACAUGUUCACGCAUGUAGUUGAAACAAAAUCAACAUAGCCUCCACGAUAUUUAUGUUUAUGGUGAUUUAUAUCCUACUCAUGCUUGCACUCAUUGUUGGUUAAUCUUAAUGCAUGUUCAUGACUGUUGUCGCUCUCUAGUUGGUCGCUCCCCAGUCUCUUUCUAGCCUUCACUUGUACUAAGCAGGAAUACUGCUUGUGCAUCCACUUCCAUAAACCCCAAAGUUAUUCCAUAGGAGUCCACCAUACCUUCCUAUAUGCGGUAUUUACCUGCCGUUCCAAGUAAAUUUGUACGUGCCAAACUCUAAACCUUCAAAUGAAAUUCUGUUUUGUAUGCUCGAAUAGCUCAUGCAUCAACUAGGGCUGUCUAUAUCUUCCAUGCUAGGUGGGUCAUUCUCACGAUGAGUGGACUCCGCUCAUCAUUCACGAGAAAAUGGCCGGUAACCAGGAUGCCCAGUCCCAUGCUCAAAUCAAAUCAAAAUAUAUGCAAACAAAACUCCCCUAGGAUUGUUGUUAGUUGGACGGCACUCUUUGUUUCGGGCCAGCCAUGGAUUGAUGUUCAUUGGUGGUAGGGGAGUAUAAACUUUACCAUUCUGUUUGGGAGCUGGCUAUAAAUGUAUGUAGCAUGGAAGGUAUCGAGAUCUCUUGGUUGUUAUGUUGACAAUCCAAGUAUGCCGCUCAAAAUAUUAUUUAUCCUUGUUUCAAAACUUGAGCUUUGGAACCUCUGCAAAUCCCUGCUUCCCACUACGAAGGGCCUAUCUAUUUACUUUUAUGUUGAGUUAUCAUCCUCUUAUCAAAAAGCACCAGUUGGAGAGCAUCACUGUCAUUUAAAUGCAUUGCUAUUAAUUUACAUUGAGUAUGACUGUGACCGGAUCUCUUUUGCCAUGAAUUACAAUGUUUAGUCAGUCCUUGAUCUUCAGGGGUGCUCUACAUUUAUAUUUUGCGGUCUCAGAAAGGGCUAGCGAGAUACCAUCUUGUUAUAUCAUAUUAUGAUUGUUUUGAGAAAGUGUUGUCAUCCGAGAUUUAUUAUUAUUGCUCCCUAGUUGAUUAUGCCAUUGAUAUGAGUAAACAUGAGACCUAAAUGUUAUUGUGAAUAUGGUUAGUUCAUAAUCUUUGCUGAAAACUUGAAUGCUGGCUUUACAUAUUUGCAACAACAAGAUCAAACAGAGUUUGUAAAAGUUUUUCUUUAUCACCUUCAGUUUGUCAACUGAAUUGCUUGAGGGCAAGCAAAGGUUUAAGCUUGGAGGAGUUGAUACAUCUCCAACUAUCUACUUUUCCAAACACUUUUGCCCUUGUUUUGGACUCUAACUUGUAUGAUUUGAAUGGAAUUAACCCGGACUGAUGCUGUUUUCAACAGAAUUGCCAUGAUGUUAUUUUUGUGCAGAAAUAAAAGUUCUCGGAAUGACUUGAAAAAUCCACGGAGACACGUUUUGGAAUUAAUAAAAAAUAUUGGCGAAACAAUCAACGUCAGGGGGCCCACACUCUGUCAACGAGGGUGCAAGGCGCUCCCACCCCCUGGAGCGCGCCCCCUGCCUCGUGGGCCCCCUGGACCUCCACCGACCUCAACUCCAACUCCAUAUAUUCACUUUUGGGGAGAAAAAACUAGAGAGAAGGAUUCAUCGUGUUUUACGAUACGGAGCCGCUGCCAAGCCCUAAUCUUCCUCGGGAGGGCUGAUCUGAAGUCCGUUCGAGGCACCGGAGAGGGGAAUCCAUCGACAUCGUCAUCAUCAACCAUCCUCCAUCACCAAUUUCAUGAUGCUCACCGCCGUGUGUGAGUAAUCCCAUCGUAGGCUUGCUGGACGAUGAUGGGUUGGAUGAGGUUUACCAUGUAAUUGAGUUAGUUUUGUUAGGAUAUGAUCCCUAGUAUACAUUAUGUUCCAAGAUUGAUGUUGCUAUGACUUUGCCAUGCUUAAUGCUUGUCACUAGGGCCCGAGUGCCAUGAUUUCAUAUCUGAACCUAUUAUAUUUUCAUGAAUAUAUGUGAGUUCUUGAUCCUAUCUUGCAAGUCAAUAGUCACCUACUAUGUGUUAUGAUCCGGCAACCCCGAAGUGACAAUAAUCGAGACCACUCCCGGUGAUAACCGUAGUGUGAGGAGUUCAUGUAUUCACUAAAUGUUAAUGCUUUGGUCCAGUACUCUAUUAAAAGGAGGCCUUAAUAUCCCUUAGUUUCCAAUAGGACCCCGCUGCCACGGGAGGGUAGGACAAAAGAUGUCAUGCAAGUUCUUUUUCAUAAGCACAUAUGACUAUAUUCGGAAUACAUGCCUACAUUACAUUGAUGAACUGGAGCUAGUUCUGUGUCAGCCUAUGUUAUAACUAUUGCAUGAUGAAUUUCAUCUGACAUAGUUAUCCAUCACUGAUCGAUUACCUACGAGCUUUUCACAUACUGAACCUUGCUUAGUUACUUUUCCCUUGCCACUGUUAUGAUUGCUACAAAAUUGCUACUGUUACUUUUGCCACCCUUACCGUUACUUCCAUAUGACUUUGAUACUAAAUACUUUGCUGCAGAUAUUAAGUCUUUCAGGUGUGGUUGAAUUGACAGCCCAGCUGCUAAUACUUGAGAAUAUUCUUUGGCUCCCCUUGUGUCGAAUCAAUAAAUUUGGGUUGAAUACUCUACCCUUGAAAACUGUUGUGACCCCCUAUACUUGUGGGUUAUCACCACUCUAGGCGAGUCAUGGCGAAUGUCACUUGGGAGAACCGCCUCCGCACCAUAAACCAUAAAGAAAGGCAUAUAGCCUGUUGAUCUAUUAGGGGUGGUAUUAAUACUCCAAAGUACUGAAGGUAACUCCUCAACCCAACAACCCGAUGUUCGCUUCGAAGGAACCAUGAACCGGGGCUUAAUGCCUCUCAAAAUUUCUUGAUUAGCUCGCCCUGCCUGUCCAUUAGACUGUGGAUGAGCCACUGAAGUGACGUCAAAACGAAUAUGCUCUCUUUGAAAGAACUCCUUCAUAGCACCCUUAGAAAGAUUAGUGCCAUUAUCGGUGAUGAUACUAUGAGGGUAUCCAAAAUGGAAGAUCAACUUUUUAAUAAACUGAAUAGUUGUAGCCGCCUCACAAUUGCUAACUGGCUCUGCCUCAACCCACUUGGUAAACUUGUCAACCGCCACCAAAAGUUGGGUCUUUUUAUCCUUAGACCUCCUAAACAGUCCAACCAUAUCGAGCCUAUCGGAUAUAGGGUUUCGGAAAAACCCUUGAGGUUCGAACACUGGGGUGCGCACGAAGAUUUCCCCCUACCGAAUCUCACCCUCAGCCUCGCCAUGAUCUCUAAGCUUAGCUCAAUGAACUCACAACACAAGAGACACAAGAUUUAUACUGGUUCGGGCCACCGAUGUGGUGUAAUACCCUACUCCAGUGUGGUGGUGGUGGAUUGCCUCUUGGGCUGAUGAAGAACUGUACAAGGGAAGAAUAGCCUCCUGAGGAGAGGUGUUCUUGUGCUUGGUGGAUGCAAGGAUGAACUGAGUUCGUUCCAGUCUGCCUUCUACUUUGGUGGCUAGUCCUAUUUAUAGAGGCCCUGGUCCUCUCCCCAAAUAUUGAGCGGGAAGGGAUCGAACAACAGCCAAUUUGAAAGGGGACAGUUGUACAAGCUAUCCUGACUAAAGGUGGUCUUCGCCUGUCAAAGGCGCUGGUGGUGACGCUGUCUUGGGCUCCACAAUGACCUCUGUCCUACCGUCCUGCUGGUCUUGGUCUUGUUGCACCGAUAUGGAAACCUUUGCCUGAUGCCUUGGUACUCCGCGCCUGCACUUGCCCCCUUAGCACCAAAGGGGAAACUAGGACACUACGCGCACUGGCGCCCGCCUGGCCUUGGUCGUCAUGGCUUGCGUCACGGGAACCUCACGUGGUACCCCUUGCCUUGAUCUCUCCGCUCCCUCAUUAGCCUGCCUGGUGAGGCUGCUCCUGAGGAGGCCUUGUGUCGUCCGCCUCGCGAUGCUUGGCCCCUCGCGAGGGUCAUGAGUGUUGGUUAACAAAGACGGGCCAUACUGGGCCACUGGUGGAUCCACACCGUGAGCCGCAGGCAGGCAAGUCUAGGGACCCUUGUUCCCAGAACACCGACAGUAGCCCCCGGGCCCAAGGCAUGCUCGGACUUGGCUUAGUGGCGAAGCCAAAGGGCAAGUGUGGAGCGCCGCGGGCCCCAAUAGUCUGCGGCCUUGGUCAGCGCAUGGCGACUGAUUGGACAUGGGCGUCGCCGCUUCCCCCAUGCUGCCUCGGCAACUGCCCGACUUGACGAGUCUGUGCUACAUGCAAAAAGGGUUAUCAUUACCUGCGAUCGUGGAGGUUGACGGUUGGCCUUCCUUGGGAUAUAAAUGAGGAGGGGUGAGAGCCCUCAUCGCCCAUCUCUUCCUGCUCCACCUGCUUCUUCUUCCCUGGUCCACCUCCAAUCUUGACACAAAUGGCGCCGAUCCGUAGAUUCUCGGCCGAAGAGAAGGGGAAGGCUCCCUGGGACGGACACGAUCUGCUCCAGCCGAAGAAGAGGCCGGUCCACCACCGUGGCAAGGUCGUGAGGCGGGAGAUGACGAGGCCUUGGUGCGAGGGCUUCGGAGAAAGGGGCGGCGAGCGGCGCUGCCCGUGCCGCAGCCACGGUCGGCGCGCCGUGGUGGCGCGCGCUGUCGCCCCAUGGAGUCCACGCCGUGGACUCCUCCCAUGAGCUCAUGCUGCUGGCGGCGAUGCCUCCAAGCACCUCGAUCUGCUUCCCUUCUUUCUUCUCCACCAAGAUGCUGCCGAGGGGGCCUCUCGGGCUUUGGCUGCAGCACGCCGAUUGUGGCGUCCCGACGACCGAAGCGGAGGUUGAAGUCGUUCCCUCGGGCAAGAUAUUCAUGACCCAAGGCUAGGGCCAGGUCGCCCGGGUCUGCCGAACCAGGGGCGCCCUCGCGAUCCAUUUUGAAUAUGAUGGCGCCUGCACAUUGUCCUUCAAGGUCUUUGACGCGGAAGGCCGCCGCCUGGAGUGCUGCCCCGGAGGGCAGUCAAGAUAUCGACACGGCAGGGGCUGGGCCUGCCAUCCGCUCCUCCAGCGGCUCCUUCGGCAGCAGCAACAACACUUGGGAGUCCGACGACUCUCCUGAACUCUAUGAGACUCCAGAGACGAGCGAUGACAGCUACGCACCACCGAGCUCUCGCCGCGCCCGGAGCAAGGCGGCAGCAUCGGGCCGUCGCCGCCACUGAUGUGGAUGGGGUUGGCGCCGGUCUCCCAUGGCCCACUGUUGAUGAUGGCGUCGGCCACGAAGGCACGUGUAGUUAGGGCUCCUCAAGGUUCUUUUCUUUUGUUCCCUGCGAGGAAUCGAGAAACACCCCGCGGGGGCGUGUAAAGGGUCUGCGAUGUCUUUUGUUGAUGUUAUCCUUAUUAUGAAAUCGUGCGAGUGCUUGUCCUGCCCCGGCUUGGUUCCCCCUUUCUAACCUCGCGAUGACUUGGCGCUCUACGCUGACAGGUCCCGCUCCCUAGGCAGGCUGCAGCCGUCGCUGGUAUGCCAGGUCGCGAUGCUGUGGUCAAGGCCAGGAUGUGACUAUGUGAGUGGCCCGAGGUCUAGUAAGAGCCCCUGAGGCACGAUGCUCAGGAGGUCCCCUUUAGCGCGCAAGCAGCCGCCGAGAGGUAAGAAAUGAAGGCAACAUUGCCUCCACAGGGCCGCAUAAAGUGAGAAUUUUGUGUCGUAAUGAUUAGUUGUUCCAAGCGCGAAACUUAUCUCGGUAAUCUGGAGUCGUUCCCUUGCGUUGCGCCAGACUUGUGCGUCGGCAUCCAUGGCGCAACUAGGUUAGGCCCGUGCGAGCCUCCCCCUUCUUCCCCACACUCUCCUUCAUGUUGUAUGUCCUCAGGUCCCGGCCCUCGAGCGAGCUCAGCUGCCGGUGGUAUGCCAGGUCACGAUGCCGUGGUCAAGGCCAGGGGGUGAGGGCUGGAGAGCCAGUAAGAGCUCCUGAGUCACGAUGCUCAGGAGCCUCCCCUUUUAACGCGCAAGCGGAUUGCAUGGGAAAGCAAGGUAGCUCGUGGCGCCGCCCGCUGUAGACCUCAUGAGGUUCCUGUAAAUCAACACGAGAAAGGCAUGGGUUGCCAUUAUGAUUGCCGGCGGGCCACUGGUUGCUCUGAGAUAAGGGUGAGGGCACUAAGAGCUUGGUGAGGUGACGCGCGCGGGGCAUGCCGCGGGCCAGAGCUUGACCACUUAGAUUUGUCGGUGUUGCAGGGACGGACCCGUGCGCAAGCGCCGUGCCAGCAGGAGCGGCUCCCGUGGUAGGUGGUAAUCGAGCAGGUGAUAAUCACAGGUAGAUUAGGUAUGAAAGGAAAUCAGCUUAGGUAAAUGCAGAAUUGAUACAUGCCACUAGGUCAGACCCAAGCGGCCCGGGGAUGAUGGAGCCCGAGGGGCGCCCCCAACAAGGUAAUCUAAAGACAUAAAAAGAGAUACAUGCCGCGGGGAUAGACCCACGCGGCCUGGGAAUGAUGCGGCCCUGAGGGCGCUCCCAACUUAAAUGAACUUGGGGGAUGCCACCUGGUUCCAUUGUAGAGGGUGUGUUGGGUAGCUGAAGAUGCAUGGUGAAGGGGCCGAACCUGACGAGCCACUGGGGCCCUGAGCCUCAGGAGGCUCCGGGGGGCCAGGUGGUUCUUUGAGGACAGUCUCCAUCUCUGCUAUAGGAGCGCGUGGCAUCUGGCCUCCUAAGCCGCCAGGAUGCUCUAGGUGACACUGGUAGGUGGCAGCCGCGUACGGCAGGCCGAAAGGCAUGCGAAUGUAGCUGUGCGGCGAACCCUCGCAGCAUCCCACGCGCGAAGGCCAGAAGCGCUCCUGUGAUGCGGCUCGGUUGAGCCCUGGGAUGUUGACGCAGACACCCAGCCCACCAUCCUCGCCUGGAUGGGGAGCCACACCAGGCGAGCGGUGGUCGCUGGGUACGACCCUCGCUUCCUGAAGCUCCUGAGUGGUCUUGGCAGUGAACUCCUAAAAGUUGGGCUUUCCAUGCCCUGUGUCUUCCUGAGGGAAACGUGCCGUGAAGCACACCUCCAAGUGGUGCACGAGCGCCUCCCUCAUGAUGCUGGCGAGGUCUGAGGCCCUCUAGAAGAGAGCCCCCGAGCCCUGCCGGAGGAUGGCGUUCGGCGCGCCUUCCUAUGCGAUGGAAGGAGGCGCCCCAGGCACGGGCGCUGAUCCUGAUGCGGCACCACCUGAGGUGCCGACCUCCUGAGUCCCUGUGCGGAGCAGUUGCUUCUUCUUCUUGGGGAUGGCCUCAGGAGGGUUCUCGCCCUUGCUGUCCGGGUCCUCAAUUGCUACGGCUGGGAAGGCACGCUCGAGGGAGCAUAGCGCAUCUCUCUCUUUGCAGGGGACCGUGAUGAUUCUGCCGCUUCCUGGCAUCCCGAGGAUGUUGUAGCCGUGGUGGGUCACUGCCAUGAACUUGGCCAGGGCUGGAUACCCGAGGAUGGAAUUGUACGACAGGCGGAUGUGGGCGAUGUCGACGUCGAUGAGCUCGGUGCGGUAGUUGUUGCGCUGUCCGAAGGUGACAGGGAGGCGGACCUGCCCUAUCGGGGUGGUGGAACCGUCGGUAACUCCUGAGAAGGGCUUGAUGGGCUGAAGCUGACCGUAUGGCACUUGAAGGUUGUCAAACAUCUCGACGGACAGGAUGCUAAGCCCUGCGUCGCCAUCGAUGAGGGUCUUGGUGACUUGCAUGUUGCCGAUGACGGGUGAACAGAGCAUCGGGAGAAUGCCAACAGUAGCCGCGCACUUGAGUUGAUUUGCCGAGCUGAAGGUGAUGGCGCACUUGGACCACCUAAGCGGGCGCAUGGCCUCGAGCCUGGGGAGGGCUACAUUCACCUCGCGAGCAAACUGCUUGAAGAUACGCUGAGAGGCUGGGGCCUGAGCUCCGCCAAGAUGCAAGCGAUAGCACGUGGCUCCUGGAAGCCCCCAGCCCCCUCGUCCUGAUGAUGGUUGUCAUUCCUUCUUGGCGGCAGUGGCAGCGGAGGAAGGCCUGCGUUCCCCUAGGGGCGGUCCACGCGAGGCUGAUCCCUCCAGGCACCCUCGCGAGGCUGGUCCCUCCAGACGCCCUCGCGAGGCUGGUCCUGCCAGUGAUCCUCACGAGGUUGGUCACGCCACUCCUGGCGAGGGCCACGGUCGUCCCAUUGUCCUCCGCCACGUCCUCCUCCUCGGCCGUAACCCCGGUCGUUCUGCUCGAGGCAUCGACCGAAGCGUCCUUCUCGAACGGCCCUAAGCUCCUAGCAAUCGUUGGUGUUGUGGGUGUGGAGGUUGUGGUAGGCGCAGAAUGAUCGGCUGCCCUUGGACGACUCCGGCUGGACCUUGUCGCGCUUCGUGUCUGGUUCUGCUGCGAGCACGACCACUCCCUUGUGCUUCACGUCCUUGGCCUUGGUCUUCUUUUCUUCUGGGUCAGCAGCUUGGAGCUCAAGGAGGGACAGGCGUCCCUCUUCAGCUCUUGUGCACUUGAUCGCCAGGUUGAAUAGCUCUAGGGAUGUGGGAUACGUCUCCGUCGUAUCUACUUUUCCAAUCACUUUUGCCCUUGUUUUGGACUAUAACUUGCAUGAUUUGAAAGGAACUAACCCGGACUGAUCUUGUUUUCAGCAGAACUGCCAUGGUGUUAUUUUUGUGCAGAAAUAAAAGUUCUCAGAAUGACAUGAAAAUCCAUGGAGCAACUUUUUAGAUUUAAUAAAAAAUACUGGCGAAAGAAUUAGCGUCAGGGGCCCACACCCUGUCCAUGAGGGUGGGGGGCGUGCCCCCUGCCUCGUGGCCCCCCUGGACGUCCACCGACCUCAACUCCAAUUCCACAUAUUUGCUUUCACGGAGAAAAAAAUCAGAGGGAAAGUUUCAUCGCGUUUUACGAUACGGAGCCGCCGCCAAGCCCUAAUCUCUCUCAGGAGGGCUGAUCUGGAGUCUGUUCGGGGCUCCAGAGAGGGGGAUUCGACGCCGUCGUCAUCAUCAACCAUCCUCCAUCACCACUUUCAUGAUGCUCACUGCCAUGCGUGAGUAAUUCCAUCGUACGCUUGCUGGACGGUGAUGGGUUCGAUGAGAUUUACCAUGUAAUCAAGUUAGUUUUGUUAGGGUUUGAUCCCCAGUAUCCACUAUGUUCUGAGAUUCAUGUUGCUAUGACUUUUCUAUGCUUAAUGCUUGUCACUAGGGCCCAGGUGCCAUGAUUUCAGAUCUGAACCUAUUAUGUUUUCAUGAAUAUAUGUGAGCUCUUGAUCAUAUCUUGCAAGUCUAUAGUCACCUAUUAUGUGUUAUGAUCCGACAACCCCGAAGUGCAAUAAUCGGGAUACUUCUCGGUGAUGACCGUAGUUUGAGGAGUUCAUGUAUUCACUAUGUGUUAAUGCUUUGGUCCCGUACUCUAUUAAAAGGAGGCCUUAAUAUCCCUUAUUUUCCACUAGGACCCCGCAGCCACGAGAGGGUAGGACAAAAGAUGUCAUGCAAGUUCUUUUCCAUAAGCACAUAUGACUAUAUUCGGAAUACAUGCCUACAUUACAUUGAUGAACUGGGGCUAGUUCUGUGUCACCCUAUGUUAUAACUAUUACAUGAGGAAUCACAUCUGACAUAAUUAUCCAUCACUGAUCCAAUGCCUACGAGCUUUUCACAUAUUGUGCUUUGCUUAUUUACUUUACCGUUGCUACUGUUACAAUUACUACAAAACUGCUACUAUUACUUUUGCUACUAUUACCGUUACUUCCAUACUACUUUGCUGCAGAUACUAAGUUAUCGAGGUGUGGUUGAAUUGAUAACUCAGCUGCUAAUACUUGAGAAUAUUCUUUGGCUCCCCUUGUGUCGAAUUAAUAAAUUUGGGUUGAAUACUCUACCCUCGAAAACUGUUGUGAUCCCCUAUACUUGUGGGUUAUCAACACUAUUUUCUAGCGCUGUUGCCGGGGAGCAUAGCUCUAUUCUUUGAGUCACUUGGGAUCUAUAUCUGCUGGUCACUAUGAGGAACUUGAAAGACGAAAGAACUAAGAUUUUUCCCUCAACUACGAGGGGAGGUAAGGAACUGCCAUCUAGCUCUGCACUAGAUUCUCCUUCUGUUUUGAGUAAGCUUGCGACACCUAAACCUGCUUUUGCUAUGAAUUCUAAUAUGUCGCAUGUUAUUGAUGAUGCCACUUCUGCUAUGCAUGAUACUUAUGAUGAAACUACUUCUGUGCUUGAUACUAUUGUGCCAUUAGGUGAAUUUAUUGAUGAACAACUUGCUAGGGCUAGAGAGAAUGAAAUUUUUGAAAAUGAAAUUAUUGAAGAUGGUGAUGAUGAAGGUUCUCCCCCUAAAUAUGAAUUGCCUGUUGUUCCAGAGGGUUAUAUUAUGGAUGAAGAAACUACUAGAGAUAUUCUUGGUUGCAAUGAUAGAUCUGAUCUUAAGAAGUUACUAGCUAAACUGAAACAGAAAUCUCUAAAUGCUAGAAUGAAAUAUGACCCUGCUUUUGCUACUUCACCUAUCUUUGUUACUGCUAAGGAUUAUGAAUUCUCUAUUGAUCCUGAGAUAAUUACUUUGGUUGAAUCUGAUCCUUUUUAUGGCUAUGGAUCUGAAACUGUUGUGGCACAUCUUACUAGGUUAAAUGAUAUAGCCACCCUGUUCACUAAUGAUGAGAAAUCUCACUACUACUUUAUCCUUAAGAUAUUUCCGUUCUCAUUAAAGGGUGAUGCUAAAACUUGGUUUAAUUCUCUUGAUCCUGGUUGUGUGCGUAGUCCCCAGGAUAUGAUUUAUUACUUCUCUGCUAAAUAUUUCCUUGCUCAUAAGAAACAAGCUGCCUUGAGGGAAAUAUAUAAUUUUGUGCAAAUUGAAGAAGGGAGUGUCCCACAAGCUUGGGGGAGGCUUCUCUGGUUACUUAAUGCUAUGCCUGAUCAUCCUCUUAAGAAAAAUGAAAUACUUGAUAUCUUUUAUAAUGGACUAACCGAUGCUUCCAAGGAACACUUGGAUAGUUGUACUGGUUGUGUUUUCAGGGAAACAACAGUCGAUCAAGCUGAAUUGCUAUUGAAUAAUAUGUUGACCAAUGAAAAUAAUUGGACACUUCCUGAGCCAAUUCCUGAGCCGACCCCUAAACCAACUCCGAAGAAAAGGGGAGUUCUAUUUCUCAGUCUUGAAGAUAUGCAAGAGGCAAAGAAAUCUAUGAAAGAAAAAGGUAUUAAAGCCGAAGAUGUUAAGAAUUUACCUCCUGUCGAAGAAAUACAUGGUCUUAAUAUACCACCUAUUGAAGAAACACAUGGUCUUGAUAACCCGACACAGGUAGUAAAGGUAAAUUCUCUCUAUAGAUAUGAUAAAGUUGAAAUCCCCUCUACUAAGUUUCCUAGCCAAUGUUUGGAUGAAUUUGAUGACUUUAUGGCUAGACAAGAAAUUUCUUGCUUAUGUUGGUAGAGAAUUAAAGAGUAAUUCUUACAUGAUUGGAUGCUUGAGUGAUUAUAUAGCUAGAGUUAAAGGUGAACUUAAACUCAUUAGUAAAUAUGCUUCUAUGGUUACCACUCAAGUAGAGCAAGUACUUAAAGCUCAAAGUGAUUUGCUCGAUGAAUUAAAUAAUAAACAUGAUUUUGUUGUUAGAGUGGCUACUAGAACUGGUAAAAUGACCCAGGAACCUUUGUAUCCUGAAAGCCAACCUAUGAGAAUUGAGAAAGAUUCUCAAAGAAAUAAUUUUGAUGCACCCAGUCCUUCUAAAAAGAAGAAAAAGAAAAAUGAUAGGACUUUGCAUGCUUCUAGUGAACCUAUUGUAGACACACCUGAGAAUCCCAAUGAUAUUUCUCUUUCUGAUGCUGAAACACAAUCAGGUGAUGGACAUGAACCUAGUGAUAAUGUUAAUGACUCGUGUUGUUGCUCAACCUAGCAAUAAUAAUGAUGUAGAGAUUGAACCUGCUGUUGAUCUUGAUAACCCACAAUCAAAGAAUCAACAUUAUGAUAAAAGAGACUUUGUUGCUAGGAAGCACGGUAAAGAAAGAAAACCAUGGGUUCAGAAACCCAUGCCUUUUCCUCCUAAGCAAUCCCAGAGAAAGGAUGAUGAUGAUUUUGAGCGCUUUGCUGAAAUGAUUAGACCUAUCUUCUUAUGUAUGCGUUUAACUGAUAUGCUUAAAGUUAACCCUUAUGCCAAAUACAUGAAGGCUAUCAUUACAAAUAAAAGAAAGAUACUGGAAGCUGAAAUUUCCACCAUGCUUGCUAAUUAUACUUUUAAGGGUGGAAUAGCAAAGAAACUUGGAGACCCAGGAGUACCAACUAUACCAGGCUCCAUUAAAAGAAACUAUGUUAAAUCUGCCUUAUGUGAUCUUGGAGCCGUUGUUAGUGUUAUGCCUCUCUCUUUAUAUCGUAGACUUGAAUUGAAUAAGUUUACACCUACUGAAAUAUCUUUGCAAAUGGUUGAUAAAUCAACCGCUAUACGUGUCGGUAUUUGUGAGGAUGUGCCUGUUGUGGUUGCAAAUGUCACUAUCUUAACGGACUUUGUUAUUCUUGAUAUUCCCGAGGAGGAUAGUAUGUCGAUUAUCCUCGGUAGACCCUUUCUGAAUACUACAGGGGCGGUUAUUGAUUGCAACAAAGGCAAUGUCACUUUUCAUGUCAAUGGUAAUGACCAUACGGUACACUUUCGAAGGAAACAAUCUCAAGUUCACAGUAUCAAUUCUAUUGGUAAAAUUCCAACUAUCAUUAUUGGAGGUUUUGAAUUUCCUCUUCCUACUGUCAAGAAGAAAUAUGACAUUCCUAUUAUUGGGGAUGUGCAUAUCCCCGUUGAGGUAACCUAGUGUUAUUCGAAAUUUCUCCAGUUCCAUGUUAUUCAGAAUGAGUUUGUUAACAAGACUUGAUCAACCUUGUUAGUGGAUUCCUUUUGAUGAGCAUGGCAUGGAUGAAAUUAGAUGGCACAAACUUCUGUACCCUCCUUUUACUUUCUGUUAUUUAGAAUAAAUAAAGCAAAAAUAGUAUUUUCUUUCUGUUUUCUGAUUAUCCAUGCAAUAAAAAAUACCCCAAAAAUAAAAGUUCUCCAAAUGCCCUGCCAAUUUAGUAUGAUUUGUUCUAAAAUAUUUGAGAAUAUCUGGCACUGAGAACACAACAGGGGGAGCAAGCACCUGGCCACGAGGGUCCAGGGCGCGCCCACCCCUACAGGGUGCGCCCCCUGCCUCGUGGGCCCAUGGUGGCCCCCCUCCACUUAUUCUUGCACCCACACACUUCAUCUUCCUCCCAAAAAAAUCACCAUCCAGCUUAAGCACGAGUUCUAGCUCACUUUGCUGCCAUUUUCGAUCUCCUUGCUCAAAGCUCCAUUCACAAAACUGCUUUGGGGGAUUAUUCCUUGGUAUGUGACUGCUCCAAUGGUCCAAUUAGUUUUUGUUCUAGUGCUUUAUUCAUUGCAAAUUUUUGCUGCCUAGGUGACCCUGUUCUUGAGCUUGCAUGUGAACUUUAUAUGGUCCCAAGUAAUUCUAAUGCAUGAUAUAGGCUCUAGGCACUUGUGGGAGUAGUUGCUAUCAAUUUUGUUGAGUUUGAUUCACUUAUAUUUCGAGUUACUAAAAAUUUCAGAAAUCUAUCUGAGGAAGAAAUAUGUCGAGGAAAAUGUACCAAGGUGGUUCUUCAAGAAAGAAAGGAUCCAGGCUCGCAAUGCAUGAGCAGGACGAUGAACCACCGAGGGAAGCUGAUGUGCGGCUUGUGAAUGGCCGUCAGAGGAGUUUAUGGUCAAGGCAGGCAUCAAGGAUGAAUUUUAUGCAUAUGUGCGUAAUGCCGAUCUUGAGGACUUCAUGCAAGAUAAGUGUUCUCAAUACUACUAUUUGACUGAUUCAUUCAUGAGAAGGUUUAAAUUUACAUCUUCACGUAAUUCUCCAAGUGUCCAAUUUGAUAUUUAUGAUAAAUCAUAUACCAUGGACCUAGAACACUACUGCUUGUAAACUCCCGCAGUGGGGCAAUGUUAAUGAACCCCGUAAAUCUGAAUAUAAAGUCUUUCUUGCUAGUAUCAUUGUGGGAGAAUCUAGAGAAAUAACACAAGCUACCAUAGGGAGCAUUCACUUUCCCGCUAUAAAUUAUUUUGCUCUCUUCAUUGGUAGAUGCAUUAACGGUAAAGAUGAAGCAUGUCACAUGUGUGUUCCUGAUGUUUGUGUUCUCAAGAGUGCUGUAUUAGGUGAUAAACAAUACAACUUGGGGGCAAUUGUUGCACUUAGGUUGCAUAAUAAUGGUUUAGUUGGAGACUUGUUUGGAGGGAUUUAUGCGACCAGUGUGGCUAAUUAUCUUGGUAUACCUGUACAUGAAGAUGAUAGGGAGUUGCCUCCUGCUUAUUUAGAUUAUAAUGCUAUGGCUAAUCAUCAUUUUCUUGAGAGGAAUGAAUAAUUCCUCCAGUACCGACUAAUCUUUGACAGACGUCGUGCUGUCCAUAUUACUCUCCCUGCUCCUGUCCUCUUUGAUUAUCAGGCAAAAGGAAGAUAUGUUAUCACCAGGGAGGAGGCGCACGAGUACGAGAGGAGGACGGAGGCAGCUCGCCGCCAGGCUGCAGCUCAGGAGGCAACGGCUGCACCAUCUUAGUACGACCCCAGUAACAAAUUCGGAUAUCAGCCAGGAUACCCAUGGCCAUAGACCAACUUAUGCCAAAAGCCUAAGCUUGGGGGAGUACGUAUUUCUCACCGACAUUACAUUCAUGUUAACACACUCAUUAUAGUUGUCGGUUCUCAUACUUUUUCAUUAUACUAUCCAUGCUAGUUUAAUUUCUUUUUCUAGCUUUCUUCUUGUGUGUUUGAUAAACCUUAAGAAAAACAAAAAAAAUAGUUAGUUUACUUUCCAAGCUUGUAGUAGUAAUAAAUAAAAAGAAAACCCAAAAAGAUUUCUCGUUCUUCUUUUGUUUGUUGGGAGCUUUCCCGUGUGAAUAGUUUUAUUUCUUUUCUUUCCUUUGGGGGUCGAGAGGAGAAGACCAUAAUGAAAAUGCUGAGUGGCUAUUAUAUGCAUAAUUGUUGAUUUAACCAAGAGUCCAUAUUACCUUGUCUUCUCCCUUGAGUUGAAUUCUUGCAGAUUCCAGCUUAGUCCAAUGCACGUGCACUAUUAUUAUUGUCCACACCGUUCGUUCGUGCAAGUGAAAGGCAAUAAUGACGAUAUAUGAUGGACUGAUUGAGAUGAGAGAAGCUGGUAUGAACUCGACCUCUCUUGUUUUGUAAAUAUGAUUAGUUCAUCGUUCCUGAUUCAGCCUAUUAUGAAUAAACAUGUUUGCAAUGACAAUUAGAUAUUAUAGUUGCUUAUGCCAUGCUUAAUCAUGACUGUUGUGCCAAUAAUGAUAAUAAUUGUCAUGAACAUGCACUAAAAUUAUAUCCUACUCAUGCUUGCACUCGGUGUUGAUUAAUUUUAGUGCAUGUUCAUGACUGUUGUCGCUCUCUCAGUUAGUCGCUUCCCAGCCUCUUUCUAGCCUUCACCUGUACUAAGCGGGAAUACUACUUGUGCAUCCAAACUCCAUAAACCCCAAAGUUAUCCCAUAUGAGUCCACCAUACCUUCCUAUAUGCGGUAUUUACCUGCCAUUCCAAGUAAAUUUGUAUGUGCCAUCCUCCAAACCUUCAAAUGAAAUUCUGGUUUGUAUGCUUGAGCAGCUCAUGUAUCAACUAGGGUUGUCUGUAUCUUCCAUGCUAGGUGGGUUAUUCUCAAGAGGAGUGGACUCUGCUCCUCAUUCAAGAGAAAAUGGCUCAUAACCGGGAUGCCCAGUCCCAUGCUUAAAUCAAAUCAAAAUAAUUAAACAAAACUCCCCCAGAAUUGUUGUUAGUUGGAGGCACCCAUUGUUUCGGGCAAGCCAUGGAUUGAUGCUUGUUGGUGGUGGGGGAGUAUAAACUUUAUUAUUCUGUUUGGGAACCGCCUAUAAUGUGUGUAGCAUGGAAGAUAUCGAGAUCUCAUAGUUGUUAUGUUGACAGUGAAAGUAUACCGCUCAAAAUGGUAUUCAUAUCUAUUUCAAAAUCGAGCUUGGGCACCUCUACAAAUCCCUGCUCCCCUCUCCGAAGGGCCGAUGUAUUUACUUUUAUGUUGAGUCAUCACCCUCUUAUUAAAAAGCACCCGUUGGAGAGCACCGCUGUCAUUUGAAUGCAUUACUAUUAGUUUAUAUUGGUUAUGACUAUGAUUGGAUUUCUUUUACCAUGAAUUACAAUGUUUAGUCAGUCCUUGAUCUUUAAAGGUGCUAUGCAUUUAUGUUUUGCGGUCUCAGAAAGGGCUAGCGAGAUACCAUCUUCUUAUAUCAUAUUUUGAUUGUUUUGAGAAAGUGUUGUCAUCCGAGUUUUAUUAUUAUUGCUCGCUAGUUGAUUAUGCCAUUGAUAUGAGUAAACAUGAGACUUAAGUGUUAUUGUGAAUAUGGUUAGUUCAUAAUCUUUGCUGAAAACUUGAAUGCUGGCUUUACAUAUUUACAACAACAAGAGAAAACAGAGUUUGUAAAAGUUUUUCUUUAUCACUUUCAGUUUGUCAACUGAAUUGCUUGAGGACAAGCAAAGGUUUAAGCUUGGGGGAGUUGAUACAUCUCCGUCGUAUCUACUUUUCCAAACACUUUUGCACUUGUUUUGGACUCUAACUUGCAUGAUUUGAAUGGAACUAACCCAGAGUGAUGUUGUCUUCAGAAAAACUGCCAUGGUGUUAUUUUUGUGCAGAAAUAAAAGUUCUCGGAAUGACCUCAAAAUCCACGAAGAAACUUUUCAGAUUUAAUAAAAAUACUGGCGAAAGAAUUAGCGUCAGGGGGCCCACACCCUGUCCACGAGGGUGGGGGGCGCGCCCCCUCCCCUAGGGCGCACCCCCUGCCUCAUGGGCCUCCUGGACGUCCACCGACCUCAACUCCAACUCCAUAUAUUUUCUUUCGCGGAUAAAAAAAAUCAGAGAGAAAGUUUCAUCGCGUUUUACGAUACGGAGCCGCCGCCAAGCCCUAAUCUCUCUCGGGAGGGCCGAUGGAGUCCGUUCGGGGCUUCGGAGAGGGGGAUUCGACACCGUCAUCAUCAUCAACCAUCCUCCAUCAUCAAUUUCAUGAUGCUCACCGCCGUGCGUGAGUAAUUCCAUCGUAGGCUUGCUGGACGGUGAUGGGUUGGAUGAGAUUUACCAUGUAAUCAAGUUAGUUUUGUUAGGGUUUGAUCCCCAGUAUCCACUAUGUUAUGAGAUUGAUGUUGCUAUGACUUUGCAAUGCUUAAUGCUUGUCACUAGGGCCCGAGUUCCAUGAUUUCAGAUUUGAACCUAUUAUGUUUUCAUGAAUAUAUGUGAGUUCUUGAUCAUAUCUUGCAAGUCUAUAGUCACCUAUUAUGUGUUAUGAUCCGACAACCCCGAAGUGACAAUAAUCAGGAUACUUCUCGGUGAUGACCAUAGUUUGAGGAGUUCAUGUAUUCACUAUGUGUUAAUGCUUUGGUACGGUACUCUAUUAAAAGGAGGCCUUAAUAUCCCUUAGUUUCCACUAGGACCCCGCUGCCACGGGAGGGUAGGACAAAAGAUCUCAUGCAAGUUCUUUUCCAUAAGCAUGCAUGACUAGAUUCGAAAUACAUGCCUACAUUACAUUCAUGAACUGGAGUUAGUUCUGUGUCACCCUAUGUUAUAACUAUUACAUGAGGAAUCGCAUCCGACAUAAUUAUCCAUCACUGAUCCAAUGCCUACGAGCUUUUCACAUAUUGUGCUUUGCUUAUUUACUUUAGCGUUGCUACUAUUACAAUUACUACAAAACUGCUACUAUUACUUUUGCUACUCUUACCGUUACUUCCAUACUACUUUGCUUCUAAAUACUUUGCUGCAUAUACUAAGUUAUCCAAGUGUGGUUGAAUUGACAACUCAACUGCUAAUACUUGAGAAUAUUCUUUGGCUCCCCUUGUGUCGAAUCAAUAAAUUUAGGUUGAAUACUCUACCCUCGAAAACUGUUGCGAUCCCCUAUACUUGUGGGUUAUCAAUGUGCACAAUUCCUCCUGGAUGGCGAGCUCCUCCUUCAUCUUGAUGCCCCGGACGCCAUCAGAGAACGCUGAGAUGAUGGCCUCGUCCGUCACCUUGGGGAUCUUGAGGCGGACGCUGUUGAAGCACUGGAUGUAUUUCUACAGGGUCUCCCCGGGCUGCUGCUUGAUGCGGCGCAGGUCACCCGCAGCCGGGGGGUGGUCGUGAGUGCCCUGGAAGUUGGUGAUGAAGCGGCUGCGCAUCUCGUCCCAGGAGGAGAUCGAGCCGGGAGGCAGGUUCAGGAGCCACGAGCGGGCACCGUCCUUGAGUGCCAUGGGAAACCAAUUCGCCAUGACCUUCUCGUCGCCGUUGGCCGCCUCAAUGCUCAGCUCGUAGAGCUACAAGAACUCCGCAGGGUCGGGGGUGCCGUCAUAGCGAGGAGGCAGGUCUGACUUGAACUUGCCCGGCCAGGCAACACUACGCAGCUCGGGGGUGAAGGCGCUACAUCAUGCUGUGGUCACCGGGGCCCUUUGCUGACACAGAUCUUGCUCUUGACGGUACCCGCGCACCGCUGCCACAGGCAGCACGUGGUCUUGUCGCACCGGUGUAGGGAGCAUGGGGGUGCCUUCUUGAGGCCGAGGGAUUUCUUGACAGCUUCCUCCUUCUCGCGCGGGCGCCAGACGUGGUGGGUCACGCCUAGGGGCCGGGCUCCUUGGCGCCAGGGCGCCAUCUUGAGGCAGAGGUGGUGGAGGCGCUCCAUGAGCCACGUCGCCCGUACCUGGCAGAGGGCGAGGCAACGAGAGGGACGGCGCGGGAGAGCCCCCUAUGGUGCUGACGAGCUCGGUGAUGUGAGCGAGCCAUUCCUCGUAGAGGUCAUCGACGGGGUGGUAACACAGGAGCUCGCGCGCCAUAAGCAGUGCGGCCUGCGCGUCUGUGGGGGCGUGACAAGCGUGGGAUGAUGAGCCGGCUGGGAUCAACGAUGGAGUGGCGGUGCAGCCGUCCCGCUGCAUCGAGGGGUGUAGCGAGGAUGCUUGCUGCUCGUUCCCCGCCGGGCCGGUGGCGGCAGGCGACGGAUAACGAUGGGGAGGCCCGACGACAGGAGCUAUCUGGGCGACGCGUGCGGCGAGAGCGGCCCGAUGCUAAGCGCGGGCUCGGCGGGCGUCAGACAUGGAUGCGGCAAAGCGAUGGGACACAUAUCAGCGGAAGGAAGACUACAACGCACCCCUACCUGGCGGGCCAAAUGUUGGAUUUAGGGUUCCGGCAAAACCCUUGAGGUUCGAACACUGGGGUGCGCACAGAGAUUUCCCCAUACCGAAUCUCGCCCUCAGCCUCGCCGCGGUCUCUAAGCUUAGCUCAAUGAACUCACAACACAAGAGACACAAGAUUUAUACUGGUUCGGGCCACCGAUGUGGUGUAAUACCCCACUCCAGUGUGGUGGUGGUGGAUUGCCUCUUGGGCUGAUGAAGAACAAUACAAGGGAAGAACAGCCUCCUGAGGAGAGGUGUUCUUGUGCUUGGUGGAUGCAAGGAUGAACUAAGUUCGUUCCAGUCUGCCUUCUACUGUGGUGGCUAGUCCUAUUUAUAGAGGCCCUAGUCCUCUCACAGCUAGUACAAGCUAUCCUGACUAAAGGUGGUUGUCGGUGUCAAAAUCGGACAGGAGGCAGGGGACACGAUGUUUUACCCAGGUCCGGGCCCUCUCGAUGGAGGUAAUACCCUACUUCCUGCUUGAUUGAUCUUGAUGAUAUAAGUAUUACAAGAGUUGAUCUACCACGAGAUCGUAGAGGCUAAACCCUAGAAGCUAGCCUAUGAUUAUGAUUGUCGUUGUCCUACAGACUAAACCCUCCGGUUUAUAUAAACACCGGAGGGGGCUAGGGUUACACAGAGUCGGUUACAGAGAAGGAGAUCUACAUAUCCGAAUUGCUAAGCUUGCCUUCCACGCAAAGGAGAGUCCCAUCCAGACACGGGAUGAAGUCUUCAAUCUUGUAUGUUCAUAGUCCAACAGUCCGGCCAAAGUAUAUAGUCCGGCUGUCCGAGGACCCCUUAAUCCAGGACUCCCUCAGUAGCCCCUGAACCAGGCUUCAAUGACGAUGAGUCCGGCGCGUAGAUUGUCUUCGGCAUUGCAAGGUGGGUUCCUCCUCCGAAUACUCCAUAGAAGAUUUUGAACACAAGAAUCGUGUCCGGCUCUGCAAAACAAAUUCCACAUACCACCGUAGAGAGCACAAUAUUCCACAAAUCUAAUCUGCUGACAACUUUUUGUAGCAUGACCUCACGCCAUGGUCCGGUCUUUAUUCGAACCGUUUUUCGCAACCAGCCACUACACUACUGUGAAGCAGUUUUAUUGGCACGUCUUGUCGAAGCAGAGAUCAUGUUCCCCUUAUCACGGGAUUCUCAUCAAUACAGGUGUGGGUAACCCAACCGCGCUUGUUUAAUAUGACUCCUUGAUUUUUAGGCAAGUCCCAAACGGUCACGAGGGGGACGCUUGAUAUUCGUCCUCUUUAUAAGGGGGCCAAGGCCUGUCCUUUUCUUCCCAUGGUCGAUCCUACCCCUCCCGCACCUCGAGUUCGAACACCCAAAGCUCAAGCAUAAGCACUUAGGACCUUCGACCAUGUACGGAUCGAACCUACAAGGCCGGUGGAUGGCCUCCUCUGUCACAGAGGAGGACAUCAAGAAGGUUAGGGAGGCCAGGUAUCUCACCGCCGAAAUCCCGCACAGGCUGCCUGCUCAAGGGCAGGUCAUCCCCACUCCCGAACCCAACGAGAGUGUCAUAUUUAUUUCCCACUUCCUCCUGGGUCUAGGUUUUAGUCUUGAUCCCUUCGUGAGAGGGCUCAUGUUCUAUUACGGGCUAGAUUUCCACGAUCUAACCCCGGAUUCCAUCCUUCACAUCUCGUCGUUUAUUGUCAUGUGUGAAGCCUUCCUCCGUGUCACCCCCCACUUCGGCCUAUUUCUCAAGACCUUCAAUGUGAGGCCGAAGGUGAUCGACGGGCAUCACGUGGAGUGCGGAGGUGCUAUAAUAAGCAAGGGCGCCGACGUCCCAUGGCCAAAGGGUUCCUUCACAGAAACUUCUGACUUAUGGCAACGGGAGUGGUUUUACAUCACAGCUCCCCGAGGUACAAAGCGGGCGGCCGCUCCAGCGUUCCGCUCGGGCCCUCCGCCACAGCUGGUGUCAUGGGUCAAGAAGGGGCUGGAUUGGGGGCCAGUCAAUGACGUGCUGACACUGCAAAGCCGCAUCUGAGACCUUCUUAAGAGGGACGUCAGUCUUGUCAAGGUAAUGCAAGUAAUGCUGGUUCGUCGGGUCCUGCCCUGCCAACGUUGACCUCUCCGUAUGUGGGAGUUCAACCCAGAAGGACCGUGAACCAUUCAACACUUCUUCGGCAUGACACUCAAAGAGAUGUACUGGUUGUUCUUCGGAUCACGAAUAAAGUGUCCGGACACCACGAGGAUGUGGGUCUCAACUGCAACCAUCCGGAUAUCCAAGUAAGUAAUUCCGCUACCGAACACACUGUCCUUUAUGUUUGUUUUAACAUCAUUCUGAAAAACUUCUCUAUGCUAGGACUGGAUAAGGAAGGCGAAUAGGAUUAGGUGUUCGGCCCCUCUUCCCGAAGGCUCGCCAGAUCCUCUAUUGAUCAGGAUGCUUGAGCGCGCAUCGUAUCAGGUGCCAUCAGGAGAAGAUGAGUGGAGGAAUAGAGAAGCCACCGAUGGGCUUCGUACUUUACACAUCCAAAUCAGGGGAAUAAGUGCCUCCAUGAAGGAGGAUAAUCGGGGAGGUGAAUCUGAAAUACCGUCUCCUCAUGGUAAGAAAAGGGCCGCCUCUGAAGGCUUGGAAACGGAGGCUUCCAAACGAGGGAGAAAACCCUCACUAGGGGGCCCUGUCCCAGAGGGCGUCCUUACCGCACAGCGCCCGCAUGGGGGCCAGCCCUCAACCGAGCUGUAAGUGAAAAAAUGUACUUUGGUAAGUAUAUCUUGUCUUGUCUCUGAGAAUAAUAAUCGAGACAUAUUUGCUGCAGUCCGGCUCGUGGCCCUUCUCCAUAGAGUUCCUCUUUGGGGCAUCUUCUUCCAGAGAUGAUGGAGAGUGAAACGCCUCCUCCUGCCUCCCCUCCACAUGGGGCGGACGACCCCGAGGUGUCGUCAUGGAGGAUUUCUCCUGAUCCGCCAAGGCCAGAAGUUGAUACUUCGGCUGCCCAAAGUCCGGAAUAUCCGGCUCCCAGGGAGAGCUUCAGGAAGAGUCUGGGAUUGUCCGGCACACAGCCAGACACACUAAUGGGUCUUCUGGAGCGAGCGGCCAUCUCAGAGACACAUCGUGCCUUAAUGGGUAUGGUGGUUCAGAGGAUUUCAUCCGCCAAAAGCGGUUUGAAUGAGGCUUUUACGAGUCUGCUGAGAGGCUUUAAGGUACGCAAAGAGUAAUAUAUGUAUUUUUUACGGCACCGCACAUGCUAGGUGUGCUCUGUAUAGAUAGUAGCCCCUGAGACUUUGGUUGCCAUCCGAAGGUGGUGAACAGGGGAUCAUAAUCUCUGGUAAUAACCGCGUUGCUUUAUGUGCAGGCAGCUGAGGGUCCGACGGCUGACCAGACUCAUGAUUUUGCCGAACUGAAGCGGCAGCUUGACAUGGCCGAUGCCGACAUCGCGCUUGUUAACAAGCGGCUUGACGAGGCCCCGGGUAUGUAUGUUCGACUUGUCAGCAAAUUUUUAAGAGGAGCAUGAUGCUAGUAUCUAUAAUAUGCUAUGACUGCAGAUGGAGGUGCUGCCGUGGAGACCCUUCGUGCGGAGCUUGCCCGAGCCAAGGAGCAAGCCCGAAUAAGUGAUGCAGCCGCUCUGAAGGCGGUUGAGGAGUUAAGAGCCGAACAGGCUGCUCAUCGCCAGAGCGAAGAAAAGAUAGCCCAGCUGGCUGCUGAGCUGAGAGAUGCCGCCGACCGCCAUGAGCUCCUUGAAAAGGAAAACCAAGUGAAAGUGGCUGACCUGAAGAAGGCCCUGGAGGCAGCCAAGGAAACCCGCUCUGAAAUCAGAGGGAUAAGGGAGGAGCUUCGUGAAGCCAAGGAUAUCACAGUUGGGAGGCCGUAUCUUUUGUGAAUGAAGUUCGGAGAUCCGAAGUAUGCCCCUCUGGAUCAGUUGUGGAGCGCUGCGGAAGCGUAUGCAGACCUUGCAAAGAGUGUUGCUGAUGCGACCGAAUUUUACAAAGAUCGGAAAGACCAUAAGGUGGAAAGGUUAUUCUGGUCGCAGUUCGGUGCUCCGACGCGUCCGCUGCCGUUGAAUGAAAGGAUGGCCGCAUGGGACGAGCUCCAUAGGUUGUCCGGGCUUGCUAUGAGGUCUGUCGUGGAUCAUCUUUGGCCACAGGGACCAAGGCCGGACAAUUAUUUUGGAUUAGUGCAACAAUUCCUUGGUGCUGUGUCGCAUAUCGAUGCUGUGAAGAGGUCGACAUGCAUAGAGGGUGCACGGAUGGCUCUUGCCCGUGUUAAAACAUACUGGGUAGGGAUGGAAACCACCAUUAUUGCAACCCGGGGUUCGGCGGGAGGCCAGGACCCAGCCAAGCACUAUUUUGAAGAAGUCCUAGAAGGCGCCCGUUUGAUGGAGGCUCAGUGCUUGAAGAGUGCCAUGUUCAAGUGACAUGUAUCUCCAUUGUAAAAACAAUGCUAUUUUGAUUAUAAAGGCUGUGUUUAUACUUUUGCCCAAAGUAUUAUAGUGCCUCCUGUGCGGUCGUUUAUGUAUGUAUAUGACCUGAAAGUUUGCAGUCGUCGGCUUCAGCCCCCACGCAUAUAAUGCGGGGGUGUUCGAGAAAACGCGUAGUCACAUUUGAUCCAACGUCUUGGUCCGUUAAGGAGGUGAUAUCGCGGCGAACCGGGCAAUCGGACUACAUAGCUUUAACACUUCCACUUAGCCAUAGGAGUUCGAUGGGGCUACUAUAUAGCCCCUGGUACUUCCGCGUUCAUCCAAAUAUGGUGCGCGUAUGUAUGUGACCGGGAAACUGGUCCUUCGUUAAUGCGGAGGAAUCGCGAAGAUUCCACUGAGUCAUCGAGUGGUUGACCAGUCUCGCGCUGUAUCAUGAUAGUCAGUUUUCGGCUUUCUCUACUGAGGUACUCAUCCAGAUGAACCAGGGCACAAUCGCAGUAGUUCUCCCGGUGCCGCCUUAGCCGGUAGAGCGGAACCUAAGGUAGCAAAACACGGGAGCCAGGCAAACCCAACAUUUGACCAAAGACAGGAUUCGGAGCUGAUGCAUAUAAGGCCAAACUCGCGACGCCGAACACUCCCUAAGGUAUUCAGACUUUACAACAUAUACUGGGCUGAAUAACACCCUCGAUAAUGAGCCAUGUGUUUCCAGGUACAUGCAUUAGUUUGGCGUGAUGAAGUGUCAAGAACGCUAGUAUCCCCCUGGUUGUGUUAAGUGUCCGGAGGGGAAGAAGCAACAAGAGACAUUAAAAAAGGUUUACGUAGGGGCUUAAUCUAAAGAGAAACCUUUGAGCGGGGCCCUGCUACAUGUCUACGCCUUUAUCUCCGUUGUGCCCUAUCUUGGAAGGGUAUAGCACGAUGAUCAUCUGUAAAAAGGGGUAAUCCCAGGUGAAAGACUUCGUGCGAGGAGUUGGUUCAUCUGAAUGAACCAUGAAAAUGCAAUAUGCUAUCAUAUUAAUAGGGUCGAGCCAAACUAAGGGCUUCUGUUUUUUGCGAGCAGCCCCUAGCACCACUUAUGGGGGUAUCCCCAGCUCGGGUUUAUAUGGGCGCGCCGGACUCGUCUAACCGUGUCCAUGGUCUUGACGACCGUUUAUUAUGGUUGGAUGGGCCGCUCAGUGUUCGGCUACUAGAGCCGCCACGUAUUCUUUCGCACGUAAGGAACGCACUGUAUUUCCGCUAACUGUGAUGACGCCACACGGACCGGGCAUCUUAAGUUUAAGAUAGGUGUAGUGCGGUACUGCAUUAAAACGAGCAAAGGCCGUUCUUCUGAGUAGUGCGUGAUAGCCGCUUCAGAAUGGAGCGAUGUCGAAGAUUAGUUCUUCGCUUAUGAAGUUGUUGCGAGAACGAAUACAACCUCUAGUACUAGAGAGCCCAUACAGUGGGCCUCGACGCCUGGUAUCACUCCUUUAAAGGCAGUAUUGCUUUGGCUAAUUCUUGAUGGGUCUAUCCCCAUUUUGCGGACAGUGUCCUGAUAUAUCAGGUUAAGACUACUUCCGCCGUCCAUAAGGACUCGAGUGAGAUGGUAUCCAUCAAUUAUUGGGUCGAGCACCAUGGCUGCCGAUCCUCCGUGCCGGAUACUAGUCGGAUGAUCCCUGCGAUCAAAAGUGAUCGAGCAGGCCGACCAAGGAUUGAAUUUGGGAGCGACGGGCUCCAUAGCAUAUACGUCUCGGAGUGCGCAUUUGCGGCUUCUCUUUGGAAUGUGAGUUGCGUAAAUCAUAUUCACCGUUUGGCUAGUGGGAAUUUCUUCUAUCCCAUAGUGUUUGGCUAGCGAGGCUCAUCCUCGUCUUCGCUUGGCGUCUCCCGUCCCUUGUGUUCGGCAUUUAGCUUGCCGGCCUGCUUGAAAACCCAGCACUCUCUAUGAGUGUGAUUUGCAGGUUUUUAGGGGGUGCCGUGAAUCUGACAUAAUUUGUCUAGAAUCUUGUUUAGGCUGGACGGUCUAUCUCUGCUGCCUUUAAAUGGAUUCUUCCGUUGACCGGGUCAAGAGCUUCUAAAUUUGGCGUUGACCGUCGUGUUCUCUGGGCUGUCAUCAUUGUUUCUACGCCUGUUUUUGUUGCGUCGCGGCUUCCCAUUGCCAUCCCUUACUUCGGAUGUGCCUGGGUCGCUGGUGCCGCUACGGGCCAGCCAGCUGUCCUCACCCGCACAAAAGCGGGUCAUAAGGCUUGUUAAGGCUACCAUCGUCCUCGGCUUUUCCUGGUCCAGGUCUCUAUCCAGCCAUUCAUCCCGGAUACUGUGCUUGAAGGCCGCUAAGGCUUCGGCAUCCGGGCAAUUGAUGAUUUGAUUCUUCUUAGUAAGAAAUAUGUUCCAAAGUUUUCGGGCUGACUCUCCGGGCUGUUGAAUUAUGUGACUUAAGUCGUCUGCAUCCGGAGGUCGGACAUAGGUCCCUUGAAAAUUGGCCCUGAAAGCAUCCUCAAGUUCUUCCCAACUUCCAAUUGAGUUUUCAGGAAGGCUUUUCAACUAGUGCCGAGCUGGUCCUUUCAACUUGAGGGGUAGGUAUUUAAUGGCAUGGAGAUAAAGUCCUCAAUCCAGACCCCAGGGUCUGUCGUUCUGUCGUAUGCCUCUAUAUUCACGGGUUUAAAUCCUUCUGGAAAUUCAUGGUCCAGUACCUCAUCAGUGAAGCACAAGGGGUGUGCGGCACCCCUGUAUUUGGACGCGUCGUGGCAUGCUAUCGACGGUUGUUGUAUUCGGUGUUGAUUCCUAGCUGGUAUUCGAUCAAUGUGAUCGUUUUGGUAGCUCUGAUCCUGUGCCGAAGUGCGCUUUCUAGAUCCAUAGAUUGACCUGGUCAUACCGGACUUCUUGUCCAGGAGCUCACGUAAAUCGUGUGCUCACUUGUGUGCGGCAUCAUUAGCUGUCCUGUCGUGGCCACGGGGUGGUCGGUCCCGCUGAUCGGUCGUUUUCGGCUGAAUGGGCUCUAUGGCCUCAUCGUCGAAUUCGGGCAGCAGCUUGCACUUUGGAUAUCUCUUUGUGUGGCGAUUGCCGCCGUAUUUUUCUUCAGUGUCGAGCACUUUGUUCCACCAGUGGUUGAGCAUAUCCUGCGAGGCUUUAAGCCUUCGCUUCUGCUUCUUUAGGCCCCUCGCGGUGGCAAUAAGCCUUCUGUGGAGGUUCUCUUGUUCCAAGUGUUUUUCUGGGAUGAUGAGUGCACCAUCGUCCGGACUCUUCUCCUCUCCGGAGACAGGUUGGUAAAGUUCACCCUCGGGAUCGGCGUCAUCUGACGUCGGUUCCGGACUAUGUUCACUGUCCCCUGGCUCAUCUUGCUCCAUCGCUGGGUCCAUGGGGUCGUCGUUUCCCUUGGAGUCGACCGAGGUAUUAUUCUUUCUUGCGCUGUUGUCGCUGUUUUUACUGUGGCGGGAUUUAGAGCGUCGCCUACGGUGCCGCUUUGGUGGCUUAUCGAGGGGAUUACCCUUCGUUGCAUCAUCACCAUUGCCUUUUGGUGUGUCCACCAUAUAUAUAUAUAUAUAUCUUAUGAUGAGGUGGCAGACUAGCGCCCAGUGGACGGUGGUUCCUGUUCUUGUCCUGCAUCGUCUGUCAUCGACAGUGGCUAUGAAGUGAGUGGUGGGUGGGGAACGAAUUUCUUCGUCAUCCGCUUCCCACUCGAGACGAACAUAGUUUGGCCAGGAGUCUCCUAACAAGGAGAGAGACUUUAAUGAAUUUAGCACAUCACCCAAGGGCGAGUGCUGAAAAAUAUCCACGGAGGUGAACUCCAUGGCCGGUGCCCAAUCAGAUUCGAUAGGUACGGGCAUAUGCGGUUCGGACCCUGUAGCCGGAGACAAGUCCGGGAGUCCGAUGACACCACCCUCAAAGGAGGUGGGGUCAGUGUUCGGCUCCAACACCGAUGAGUGUGCGGCCUCUGUGGCGGGGUCCAUCCACCCGUCCUCGAAAGCGUGCGGUCUGCUCCGGAUUGAUUCUCGAGGCCGCCGCAGGUGCGAUCUCCUGAACACUGUCUGAUGGCAGAUCUAAGUCAUGCUCGUCACGACUGUUCGGCGUGCCUGACAUGGGCUCGAAUCCGUCGAAGAUCAAGUCUCCACGGAUGUCGGCAGUAUAGUUCAAGCUUCCAAACCUAACCUGGUGGCCAGGGGCGUAGCUAUCGAUCUGCUCCAGGUGGCCAAGCGAGUUGGCCCGUAGUACUAAGCCGCCGAAUAUGAAGAUCUGUCCGGGAAGGAAAACCUUCCCUUGGACCGCGUCGUUGAAGAUGAUUGAAGGGGCCAUCGAGCCUUAUCGUGACGACAUAGUGGAACUCUCAACGAAAGCACCAAUGUUGGUGUCAAAACCGGCGGAUCUCGGGUAGGGGGUCCCGAACUGUGCGUCUAAGGCUAAUGGUAACAGGAGACAGGGGACACGAUGUUUUAUCCAGGUUUGGGCCCUCUUGAUGGAGGUAAUACCCUACUUCCUGCUUGAUUGAUCUUGAUGAUAUAAGUAUUACAAGAUUUGAUCUUCCACGAGAUCGUGGAGGCUAAACCCUAGAAGCUAGCCUAUGAUUAUGAUUGUUCUGGUCCUACGGACUAAACCCUCUAGUUUAUAUAGACACCGGAGAGGGCUAGGGUUACACAGAGUCGGUUACAAAGAAGGAGAUCUAUAUAUCCGAAUUGCCAAGCUUGCCUUCCACGCAAAGGAGAGUCCCAUCCGGACACGGGACGAAGUCUUCAAUCUCGUAUCUUCAUAAUCCAACAGUCCAGCCAAAGUAUAUAGUCCGGCUGUCCGAGGACCCCUUAAUCUAGGACUCCCUCAGUGGUCUUCGCCUGUCAAAGGCGCUGGUGGUGACGCCGUCUUGGGCACCACGAUGACCUCCGUCCUACCGUCCUGCUGGUCUUGGUCUUGUUGCACCGAUAUGGAAACCUUUUCCUGAUGCCUCGGUACUCCGCGCCUAUGCUUGCCCCUUAGCAUCAAAGGGGAAACGAGGACACUGCGCACACUGGCGCCCGCCUGGCCUUGGUCGUCAUGGCUUGCAUCACGAGAACCUCACGAGGUACCCCUUGCCUUGAUCUCUCCGCCCCCUCGUGAGCCUGCCUGGUGAGGCCGCUCCUUAGGAGGCCUUGCGUCAUCCGCCUCACGAGGCAUGGCCCCUCGCGAGGUUCUUGAGUGUUGGUUGACGAAGACGGGCCAUGUUAGGCCACUGGUGUAACGCCCCGGAUUCGAUGCGCCAGGUGUCUACCAGUUAUUCGCCGUCAUUGCCAUGUCAUUUGCUUGCAUGUUGCAUAUUGCCAUGUCAUCAUGUGCAUUUCAUUUUGCAUACGUGUUCGUCUCAUGCAUCCGAGCAUUUUCCCCGUUGUCCGUUUUGCAAUCCGGCACUCCUAUGUCCUCCCGCGUUCCCCUUUUUGUCUCCUGUUGUGAGCGGGUGUUAAACAUUCUCGGAAUGGCCCGAGGUUUGCAAAGCGGCCUUGGUACACCACCGGUAGACCGCCUAUCAAGUUUCGUGCCAUUUGGAGUCCGUUUGAUACUCCAACGGUUAACCGGGUAACCGCAAAGCCCUCUUUGUGUUGCAGCCCAACACCCCUCCAAAGUGGCCCAAUAACCCAUCCUAACCCCCUUCAUGCUCUCGGUCAUUCGAUCACGAUCGUGUGGGCGAAAACCGUGCCUCAUUUGGACACUCCUAGCUACCUCUACCUAUAUAUAUAUAUGUGCCUCCCCUGAAAUUCUCGCAGUCCAAACCCUAGCCUUCUUCCCUCCGCGCCGCCGGACAAACCUCCCCACCGCGCCGGACAUGUCCGCCGCCAGCCUCCACGUCACUCGGGCCAAUCACGAGGUGACACGUCACCUCCUCCGCCUCCCUCCUCCACUCACAGUGCGCCACGUCAGCGCCCGCGCCGCCCCACUUCGCCGCCGGCCCGCGGGACCCAGAUCCGGCCCACGCGAGCCCGCGCGUCGCCGCUGCUCGCCCGCCGCGGCCCGAAUCCCGCGCCGCCUGGCUCCCUCCUCGCNNNNNNNNNNNNNNNNNNNNNNNNNNNNNNNNNNNNNNNNNNNNNNNNNNNNNNNNNNNNNNNNNNNNNNNNNNNNNNNNNNNNNNNNNNNNNNNNNNNNNNNNNNNNNNNNNNNNNNNNNNNNNNNNNNNNNNNNNNNNNNNNNNNNNNNNNNNNNNNNNNNNNNNNNNNNNNNNNNNNNNNNNNNNNNNNNNNNNNNNNNNNNNNNNNNNNNNNNNNNNNNNNNNNNNNNNNNNNNNNNNNNNNNNNNNNNNNNNNNNNNNNNNNNNNNNNNNNNNNNNNNNNNNNNNNNNNCCCGCCUCCGGCGCUCGGAUCCGGCCAGAGCGCCCGGAUCCGGUGCCCUGCAGCCUUCCCGCUGGCCCCGCGCCCUCACCGGCGUCGCCACCGGCCGCCGCCGCCCCUGCCUCCCCGGUCCCGAGCGGGAUCGAGGGAGACGACGGCGACUGCCUCCCGCUCCUCCCCGCGUGGUCCCCGCAGCCGGCUGAGCCCAAGCCGGCCUGCCUCCUCCUCCUUCCUGGGCCGAGCCCAUGUGCUGAGCAACCCGCAGAUCCCCGCUCGUGUGUUAUUUAUUAUAUCGCGCUCUCUCCGUUUUUUUCCUGAAAACUGCAAAGUCCCGAAAUAGUUACAUUCUGUGCUAACUUUGACCUGCUGCAACUCCAUGCAUACUGCUUCGUUUCAUGCAUCUAAUAUGUCAAAAUGUUCAUUGUGAGAUGCUCUUCAGUUUUUUACAUUGGGUGAUGUUCAUUUGAGUCCAUAUGGAUGCCCAAAUCAUCAUUGUAAGAGUGCAUGUUGCUGUUAAUCUGCUGAAACUGUUAUAACUUGGUGAUUUGUCAUUUUCGUUGCAUUUGAAAUGUGCAUCCUAUGAGCAUGAGCUCUACAUGUGUUUUGAACUACAUCAUGCCAUAUUUACAGAGGUGCAAUCCAUUUUUUUUGUGAGUCUUGUAGUGAGUGCUUCAAGCUCGUGAAGUAGGGCACUUGCUGUUACUGUCUUGCUAGGCUGAAUCUAUUAUAUUAUGAUGCUAUAUAAACCUGAUGCUACAAGUCAUUAUAUGCAUAAUAUGAAGAUGUUCACUAAGGAUGAUUUGUUACACAUUCCAUGCUCUAUCAAUCCUUUCCCCUGGUUGCAUUUAUAACCUUCUGUAGCUUGUUGUAAUCUUGCUCCAAAGUUGCUAAAUAAUGUUGUUGUCAGCCUGUUAACAUUAAGUUCAAUGUUGCCAUGAUUGUUGUUAGUGAUCCAAGCAUGCUAUGAACUUGAUCUUGCCAUUCUUAGCUUCAUAAACAUUCCUUCUUACUGUUGGUUGUCUUGCCAGGCCAUGUAUUGCUCUGUGGUGAGUGGUACAAGCUCACCCACAUGCCUACUUAUUGUUGUUCCUGCCAUGUCUGAAUCUGUCAUAUCAUUUGCCAUGUUUACAUGGAUGCCAUCUUAUCGUCUGAUCCUUUUUGGAUCAUGGUUAGUAAGGGACUUUUGCUCUAUGAAAUUAGUAGAUUCAUUCCAUGCCUUUGGUUGCCAUCAUAAGUUCCUGUAACAUGUUGUUGUAUAGCUAUAAACAUUGCAACCUGAUGUUAUUUUCUGAUAAGUCUGAAACUGUUAUUAUUUGCAUUCUUGCCAUGUGUUUUUGAGCAUGUUCUAGUGAUUUCUGGAGAUAGCUCAGUGUUCAUGUUUUGUCAUGCUUUACCUGUACUUCAUGACCAUGCCUUUUGUUAUUAUGUUUAGGUGCUGUAGUAUGUUGUUGUGAUGCUUGUUAGAUGCCUAUUUGCUGUUUUGGACAGCUUGUCCUUUAAACUUUUAUUGUGUGUAUGUGUUGAACCGUUGCUUGGUUUUGAGUGUGCUCUAUAUGAAACUUGCUUGAUUUUGCAUUUAGUUUCAUAUUAUCAUGUUGCAUCCUUGUCUUGAGGUGUUUGCUUGAUGUUUGUAUGCAUUUGGCAUCAAUGCCAUGUUUAACUUGUUUUGCUCAUAUCUUCUAGGCCGUAGCUCCGAAUUAAAUGAACUUUAUAUAUAACUUGACUAGAAUCUCGUGUAGAUAAUCUUGGUGCAUCUUAACUUGCUGUUUAACAACUUAAACAUAAUGUUUGUUCAGAUCUGGACCAAUUUCGAAAUUUGCAUAUGAGGACUUACCGGAAUUGUUAUAUGUUGUUUCUGGCCUCAUUUAAACUUGUUUUGAUGUGUUGCUCUUGUAUGCAUCAUGUCUUUCCAUGAGUAGCCUCAUCUAGUUUUGUCAUGCAUCAUGUUUGGUUGUGCAUCAUGUCUUGUUCAUGUGUGGUGUGUUUACCAUGUUGUGUGCUUCUUCUCUAUAGUUCCUGUUUCCUUGCGAUCGUGAGGAUUCAUUCGUCUACGCUACGUUCGUCUUUGUGGCUUCAUCUUCUUCAUGGACUCAUUCUUCUUCCUUGCGGGAUUUCAGGAAAGAUGAUCGUCACCCUAGAUCUCACUACUAUCAUUGCUAUGCUAGUUGCUUCGUUCUAUCGCUAUGCUGCGCUUCCUAUCACUUGUUCUUCAAGCCUCCCCAAUUUGCCAUGUCAGCCUCUAACCUUUUCACUCUUCCCAGCAAACCAUUGUUUGGCUAUGUUACCGCUUUGCUCAGCCCCUCUUAUAGCGUUGUUAGUUGCAGGUGAAGUUGAAGAUUGCUACAUGGUGGACAGGAUUUUAUUGGGAUAUCACAAUAACUCUUAUUUAAUUUAAUGCAUCUAUAUACUUGCUAAUGGGUGGAAGACUCGGCCUUAUGCCUGGUGUUUUGUUCCACUCUUGCCGCCCUAGUUUCCAUAAUACCGGUGUUAUGUUCCCGGAUUUUGCGUUCCUUACGCGGUUGGGUGAUUUAUGGGACCCCUUGACAGUUCGCUUUGAAUAAAACUCCUCCAGCAAGGCCCAACCUUGGUUUUACCAUUUGCCUCACCUAGCCCUUUUUUUGCCUUGGGUUUCCGGAGCCCGAGGGUCAUCUUUAUUUUAGCCCCCCCGGGCCAGUGCUUCUCUAAGUGUUGGUCCGAACCGAGUAGACUGUGGGGCCCCCUCGGGGAAAUUUGAGGUCUGGUUUUACUCGUAGGAUGUCUCAUCCGGUGUUGCCCUGAGAAUGAGAUAUGUGCAGCUCCUAUCGGGAUUGUCGGCGCAUCGGGUGGCUUUGCUGGUCUUGUUUUACCAUUGUCGAAAUGUCUUGUAAACCGGGAUUCCGAGACUGAUCGGGUCUUCCUGGGAGAAGGAAUAUCCUUCGUUGAUCGUGAGAGCUUAUCAUGGGCUAAGUUAGGACACCCCUGCAGGGUUUAAACUUUCGAAAGCCGUGCCCGUGGUUAUGUGGCAGAUGGGAAUUUGUUAAUGUCCAGUUGUAGAUAACUUGACACCAGAUCCGAAUUAAAACACAUCAACCGUGUGUGUAGCCGUGAUGGUCUCUUUUCGGCGGAGUCCUAGAAGUGAACACGGUUUUGGGUUAUGUUUGACGUAAGUAGGAGUUCAGGAUCACCUUGUGAUCAUUGCUAGCUUCACGACCGUUCCGCUUGUUUCUCUUCUCGCUGUUAUUUGCGUAUGUUAGCCACCAUAUAUGCUUAGUCGCUGCUGCAACCUCACCACUUUACCCCUUCCUUUCGCUUUAAGAUUUGCUAGUCUUGAUACCCAUGGUAAUGGGAUUGCUGAGUCCUCAUGGCUCACAGUUUACUACAACAACAGUUGCAGGUACAAGUUAUGCGACGAUCAUGAUGCGAGAGCGAUGUUUGCUUGUUUUGGAGUUCUUCUUCUGCUUCUUCUUCGAUCAGGGGAUAGGUUCCAGGUCGGCAGCCUGGGCUAGCAGGGUGGAUGUCGUUUGAGUUUAUGUUUGUGUUUCAUCCGUAGACGGAUGGUGCUCUUAUGUAAGAUGAUGUUGUAUUCGUGUGGCAUUGUAUGCCUUAUGUAUGUGUCCCCACUACUAUGUAACGUUGAUGUAAUGAUAUCCACCUCGCAAAAGCGUCUCAAUAUGCGGUUCUAUCCUUCGUGGGACCUUCGAGUCUCUUAAGGAUAGUAUCGCAUAUUGGGCGUGACAAGUUGGUAUCAGAGCCUCGACCGACCAUAGGAGCCCCCUUGAUUGUUGGCCGUUGUUGAGUCUAGAAGAAAACUGUUUUUGGAGUCUAGUUAUAUCGGAGAGUAGGACUUCUUUUUACUCCUCUGCCCCUUCGUCGCUCUGGUCAGGAAUCUUGACAUAGGUGUUUUGAGUUACUCCUCUUCCCCUUCAAAUUUUUCUUUAGGAUCACGCAGUUGGUUUUUCGAUCGUUGUUCCUUAGCUCUUUGCAUCCGGUGCAUUUCUCGUCAAGUUGACUCGAGCCUCUUCAUCGAUGCCAAGUUCAAUCCUCAGUUGUUUUCUUUUCCCACCCGCCCACCCGUUUUCUUCUCGGAGCCGGAAUCCAUAAUCGAGUAUCCAUCCUACUCUUGCGAAAUCUUUUCUUUCUUUCCUCAAUGAUUUCAACUGUCAUUUUCUCUUCAAGAUAUUCGUCGGUUCCCCCUUCCAAGUUGCCUUUGUUUUCCCGCCCUCCCACCCUCUUCUUNNNNNNNNNNNNNNNNNNNNNNNNNNNNNNNNNNNNNNNNNNNNNNNNNNNNNNNNNNNNNNNNNNNNNNNNNNNNNNNNNNNNNNNNNNNNNNNNNNNNNNNNNNNNNNNNNNNNNNNNNNNNNNNNNNNNNNNNNNNNNNNNNNNNNNNNNNNNNNNNNNNNNNNNNNNNNNNNNNNNNNNNUUCUUCCCGGAGUCUGAGUCUCUUUCGACCAUCAAUUUCAUUCGUGCGGAGCCUCUUCAGUCUUCCCUGAAUUAUUUCAACCGGUGAAUUCUCGUCUCGUUUGACAUUCUUCAUCUCUUUUUCUUCUCCGGAGGACCCAAUUCAAGUUUUUUUCGGGUUGAUCACAUUCUUUUCCUUGGAUCAAGUAUUUUCCUUGCUCGUUCGCCUCUCGCCAGCUUAUCCUUCCGGAGUGCUUAAGACAUCUCAGGAGAUUCAUCUAUGUUCCAAUUAAUUCGAGGUUGUCACCUCAUUCAAAUAUUUCAAUUAUUCCGGUGCAUCAUCUACCUGUUCAACAAUCCUUCCCAACGGUGUUUUCUUUCUAGUGGGCCCUAACCCACCGGUUUUUCCCAGGAUCUUACCCGACUCUUCUAAUUCCCGGAGCUAUUCCCAAAUUCUUUUUGAAAUUUGACGUAAGAAUGAAUUUCAUCAGUCAUAUGCCUUUGUCCAAGAUCGCUUUCAAAAUAUUUUCAUCGUUGGUUCAUCAUUUCUAUUCUUCUUUGUUCCAAAGUGCCUCAACAAUUUUGAUGGUUCUCGUCAUCAUUCUCACCAUGUGAAGACCGAAGAAGAGAUUUUCCUCUAAAUCUUGUCCGUUCUCUCAAAGUUUUGUGGUUCUAGCUUCAUGUUAUCCUCUCGAAUUAUUCCAUUUGUCAGUUAUUCUUUUCAUCCAUCCGGAGUAUUUCAGGAGUUGUUUUUGCCAUCUCGAUCAUCCGGAGGCCAUCUUUUCAGAAUAUUGCUUCGUUCCAAGUUUUCAGAUUCAUUCCCCAAUUAUUCUAUAUCUGUGCCCCUUCGUUCAUCUCAAUAUUCUUCUGGUGCUUCGCUCAAGUGUUCUUUAUCAACUCAUGAUCUCUUUGUUCUUUUGCAUCUAAAUCCCCUCUAGCAUAUUGGUUCUUCUAAUUCUUCCCGGUGAUUCAUUCUCUUUCAUCAGUCAUUUUCGAAUUUUUUACGGUGGUUCGUUCAAGAUUCUUUUUCUUUGAUGAUCAUAUUAAUCCAUUCGUUCUUUUGAAUCCUACCGGUGGUUCAUGAACACUUUCUCAAGUUUUGUGCUAUAUUCCCCUUAAUCCUUUUCGACAAGAAUAAGUAGUAUGCAAAAUCCAUUGCUUGUCAUCAAUUUAAUUUGAUGAAGGAUAAGCAUACAAUAAAUCUUAUUUUUAUUUCCUCCAAGUGUUUAAUCCCUUCCUUCGGAGUUUGUUCUUGUUGAAUAAAUUCUAGUUCCAAGUCUUUUCAUCUUUUCUUUUCCGAAGUUCAAAUUUCCUCGGCCAUCUCGUCGGAACCUCCUUCUAAAUCGACGCAAGGCUUUAGUCUUAUACUUUUCAUCCUUCAAUUCUAUCUCAUCAUCCUUUUGUCACCGGAGUUCUUCAUGAUGGUUCUUUAUGAUUUAAUUCAUUCAUCAAGAGUUCAUCAAGAUUCUUGUUGGUGGAGUUCAAGUAUCUUUUCCUCUUGCGUCUCUAAGUGCAAACAAUUCUUCGUUUUCUUUUGAAGUGGAGUUUUGCAUUUCUUCGUUCUUCUAAGCUAUUCAAUCUUUUCCGUUUGUGGCCUGUUAUAACCUUAUGAUCUUGAGAUGUCACCUAUAAGACCACAACAAGCCAUUUCUUUUCGUUGUUGAUUUUCUCAACAACUCCGUUCAAUCCUUCCUUCUAAGUUCUUUUCAUUCAGUUCUUUCAAUUUUUCCGGAGGCAUUGUGUUGUUCAUCUCGUCAAGGGUCAUCCUAUCUUGUGGAGUUUGUCUUCUAUUCCUCCAUGUUUCAACUGGAGUGUUGCCUAAAUCCUUUCAGUCUUAUUCGUUUCUUAUCUCGUUCUAACCGGAGUGGUUUCAGAGUUUAUCUUGUUCGUUGAGCAUUUGAUUCCCGUCGUAAUUGCCAUUCCUCUUUUAGACCUAAGUGUUCUCGACUUUGUUCAUCCUCUCUCUUUUGUUCUUAUUUCACCUCAUUCCUUUUCCCUUCCGUCUCGGUCCUAAGAUCUCGGGACGAGAUCUCUUGUUAGUAGAGGAGAGUUGUAACGCCUCGGAUUCGAUGCGCCAGGUGUCUGCCAGUUAUUCACCGUCAUUGCCAUGUCACUUUCUUGCGUGUUGCAUAUUUCCAUGUCAUCAUGUGCAUUUCAUUUUGCAUACGUGUUUGUCUCAUGCAUCCGAGCAUUUUCCCCAUUGUCCGCUUUGCAAUAUGGCACUCCUAUGUCCUUCGGUGUUCCCCUUUUUGUCUCCUAUUGUGAGCGGGUGUUAAACAUUCUCGGAAUGGCCCGAGGUUUGCCAAGCAGCCUUGGUACACCACCGGUUGACCGCCUAUCAAGUUUCGUGCCAUUUGGAGUCCGUUUCAUACUCCAACGGUUAACCGGGUAACCGCAAAGCCCUCUUUGUGUUGCAGCGCAACACCCCUCCAAAGUGGCCCAAUAACCCAUCCUAACCCCCUUCAUGCUCUCGGUUGUUCGAUCACGAUCGUGUGGGCGAAAACUGUGCCUCAUUUGGACACUCCUAGCUAGCUCUACCUAUAUAUAUGUGUGCCUCCCCCGAAAUUCUCGCAGUCCAAACCCUAGCCUUCUUCCCUCCGCGCCGCCGGACAAACCUCCCCACCGCACCGGACAUGUCCGCCGCCAGCCUCCACGUCACUCGGGCCAAUCACGAGUUGACACGUCACCUCCUCCGCCUCCCUCCUCCACUCACAACGUGCCACGUCAGCGCCCGCGCCGCCCCACUUCGCCGCCGGCCCACGGGACCCAGAUCCGGCCNNNNNNNNNNNNNNNNNNNNNNNNNNNNNNNNNNNNNNNNNNNNNNNNNNNNNNNNNNNNNNNNNNNNNNNNNNNNNNNNNNNNNNNNNNNNNNNNNNNNNNNNNNNNNNNNNNNNNNNNNNNNNNNNNNNNNNNNNNNNNNNNNNNNNNNNNNNNNNNNNNNNNNNNNNNNNNNNNNNNNNNNNNNNNNNNNNNNNNNNNNNNNNNNNNNNNNNNNNNNNNNNNNNNNNNNNNNNNNNNNNNNNNNNNNNNNNNNNNNNNNNNNNNNNNNNNNNNNNNNNNNNNNNNNNNNNNNNNNNNNNNNNNNNNNNNNNNNNNNNNNNNNNNNNNNNNNNNNNNNNNNNNNNNNNNNNNNNNNNNNNNNNNNNNNNNNNNNNNNNNNNNNNNNNNNNNNNNNNNNNNNNNNNNNNNNNNNNNNNNNNNNNNNNNNNNNNNNNNNNNNNNNNNNNNNNNNNNNNNNNNNNNNNNNNNNNNNNNNNNNNNNNNNNNNNNNNNNNNNGGCACCCCGCCGCCAUUCGUCGCCGCCCCGCCUCCGGCGCUCGGAUCCGGCCGGAACGGGUCCGGAGCGCCCGGAUUCGGCGCCCUGCAGUCUCCCCGCCGGCCCCGCGCCCUCGCCGGCGUCGCCACCGGCCGCCGCCUCCCCUGCCUCCCCGGUCCCGAGCGGUAUCGGGGGAGACGAUGGCGACUGCCUCCCGUUCCUCCCCGCAUGGGCCCCGCAGCCGGCCCAGCCCAAGCCGGCCUGCCUCCUCCUCCUUCCUGGGCCGAGCCCAUGUGGUGAGCAACCCGCAGAUCCCCGCCCGUGCUUUAUUUAUUAUAUCACGCUCUCUCCGUUUUUUUCCUAAAAACUGCAAAGUCCCGAAAUAGUUACAUUCUGGUGCUAACUUUGACCUGCUGUAACUCCAUGCAUACUGCUCCGUUUCAUGCAUCUAAUAUGUUAAAAUGUUCAUUGUGAGAUGCCCUUCAUUUUGUUCUAUUGGGUCAUGUUAAUUUGAGUCCAUCUUGAUGCCCAAAUCAUCGUUGUAAGAGUGCAUGUUGCUGUUAAUCUGCUGAAACUGUCAUAAUUUGGUGAUUUGUCAUUUUCGUUGCAUUUGAUAUGUGCAUCCUAUGAGCAUGAGCUCUACAUGUGUUUUGAACUACAUCAUGCCAUCUUUACAGAGGUGCAAUCCAUGUAUUUUUGUGAGUCUUGUAGUGAGUGCUUAAAGCUCGUGAAGUAGGGUACUUGUUGUUACUGUUUUGCAAGGCUGAAUCUGUUAUAUUAUGAUGCUAUAUAAACCCGAUGCUACAAGUCAUUCUAUGCAUAAUAUGGAGAUGUUCACUAAGGAUGGUUUGUUAUACAUGUCAUGCUCUAUCAAUUAAUUUCCCUGGUUACAUUUAUAGCCUUCUGUAGCUUGUUGUAAUCUUUCUCCAAAGUUGCUAAAUAAUGUUGCUGUCAGACUGUUAACAUCAAGUUCAAUGUUGCCAUGAUUUUUGUUAGUGAUCCAAGCAUGCUAUGAACUUGAUAUUGCCAUGCUUAGCUUCAUAAACAUUCCUUCUUACUGUUGAUUACCUUUCCAUGCCAUGUAUUGCUCUGUGGUGAGUGGUACAAGCUCACCAACAUGCCUACUUAUUAUUGUUCCUGCCAUGUCUGAAUCUGUCAUAUCAUUUGCCAUGUUUACAUGGGUGCCAUCUUAUCUUCUGAUCCUUUUUGGCUCAUGGUCAGCAAGGGACUUUUGUUCUAGGCAAUUAGUAGAUUCAUGCCAUGCCUUUGGUUGCCAUGAUAAGUUCUUAUAACAUGUUGUUGGAUAGCUCUAAACAUUGCAACCUGAUGUUAUUUUCUGAUAAGUCUGAAACUGUUAUUAUUUGCAUUCUUGCCAUGUGUUUUUGAGCAUGUUCUAGUGAUUUCUGGAGAUAGCUCAGUGUUCAUGUUUUGUCAUGCUUUACCUGUACUUCAUGACCAUGCCUUUUGUUAUUAUGUUGAUGUGCUGUAGUAUAUUGUUUUGAUGCUUGUUAGAUGCCUAGUUGAUGUUUUGGACAACUUGUCCUUUAAACUUGUAUUGUGUGUAUGUGUUGUACCGUUGCUCCGUUUUGAGUGUGCUGUAUACGAAACUUGCUUGAUUUUGCAUUUAGUUUCAUAUUAUCAUGUUGCAACCUUGUCUUGAGGUGUUUGCUUGAUGUUUGUAUGGAUUUUGCAUCAAUGCCAUGUUUAACUUGUUUUGCUCAUAUCUUCUAGGCCGUAGCUCCGAAUUAAAUGAACUUUAUAUGUAACUUGACUAGAAUCUCGUGUAGAUUAUCUUGGUGCAUCUUAACUUGCUGUUUAACAACUUAAACAUAAUGUUUGUUCAGAUCUGGACCAAUUUCGAAAUUUGCAUAUGAGGACUUACCGGAAUUGUUAUAUGUUGUUUCUGACCUCAUUUAAACUUGUUUUGAUGUGUUGCUCUUGUAUGCAUCAUCUCUUGCCAUGAGUAGCCUCAUCUAAUUUUGUCAUGCAUCAUGUUUGGUUGUGCAUCAUGUCUUGUUCAUGUGUGGUGUGUUUACCAUGUUGUGUGCUUCUUCUCGAUAGUUCCUGUUUCGUUGCGAUCGUGAGGAUUCGUUCAUCUAUGCUUGGUUCGUCUUCAUGGCUUCAUCUUCUUCAUGGAAUCGUUCUUCUUCCUUGCGGGAUUUCAGGCAAGAUGACCGUCACCCUGGAUCUCACUACUAUCAUUGCUAUGCUAGUUGCUUCGUUGUAUCACUAUGCUGUGCUUCCUAUCACUUGUUCUUGAAGCCUCCCCAAUUUGCCAUGUCAACCUCUAACCUUUUCACUCUUCCCAGCAAGCCGUUGUUUGGCUAUGUUACCGCUUUGCUCAGCCCCUCUUAUAGCGUUGUUAGUUGUAGGUGAAGUUGAAGAUUGCUCCAUGGUGGACAGGAUUUUGUUGGGAUAUCACAAUAUCUCUUAUUUAAUUUAAUGCAUCUCUAUACUUGGUAAAGGAUGGAAGACUUGGCCUUAUGCUUGGUGUUUUGUUCCACUCUUGCCGCCCUAGUUUCCGUCAUACCGGUGUUAUGUUCCCGGAUUUUGCGUUCCUUACGCGGUUGGCUUAUUUAUGGGACUCCCUUGACAGUUCGCUUUGAAUAAAACUCCUCCAGCAAGGCCCAACCUUGGUUUUACCAUUUGCCUCACCUAGCCCUUUUUUCCCUUGGGUUUCCGGAGCCCGAGGGUCAUCUUUAUUUUAGCCCCCCCGGGCCAGUGCUUCUCUAAGUGUUGGUCCGAACCGAGUAGACUGCGGGGCCCCCUCGGGGAAACUCGAGGUCUGGUUUUACUCGUAGGAUGUCUCAUCCGGUGUUGCCCUGAGAACAAGAUAUGUGCAGCUCCUAUCGGGAUUGUCGGCGCAUCGGGCGGCUUUGGUGGUCAUGUUUUACCAUUGUUGAAAUGUCUUGUAAACCGGGAUUCUGAGACGGAUCGGGUCUUCCUGGGAGAAGGAAUAUCCUUUGUUAAUCGCGAGAGCUUAUCAUGGGCUAAGUUGGGACACCCCUGUAGGGUAUAAACUUUUGAAAGCCGUGCCCGCGGUUAUGUGGCAGAUGGGAAUUUGUUAAUGCCCGAUUGUAGAUAACUUGACACCAGAUCCGAAUUAAAACUCAUCAACCGUGUGUUUAGCCGUGAUGGUCUCUUUUUGGCGGAGUCCGGGAAGUGAACGCGGUUUUGGGUUAUGUUUGACGUAAGUAGGAGUUCAGGAUCACCUCGUGAUCAUUGCUAGCUUCACGACCGUUCCGCUUGUUUCUCUUCUCGCUCUUAGUCGCGUAUGUUAGCCACCAUAUAUGCUUAGUCGCUGCUGCAUCCUCACCACUUUACCCCUUCCUUUCCCUUUAAGAUUUGCUAGUCUUGAAACCCAUGGUAAUGGAAUUGCUGAGUCCUCGUGGCUCACAGUUUACUACAACAACAGUUGCAGGUACAAGUUAUGCGACGAUCAUGACGCGAGAGCGAUGUUUGCUUGUUUUGGAGUUCUUCUUCUGCUUCUUCUUCGAUCAGGGCAUAGGUUCCUGGUCGGCAGCCUGAGCUAGCAGGGUGGAUGUCGUUUGAGUUUCUGUUUGUGUUUCAUCCGUAGACGGAUGAUACUCUUAUGUAAGAUGAUGUUGUAUUCGUGUGGCAUUGUAUGCCUUAUGUAUGUGUCCCCACUACUAUGUAACGUUGAUGUAAUUAUAUCCACCAUGCAAAAGUGUCUCAAUAUGCGGUUCUAUCCUUGGUGGGACAUUCGAAUCUCUUUAGGGUAGUAUCGCAUAUUGGGCGUGACAACUAGUGGAGCCACGCCAUGGGCCGCAGGCAGGCAAGUCUAGGAACGCCUAUUCCCAGAACGCCGACAGAGCCCCCAGACUGCAAAUGUCCAAGUUAUUGGAAUCAUACACAAUUCUUAAGCCAGCACAUGAGCCUGUCUUGCAAAUUUUUGACACUCGUCGCACUUGCUAACAAUAUCCUCUACAUCAGCAUGAGCCGUCAACCAGUAAAACACGUGACAAAAAGCUUUAGCCACUAAAGACAUAGAGCCGACAUGAUGACCACAAUCCCCUUCAUGAACCUGUCGUAAGAUCUCAUGACCCUCUUUAGGAGAAACACAAUGUUGAAACACGCCUGUCACGCUGCAUCGGUGUAACUCGUCGUUGACAAUAGUCAUAGACUUAGACCUCCUGGUUAUUUGCCUUGCCAAAGUUUCAUCCUCAGGUAACUCGUUCCGGGUCAUAUAGGCCAAGUAGGGAAGCGUCCAGUCAGGAAUAGCAUGGAGAGCUGCCACCAACUGUGCCUCUGGGUCAGGGACAGCAAGGUCUUCAGAUGGUAACCUGACCGAAGGAUUAUUGAUACAUCUCCAACGUAUCUAUAAUUUUUGAUGUAUUCAUGUCGGUGUCCGGGACUUGGGGGUAUACAUUCCUGCCUGCCUACGGCCCACCACGUGGCUCCAUCGACGGCCUGGUACGACCCAGCUUCGACAACAACACAGCAAGACCGUCACGAGGGGCCAAGCCUCGCGAGGCGGACGACGCCAAGACCCCCGAAGGAGUUUCCUCCCUCAGGAGGGCUCCUGAGGGGCGGAGAGUUCUAUGCAGCUACCUCAUGAGACCCAGCUGACAUGAGCCAUGACGACCAAGGCAAGGAGGGCGCCAGGUGAGGGAGUCCUGGAUUAAGGGGUCCUCGGACAGCCGGACUAUGUACUUGUGCCGAACUGUUGGACUAUGAGGAUGCAAGAUUGAAGACUUCGUCCCGUGUCCGGGUGGGGCUCUCCUUGGCGUGGAAGGCAAGCUUGGCAAUUCGGAUAUGAAGAUUUCCUUCUCUGUAACCGACUCUGUGUAACCCUAGCCCUCUCCGGUGUUUAUACAAACCAGAGGGUUUAGUCUGUAGGACAACAACAAUCAUAAUCAUAGGCUAGCUUCUAGGGUUUAGCCUCUACGAUCUCAUGGUAGAUCAACUCUUGUAAUACUCAUAUCAUCAAGAUCAAUCAAGCAGGGAGUAGGGUAUUACAUCCAUAGAGAGGGCCCGAACCUAGGUAAACAUUGUGUCCCCCCGCCUCAUGUUACCAUUAGCCUUAGCCGCACAGUUUGGGACCCCCUACCCGAGAUCCGCCGGUUUUGACACCGACACCAGGCGGGCGCCAGGCGAGCGCAGAGCGCAGGUUUCCUCUUCGGUGCAAGGAAGGCAAGCAACAGUCGCGGAGUCCCGAGGAAUCAACCAAAGGUUUCCAUUAUGGUGCAACCAGACCAAGAACCGCCAGGACGGCAAGACGGAGGUCAUCACCGAGCCCACCGCAGCGUCACGACCAGAGGCUUUUCGCAUUUGGCAUCCCGGCUCAGAAAAACCAGAACGCCCCGUAUUCUAGCCCAGAGAUGAAGGAGAAGUCUCCGGAAUACGGCAUUGCUUGACAUAGAACAAAUCAGCUCUUGUUACAAGAACAAAUACAAAAGUUCACAUCAGCAUGGCGACACUACGCAUGUGAUACUACACUUGCUCUAUGCUAGCAGCGGAACAACCCGUAGCAGCGGAAAUCUUCUAGCAGCGGAACACCGACGAAGGUGGUGAACUCCACUCCACAGGGACACUGGCUGGGACACGAUCUAGCUCGCACGAAUGGAAACCACGACAAGCAAUCAAGCAAUCACGACAUCACCUGCAAUCUGGCAUGACACGCCAGGUCAGUAUAUUGAAUGUACUUGCAAGCUCACAACAACCAAAAACAUCAAGGCAAGACAACAACAUAGCAUUAAGCAGGUUAAUUAAAUUAACAACUACCAUGAUAUAACAGCAACUCCUAAGCAUAAUAUGAAACUACUACAAUACUGAUAAAUCACCAUCUCCGAUCUCCAUAACCAUAUCCCUCUUGGCUAACCGGACAAGCAAUAUACCAUCUCAAUCACCUUAUGAUCAAAACCAAACUGUAACCGUGAUCCUUACGGCGAUCAAAACCCAACCAAUACAUGAAACCGCGAUCCUAACGGUGAUCACAACCCGACCAAUAAAUGGCUUGUGAUCCUUACAACAAUCACAACCCGACCAAUAAAUGGCUCAUGAUCCUUACGGCGAUCACAACCCGACCAAUUUAUGGCCCGUGAUCCUUACGGCGAUCAAAACCUGACCAAUACUUGGCCAAUCUGUACUGCUCCAAAUGUCCACAUAUCCAGCACCUAUAAUUCAUUUCGUCAUGUGAGUGUUGAUCAAAGGGUGUACCCUAGUACGAACCCAUGCCCAUGACCGAGGACGUGGCUAUCGAUAGAUUAAACACACACUCUGCAGAGCUAGAGCACUGUACCCACACCACAGAACCCAUGGCCUCGCCCUCCCAUUCGGGUGGACCAACAGCGUUCCGACAAAACCGAUAUACUGCCAUGACACUCUCCCGGCGACUCUGACUCACUCCCCUUUGGGCUAACUGAUGGAUGGCACCGUGUCUACCUCAAGACACAACGACCAUCGUCGUGGCCAAACAUAAACUAUCCCACACGGGGACCCGAGCUCAAAAUCAAAACCGGGCACACAAGGCUUAUGUCCGCCUACCUGAUCAGGAUAGCGCGCGCCCAUAACCUUCCCUCGUUAGAGGCACGCAUGAGAGGCACGACAAUAGACCGCAUUAGGGCUGUCCCAUACCGGCAAAUGUGGUUGCACUGGAAAAGUUUGAUUCGGCGGCACCUGAUCAACUUACUGACGGAAUUUAUUACAAAAAUAUAACCAUGACAACUGAUACUCCAAUGUCAACCAUCAAACUAUAAUCCAUGUCAUAGCAAUAUCCAACAAAUAAUCCAAGUAUAAUAUCAUCAUCUCAAAAUACUCCGAGGAUAGCAUACCACUACUAUCACGAUGAAUCCGAAACAAUAAUCCUACUACUCCAAUAACAAGAAUACAGCUAUCCAGCUAAGAUCCACAUGUAACCAUCAUCUCCGAAAAUAAUACUCCAAGCAACAGAACAUCAACUAGCAUCAUGAAAAUAAUCAUACUAACCACUAAUGAUCCAAAGGUAGCAUGAUAUCCAAAGUAGUACUCCAAAAAAAACUAACAGAUAUCAUCAUGAAACAAUCAUAAUAUCAGCCACUAAUAUUCCAAUGGCAACAUGAUACUCAACUACAAAUAUAACUCCUAGUAAUCCAAACAAUAGCAUGGCAACAACAAGAUCAAAACGAUACUCCGAGAAAAUGCCAUGCACAGAGUCAUGUAGCUAAAGCAAUAUUUUAAACAAGUUCCAAAUGAAAUAAACCAUGUCACUGCAUUGAAAUCAUGCAAAUGGAGGUUGUGGCUUGCCUGGAGUGGAAGAAAUCACCGGAAGGAAGUGCAAGAAGCUCACAGAAAGAAUCACCGGAAAUCUUUCUCUCUCAAAGGGGCUGAAUAGGGGCAAGGGCAUAAUGGUCAUUUUCAGUAUGCCAAAACGUAAGGAAAGUGACACUAGCAGAAAGGGAUCGACGAAACAAAGAAGUGAGCGUUGGUUUCGCCUUAAACGGAGUUACGGUUGAAAAGUUAUAGAGGGUUGAAGUUCAGGGACUUUUCUGCAAAAAAAAUUCAUCACAAACAAGUCCCUGAGUGGAUAAGACAGAAGCGUAAAAUAGGAAAUACACUUUCAGAAAGUGAAGACGUAAUACGUGGAUUACGCCUCCACUUAUCCACUUCAGCGUACCUGGGUCCACGCGGGGCCGACGGCUGGGAGGAUGACUAGUGGGGCCCGCGGCCAGCUGGCAGGCUCGAGGGGGUCAACGCCCGUGUCUUCUUCCUCCCGCUCAUCCCUCCCGUGAAGCAGAGCAGGGACCAGAGGGGAGAAGCGGCGAGGGGGCCGACCAGCUCCGGCCAUCCCGGGCCAGGGCGAAGCCACCGGUUGGCGCGGCCCGGCGCGGCUCUCCUAUCCCCGACCAGAGGGAGGCGCGGGGAGGCCAUGAACGUCGAUGGGAGGCGGUGGCGGGAGGUGACAAAGGCGGGCGGCCGGCGAUGGAGCGGGCAACUCCGGCCGCCUUAGGCCAAGGCGUGGGCACCGGCGGGUUCAGGGCGGAGCACCGCAUCCAUUCAGAGGCAAAGGAGGCACCGGGGAAGGGGGAAACGGAGGGGAGGCCGCGGCGACAAAGAACUACAGAGACGGUGGCCAUGGCGGCAAUGGGGGCAUAGAGAGCUCCUUGAGCUCAGGGAAGAAGCUGGGCGGUGCUAGUGGAGGGUGGCGAGGCUGCUGGUUAGCUCGGGAGGGCUCGGGGAUGGCUAUAUAUAGCCGGGCGAGAGGGAGCCGCGCUGGCGUCGCCGUGGACGCGUGGCCGACACCACGGACGCGUGCCCACGCGCAUGUACUCGGAGGUAGAUGACGUAGGAGGCACAGAGGAGAGCUCACAGGGAAGAGACGACCAAGGGAGGGGCAGAGGAAGAGGCCGAGCGCCAUAAAAGCUCGGUCAGCCACAGAUCUCUCGUGGGCGCGCGGCGAUGACGCUGACGGAGGGGCUGACGGAGGGGGAGAGUGCUCCAGGAGGAUGGAGACGACGCGGGGAAGACGCUGGAUAGGCCCGUGCUCGCUGGGACGCCGAGCAAAGGACGGGCCCGAGUAAGAAGACAUCCAGCUUGCGUCCAUGGCAUGCCAGAGUGGCGGUCACCGCGUGCACUAGCGCACAGAGGGCCACAAUCGAUGCCAAACGAUGCCUGGGGGUUAGUCCUUCCUAGGGAGGCCUCAACUAUGGUGGUAACUCAGUGAACACAGCUAGGGUUAAAUGGUUAGUGAGCUCUGAAGUUUACUGCAGUAAACUUUAUCAGCUCAAUGUGAUCAACAGGGGGCUGCUAUGUGUCCAGUGUUAUGUCUGGGGUGUUUAGGCUAGGAAGGACUACAGUCCUGGGGAGUUUGGGAAGAAAUGGACCAAGAUAAAUCAUAGUUGCUUCACAACUGCAUUUUUGGUCCAUAAAUGAAGAUCAUGAUGGUGCACUCACAUGGAGUUAUGGGAUGGGAUUAAACUUGGCAAAUCCUCAUUAUAUGGACAUAUAAAGAUUCUGUAAAAAUCUCAUGCCAAAUGGACGAGCAAAAAUGGUACUUGCUUCACAAACACCUCUCCUGAUCAGAAACUUGGAAUAAUUAUAGUGAUCAAAUGGCUCAAUGAAAUGAUGCCAAAUUGGGUGGAGGGAAGUUUUAUGGGUAUAAGAAUGAUCUGGUAAUUUAUCAGGAUUUUUGAAGCAAUAUAAAAUACACCUGCUUCACAACCUAAAAAUAUUGCCAGAAUCAAAGAUUUGCUCCUGUGCUCACAUAGAUGAUUGGAUGGGGCUGAAAAUGGGUGAAUGGGUUUAAUAUGAGCACAUUAAGGAGUGUGAAAAAGUUCAACUUAUUUGGAUACUCCUAGAUAGUACUUCCUUCACAAAGCCUUCUGUUUGAUUGAAAAUUCACUCAGGAAGAUUGGCUAGGCAAAUAAAUUUGAACUCGUGCAUGGGGAAAUUAUUUGGACAUAUAAACAUGCCCAAAGAGUUUGGGAGGCACUAGGAGAAAUAUAAAUCACACUUCCUUCACAAAGUGCCAUUCAGGGCAGAAUAGAAAAAGGAUUAUUGGGGAAUUAUUUUUGAACUGGCCAAGGCAAUGUUUGGGCAUAUUUGAGCUAUAUAUGACCCAAAGGAAUUAUGAGAAUUGUUUGGGGAUUUUUGUAUGGAUAGAAAUAUAGGUUGCUUCACAACCUAGGGCAGAUAGGGUUAUUCCUUUAAUGAAAAAGGAAUUUUACCUAGAAAAAAAGUUUAGGGUUUGGUCAAGGAGUGAACUGACAUGAUCUUGGCAAGGUUUUGAGAAUGAUUAGCCACUUGGGAGGGGGAAUGAGGAUGAUUUCCCAGGUGGCAAGGCCACAGAACCACUCCAAAAAGAAAAACAGAGCAAAAACCAAAUAAUUCAGAAGAAAAAGAAAAGGGCCAAAAUCCAGGCUGUUACAAACCUUCCCCCCUUAAAGAAAUCUCGUCCUCGAGAUUUGGUUGCUCAGGGAACAAGUAUGACUUGAGGACACCGUCUCCAACUUGGGUAUCCUUUUUCCUUUAUUUAUUGUUCCCCCAAGAAUUUCAGAUGAUCAACUUGCCUUGCUCUGGGGUGGUUUGCUUCACCUUUCCCAAAUUCUGACAGACUUUUUCUCACAUACCAAACCCUUUUUGUUGACGUGAAUUUUCUCAUAUCUGCGGUGGCAUCCAAUGGAUCUGAGCAUAAAUUUUCUUUUGAUCAUGAAAACCUUUUUGCUUCUGUCAUGUGGUUGCUUCAAAUAAAUGCAGGCCUUCUGGUUUCAAUAAAUGCUGAGAAUUAUCAUGGCCAUCCCCUGAUGGAAUCUGACUGCUCACAGGUGGCACUGAUUUAUCUUGAUAUAUGCCUUUGGCUCGAGCAUGAGAUAUGUACCAAAGAUUUGACUGCCUGUUGUCCUGAGCAAUAUAUUGGUGUAUGGAGUUAUAGCUGUGUCAAACCUCAAUUGUUUACAUCUUGAGACUGGCCCGACAGGGGCUGACGGACAAAUGCUUUCCCCGAUAGACUGACCAUGUACUUGAUUCCGUCGGUGAGUAUAUCGGGUCUAAGCUGAUUGUUUGGCUUUUGAUUUUUCUCAUGUGGUCGAUAUACCCAUCUGUGGUAAUAGAUUGUGAUUUGUUUCCUACUGCCGCUGAAAUCAAACUGCUGAGCUUGCAACUGAAUCUUGGAUCUGACAGAACAUACUUGGAUAUUCCACACUAACCAUGUCAAGCGGGUCAGUGGGAUAUGAAAAUCCUUGUAAAUAGAGUAGGCUGCCGAGAGUAUGCCUUUGUGGAUCCAUAUGGGAUUAUGGCUUUCAAUUGACUUGGGAAUCCGGAACCUGAUGGUCCUGCAAAAAUCAUCAUACCUUUGCUGUCAGUCUCAUCCUUUUUACGGUCAUGAUUUUCUCUAUCAGGAUACCUUGCUGAAAUAACUUGGCCACACAUAUCCUUGAUUCUUGGUAUGACCAUGGAUGUGAUUAGUAUUUUUGACAUUAUUCCUCCUUGUUUUCUGACCUGAGUCCGCACACAUAUGACAUACACCCGGGGUUUGUAGCUGUGCAGAGCUCAUUGCUGAGGCCAAUCAUACAAGAAGGUGACAAGGUUUUAUAAUAUCUCCUUGUUAAUAGCGGGAAUAAUGAUCUUGAUGAACAUUGUCAGGACUGUGGAUUUUGUGAUGUCAUCUCCAAAUAUUAUCGCUCCUUGCAUCACAUGAGAUGUAUCUCUGCUUAUUUUCCUUUGCCUGACUCGGGAGGUUAUGGGAUCCUUACUUUUCUUUAGGUGUAUCUGCUGGAUCACUAUCGUCUCACGUAUGAGUUAUUGAUAUGAUUGGGGAUGCAUGCUCACCAUCUAUAAGAAGGAUAUGCCACCGAUCACUUGAUCCUUGCGGUAGGCAUCUGUUUUGUCUGAAUUUUACCUCUGACAAAAUUAUUGCAAAUCUGGUCCUUGAGUAGUACUGCCAUACAUCGGCAACUCAUCAUAUAAUCUCUAAGGAUGGUGUAAUAUUGUGGUACUGGCGUAGAUUGAAUGGCGUACGAGAGAAGCCAUCCGAGUAGCUUGGUGAGGAAGACUCGUUAACUUCUGUUCAAAUCUUUUGCUUGGGUAUCUUGUAGAAGAAGGCUCUAUAGCUUACACACGAAGCUUGUCAUGAGUAUUUUGCUGGAGAAGCCCGAGUUCUGUAUGUGAGAAACUUCUUCUCAGGUUUGCUUGUUGAGAAAAAAUCAUUGUCAACUGUUAGAAGCUUUUACUGAGGUGUCUUGCUGUGAAUGACCAGGUAUCAUGGGCCAGAAAUUGUUCACAUAUCAUGCUGAAGAAAAUUUGAGGAGCCUUGCAUCAUAAAUUUCUUCCGAUAGCGUGUGGAAGAAUACCGGGUUUCUUAUAUCCAAAAUUUCAUCCUGAUAUGCAGAAUGAAAUCCAUACAUAUGCCCAUAAUAUUCUGAGGCUGAUUAUUUCUAUGAGAAAAAUGGUUCGACUAUCUUCCUCGAGCAUAUCAUAUUCUGACUUUAUUUGGGAUAGUAACAUAUUUUAAGCAUCAUGCAUUGCUGAGCCAAAACUUUGUAUAUGAUCCUUACCUCUAUUUGAAAAUAUAUCAUUGGUCUUGUACCUGACUUGUCUUUCUGCUGGCUGGAUCAUAACUGCUUUGAGGAUUUUGCACGGAUGGGGACUCGAUGCUGAUAAUCAAUCCAACACACCAUUGGUAUUCUGAGCAGAUUUUAAUCCCAUAAUGCAGUUGACUGGGUAGCCAAUAAUGUCUAGCUGAGCUUCUUUCAAAUAUUUGAAAUCCUUAUUGCUUCUUCAAGUCCGGUGUCAGUGGAUGAGCAAUUAUUUAUAGGAAAAAAAAUAAUGUAACACCGGGGCCCAAAACAAAGAAGCAAAAGAAAACUCAACUAAUCAAAAGAACACAACAACAAUCAAUUCACAUAUUACUGCUAGUCACACAAUAUGCAUGCCUACUUCAGCACACAAAUCUCACGGGAUCUCCGGUUCUACGAUCUAGCAUGCUGUGACGAUGUGCACGAGGACGAAUAAAUAUGUGGAAGAAUUGGUGUAAACAGUGCUACACCAAGUGCUAGCUUAGCCAGAUAGCAACCUGGACUAGCUCGAAGGCGAGGACGUACUCGGUAAUCAUGCAGUGGGACACGAAGGUUGCAACCACAUUAUUAUCAAGCGGGCGGAAAAAGAUCCGUACUCGUCCAAGAAAUAGGAUAGUGGGAAAAAACUGAGGCUACUCACAUUGCCCUUUCUUGAUAACUAAGAUCAUUAAGGGUUGCCAACACGACAAAAUAGAAGAACAAUCUGCGAUAGAAGCAUGGCUAUCACCGAAACGAUAGACAGGACUGAAAGAAAGACAUCGGUGCGAUACCAGAGCACCAUUUUUGCAAACAGUGUCGGGAUCAAUUGGCAUCACUCUGCUGGGACAGAAAUGAUACCAAACACCGAAAGAAAAAAGGAACUAGAGAAAUGCAAAGGUUGAGCUGUAGUGGAUCCGUACUGAUGCCAGCUACACUCACCAGAUAAACCGUUAUCACAAAUACUAAGGCUAUGUGCAUGCUAUGCAACAAACAAAUGCAGCAACCAAAUGCAUUAAACAAACCAGACUCUAUACUACCGAUUUCUACCGGUUUCUACCGGUCGCGCUAACUAGGGCGUCCUACAGCCAGACUUGCUCUGAUACCAAGCCUGUGGCACCCCGGCUCAGAGAAACCGGAACACCCCAUAUUCCAGCCCAGAGAUCAAGGAGAAGUCUCUGGAAUACGGCACUGCUUGACAUAGAACAAAUUAGCUCUUAUUACAAGAAUAAAUACAAAGGUCUGAUGUUACAAUGGUUCACAUUAGCACGGCGACACCACGCCUGUGAUACUACACUUGCUCUAUGCUAGCAGUGGAACAACUCGUAGCAGCGGAAAUAUUCUAGCAGCGGAACAACGACGAAGGUGGUGAACUCCACUCUGCAGGGACUCUGGUUGGGACACGAUCUAGCUCGCACGAACGGAAAUCAUGACAAGCAAUCAAGCAAUCACGGCAUCACCUGCAAUCUGGCAUGACACGCCAGGUCAGUACAUUGAAUGUACUUGCAAGCUCACAACAACCAAAAACAUCAAGGCAAGACAACAACAUAGCAUUAAGCAGGUUAAUUAAAUUAACAUUUACCAUGAUAUAACAGCAACUCAUAAGCAUAAUAUGAAACUACUACAAUACUGAUAAAUCACCAUUUCUGAUCUCCAUAACCAUAUCUCUCUUGGCUAACCGGACAAGCUUAUACCAUCUCAAUCACCUUGUGAUCAAAACCAAAGUGUAACCAUGAUCCUUACGGCGAUCACAACCCAACCAAUACAUGUAACCGUGAUCCUUACGACGAUCACAACCCGACCAAUAAAUGGCCCGUGAUCCUUACGACGAUCACAACCCGACCAAUAAAUGGCCCGUGAUCCUUACAACGGUCACAACCCUACCAAUGAAUGGCCCGUGAUCCUUACGGCGAUCACAACCCGACCAAUACUUGGCCAAUCUGUACUGCUCCAAAUAUCCACAUAUCCAUCACCUAUAAGUCAUUCCGUCAUGUGAGUGGUUAUCGAACGGUGUAUCCUAGUACGAACCCAUGCCCAUGACCGAGGACGCGGCUAUCGAUAGAUUAAACACACACUCUGCAGAGGUAGCGCACUGUACCCACACCACAUAACCCAUGGCCUCGCCCUCCCAUUCGGGUGGACCAACGGCGUUCUGACAAAACCGAUCUACUGCCAUGACACACUCCCGGCCACUCCGACUCACUCCCCUCCGGGCUAAGUCAUGGGUGGCCCCAUGUCUACCUCAAGACACAACGACCACCGUCGUGGCCAAACAUAAAUAAUCCCACACGGGGACCUGAGCCCAAAAUCAAAACCGGGAACACAAGGCUUAUGUCGCCUACCUGAUCAGGGUAGUGCACGCCCAUAACCUUCCCUCGUUAGAGGCACCGAGGAGAGGCACGGCAAUAGAACGCAUUAGGGCCGUCCCAUACCGGCAAAUGUGGUUGCACUAGAAAAGUUCGAUUCGGCGGCACCUGACCAACUUACUGACGGAAUUUAUCCCAAAAACAUAACCAUGGCAACUGAUACUCCGAUGUCAACCAUCAAACUAUAAUCCAUGUCAUAACAAUAUACAACAAAUAAUCCAAGUAUAAUAUCAUCAUCUCAAAAUACUCCGAGGAUAGCAUAACACUACUAUCACGAUGAAUCCGAAACAAUAAUCCUACUAUUCCAAUAACAAGAAUACAACUAUCCAGCUAAGAUCCACAUUUAACCAUCAUCUCCGAAAAUAAUACUCCAAGCAAUAGAACAUCAACUAGCAUCAUGAAAAUAAUCAUACUAACCACUAAUGAUCCAAAGGUAGCAUGUUAUCCAAAGUAGUACUCCAAAACAUACUAACAGAUAUCAUCACGAAACAAUCAUAAUAUCAGCCACUAAUAUUCCAAUGGCAACAUGAUACUCAUCAACUACAAAUAUAACUCCUAGUAAUCCAAACAAUAGCAUGGCAACAACAAGAUCAAAAUGAUACUCCGAGAAAAUGCCAUGCACAGAGUCAUGUAGCUAAAGCAAUAUUUUAAACAAGUUCCAAAUGAAAUAAACUAUGUCACUGCAUUGCAAUCAUGCAAAUGGAGGGUGUGGCUUUCCUGGGGUGGAAGAAAUCACCGGAAGAAAGUGCAAGAAGCUCGCGGAAAGAAUCGCCGGAAAUCUUUCUCUCUCAGAGGGGCUGAAUAGGGGCAAGGGCAUAAUGGUCAUUUUAAGUAUGCCAAAACAUAAUAAAAGUGACACUAGCAGAAAGGGCUCAACGAAACAAAGAAGUGAGCAUUGGUUUCACCUUAAACAGAGUUACGGUUGAAAAGUUAUAGAGGGUUGAAGUUCAGGGACUUUUCUGCAAAAAUUUCAUCACAAACAAGUCCCUGAGUGGAUAAGACAGAAGCGCAAAAUAGGAAAUACGCUUUUGGAAAGCGAAGAUGUAAUCUGUGGAUUACGCCUCCACUUAUCCACGUCAGCGUACCUGGGUCCACGCAGGGCCGGUGGCUGGGAGGAUGACUGGUGGGGCCCUCGGCCAGCUGGCAGGCUUGAGGGGGUCAACGCCCCUAUCUUCGGGAUCCGGCUUGCCUGCUCCCUUCCCAUGCUCCCAUCCGUGCUCCCACUUCAUCCUACGGCUUUUUUUUCUUUUCUUUUUCUAAUCUAAUCAUCUCCCCCCUGAUUUUAAGUGGGUGGGGUCGGGCCUUAUUUUGUUCCAAUCAAAACAAGCCACGUACGCGGGAGCAUAGAUGGACACACGCCGGGGGAGCAGGCAAGUCUCGUCCCUGUCUUCUUCCUCCCGCUCGUCCCUCCCAUCAAGCAGAGCAGGGACCAGAGGGGAGAAGCGGUGAGGGGGCUGGCCAGCUCCGGCCAUCCCCGGCCAGGGCGAAGCUACCGGCGGGCGCGGCCCGACGCGAUGCUCCUAUCCCCAACCAGAGGGAGGCGCGAGGAGGCCAGGAACAGCGAUGGGAGGCGGCGGCAAGAGGUGACAGAGGCGAGCGGCCGAUGAUGGAGCGGCCAACUCCGGCCACCUUAGGCCAAGGCGCGGGCACUGGCGGGUUCAGGGCGGAGCACCGCAUCCAUUCAGAGGCAAAGGAGGCACCGGGGAAGGGGGAAACGGAGAGGAGGCCGUGGCGACAGAGAACAACAGAGACGGCGGCCAUGGCGGCGAUGGCGGCACACAGAGCUCCUCGAGCUCAGGGAAGAAGCUGGGCAGGGCUAAUGGAGGGUGGCAAGGCUGCUGGUGAGCUCGGGAGGGCUCGGGGAUGGCUAUAUAUAGCCGGGCGAGAGGGAGCCGCGCUGGCGUCACGGUGGACGCGUGGCCGGCGCCACGGACAUGUGCCCACGCGCAUGGACUCGGAGGUAGACGAUGCAGGAGGCACAGAGGAGAGCUCAUGGGGAAGAGACGGCCAAGGGAGGGACAGAGGAAGAGGCCGUGCGCCAUAAAAGCUCGGUCGGCCACAGAUCUCUCGUGGGCGCGCGACGACGAGCGCUGGCGGAGGGGCUGACGGAGGGGGAGAGGGCUCUAGGAGGACAUCAACGAGGCGGGGAACACGCUGGACAGGCCCGUGCUCGCUGGGACGCCGAGCAGAGGAGGGGCCCGAGCAAGAAGACAUUGGGCUCGCGUCCAUGGCAUGCCAGAGAGGCGGUCACCGCGUGCACUGGCGGACACAGGGCCACAAUCGAUGCCAAAUGAUGCCUGGGGGUUAGUCCUUCCUAGGGAGGCCUCAACUAUGGUGGUAACUAAGUGAAAACAACUAGGGUUAAAUGGUUAGUGAGCUCUGAAGUUUACUGCAGUAAACUUUAUCAGCUCAGUGUGAUCAACAGGGGGCUGCUAUGUGUCCAGUGUUAUGUCUGGGGUGUUUAGGCUAGGAAGGACUACAGUCCUGGGGAGUUUGGGAAGAAAUGGACCAAGAUAAAUCAUAGUUGCUUCACAACUGCAUUUUUGGUCCAGAAAUGAAGAUCAUGAUGGUGCACUCACAUGGAGUUAUGGGAUGGGAUGAAACUUGGCAAAUCCUCAUUAUAUGGACAUAUAAAGAUGCUCUAAAAAGCUCAUGCCAAAUGGACAAGCCGUACUUGCUUCACAAACACCUCCGCUGACCAGAAACUUGCAAUAAUUAUGGUGAUCAAAUGGCUUAAUGAAAUGAUGCCAAAUUGGGUGGAGGGAAGUUUUAUGGCUAUAAGAAUGACCUGGUAAUUUAUCAGGAUUUUUGAAGCAAUAUAAAAUACACUUGCUUCACAACCUGAAAAUAUUGCCAGAAACAAAGAUUUGCUCCUGUGCUCACAUAGAUGAUUGGAUGGGGCUGAAAAUGGGUGAAGGCGUUUAAUAUGAGCACAUUAAGGAGUGUGCAAAAGUUCAACUUAUUUAGAUACUCCUGGCUAGUACUUCCUUCACAAAGCCUUCUGUUUGACAGAAACUUUGAAAAUUCACUGAGAAAGAUUGGCUAGGCAAAUAAAUAUGAACUUGUGCAUGGGGCAAUUAUUUGGACAUAUACACAUGCCCAAAAAGGUUGGUAGGCACUAGGAGAAACAUAAAUGACACUUCCUUCACAAAGUGCCAUUCAGGGCAAAAUAGACAAAAGAUUAUUGGGGAAUUACUUUUGAACUAGCCAAGGUAAUGUUUGGGAAUAUUUGAGCUAUAUAUGAACCAAAGGAACUAUGAGAAUUGUUUGGGAAUUUUUGGAUGGACAUAAAUACAGGUUGCUUCACAACCUAGGGAAGACAGGGUUAUUUCCUUUAAUGAAAAAGGAAUUUUCCCUAGAAAAAAGUUUAGGGUUUGGUCGAGGAGUGAACUGACAUGAUUUUAGAAAGGUUUUGAGAAUGACUAGCCACUUGGGAGGGGGAAUGAGGAUGAUUUCCUAGGUGGCAAGGCCACAGAACCACUCCAAAAAGAAAAACAGAGCAAAAACCAAAUAAAUCAGAAGAAAAAGAAAAGGGCCAAAAUCCAGGCUGUUACAUCGCAUGCGAAGACUACUUUUGUCAGGAUAACUGUACUACUUGUCCCCUUUCAAAUCCCUCCAUUGUGAAAUCCCUUCCCUCUCAUAUUUGGGAAGAGGACCAAGGCCACUAUAUAUAGGACUUAGCCACCACCAUAGGGGAAGAUUGAUUCCACCCCGAGCAACAUACCAGCUCAAGAACACCUCACCUCCCGAGGCUUGUUCAUCCUUGUACUAGUUCAUACAGAGCCCCUCGAGGCAAUCCACCACACCACACUAGAGUAGGGUAUUACACCACAACGGUGGCCCGAACUAGUAUAAAUCUCUGUCUUUGUGUCUCUGUGGGCUCUUCGCGCUAGGCUAGGGAGGAUCGCGAGUAGGCAGGCUGGGCAGGUUGAGAUCUCCGCAUGCACCCCAGUGUUCGAACCUCUCACGGGUUGCCGGACCCAGAAAUUCGACAUUUGGCGUGCCAGGUAGGGGUGCGUCGGAUCCUCUCUUGUGUCGUUCGACUCGUCUCUGCUCCGACAUCUCCAUGGCCGACGCGUGCAGGGCUCACGUCAAGCAUCAGGCUGUAGUCGCCGCCUGUGUCGCUCAGACGGCUUUGGCGGGUGAGGCUGUGCCUGCCGCGCUCCUUCUCCGGUGGCCAACACCGCCACGGGCUCUGCCAGCCACGAGCAGCAAGCUUCGUUGGUGCACCGUGAUGGCGGCACCGCUACUCCGUCGCUCACCCCAGCAACUUCAUCAUCCCACGCAUGCCGCGGGGCAGGUGGACGCGUAGGCCGCUCUGCUCACGGCGCGCGAGCUGCUUCGGUACCGUCCCAUGGGUGAUCUCUACAAGGAGUGGCUCGAGCGCAUCGCCGAGCUCAUCAGUGUCGCGCACAGGGGCUCUGACGGGCCGGCUCGCUCGCUGCCUCAGCAACCACCUGCAGCGGGUGACGUCGCGCACGAGGCCCCUCCUUCGCCUCCAGCCCGGGGCGCCAUCGUUGAGCCAAGGCGUAUGGCUCCACGGCGCGACCCGCAGUGCCCGGCAACAAUUCGGGAUGACGUGAGCUGCCAGGUGGUUCAACGCCCCCAAGGAGAAGCACGCGUGCUUCCAGUGCCCCAGCACCAGGCUCGUGAGCUGCACAGGAGGUGGCAGUGCACGUUCACCAGGACCAUGUUCCACCCCCUCGGCGACCUCCGGUGGCCACGGUAGGGUGCCAUGCAUUUACUGCAGAGCUCCACAACGUCGUUCGGCCGAGAAAGCUCAAGCCUGACAUGCCUCCACGCUACGACGGCACCGCUGUGGCACCCCAGCUCAGAGAAACCAGAACGCCCCGUAUUCCAGCCCAGAGAUCGAGGAGAAGUCUAUGGAAUACGACACUGCUUGACAUAGAAUAAAUCAACUCUUAUUACAAGAAUAAUAAUACAAGGGUCCGAUGUUACAAAGGUUCACAUCAGCACGACGACACCACGCCUGCGAUACUACACUUUCUCUAUGCUAGCAGCGGAACAACUCUUAGCACUGGAAAUCUUCUAGCAGCGGAACAACGACGAAGGUGGUGAACUCCACUCCGCAUGGACUCUGGCUGGGACACGAUCUAGCUCGCACAAACGGAAACCACGGCAAGCAAUCAAGCAAUCACGACAUCACCUGCAAUCUGGCAUGGCACGCCAGGUCAGUACAUUGAAUGUACUUGCAAGCUCACAACAAUCAAAAACAUCAAGGCAAGACAACAACAUAGCAUUAAGCAGGUUAAUUGAAUUAACAACUACCAUGAUAUAACAGAAACUCCUAAGCAUAAUAUGAGACUACUACAAUACUGAUAAAUCACCAUCUCCGAUCUCCAUAACCAUAUCUCUCUUGGCUAACCGGCCAAGCAGUAUACCAUCUCGAUCACCUCGUGAUCAAAACCAAACUGUAACCGUGAUCCUUACGGCGAUCACAACUCAACCAAUAAAUGGCCCGUGAUCCUUAUGGCGAUCACAAUCCGACCAAUAAAUGGCCCUUGAUCCUUACGGCGAUCACAACCCGACCAAUAAAUGGGCCGUGAUCCUUACGGCGAUCACAACCACGACCAAUACUUGGCCAAUCUGUACUGCUCCAAAUAUCCACAUAUCCAUCACGUAUAAGUUAUUCCGUCAUGUGAGUGUUGAUCUAAUGGUAUACCCUAGUACGAACCCAUGCCCAUGACCGAGGACGCGGCUAUCGAUAAAUUAAACACCCACUCUGCAGAGGUAGCGCACUUUACCCACACCAUAGAACCCAUGGCCUCGCACUCCCAUUCGGGUGGACCAACGGCAUUCCGACAAAACCGAUCUACUGCCAUGACACUCUCCCAGCCACUCCGACUCACUCCCCACUGGGCUAAGUCAUGGGUGGCCCGGUGUCUACCUCAAGACACAUCGACCACCGUCGUGGCCCGUCCUACACGGGGACAUGGAUCCAAAAACUCAAACAACGGGCACACAAGGCUUAUGUCCACCUACCUAAUUAGGGUAGCGCGUGCCCAUAACCUUCCCUCGUUAGAGGCACCGGUGAGAGGCAAGACAAUAGACCGCAUUAGGGCCAUCCCAUACCGGCAAAUGUGGUUUCACUGGAAAAGUUCGAUUCGGCGGCACCUGACCAACUUACUGACGGAAUUUAUCCCCAAAAAUAUAACCAUAAUAAUUGAUACUCCUACGUCAACCAUCAAACUAUAAUCCAAGUCGUAGAAAUAUCCAACAAAUAAUCCAAGCAUAAUAUCAUCAUACCAAAAUACUCCGAGGAUAGCAUAACACUACUAUCAUGAUGAAUCCGAAACAAUAAUUCUACUACUCCAAUAACAAGAAUUCAGCUAUCCAGCUAAGAUCCACAUGUAACCAUCAUCUCCGAAAAUAAUACUCCAAGCAACAAAACAUCAACUAGCAUCAUGAAAAUAAUCAUACUAACCACUAAUGAUCCAAAGGUAGCAUGAUAUCCAAAGUAGUACUCCAAAACAUACUAACAGAUAUCAUCAUGAAACAAUCAUAAUAUCAGCCACUAAUACUCCAAUGGCAACAUGAUACUCAUCACCUACACACAUAACUCCUAGUAAUCCAAAUAAUAACAUGGCAACAACAAGAUCAAAAUAAUACUCCGAGAAAAUGCCAUGCUCAGAUCAUAAGUAGGUAAAGCAAUAUUUUAAACAAGUUCAAAUAAGUGAAACCAUGUCACUACAUUACAGUGAUGCAAAUGGAGAGUGUGACUUGCCUGGGGUGGAAGAAAUCACCGGAAGAAAGUUUAAGAAGCUCGUGGAAAGAAUUGCCGGAAAUCGUUCUCUCUUGGAGGGGGAUGAUUAAGGGCAAGGGCAUAAUGGUCAUUUUCACAAUGUGAAAACAUGGUGAAAGUUAAACCAACAGAUCAGGCUUGACGAAAUGAAGAAGUGAGUGUUGGAAUCACCUCAUUUGGAGUUACGGUUAAAAAGUUAUGAAGGGUUGAAGCUCACGGACUUUUCUGCAAAAAUUUCUUCAGCAAACAGGUCCCUGAGUGGAUAAGACAGAAGCGCAAAUUGGAAAUAUGUUUUCUUUAGAUUAAAACGCACGCACCCAAAAUGUGCUUCCACUUGCCACAUCAGCAUCGACAGGUCAACGCGGGGCCGACCCUUGUGCGGCUGACAGGUGGGGCCCGUGCUGCUUCUCUCUCUCCUCCCGCUUGUCUCCUUCUUCCUCUCGACAGAAGCAGGGGAGAGGCGACGCCGUGCGGCACCGAUGAUGGCCCGGGCAGCUCCGGCCGUCCCCGGUGGAGCUGGGACCACCGGCGGCCGCGGAACAGAGUGCUGCCCCCUCCUGGAGCAACAGCAGGCGCUGGGGAGGCUUGGAGUGACGACAGCUGGCAGGGGCCGAGGGCAGGGGUGACGGUUGACCUUGGGGCACGUAGCCAUGGGCGCUCCGGUGAUGAAACGGGGAGUGGGGGAGGCUUGAGGUGGAGCUGGGACGCCUCUGGUGGUGAAGGGCUGGGUUCGGGUGGAUUUAAGCGCUCCAUGGCUCGACGGAGAGGUUGGGGAUGGCUAGUGGAGGGAGGAGGGGAGGCUGAAGAGCUCGGGAGGCCGCGGGAAAGGCCAUAUAUAGCCGCGGGGAGGAGCUGCCACGUUGUCACCGCCGCGGACGCGUGUGUGGCGCCGCGGACGCAUGCUCGCACGCAUGAACUCGGGGGCAAGCGACGAGGGAGGCACAUGGGAGAGCUCACGGGGAAGAGACGACCAAGUAGGGCAGAGGAAGAGGCCGAGCGCCAUUAAUGCGCUGUCAGCCACAGAGCUCCCAUGGGCGAGCAGCGACAAGCGCUGACGAGGAGACUUCGGGAGAGGGAGAUGAGUCCAGGGAGACGGCGACGACGCGGGCCAGCUAGUAGACACGCUCACGAGCGCGAAGACGACGAGAGGAGGAGGGGGUCCAGCACAAACAGCCACUGGACACGACCAUUGCACACAGAGCACGUGCACAGGCAUGCCAUUGUCAUGGUCACCGUGUGCACUAGCAUCAAGAGGGGCCGAAUGGCUGUCAAAUGUUGUCUAGUGGUAAGUUCGUCGAAGGUGGGUUUCAACUACGGUGGUAGUUUGGUGAAAACGGCUAUGGUUAAAAGGUUAGUGAGCUCUGAAGUUUACUGCAGUAACUUAAAUAGCUCAAGGUGAUCAACAGGGGGCCGCUAUGUGCCAAGUGUUAUGUCUGGGGUGUUUAGGCUAGGAAGGACUACAAUCCUGGGGAGUUUGGGAAGAAAUGGACCAAGAUUUACUGCAGUUGCUUCACAACUGACCAAAAUGGUCCAGAAACUAGAUCAUGAUGGUGCACUCACAUGGAGUGUCAACUUGGGAUAAGAUUGGGCAAGGCAGAGUCAUUUGGUCAUAUGGAGAUGCUCAAAAAGUCUCAUACCAAUUGUCAAAGCCAAACUGGUACUUGCUUCACAAACAUUUCCUCUAGACAGAAACAUCGAAUAAUAUUGAUGAUUAAAUGGAUCAAUGAAAUGAUGCCAAAUUGGGUGGAGAGAUGUUUUAUGGGUAUAAGAAUGAUCUGGUAAUUUAUCAGGAUUUUUGAAGCAAUAUAAAAUACACGUGCUUCACAACCUGAAAAUAUUGCCAGAAUCAAAGAUUUNNNNNNNNNNNNNNNNNNNNNNNNNNNNNNNNNNNNNNNNNNNNNNNNNNNNNNNNNNNNNNNNNNNNNNNNNNNNNNNNNNNNNNNNNNNNNNNNNNNNNNNNNNNNNNNNNNNNNNNNNNNNNNNNNNNNNNNNNNNNNNNNNNNNNNNNNNNNNNNNNNNNNNNNNNNNNNNNNNNNNNNNNNNNNNNNNNNNNNNNNNNNNNNNNNNNNNNNNNNNNNNNNNNNNNNNNNNNNNNNNNNNNNNNNNNNNNNNNNNNNNNNNNNNNNNNNNNNNNNNNNNNNNNNNNNNNNNNNNNNNNNNNNNNNNNNNNGCUCACAUAGAUGAUUGGAUGGGGCUGCAAAUGGGUGGGGGGGGGGGUUAAUAUGAGCACAUUAAGGAGUGUGCAAACGUUCAACCUAUUUGGAUAAUCCUAGCUAGUACUUCCUUCACAAAGCCUUCUGUCUGAUAGAAACUUUGAAAAUUCACGAAGGAAGAUUGGUUAGGCAAAUAAAUUUGAACUUGUGCAUGGGGCAAUUAUUUGGAAAUACAAUCAUUCCCAAAAAGGUUGAGAGUCACUAGGAUAAAUAUAAAUGAUACUUCCUUCACAAAGUGCCAUUCAGGGCAGAAUAGAAAAAGGAAUAUUGGGGAAUUAUUUUUGAACUGGACAAGGAAAUGUUUGGGCAUAUUUGAGCUAUAUAUGACCCAAAGGAAUUAUUAGAAUUAUUUGGGGAUUUUUGUAUGGACAGAAAUAUAGGUUGCUUCACAACCUAGGGCAAAUAGGGUUGUUCCUUUAAUGAAAAAGGAAUUUUCCCUAGAAAAUGAUUUUAGGGUUUGGUCAAGGAGUGAAGUGACAUGAUCUUUGGCAAGGUUUUGCGAAUGAUGAGCCACUUGGGAGGAGGAAUGAGGAUGAUUUCCCAGGUGGCAAGGCCACAGAACCACUCCAAAAAGAAAAAUAGAGCAAAAACCAAAUAAAUCAGAAGAAAAAGAAAAGGGCCAAAAUCCAGGCUGUUACAAACCUUCCCCCCUUAAAGAAAUCUCGUCCUCAAGAUUUGGUUGCUCAGGGAACAAGCUUGGGUAUCCUUUUUCCUUUAUUUAUUGUUUCCCCAAGAAUUUCAGAUGAUCAACUUACCUUGAUCUGGGGUGGUUUGCUUCACCUUUCCCAAAUUCUGACAGGUCUUUGCUCAUAUACCAAAUCUCUUUGUUGACGUGAAUUUUCUCAUAUCUGCGGUGGUAUCCAAUGGAUCUGAGCAUAAAUUUUCUUUUGAUCAUGAAAACCUUUUUGCUUUUGUCAUGUGGUUGCUUCCAAUAAAUGCAUGCCUUCUGGUUUCAAUGAAUGCUGAGAAUUAUCAUGGCCAUCUCCUGAUGGAAUCUGACUGCUCACAAGUGGCACUGAUUUAUCUUGAUUUAUGCCUUUGGCUCGAGCAUGAGAUAUGUACCAAAGAUUUGACUGCCUUCUGUCGUGAACAAUAUAUCGGUGUAUGGAGUUAUAGCUGUGUCAAACCUCAAUUAUUUACAUCUUGAGACUGUCCCGACAGGGGCUGACGGACAACUGCUUUUCCUGACAGACUGACAAGUAUUUGAUUCCAUCGGUGAGUAUACCGGGUCUGAUCUGAUUAUUUGGCUUUUGACUUUCUCAUUUUGUUGGUAUACCCAUCCGUGGUAAUGGGCUGUGAUAUGCUUUAAUACUGCCGCUGGGGUCAAACUGCUGAGUUUGCAAAGAAUUCUCGGCUCUGACAGAGUAGACUUGGAUAUUCCACCCUAACCGUGUCAAGCGGGUCAGUGGGAUAUGAAAAUUCCUUGUAUAAAGAGUAGGUCGCUGAGAGUAUGCCUUUGCAGAUCCAUAUGGAGUAAUGGCCUCCAACUGAUUUGGUUAUCCGGACCCUGGUGGUCAUGCAAAAAUCAUCAUACCGUUGCUGUCAGUCUCAUCCUUUUGACGGUCAUGAUUUUCUUUGUUAGGAUACCUUACUGAAAUAACUUGGCCACACAUAUCCUUGAUUCUUCGUAUGCCCAUGGACGUGAUUAAUGCAUUAUUCCUCGUUCUUUUUUUCUGUCCGGUGUCCGCACACAUAUGACAUAUACCCGGGGUUUGUAGCUAUACGGAGCUCAUUGCCGAGGCCAAUCAUACAAGAAGGUGACAAGGUUUUAUAAUAUCUCCUUGUCAAUUGCGGGAAUAAUGAUCUUGAUGACCAUUGUCAAGACUGUGGAUUUUGUGAUGUCAUCUCCAAAUAUUAUCGCUCCUUGCAUCACAUGAGAUGUAUUUUUGCUUAUUUUCCGUUACCUGGCUAGGGAGGUUGUGGGAUCCUUACUUUUCUUAGGUAUAUCUGCUGGAUCUUUGCCUCAUCUUGUAUGAGUUACUGAUAUGAUCGGGGAUACAUGCUCACCAUAUAUAAGAAGGAUAUUCCACGAUCACUCGAUCCUUGCGGUAGGCAUCUGUUUUGUCUGAAUUUUACAUCUGACAAAAUUAUUGCAAAUCUGGUCCUUGAGCGGUACUGCCAUACAUCGGCAACUCAUCAUAUAAUCUUGGAGGAUGGUGCAAUAUUGUGGUACUGACGCGGAUUGAGUGGCUUACGAGAGAAGCCAUCCGAGUAGCUUGCUGAGGAAGACUUGUUAACUUCUGCUUAAAUAUUUUUCUUGGGUAUCUUGCAGAAGAAGGCUCUAUAGCCUACACAUGAAGCUUGCUCUGAUUAUUGUGCUCGAGAAGCCUGAGUUCCAUACAUGAGAAGCUUCUCCUCAGGUUUGCUUGUUGAAGAAAAAAAUCAUUUCCAUCUGUCAGAAGCCUUUACCGAGGUGUCUUGAUGUGAAAGACUGGGUAUCAUGGACCGGAAGUUGUUCACAUAUCAUAAGGAGGAAAAGUUGAGGAUCCUUGCAUCAUGAAUUCUUCCGUUGGCGUGUGGAAGAAUACUGGGUUUCUUAUAUCCAAAACUUCAUACUGAUAUGCAGACUGAAAUCCAUAGACAUGCCCUUAAUAUUCCGAGGCUGAUUGUUUGCAUGAGAAAAAAAUUGUUUGACUGUCUUACUUGAGCAUACCACAUUCUGACUUCAUUUCGGAUGAUACCAUAUUUCAAGCAUCAUGCAUUGCUGAGCCAAAAUUGUGUAUAUGAUCCAUACCACUAUCGUGAAGAUAUACCGUUGAUCUUGUACCUGACUUGUCUUUCUGGUGACUGGAUCAUAACUGCUGUGAGGAUUUUGCACUGAGGUAGACUCGAUGCUGAUAGUCAAUUCAAUACACCAUUGGUAUUCUGAGCAGAUUUUAAUCCCAUAAUGCAGUUGACUGGGUAGACAAUAAUGUCUAGCUGAGCUUCUUUCAAAUGUUCCAAAUCCUUAUUGCUUCUUUGAGUCCGGUGUUGGUGGAUGAGCAAUUCUUUAUAGGGAAAAAAUAAUGUAACACCGGGGCCCAAAAGAAAGAAGCAAAAGAAAACUCAACUAAACAAAAGCACACAACAACAAACAAUUCACACUCAAUCAAUGUCACAUAUUAUUGCUAGUCACCCAAUAUGCAUGCCUACUUAAGCACACAAAUCUCGCGGGGUCUCCGGUUCUACGAUCUAGCAUGCUGUGACGAUGUGCACGAGGAUGAACAAAUGUGUGGAAGAAUUGGUGUAAACAACGCUACACCAAGUGCUAGCUUAGCCAGAUAGCAACCUAGACAAGCUCGGAGGUGAGGACGUACUCGGUAAUCAUGUAGUGGGACAUGAAGGUCGCACCCACAUUAUUAUCAAGCGGAGGAAAAAGAACCGCACUCGUCCAAGAAAUAGGAUAGCAGGGAAAACUGAGGCUGCUGACAUUGCCCUUUCUUGAUAACUAAGAUCAUUAAGGGUUGCCAACAUGACAAAAUAAAAGAAGGAUCCGGGAUAGAAGCAUGUCCAUCACCGAAACGAUAGACGGGACUGAAAGAAAGACAUCAGUGCGAUACCUGAGCACCAUUUUUGCAAACAGUGUCGGGAUCACUUGGCAUCACUCUACUGGGACAGAGAUGACACCAAACACUGAAAGAAAAAGGAACUGGAGAAAUACAAAGGUUGAGCUGUAGUGGAUCCGAACCGAUGCCAGCUACACUCACCAGAUAAACCGUUAUCACAAAUACUAAGGCUAUAUGCAUGCUAUGCAACAAACAAACGCAGCAACCAAAUGCAAUAAACAAACUAGACUCUAUACUACCGAUUUCUACCGGUUUCUACCGCUCGCGCUAACUAGGGCGUCCUACAGCCAGACCUGCUAUGAUACCAAGCCUGUGGCACCCUAGCUCAGAGAAACUGGAAUGCCCCGUAUUCCAGCCCAGAGAUCAAGGAGAAGUCUCUGGAAUACGACACUGCUUGACAUAUAAAAAAUCAGCUCUUAUUACAAGAAUAAUAAUACAAGGGUCUGAUGUUACAAAUGUUCACAUCAGCACGAUGACACGACGCCUGUGAUACUACACUUGCUCUAUGCUAGUAGUGGAACAACUCUUAGCAACAAAAAUUUUCUAGCAGCGGAACAACAACGAAGGUGGUGAACACCACUUCGCAGGGACUCUGGCUGGGGCACGAUCUAGCUCGCACAAACGGAAACCACGACAAGCAAUCAAGCAAUCACGGGAUCACCUGCAAUCUGGCAUGACACGCCAGGUCAGUACAUUGAAUGUACUUGCAAGCUCACAACAACCAAAAACAUCAAGGCAAGACGACAACAUAGCAUUAAGCAGAUUAAUUAAAUUAACAGCUACCAUGAUAUGACAGCAACUCCUAAGCAUAAUAUGAAACUACUACAAUACUGAUAAAUCACCAUCUUCGAUCUCCAUAACCAUAUCUCUCUUGGCUAACCGGCCAAGGAGUAUACCAUCUCGAUCACCUCGUGAUCAAAACCAAACUGUAACCGUGAUCCUUACGACGAUCACAACCCGACCAAUGAAUGGCCCGUGAUCCUUACGGCGAUCACAACCCGACCAAUAAAUGGCCCGUGAUCCUUACGGCGAUCACAACCCGACCAAUAAAUGGCCCGAGAUCCUUACGGCGAUCACGACCCAACCAAUAAAUGGCCCGUGAUCCUUACGACGAUCACCACCCGACCAAUAAAUGGCCCGUGAUCCUUACGGCGAUCACAACCACGACCAAUACUUGGCCAAUCUGUACUGCUCCAAGUAUCCACAUAUCCAUCACCUAUAAGUCAUUCCGUCAUGUGAGUGUUGAUCGAACGGUGUACCCUAGUACGAACCCAUGCCCAUGACCGAGGACGCGGCUAUCGAUAGAUUAAACACCCACUCUGGAGAGGUAGCACAAUGUAUCCACACAACAGAACCCAUGGCCUCGCACUCCCAUUUGGGUGGACCAACGACAUUCUGACAAAACCGAUCUACUGCCAUGACACUCUCCCGGCCACUCCGACUCACUCCCCACAGGGCUAAGUCAUGGGUGGCCCCGUGUCUACCUCAAGACACAUUGACCACCGUCGUGGCCCGUCCCACAUGGGGACACGGAUCCAAAAACUCAAACAACAAGCACACAAGGCUUAUGUCCGCCUACCUGAUUAGCGUAGGGCGCGCCCAUAACCUUCCCUUGUUAGAGGCACCGGCGAGAGGCACGACAAUAGACCGCAUUAGGGCCGUCCCAUACCAGCAAAUGUGGUUGCACUAGAAAAGUUUGAUUCAGCGGCACCUGACCAACUUACUGACGAAAUUUGUACCCAAAAAUAUAACCAUAAUAACUGAUACUCCGACGUCAACCAUCAAACUAUAAUCCAAGUCAUAGCAAUAUCCAACAAAUAAUCCAAGCAUAAUAUCAUCAUACCAAAAUACUCCGAGGAUAGCAUAACACUACUAUCAUGAUGAAUCUAAAACAAUAAUCCUACUACUCCAAUAACAAGAAUACAGCUAUCCAGCUAAGAUCCACAUGUAACCAUCAUCUCCAAAAAUAAUACUCCAAGCAACAGAACAUCAACUAGCAUCAUGAAAAUAAUCAUACUAGCCACUAAUGAUCCAAAGGUAACAUGAUAUCCAAAGUAGUACUCCAAAACAUACUAACAGAUAUCAUCAUGAAACAAUCAUAAUAUCAGCCACAAAUACUCCAAUGGCAACAUGAUACUCAUUAACUACACACAUAACUCCUAGUAAUCCAAACUAUAGCAUGGCAACAACAAGAUCAAAAUAAUACUCCGAGAAAAUGCCAGGCACAGAUCAUAAGUAGCAAAAGCAAUAUUUUAAACAAGUUAAAAUAAGUGAAACCAUGUCACUGCAUUACAGUGAUGCAAAUGGAGGGUGUGGCUUGCCUGGGGUGGAAGAAAUCACCGAAAGACAGUGCAAUAAGCUCGCGGAAAGAAUUAUCGAAAAUCGUUCUCUCUCGGAGGGGGCUGAGUAAGGGCAAGGGCAUAGUGGUCAUUUUCACAAUGUCAAAACAUGGUUAAAGUGAAACCAACAGAACGAGCUUGACAAAAUGAAGAAGUGAGCGUUGGAAUCACCUCAUUUGGAGUUACGGUUAAAAAGUUAUGAAGGGUUGAAGCUUAGGGACUUUUCUGCAAAAAAUACUUCAGCAAACAGGUCCCUGAGUGGAUAAGGCAGAAGCGCAAAUUGGAAAUACAUUUUCUGUAGAUGAAAACGCAUGCGCCCAAAAUGUGCUUCCACUUGCCACGUCAGCACCGACAGGUCAACGCGGGGCCGACCCUUGUGCGGCUAACAGGUGGGGCCCGCACUACUUUUCUCUCUCCUCCCACUUGUCUCCUUCUUUCUCUCGACAGAAGUAGGGGAGAGGCGACGCCGUGCGGCGCCGACGAUGGCCCGGGCAGCUCCGGCCAUCCCCGAUGGCGCUGGGACCACCGGCGGUCGCGGAACACAAGUGCUGCCCCCUCUAGGAGCACCAACAGGCGCUGGGGAGGCCUGGAGUGACGGUGGCCGGCGGGGGGCGAGGGCAGCGGCGACAGUUGACCUUGGGGCACGCGGCCAUGGGCACUCCGGUGAUGAAACGGGGAGUGGGGGACGCUUGAGGUGGAGCAGGGAGGCCUCUGGUGGUGAAAUAACGGAGGGGAAGGGCACCUGUCGGGUGGUAGGUGCGAUAUAUGCCAACGGGUGGCUUAUCAUUAUGGGAGCCAGUAAGACAUCACCGGUGCCUGGAAACGGGAUAAGGCGAAGACAUGCACGCCGGCGGAUCUUACCCAGGUUGGGGGCUCUCCGUGGAGAUAAUACCCCUACUCCUGCUCUGCGGGGUCUCCGCAUGAUCACUAGAUUGAUAAGAAGCUACAAGAGGCUCCUUCAGCUGUUCGGUGGGAGGAGGAAGAAGGGCAGGGCUAGCUCUCUUCUCUCCCUAUGAUAGUGCCUAAAACUCUCUGAGAUCGACACUUUGCAUGGGUGCCCCGGAGGGUUUAUAUAGGCCUACCCCCGGGGGUACAAUGGUAAUCUGGCCUGGGCGUGGGCCCAGGCCGUCAGCGUCCACGUCCGCCGGGUUCUGGGCCCGCCGACUGGUGGGUCCUGCCGGCUACCGGCCCCACCGCUUGGGGGGUCUUGUCGGGGGCUGGUUACUGUCGCCUCGCCUCUGAUGACAAGGGCUUUGUCGAGGUAAGCAUGGCUACAGUGCUGCCGCCUUGCGGGCGCUCACUGUAGCCUUACCUCGUCUUGUCUGCUUAAUGGUGCGCGCGCCCCGAGGAGGGGAGCAUGCCGGCUAUAGGAAGCCGGCCUGGCCUUAGGCCGGCUGGGGGUAGUCAGGCCGCCUACGGAUGUCUCUCUGACUAAAGGGGCCCGCCGCCUUUGGGUCGUACCGAUGGCCCGUUGUGGAUGGCGUCAUGGUUCGCAUGGCAACAGUGCCUCGCCAGACAGGAGAGGUCCGCCCUAUACGGCAUACUGUAGCCACACUUGCUCCGGGAUUCGGGGAUGGCAGGGUCCACUGUAGCCACGCCCCGUCUCGUCACCGUUAUGGGGGGUUGACUUUAGGGUGUGGCCCAUGGCCGCUUGCCAUGGGCCGGCUUCUUGGACUUGGUCCUUCAUGGGCCGGCUUCUUGGACUCGGUCCUUCAUGGGCUGGCUUUCUUGGAGCCGUUCCUUCAUGGGCCGGGUUUCUCGGAGUCGGCCCAGUUGUGGCAUCCCCCGAAGAUUGUUUAUGGCCGGGCCGCCUUCCGCUAGUCGACCUAGGUGAUAGCUGGCCGGAAGAAGGCGGCCCCGUGUCCUGGGCGCUUCAAAGCUCGGUCGGCCCAUUGUUUUUUCUGAGGGCCAAAGGGAGCCGGCUAGGCUACCCGUGGUCAUUUACUCCGACAGUAGUCCCCGAAGCUGGUUGGGCUUCGUGGCUGAAAGGGGAAACGAGAAGCUCGACCAGCUUCCUAUCCCAAAGAGCCGGCAGCUAGGAGCCGGCUUCCCUUGCGCGUGCCUUCUCGGUGAAGCCUUCCAAAAUUCCAAAGGCGGGAAAACAGCUAGCGCGCCAGCCAAGCGGCGGGCUGACCGCCCGCCGCCCGCGCGUCGUGUGGCUCCCUUCGGCUGGAAGGGCCUGCCAGCCCACGCGCGCGACGGGACGCCGUUGCAGGCCAGGGCCCGCCACUUCCGCGCCUCAGCCCAUGCACGGAUCUUCUGUGGUCCGAAACUGACCGCACAUCUUCUGGCGGCGGUUCCCACUCACCAUUAAGGCGCGAUAAUAGCGGGUCGUUGGGGAGUGGGCGCAGUUAAUCCCAUGCCCCCCCGCGCCUCGCCUCCUCGGCUUCGCCGCGCGAGGCUAUAAGUAGGGGCAGGGAGGGGGAGCAUCAAUCGUUCGCACGCUCGCCCUCGCCCUGCCUCCUCCCUUUUCUUCCUCGCCGCGGUAGCCCUUCGCUGUGCUCCCGCUUCGCCAUUCCUUUCUCCUUCCCAGCGUGCCGCAGGCUUGCUACCUCCGCGCCGAGCGCUCUCCGCCGCCACACUUGCCGCCAUGGCUCCGACGUCGAGCUCUUGGGACGGCUCCACCGUCCGCGAGGACUACAUCAAUUUCCUCCGCAAGACGCGGCGGCUGCCGGGCGAACAUCUUGUGCGAGUCCGUCUUGCGCUAGCAAGGGAGGUGUCGCCGGCGCCGGAGGAAGGCGAGCGAGUGAUCUUCUACUCGCACUGCCUGCGCGGUGUCGGCCUCCCCGCGAGCGGCUUCUUCCGCGCAUUUCUCAAUUUCUACCAGCUUCAGCCGCACCACCUCACCCCCAACACGGUGGUGCUGCUGUCGGCCUUCGUCUCGUUGUGCGAGGGUUUCCUCGGCGUCCUCCCCACCAUCGAGCUCUGGGGGGAGUUUUUUCAAUCCAAGCUCGACACGGUCGUCGCGGGCGUGCCGGCUCCGUGCGGCGCCUUCAUCGCCAUACGGAGGUCUACCGCCGACAACAACUUCCCUCAUAUCGUGCUGAUCUAGUCGGUGAAGCUCUAGCAAUGUUCUUACUUUUACGUGAAGAACAUUGCCCCGAACGGCGAUUACGUCAACUUGCUGGCCUACGUGGCCGGCCCGGCGGCUGCGAGGCCGGCUUUAUGGUCCUACCGGGCCAGGUCGCUAACACCGGCUGGAGCUGGUGCCGUCGCCCGGCUUCGGGUGCUGGUCCAGUCGGAGCUCCUGACCGGGCCCGACUUGAUCGCCGCCUUCGUCGAGCGCCGGGUUCUUCCGCUUCAGGGCCUCCCACAUCUGAUCUAUCAGAUGAGCGGCCGCUUCGGCCCAAGCCGGCUCAUCACCAGGGAGAUUCCUCAUGACGAGGUGUCGUACAAGGUGAACUACAUCGCCAAUUGCAAGCUCACUGAGGACUGGCAGUAUGGCAAGGCGCUGUACUCUCGCGCCAAUCCACCACCCUUGGUAAGUUUUCUUUCUUCCUUCGUUGCCCAAUUUUCUUUUCUGGCCGACUCUUGAUGAGUCGGUUUGUCUUCAAUCAGAAUCCUCUCCUUCAUCCUUCGGCCGGGACCGCGGGGCCAGAGCGCGAGUUCGCCCCCGACCGCGAGGCGGACGACUUUGAGGACGCCGACUUGGGGGCGGCCGCCCUGGACGACUACGCCGCGGGUGGCGGCGGCAAGACAAGCGGCUCCGGCUUCACUGCCGGCCUUGACGACUAGCCCGAUGAUGACGAAGCCGAUCCCAUUCUGUGCCGCCAGCCGGUGACUGACCCCCAAGGCGCCGGCCCAUCCGGCGGGCCGACCGCGCGAGGUGGCGCACAGAAGCGCCGGGCGGCGCCGACUCUCAUCGCAGGACGGCCGAAGAAGCCCAAGGGAUCCGCGGCGGCGACUAGGCGGGACGAGGGGGCCGUGAAGGCGGCCCGCUUCCACAAAGUGGUGAAGCAGCCGCAGGCGGUCUCGGCGUAAGUUCUGGUCCUUACGCACUUUUCUUUCUUUCUUUAGUUGAUGUCCUUCUAAGUUCUUCUUCCGUUUUGCCAACCAAGGCCCCGCUCUCUCUUGAGCGGACUACCACCGCCUCCAUAGUCGGCGGAGCGGGAGGAUUUGCGGGCUCCCGUCGCAUAGACCCCCGCGCCGAGCUUCAGGCAGCAACAGAGCAGAACGCGCGGGAGGCGCGGGAGGAGCGGGAGGCGGAGGAGCGAAGGGCAGCCGCCGCCGAGUCGGCCCAGGAGACGAUGACGGAGUCGGCCGAGGCGCACUCCGACACCGCAGCCAGGGCCCGGGCGGAAGCCGAGGUCGCAGAGAGGGCGGCAGAGGCCGUGCGUGGCCAGCCUCAGCAACUCGUCAUCCCCCUCCGCUCUGUGCUCCCGGACAUCUCGGUGCCCCCGCCGGAGGAAAUCGUCCGCGACCCGCCGGCGAUGGAGAGGGAGGGGAGCGACGUAGUCGUCCUGGAGGGAGGAGUGGUGCCACCUCCGUCGGCCAGGACUAGCCAAGGCGGCCAGCCCGAGGUGCCGCCUAAGCAGCCGGCGGGAGGAGAGCCGACUGCAACGGCGGAUCUUGUAGUCCUGUCGCCGGCUCGCCGGCGUGUGGGGAGGGCGGCUUCAGAGCCGGAUCCACAGAGGGCGGACGGCUCCAGCUCGUUGUCGCAUGAUCUGGAGUCGGCCACAGCUAGCUCGCUGGGGUGGACGCCGGGCGGUGGGACGGCCGCGCUGAACUUGGUGGCGCAAGAUGUUCGUAGCCGGCUUCAGGCUCAAGCCACCGCACUACAGCAGUGUACCCGAGAAUUUCUUGCGACCCGGGCGGUCGUUCGGGUGAGUUUUCUUGCUCAUGAUUUUUUCCGUGGGGGCGCGUCAGCGCACCCACUGGGUGUAGUCCCCGAGUUCCGAGUCGGCUGCUGAGCAGGUGGCUUGGAACUUCUUCGAAGACUUUGCCUUACUGAUUUGCUUUGCUUGCGCAGAAUUAUCACAACCUCGACGCCGCUACCUUCAACUCCCAGGUCCGGGAGGCAAAUCAAAGGGCCGCCGAUCUGACGGAGAGCUGGCGUAAGUGUCUUUGUCUUUUUAUCUCAUGUGGGGGCGCGUCAGUGCACCCAUUGGGUGUAGUCCCCGAGAUUCGGGCUGACUACUGAGCAGUCGGGUCAGAUCUUUUUUGCCGACUUCUUUGUUAACUUCUUUUUUCCAUACUGGCAGGAGCCAAUGCCGACUUGAGGCAACAGCUGGGCGCGGCCCAGACUGCCCUUCGCACCAGGGAGGGCGAGCUCAGUGCCCUGGCUCUGGAGCGUGACCGCCUGGCCAAGAGGCUGGCCGACCAGGAGGAAAGCCAUAGGGCGGCCCUGAAGGCAGCGAAGGACAGUGCAGCCUCCCUCAAAGCCGAAUGCGACACCGAGGCGACGAGCUGGGCCGGGGCAAGGCAAGCUCUGAGCGAAGGCUACAGCCGAGUCGAGGAUUUGGUUGACGGUAGGCCGCCUUUUUCUUCACUCUUUGUUUGUUCCUUGUAAGCUAGUUUAUCUCCUGACUUGCUCUGUUUCUUUCUUCUUUGUGAAGAGUACUUUCCUAGCUAUUCUGCAGUCGCCAACCAAGCCAUCGAAGCUCAUCGUGAGGCCCGGCGGCAGGCUGGGGUUGAGAUCGCGCCGGAUGCCAACUGGUCGCUUGAGGAGCAUCUUCUGGCAAGCCAGGCCCUCCUUCAGCCGGCCUACCGCAUGCUCCGCCGGCUUCAGCGUGCCGGAGCACAGGUGUUGGCUGCCCUCUGGCCAGGCGAAGUAAUUCCUCGCACCCCCAGCCGUACUGCCGACUGGCUGGAGGUAGCCGUCGGCCGCCUCGAGGCCUGGAAGGCUUCAGCAGCUCGAUCCGGUGCUCACCGGGUGCUAGAGUUCGUCCGGGGUUGGUACCCUAGGCUGAACUUGUACCAACUGCGCACCUGGCGGUAGGAGGCUGACGAGGAUCUGGAGGCGGUGCAACCGGCUAUCAUCCAGCGUGCCUCGGCGAUUGCCGACUUCACCGACACCAGCGCCUUUGCUCCUGAGGUGAACGAGGACGACGUCGCGCAGACGGAAGAAUGGUUCGGGCUGAACCCGACCGAUGGUGAAGACUCGGCGGAGGAGAUUGACUCCAGCGACGAGGGUGAAGAGGAGGUGGAGGAAGAUGGUGAAGACGCUAUGCCGGAUGUUGGAGCAGCCAGCCAGCCUCAGCCUGACCGUGCCUCCAGCAACGAGGCGUGCGCGAAUGCUCCGCCUGCCGCCGGUGAUGACCAGGCCGAGACUCGCCAGCCGGCCACUCCUCCAGCCGACACCGCCGUCUCAACCGAUCUUCCUGACGCUCCGGGCGCUUACUUGGCUUGAUUCACUGUUUUUAUUUUCCUGCUUGACACUCUUUAAGCAAAUUUGUUAUGUUUGUGCAAUUCCACCCACUGGGGGUGUAUUCAAACUUUGUUGAAUGCCGGCCUCUCAAAGGCCUUUUGUGUAAAUAUUAUUAUGCAUGAGCUUGGCUUCCAUUCCUACUUGCUUUUUAUCUCUCGGCUUUUUUCCUUUGCCGCCUUCCCUUGGUUGCCGCCUUCCCAGCCGGACAGCUGCUCUGCAGUCUGUGGCAGGGUAAGGAGUUCAGCCGUCUGGGAAGGUAAGUACUCAAGGUUUCUUAGAUUGUAGUAGAGUAGGAAAGGGAGGCCGGCCAGCCGGCUACUUCGACAGCCGGUUGGCGAGGGGGAAGCUGGCUUGUGUUAUGUAAGUUCGUUAGUCCUUAGCCGUUUUUCAUGUGGGCAUCCUUUCCGCCUUGAAGUAUCGCUAGUCGGGCAGCCGAUUCUUCGAGCUGUGCCUUUCGCAAGAGAGGGCUUGGGUGUCGGCACAUUACUUAUCUGACUGCAGGUAGAACUUGGACAUAACUCAAGGCGGCAAGUCCCCGGGCCGACUAGUUGGACCCGGUGCCGGACGGAGAAAAUAAAUGUGGCGGGGUAACCAUGGGUGCGAUACCCAACAUACAUAGAUAAAAUAGGGUAGUCCCCGAGAACUCCUCGGGGGGGCCCAUUGUCUGAUACUUAAUACAAAAGGUAGCAUGAUACAUACUGCAUUUCAACUGUAAAAUCUUCGAAGAAGAUUAGCACUCCAUGGGCGCUCCGACUCCUUGCCAGAGUCGUCUCUCUUGCGUGCCUUCGGCUUCUGUGCAUCAAUUAAGUAAUAGGAGUCGUUUCCCAGAGCCCUGCUGAUGACGAAGGGGCCUUCCCAAGGUGCUGAGAGCUUGUGCUGGCCGGCUGUUCGCUGUAUCAGCCGGAGCACAAUGUCUCCCUCCUGGAAGGAUCUUGGCUUCACCCUUCGACUGUGGUAACGGCGCAGACCUUGCUGGUAGAUGGCGGACCGGCUGAGGGCUAACAGCCGACUUUCUUCCAGCAAGUCGACGCCGUCUUCUCUUGCUUCUUUAGCAUCCGCAUCCGUGUACAUGGUGACCCGAGGUGAGUCGAAUUCGAUGUCAGUUGGGAUGACAGCCUCGGCACCAUAUACAAGGAAGAAAGGGGUGAAGCCGGUUGACUUGUUUGGGGUAGUGUGCAGACUCUAGAGGACGGCCGGUAGCUCGUCGAGCCAGCAGCCGGUCGAACGCUCUAGCGGCACGACCAGUCGGGGCUUGAUACCGGAGAGGAUGAAGCCAUUUGCUCACUCGACUUGGCCGUUUGACUGCGGAUGGGCAACGGACGCUAAGUCCAGUCGGAUGCCCUGUCUCGCGCAGAAACGUGCCAGUGCUCCGUUGGAAAAAUUUGUGUCGUUGUCGGUGAUGAUGCUGUGUGGCACGCCAUACCGAGUUGUAAUAUCCGCAAUCAAUGUCACGGCAGUCGGCCCAAUCAGUUUCUUGAUCGGCUUUGCUUCAAUCCACUUGGUAAAUUUGUCCACGGCGACAAGCAGAUGUGUCAUGCCGCCGCGCGCCGUCUUGAAUGGGCCGACCAUGUCCAGUCCCCAGACAGCAAAGGGCCAAGUGAUGGGGAUAGUCUUGAGUGCGGAAGCCGACAUGUGUUGCUUGGAGCCGAAGACUUGGCACCCUUUGCAGUGUUUGACUAGCUCCUUGGCGUCCUCCAAAGCAGUCGUCCAGAAGAAUCCAUGGCGGAAAGCCUUGGCGACGAGCGCCCUGGAGGCGGCAUGGUGGCCGCAUUUGCCUUGGUGGAUGUCUUCGAGGAUUGCUAUGCCUUUCUCUGGCUCGAUGCAGCGCUGGAAGACUCCGGUAGCACUGCGCCUUACUAGCUCUUGGUUCAUUAUUGUUUAAGCUCCGGCUCGGCGUUGGACUUGACUUGCCGAGAUCUCGUCAGUUGGUAGCUCUCCAUUUACCAGGAAAUGGAGGAUGGGCUGGGCCCAUGAUGGAGCUGUGAUUUCUUCAACUGCGAAAAAUGGGUACUGCAACCAGGGUGGGCAGUGUCGGUGCGAGGACGACACCUAUGGGAUCACGAGAAUCCCUACUACGGUUGCGAGGUGCGGGGUUGUGAGAAGGGUGGAUCAAACAUGUAGCACACGGGUUAUUUAUCCAAGUUCGGGCCGCGAGGAUGCGUAAAACCCUACUCCUGUCUUGGUGAUUUGUUUAUCUGUGUUCCUGAGCUAGCAAUGGGGCGUGAAGAGCUCCAAAAAGCCGAAUCCCUCUCCUGGUCGCCCUGGGCCUCCUUUUAUAGGGAAAGGGGCCGCCACAGUGGCACACAGGAGGUGGAAAGGGCACAGUGAUACGAGUUUAUCCCUCGCAUUACGUGAUAAGGCGCAUUUAAUGCGUCGUGCUUAGGUGUCCCUACUUUAUCAGGGGCGGGGGAGAGCCCAGUCUUGUCCGUAGCCGAUCGUGUCGACACGCGCCCUGGCCUGCGGUGCCUGUGGUGCCAUGUAGGCAGGCAGGUAGCUGAGGUGGCGCAGCGGUGGGCCUCCACGAAGAUCUGCUUGCCGCCACGCAGGUGCUUGCCCAACUGGUUGGGUCAGCAGCCGCAUGCGAACGGCGGUGGAGCUUUGGAAUUGGCGUGGGCCUGACUGUGGCCCUAUGGGUGCCUUUAUCAAGGGCCUCACCGUAGCCCCGGCAAGAGUCUUGCCGGGGCCCCGGCAAGGGUCUUGCCGUGGCGCCUGCUAUCAUCCCCGUUAAGGCUCCUGCUGGGGAUCUUGUGGUCCUCCUUGGCUGGGAUCCCGCCAGGGGUCGUCAUCUUCUAUAGUGUGAAUUUGAUCUUGAAUGUGUCUUCACAAAGAUCUGCAUGCCACCACAGGGAUGUCUCCCGAAUCCUUGCCCCAUGGGGGCAGUGAACUCAAGGGUGAUUUGCUCCAUAGGUGUGGGGCGAGGUGCCACGGCAAGGGCCUUGCCGGGUUUGCUAAAACCGCCCCCGGCAAGGAUCUUACCGGGGGAGUCCACUUCAUCCCCUUUGCUCUUUGUGGUCUUGGUCUUGGCAUCGUUCUGCUCUUUCCGAGCUUCGGUCUUACCUUGGCUUACCUCCCUGCCUUGCUUGGCGUGGUGGUGUCCGUGGCUCGAACUGCCCGUGCACAGUUAUAGGGGUACAAAAAGUGUACCCCUCCUUUUGUACACCGACAGGACCCCCCGGUCCUGGUCCACACGUGAGCGUAAUCGCGUCGUUGGGCUAGGCCCAAAAAUGGUGCGCGGGGAGGCGGGGUAGUUUUUACCGCGGUAGGUUCCUUCGCGCAUCGUGCUUCCCACAUCUCUCGUGCGUGGCUCGGCAUGGGGAGGCGUGUGUGACGUGGGCGGCAUGCGUGGGGCUGAGCUCUGCGCGCAUGCGUCACGUCGCAGUUAAUGUGAAAGGAGGCGGCCCGCGUCUUCCCCCAUAAGAAGGAAUAACCGUGGGCGCGCUGCUCACUUUCUCCUCUUCCCUCGUACCUUUUCUGAUCUCAGAGCCACUGUUUCCUCCCUUCCUUCCCUCCUAAGCUUUCGCCGCCGCCUGCCGUUGCUGUUUUGCCACCCCUCUUCCUCAAUCCUCUAGAUUUCUUGGCCGCCAUGGCGCCCAAAUCUGCCAAGGGUAAGAGAGUAGCCAAGAGCUCUGGGACCGUGGAGACACUGGAGAGUGCGCUGUCGGGGGAUCGGACGAAGUCCGCCUUCUUUCUCCCCUCAUCCAUUGGUUUUCAUGAGCUUCGGGCCUCCUUCAAGCCCUUAUGGGGAGUGAAGACGGGGGGUGAUAAUUCAGGGCAUCCAGCAACACACGUCGUCCCUGCCGCUUGCGCCGAUCCUGCUCCAAAUCGGUAUCCCUUUUUUGUUGAUUACUUUUCCUGUGGGCUAUGCCCCCCUUUUUCCGAUUUCUUCUGCGACAUUAUGCACACCUUAAGUUUUCAUCUCUUGGACUUUACUCAGAAUGCGGUGGCCUGCCUGGCCCUCUUUGCGCAUCUUUGCGAGGGUUUUGCCGGAGUGCAGCCCAACACGACGCUCUUCCGCCAUUAUUUCUCCCCUUGAAUCCAGCCCUGAGGCGCCGUCUCUAGAUGCGUCGCCUGGAUCCCAAGAUCCAAAGGGGCAUACCCGGAGGGAGCCAUGAAGGAGAGGUGGGAUGAAUGGCGUAGCCGGUGGUGCUGGAUUGAAGACGAAGACCCGCCGAAAUUCUGCAAGGUCUUUCGAGUGCCACCGGUUCGCGGCAGCGAUUGGGGUGAUGCUGAUGCCGCCGACGAGAGGCUGAUUGUCGCCACCACCAGGAUCCUUCGGCUGACCCGGGCCGGGCUCACUCUGGAGAUGAUCGGGGCGGGCUUCAUUCGCCGCCGGAUCGCCCUGUUGCAUAAUAAGGGGAGGCCUGCCUUGCUUUUUACAAACCCGGCCGACAUUAUGCGGCUCCGCCCUGGCCUCGAUCACAAUUUCACGGUAAUGUCGCAUGCCCACUUCUGUCAGCGGCUUUUCUAGCUUGGCGUGGGUUGCGACGGCGAGGUCGAACGGACCGGCAAGGCCGCCAGAGCUGCCGCGAAGGUCGGCAAGGCCGUCAGGGGUUCAUUCUUCCAGUUGCCGGCGGGGGUGGUCCCAUUGUGCAAUAAUUCACGUCGGUCCGAAAUCAUCGCUAUGAUGCCAGACUGCAACGCACACGGCCCUGUCCCGAGCUGGAGGGAGCCGAGGGACGCAGAUGUGCAGCAAUUCUUCGACUCCUUGUCCGAAGUAUACGUCGAUGCCGAUGCCGAGCGGCGGCUGGUCAUGGACACCACCCAGGCAGAGCUGGACUACAUCGCCAUCAGGGCGAGGAAGGCACAACUUGCCACGGAGGCUAGCAGCGCCGGGGGGGGUGGAAGACAAGGCCGCGACAGCUGCGGAGGAGGAGCAACUCACCCUGUGGGCGGUGGCCACCGGGGAGGUCAGCAGCGCCGAUGCUGGAGCUCCGCUUGUUGAGGAUGCGGCCAACGAGUCGUCGGAGGAGGAGGACGUGGCGGCGGGCUCGACGCCGACCAGGGGAAGAGGGCGAGUCCUGCGGCGAGCUGGCUCUGGCGAGCCGGUUCGGCCCGGCAGGACUGUGCAGUCUCAAUUGACCCUGGAGGUGUCCGGGCGCCACACGAGGGCCACGACAGCGAAGGGGCUGACGAAGUCUGCUGAGAAGAAAAAGGCGACGGCCCCUUCCUCAUCUGGGUGCACACGAACCCCGCCGCCUUCUUCGCCUCCUCCGGUAGGCGUCAACUCGGAUGAUGACGUGGACCUCCCUUUUGACCUCGGGCCUCUCAGCCCGGAGAGGAAAAGGAAACUGGCGGAUGAGGAGGAGACGGAGGACGAGUAAGUACUCUGUUCCUUACUGUCAUUUCCACCUCCCCGUACCGACUCGCUUGUCUUGAUCCAUUUCUGCUUUUGCAGGGAGACAGAGACGUUGGCCCAGAGGGUGAAGAGGGAGAGGACCCUGGCGAGCAGUGAGCCCCUGGCUGGGGCGUCGGGGACACCGCUGGUGGUGCUGAGCAGCCCGGACAGCAGCCCCCGACGCAGCCCCCAGCGUAAGCCCAUCACUCUCUUCUUAUUCGACAUGCGGUAGGUGCUCGAUGCCAUGACGCUGAUCUUGCCGGAUUUGCAGGAGGGGAGCGGCAGUAGGAGGAGCCGCAGAGGGCUACUCCCAACACACCACCCCCGUCAACUAUGCCGUCGCGGGGGGCGUCCCCAGCAAGGGCACCAGACGCGGAGCCCGCACCCAUGGAGGAGGAGGAGAACUUGGGCGCUGGUGAUCCUGUCGCUGCGCCGGAUGCUGGCGGGGAGGGGACCUCUGCUCCACAGUCCGGCACCGAUGAGUCAUCCGCGCUUCAUCUCUGUUUUCCCUUUAUCCUUUUCUUGGCUUCAUCGCCCCCAUUGCUGCCCAGGCCCUUCCUCCUCAGACUUCGAGGACGCGGACACUAUUGUUGGGGGCACUGCUGAGGAAGCCGCGGUGGGGGCCAGCAGGAUUGCCGCCGAGGAGGCCGCCAAGGGUGCCGCCGAGGAUGCCGCUGCGGGAGCUGCCGAUGCGUCUCGCGGGGCCCCUGCCGAGGACGCCAGUAGUGGGCCUGCCGGCGAGGCCGGCAAGGCCUUUGCUGAGGAGGCGGUGGCGGGUGACCAGCCUCCUUCUUCCUCAACCUCGGGCCCCCGCAAAUAUCUGAAGGUGGGCAACGGUCUUUUCAUCCAUCUCCCGGGGGCGUCAUGCCGAGCGCCCACCGAGGGAGAGGCUUUUGACGGUGAAGUGCUUGCCACCACCGGGCUUGAGGUGGUUGAUGAGCCGAGCAUUGGCGGUGAUGGUUCCGCAGAAGAGCAGCUUUUCCGCGCCAUGGGGGCCGACCUCCGGAAGCUCCAAGCGCUCUACCGUGCCCGCCUGGACAAGGUCAAGUCCAGGAUGGCGGCGGUGGACAACGCGGAGGUGGACUUCAAGGUGCGCAUCGCUGAGACACAGACCUGGUUCCACCGGACUCGCGAGGAGCAGAGGGCCUUUCAGGAGGAAUUAGCCAAGCGCGAUGUGGAGCUUACCAUGAAAAUGGCCGACAUUGAGAAGGCCCUGGAGAAGGCGGCAAACCUGGCUGCCGCAGCCGAAGCCGCUCGAAACCAGCAUCAAGCCGCCCUGGAUUCCCAAGAGGAGGACCUCUCCGCGCGUGAGGCGAAGCUUAUCGCAACGCUUCGCGGCAAGGACGAGGAGCUCGAGGCACUUAUCGUGCGUCGGACCCGCGAACUAGAGCAGAGGCACAAGGAGGCACUUGAUGCCCAAGCUCUGGCCCACACCGGCAAGGUGAAGGAGCUGGAAGCAGGGCAGGAUGAACUGAAGGAGCAGGCCCUCAGGCUGUCCGGCGAGAAGGACACGCUCAACCGCGCCCUGGUCGAGGUGCAUGGAGCGGUCAUCAGUAGGACUGGGGAGCUCUCCGACGCGUGGAACUCCGUCAAAGACCUCAAGCUGAAGCUGGAGGGCCUCGAGAAGAUGCUGUCGGAGAGCAGGGCUCAGGAGAAGACUCUGACCAGGUGCCUCGAGGAGGAGAAGCAGCCGCGGGCAAACGAGGCCGCAUCCCACCAGGAAUAUGUGGUGGGCGAGAACAGGUGGAUCAGCCAUCUGGAGGUCGUCGCCGGCAGGGUCACCUUGCAAUUGGCCACCAUGGGGAUGCCAAACGUGAGGUACACCCCCGAGCGCGGCGGGACCGUCAACACCAAGCUGACCCAGUUCUUCGAGGGCGUCCUUGGAGCCUUGGGCUAUCUUCAUUCCAAGAGAACGGCCACGCUGGCCGAGGAGGCCCGGCGACUUUGCCGGAAGGUCGUGACCAAGGUCCUCACCAAGGUGGCGAAUUGGAAUCCCAACCUUGACUUCGCGGCCUCGAUGAAGAGCUUGCCGGAUGGCGUUGACCUCAUGGUUCUCAAGGAGCGCAUCAAGCCCAUCACCGACGGCAUCGACGAAAUCAAGAGGGUGGAAGGCCAUCGCCGGGAUUAAGCAUCCCGUUCCUCUUCGCCGCUGCAGGUUCCCGAUCAUGACAUGUUUUAUCUUUAGUUAGAACCGCAGCUAUGACGUGAUGUAAUAUAACUUUAAAGUACUCUUAACUUUCAUGCAUGUUAUUCCCCCGUUCAAUUCUUCUUUGUAUGUGCGUCCCUCGCUGAUCGGAUAGGCUUGCCGGCGCGGAAGCCCUUAGCGGCGUUUUGGGGACGGAUCCCCAAGGCCUGUCGGGUGCACGUGCUGCCGGACGAGCCACCUUUCCGUUCCAAACGCGGCCGCUCGGACUGUCGAGGUUGACUCGAAUCAGAACCGAGGGCGUUGUUGGUCGUGGAAGGGUACUCUGCCACUCCCGACGCAGCCACUUGAGCUGUCGAGCGGGCUCGAAACAGGACAAGGGCAUUGCCGAUCUUGGGAGAGCCCCCUGGCGUAUAGGUUUCCCAUGCAAAGACGUGACAUCUCCGGGGGAAAAUUACAUCAAAUAAGAAGGGUUGUACGAACAAGCUUUCAGUGCAACUUAUCUUCCGUAUGCCGUCGCUCGAGCAUAGAUCUUCUGGCCUCCUUUCUCCUCCCAGGGUCACGAAGGCGAAGGAGCGCCGGGCUAACUGCUAGAGCCGAUUCUCACAACCGUGCCCCCUACCUGGCACGCCAAAGAUGUCAGUGCGAGGACGACACCUAUGGGAUCACGAGAAUCCCUACUACGGUUGCGAGGCGCGGGGUUGUGAGAAGGGCGGAUCAAACAGGUAGCACACGGGUUCUUUAUUCAGGUUCGGGCCGCGAGGAUGCGUAAAACCCUACUCCUAUCUUGGUGAUUUGUUUAUCUGUGUUCCUGAGCUAGCAAUGGGGCGUGAAGAGCUCCAAAAAUCCGAAUCCCUCUCCUGGUCGCCCUGGGCCUCCUUUUAUAGGGAAAGGGGCCGCCACAGUGGCACACAGGAGGUGGAAAGGGCACAGUGAUACGAGUUUAUCCCUCGCAUUACGUGAGAAGGUGCAUUUUAUGCAUCGUGCUUAGGUGUCCCUACUUUAUCGGGGGCGGGGGAGAGCCCAGUCUUGUCCGUCACUGAUCGCGUCGACAUGCGCCCUGGCCAGCGGUGCCUGUGGUGCCAUGUAGGCAGGCAGGUAGCUGAGGUGGCGCAGCGGUGGGCCUCCACGAAGAUCUGCUUGCCGCCACAUAGGUGCUUGCCCAACUGGUUGGGUCAGCAGUCGCAUGUGAACGGUGGUGGAGGUUUGGAAUUGGCGUGGGCCUGACGGUGGCCCUACGGGUGCCUUUAGCAAGGGCCUCGCCGUAGCCCCGGCAAGAGUCUUGCCGGGGCCCCGACAAGUGUCUUGCCGUGGCGCCCGCUAUCAUCCCCGGCAAGGCUCCUGCCGGGGGUCUUGUGGUCCUCCUUGGCUGGGAUCCCGCCAGGGGUCGUCAUCUUCUAUAGUGUGAAUUUGAUCUUGAAUGUGUCUUCACAAAGAUCUGCAUGCCACCACGGGGAUGUCUCCCGAAUCCUUGCCCCAUGGGGGCAGUGGACUCAAGGGUGAUUUGCUCCGUAGGUGUGGGGCGAGCUGCCACGGCAAGGGCCUUGCCGGGUUUGCUAAAACCGCCCCCGGCAAGGAUCUUGCCGGGGGAGUCCGCUUCGUCCCCUUUGCUCUUUAUGGUCUUGGUCUUGGCAUUGUUCUGCUCUUUCUGAGCUUCGGUCUUACCUUGGCUUACCUCCCUGCCUUGCUUGGCGUGGUGGCGUCCGUGGCUCGAACUGCCCGUGCACAGUUAUAGGGGUACGAAAAGUGUACCCCUCUUUUUGUACACUGACAGGCGGGCUGGGUUGUGAGGAGUUGGAGUCGGCCUCCGCCUGCUGUGUUGAUGCAGUCCCCGGGCCGCCUGCCUGGUCCCCAAAGUCGGAUCCGACUGCGUCGGUGUCAGGCGGCACGAAGAUGGAACUGGAUUCCGGAGAUGGCUUGACAGAUGGCUUGAGGAGGCGUUGGAGGGCGACGCCGGUUGGUAUAACUUGUCAGGUGGAGCCUAUUCGUGCGAGGGCAUCUGCUUGCUCAUUGUCGGCCCGUGGCACGUGAAGGAACUCGCACCCCUCAAAAUAUCCGCUGAACUGCUGGACGAGGAAACGGUAGCUUGCCAUGUUUGCGUCCUUCGCAUCCCAGUCGCUGGAUGAUUGCUGAACCACUAAGUCCGAGUCGCCAUAACACAGGAUCCGGAGGAUGCCGAGUUCCUUGGCUAGCCGGAGCCCGUGUAUGAGCACCUCGUACUCGGCCACAUUGUUGGAGGAGGCAAAGUGGAUUUGCAGUGUGUAUCUGAGUUUGUCGCCCUUGGGAGAGGUGAGGACGAUGCCGGCUCCCAAGCCGGUGCGCAUCUUGGACCCGUCAAAGUGCAUCCGCCAAUGAGUGGAGUCGGGGGCAGGUGGCAUGUAUUGGGUCUCGGCCCAGUCGACGAGGAAGUCGGCCAAUGCUUGGGACUUGAUGGCAGUGCGGGGCUGAUAGUAGACUGUGUAAGGAGCCAGCGCAAUGGCCCAUUUCGCCACUUGACCGGAUGCGUCCCGGCUGCCCAUGAUCUCGGCAAGCGGGGCAGUGCAUACAACCGUGAUGGGAUGUUCUUGAAAGUAGGGCUUGAGUUUCUUGGAGGCGAAGUACACACCAUAGCACAUUUUCUGAUAGUGCGGGUAGUUCUGUUUUGAGGCGGACAGUACUUCACUCAAAUAAUAUACCGGCCUCUGGACUAGCUGAUCUCGUCCUUCUUCGGGACGCUGGACUAUGAUGACCGUGCUGAGCACCCGGCUGAUGGUGGCGAUGUAGAGGAGCAUGGGCUCCUUCUCAGUUUGGGCCACCAAGACAGGUGGUGUGGGCAACAUCUUCUUUAGCUCGUGGAAAUCUUGGUCCGCCUGGUCAUUCCACUCAAAGUGAGUGGACUUCUUCAUGAGUCGAUAGAGGGGGAGAGCCUUCUCUCCGAGCCGGCUCAUGAAGCGGUUCAAAUACGCCAAACAUCCGGUGAACUUUUGAAUGUCUCGCAGCUUGGUAGUGACUUUCAUUCUCUCUAUAGCCUUGAUCUUCACUGGGUUGCACUCGAUGCCACGUUCGGAGACCAGGAAGCCUAGAAGCUGGCCGGCUGGUACCCCGAACACGCAUUUCUCCGGGUUGAGCUUGAUCUGAAACUGGCGCAAAUUCUCAAAGGUCUCCUUGAGGUCUUCCAACAGGGUGCCGCGCUUCUCCGUCUUCACCACAACAUCAUCUACGUAGAUGUGGGCAUUUCUGCCGAGUUGCUUGAGGAGGCAUUUUUGCAUGCAACACUGAAAAGUGGCACCGGCAUUUCUCAAGCCGAAUGUCAUAGUCAGGUAAUAGAAAGCUCCGAAUGGGGUGAUGAAGGCGGUCUUCAAGCGAUCAGCCGGGUUCAACUUUAUCUGGUGGUAGCCUGAAUAAGCAUCCAAGAAACUCAACAGCUCGCACCCGGUUGUGGAGUCUAUCACUUGGUCGAUCCUUGGCAGGGCGAACGAAUCUUUAGGGCAGGCUUUCUUGAGGUUGGUGUAGUCGAUGCACAUGCUCCACUGCUUGUUCUUCUUCAAUACAAGGACCGGGUUGGCAAACCAUUCUGGAAAGAACACCUCCGUAAUGAAGCCGGCUGCCAGAAGCCGGGCUAUUUCUUCUCCAACUACUCUUCUCUUCUCCUCCGACAGGCGGCGCAAGGGCUGCCUGACCGGCUUUGCAUCAGAUCGGACGUGUAGCUUGUGCUCGGCGAAAUCCGUCGGAACACCCGGCAUGUCUUUGGGGGACCAUGCAAAGACGUCCCGAUUCUCACAGAGGAAAUCGACGAGCUCGCCUUCCUAUUUCCUGUCAAAGCCUGUGCCUAUGACAGCAUGCCUCUCCGGGUGCUCCGGGUCUAGAGAUAUCUUCUUUGUCUCCCUGGCCGGCUGGAAAGAACCUUGAGCUUCACAUUCUUUGGGGUCGGGGGACAACGCCGGCUGCUUGCCAGCCAAGGUCACAAUUCGAUCCAGCAUCUUCUUCUCUUCGGCGAUUACGAGGGACUCAGCCAGCCGACUGCUGGCUGCUGCACACUCAGAAGACUUCUUAUAGUCUCCGGCUAUGGUGAUAAUGCCCUUGGAACUCGGCAUCUUCAUCUUGAGGUAGGCGUAGUGGGGCACAGCCAUAAACUUGGCCAACGCUGGUCGGCCAAGCAAUGCGUGGUACGGGCUCUCCAAAUCCACUACCUCGAACGAUAUUGCCUCUCGGUGGAAAUGAUCCUUGUCCCCAAAGAGGACAUCCAUCUUGAUCUUGCCGAUUGGUGAGCAGGACAGGCCGAGUACGAUGCCGUGGAACACAGUCCGGCUUGGCAUGAGUUGCUUCGGCUUGAUGUUGAGCUUCUCCAUUGUAUCUCGGUACAAUAUGUUGAUACUGCUCCAGCCGUCUAUCAGUACGCGGGAGAAUCGGGCAACGCGUCUCUCCGUUGCCAGGGUGGCAUCCAAAACUAGGGCAUAGGAUCCAGGAGACGACAUCACCUCUGGGUGGUUGUCUCGGCUCUAGCUGAUGGGCUUCUCUGACCAAUGCAUGAACUCAGGGUUACUGGAGGAGACCGCGUUGACUUCUUGCUGCUGUCGGCGCCGGCUGCGCCGAUCUUCUAUCUGGCUGGUGAACACGACGUAGGCCGCUUGCUCGUCCGGGAACUUAGCUUGGAUAGCUCUGACUGCAGGCCGAGCGGCCGGCUGCUGCGUGGUAGGAGGCGGCUGGCCUGCAGGUGGAGGCGGCAACAGCCCCUCGCCCUUGGAGAUUUGGGUGAGCCAAUGACACUUCCGUGUUGUAUGGUUGGACGGCUUCAUGCUGCUGUGGAACUUGCAAGGGGCGUUGAGGGUUUGCUCGUAGGAGAAAGCCGGCUGCCAAGCCGGCCUGCCGCCCUUCUGCUUCUUCAGAGCCAGCCGUCCCUCAGGCUGCUCUUCUUCGAUCGUGGCCACCUGCCGGCUAGUGGAAGGCGGCAUAGGGGCCUUGCACUUGUGGUCGUUUUGAUACGGGCGCCGACUUGAUACUCCAACUGGCGUCUUGGGAGCCGGUGUCAGCACUUUUCCGGAGGCGUAUACCCGGAGCUCGGUCUUCAUUGAGGAGUCGGCCGUGGCAUACUUGUCCGCGAUGAUCAGUAGCUCAUCAAGGGUAGCCGGCUCGUCGCAGAGGAGUCCGUGCUUGAGGAGAGUGCCCUCGCGGCACCCAGCGGUGAAGUACUCUAUGGCCUGGACCUCGUGCACCCCCUCGCAGGAGUUGCGGAGCUCGGGCCAACGCGUGAGGUAGUCACGGGUUGAUUGGCUGGGCCCUUGUACGCAGAAGGAGAGCUGGCGGGGCUUGGGAGCCCACUUGUAGGUGCUGGUGAAGUUGCGUAUGAAGGCUUCGGUGAAGUCUAGCCAGCUGUUGAUGCUGUAAGGCUUGAGGCUAUUGAGCCAGGUGCGCGCCAUGCCUUGGAACAUCAGGGGAACGUAUUUCACGGCAACGCGUCGAUUGCCAUUCGCUAUGCGAACUGCGAUGGAGUAGUCAAUCAACCAAUCUUCCGGCUUCACGGAGCCGUUGUACUUGGGCGUGUCUCUUGGGAGCGAGAACCCUUUGGGAAAGGGCUCGUCGCGGAUGCGGGGGCCGAAACAAGGCGGGCCGACAUCAUCUUCUUCUUCCAGGGCCAGGGAUCGUGCUAGGCAUUCGAUCCGAUGGCGGGCGUCAUUCUUGCCGACUCCUUCGCGGCGACCAAGUCGGCCGCUGAGAGUCGGAUGCUCGACAGGCGGCGGGGUGGGAUAUCUCUCCCCGCGAGGCGGAGGAGGGGGCAGGUCGCCUCGUCGUUCCACUCCUCGGGGGCGGCCUUCUGCAUCACGCUCAAUGGUAAUGCGAGUCCGGCUGCGGCUAGUAGCCGGCUCCUUCUCUUGUCUGGUUCGGGCGCCACCCGCAGUCGGCGUACGCGAUGUCUCGCCGUGCUCUCGGCGAGGGGGGCUUCCAGCUCGGAUGCCGGCUUCAUGCCGUGCUGCGGCUGCGUCGAUCAGCUGCUGGAUGCGUCUGGUCAUGUAGGGGAGCUCGUCGGCUCCCAGUCCGUUUAGCUCGUCAACGAUCGACUGGGCGGCGCGUAGAUUCUUGAGGGGCGUGGCGCAGACCGGGCGGUCCGCUCCCAGCAUGCUGGCAAUGGCCGCGCCGCGUUUCUUGACAACGCCGACUCAGCUUGGCCCUUCUGGAGGCGGCGUGCCGAAGGCGGCACGGUCGACUUUGCGCUGGUGGGCCUCCGUGAGGCGUCUCAUGGUGGCUAUCUUCUGGCCCUCCGCAAGGAGGGCAAGGCGGCGUGCCUCCAACGCCUCAGCGUCAGCGUCCGCCGGGAUGGGGGCGGACAGGUCGUGCAAUGCGGCCUGCAGGGCGUCGUGGGCGUUCUCGUCGGAGGCGACGCCAUGGUUGAUGACUAGCACUUCGGUGACGGUGCUGCUGCCCCUGUCAGGUUAAGGGAGAGGGUCGUCGAAGACCAUCACGUCAGAGGGGAAGGCGUCGAGCGACGCCAUGUCAGAAUCGACAAGCAUCGGGUCGGUGGAGCCGAACAACUCCAAGUCCACGGUAGGCUCGCCGGAGACAUGGAGUUGGUCGAGGAGGCUGAGGAGGCGGCUCUCGGGGCAGCCUGUGCCCGCGUCGGAUGCGGGCUCGUCGGAGAUGCGAGUCUCGCCAAGAAGAUCGGCGAGGCAGCUCGCUGCGCAGGCGUCGUCGAUGCUUUGCAGCACGUCGGGGCAAGUGCCAUCGGGCGUGCCGGGCUGGCUACGCUCACUGGGGAGGAAGAGGGUUCCCGUCCAGAGUAGGUCUCCGGACGACGGUGCACCUAUCCCCAUGGUGGGUGCCAAAUGUCGGGUGGUAGGUGCGACAUAUGCCAACGGGUGGCUUAUCAUUGUGGGAGCUAGUAAGACAUCGCCGGUGCCUGGAAACAGGAUAAGGCGAAGACAUGCACGCCGGCGGAUCUUACCCAGGUUGGGGGCUCUCUGUGGUGAUAAUACCCAUACUCCUGCUCUGCGGGGUCUCCGCAUGAUCACUAGAUCGAUAAGAAGCUACAAGAGGCUCCUUGAGCUGUUCGGUGGGAGGAGGAAGAAGGGAAGGCUAGCUCUCUUCUCUCCCUAUGGUAGUGUCUAAAACUCUCUGAGAUCCACGCUUUGCAUGGGUGCCCCGGGGGAUUUAUAUAGGCCUACCCCCCGGGGGUACAAUGGUAAUCCGGCCUGGGCGUGGGCCCAGGCCGUCAGCGUCCAUGUCCGCCGGCUUUUGGGGUCCGCCGACUGGUGGGUCCCACUGGCUGCCAGCACAUUGGUCGACAGGCCGGCCCCACCACUUGGGGGGUCUUGUUGAGGGCUGGUUACUAUAGCCUCGCCUCUAAUGACGAGGGCUUUGUCGAGGUAAGAAUGGCUACAGUGUUGCUGCCUUGCGGGUGCUCACUGUAGCCUUAUCUCGUCUUGUCUGCUUAAUGGUGCGCGCGCCCCGAGGAGGGGAGCAUGCCGGCUAUAGGAAGCCGGCCUGGCCUUAGGCCGGCUGGGGGUAGUCAGGACGCCUUCGGAUGUCUCUCUGACCGAAGGGGCCCGCCGCCUUUGGGCCGUACCGAUGGCCCAUCGUGGUUGGCGUCAUGGUUCGCAUGGCAACAGUGCCUCGCCGGACAAGAGACGUCCGCCCUGUACGGCGUACUGUAGCCACACUUGCUCCGGGACUCGGAGAUGGCAGGGUCCACUGUAGCCAUGCCUCGUCUCGUCACCGUUAUGGGGGGUUGACUUUAGGGUGCGGCCCAUGGACGCUUGCCAUGGGCCGGCUUCUUGGAGUCGGUCCUUCAUGGUCCGGCUUCUUGGAGUUAGUCCUUCAUGGGCCGGCUUUCUUGGAGUCGGUCCUUCAUGGGCCGGGUUUCUCAGAGUCGGCCCAGUCGUGGCAUCCCCCGAAGAUUUUUUAUGGCCGGGCCGCCUUCCGCUAGUCGUCCUAGGUGAUAGCCAGCCGGAAGAAGGCGGCCCCGUGUCCUGGGCGCUUCAAAGCUCGGUUGGCCCAUUGUUUUUUCUGAGGGCCAAAGGGAGCCGCCUAGGCUACCCGUGGUCAUUUACUCCGACAGCACCCGAACGGCGGCCAGGGCGACGAUGGCGGGCAGGGAGCGCUUUAUGGCUCGACGGAGGGGUUGGGGAUGGCUAGUGGAGGGAGGAGGGGAGGCUGAAGAGCUCGGGAGGCCGCGGGGAUGGCUAUAUAUAGCCGCGGGGAGGAGCUACCGCAUUGUCACCGCCGCGGACGCGUGUCCGGCGCCGCGGACGAGUGCUCGCGCGCAUGAACUCGGGGGGAAAGCGACAAGGGAGGCACAUGGGAGAUCUCAUGGGGAAGAGACGACCAAGGGAGGGGAAGAGGAAGAGGCCGGGCGCCAUUAAUGCCCUGUCAGCCACAGAGCUCCCGUGGGCGAGCGGCGACGAGCGCUGACGACGAGGCUUCGGGAGAGGGAGAUGAGUCCAGGGGGACGUCGACGAUGCGGGCCAGCUGGUAGACACGCUCAAGAGCGCGAAGAUGAUGAGAGGAGGAGGGGGUCCACUGGACGCGGCCACUGCACACGGAGCGUGUGCACAGGCACGCCAUUGUCGUGGUCACCGCGUGCACUGGUAUCAAGAGGGGCCAAAUGGUUGUCAAAUGUUGUCUAGUGGUAAGUGCGUCGAAGGUGGGUUUUAACUGUGGUGGUAGUUUGGUGAAAACGGCUAUGGUUAAAAGGUUAGUGAGCUCUGAAGUUUACUGCAGUAAACUUUACCAGUUCAGGGUGAUCAACAGGGGGCUGUUAUGUGCCAAGUGUUAUGUCUGGGGUGUUUAGGCUAGGAAGGACUACAAUCCUGGGGAGUUUGGGAAGAAAUGGACCAAGAUUUACUGCAAUUGCUUCACAACUGACCAAAAUGGUCCAGAAACUAGAUCAUGAUGGUGCACUCACAUGGAGUGUCAACUUGUGCUAAGAUUGGGCAAGGCAGAGUCAUUUGGUCAUAUGGAGAUGCUCAAAAAGUCUCAUACCAAUUGGCAAAGCCAAAGUGGUACUUGCUUCACAAACAUCUCCUCUGGACAGAAACUUGGAAUAAUAUUGAUGAUCAAAUGGAUCAAUGAAAUGAUGCCAAAUUGGGUGGAGAGAUGUUUUAUGGGUAUAAGAAUGAUCUGGUAAAUUAUCAGGAUUUUUGAAGCAAUAUAAAAUACACUUGCUUCACAACCUAAAAAUAUUGCCAGAAUCAAAGAUUUGCUCCUGUGCUCACAUAGAAGAUUGGAUGGGGCUGCAAAUGGGAGAAGGGGGUUAAUAUGAGCACAUUAAGGAGUGUGCACAAGUUCAACCUAUUUGGAUACUCCUAGCUAGUACUUCCUUCACAAAGCCUUUUGUCUGACAAAAACUUUGAAAAUUCGCUGAGGAAGAUUGGCUAGGCAAAUAAAUUUGAACUUGUGCAUGGGGCAAUUAUUUGGACAUAUAAUCAUGCCCAAAAAGGUUGGGAGUGACUAGGAGAAAUAUAAAUGACACUUCCUUCACAAAGUGCCAUUCAGGGCAGAAUAGAAAAAAGGGAUAUUGGGGAAUUUAUUUUUAACUGGCCAAGGAAAUGUUUGGGCAUAUUUGAGCUAUAUAUGACCCAAAGGAAUUAUGAGAAUUAUUUGGGGAUUUUUGGAUGGACAGAAAUAUAGGUUGCUUCACAACCUCGGGCAGAUAGGGUUGUUCCUUUAAUGAAAAAGGAAUUUUCGCUAGAAAAAGAUUUUAGGGUUUGGUCAAGGAGUGAAGUGACAUGAUCUUUAGCAAGGUUUUGAGAAUGAUGAGCCACUUGGGAGGAGAAAUGAGGAUGAUUUCCCAAGUGGCAAGGCCACAUAACCACUCCAAAAAGAAAAAUAGAGCAAAAACCAAAUAAAUCAGAAGAAAAAGAAAAGGGCCAAAAUCCAGGCUGUUACAACCGCAGACCUCGCGGAGUUCCUGCAGCUCUACGAGAUGAGCAUCGAGGAGGCAAACGGUGACGAGAAGAUCAUGGCAAACUGGUUCCCAAUGGCCCUCAAGGAUGGCGCACGUUCUUGGCUCCUGAACUUGACCGAGGGGUCGGUUUCUUCCUGGGAGGAGAUGCGCAGCCGCUUCAUCGCGAACUUCCAGGGCACUCCUAACCGUCCACCAGCCGCGGGACACCUGCGUCGCGUCAAGCAGCAGCCUGGAGUAACCCUGCAUAAGUAUAUCCUGCGCUUCAACAACGUCGGCCUCAAGAUUCCCAAGGUGUCCGACGAGGCCAUCAUCUCCACGUUCACCGAUGGUGUCCGCGACAUCAAGAUGAAGGAGAAGCUUGCAAUCCGCGAGGACCUUUGCACUGUUCUAGAGAUGUUCAACAUGGAGAACAAGUGUGUGAGAGUUGAGUAGGGACACCUCUCCCUCCUCGAGCUCCCUGAUGCUGAUCCAGAAGACAAGAAGACCAAGACCAAGGACACGGAGUGCAAGGGCCAACUGUGCUUUCGGCAGAACCAGAGCCCAAGCGCGGCUGCAAACACCCCGAGUCAUCCAAGGGCAAGCAGUCGUUCUGUGCCUUCCACAACGUCUACAACCACAACACAAGUGACUGCCAGGAGCUCAGGGCUCUCCGCGACGAGCACCUCGGUCGACGCCCACAAUGAUCGGUGCUACGGUCGUGGAGGUGCCCGAGGUGGAGGUCGCUGGGACGGACGCGACUGCCAUCAGGAGUGGCAUGACCAGCCUCGUGAGGACCGUUGGCAGGACGAGCCUCGCAAGGGUAACUGGAGUGAGCAGCCUCGUGAGGAUCGCCCUCAAGGCAAUGCAGCCUUGCCUCCUCUUCCUCCACCACCAAGAAGGAAUGAAGAUCACCACCAGGACAAAGGAGCUGGGGGCUUCCAGGAGCUACGAGCCAUCGCAUGCAUCUUGGGUGGCUCACAGGCCCCAGCUUCUCACCGUGUCUUCAAGCAGAUUGCGCGUGAGGUCAAUGCGGUGAUCCCUAAGCUUGAGGCAACUCCUCCCCUCAAGUGGUCCAAGUGCUCCGUCACCUUAGACUCCUCAGACCGGCUCAAGUGCGCGGCCACCGCUAGCGCUCUCUGUAGGAUAUCGGGUUCCGGCAAAACCCUUAAGGUUCAAACUCUGGGGUGCGCGUGAAGAUCUUCCUCCUACCGAUCCACGUCCCGACGCCUCGCUGCGAAUCUAAGCUACACGAUGAACAACACCAGGGAUGCAAGGUUUAUACUGGUUCGGGCCACCAUUGUGGUGUAAUACCCUAAUCCAGUGUGUGGUGUGGUGGAUUUCCUCUGGGGCUGAUGACGGACAGUACAGAGGAAGAACAGCCUCGCGAGGGAUGUUCUUGUGGUGGUGUGCUUGGAGAGGAAUUGCUCCGUCUUUAUUGGCUCUAGGUGAGAUCCAUAUGCCUUCUACUGUGAUGGCUAUCUUUAUAUAUAGAGGCCCUGGUCGUCUUCCCAAAUAUUGAGCGGGAAGGGAGCCAAGAAUGGCCAUUUUGAAGGGGAACAUCUAGUACAAGUUAUCUUGACUAAAGUUGGUCUUCGGCUGCCAAAGGCACUGUCGAUAACGCCGUCUUGGGCUCCACGGUGACCUCCGUCCUGCCGCUCUGCUGGUCUUGGUCUCGUUGCACUGAAAUGGUAACCUUUGCUUGGUGCCUCGAUACUCCGCGCCUGCGCUUGCCCCCUUUGCACCAAAGAGGAAACGAGGACACUACACAGGCUAUCGCCCGCCUGGCGCCCUCCUAGUCUUGAUCGUCAUGGCUUGCGUCAUGAGCAGCUCGCGAGGUACCCCUGCCUUGAUCUCUCCGCCUCCUCGCGAGCCUGCCUGGUGAGACCGUUCCUGAGGAAGCCUUGCGUCAUCCGCCCCGCGAGGCUUGGCCCCUCGCGAGGGUCUUGAGCUUGAGUUGAUGAAGAUGGGCCGUACUGGGCCACCCCUCGAGCCACGCUGCAGGACGCACGCAGGCAAGUCUGGGGACCUCCGUUCCCAGAACACCAACAGUAGCCCCCGGGCCCAAGGCGUGCUCGGACUUGGCUUAGCAACGAAGCGAAAGGCAAGUGCGGAGCGCCGCGGGCCCCAACAGCCUGCGGCCUUGGGUGCCACGUGGCAGUUGAUUGGACAUGGGCGUCUCCGCUUCCCCAUGCUGCCUCGGCAACUGCCCGAUUUGACGAGUCCCUGCAUGCAUAGAGGGUCAUGAUUACCUGCGAUCACGGAGGCCGACGGUUGGCCUCCUCUGGACUACAAGUACGGAGAGGCAUGAGGCCCCGCAGUACAUCUCUCCUUGCUUGCUCAUUCUCGAUCUUGUCGCCAAUGGCACCGAUCCGUCGGUUCUCAUCCGAGGAGAAAGGAAAGGACCCCCGAGAGGGGCCCGACCCGCUCCCGUCGAAGAAGCGGCCGGUCCCCGGCCGCCGUGACGAGGUUGCUCGGCCAGAGGCACCGAGGCCCUAGUAGAUGCGGCCUCCUCCUGGGUUUCCACUCCCUCUAUACGCACGGUCCGAGAGCCCUAGAGAAGAAGACGUCAAGCGGCGCCACCCGCGCCGUCGGCGACGACGAUGAGUCACGGUGGUGCGCGUUGUUGCUCCUGGAGUCCAUGCCGCGGACUCCCCUCGUGAGCAUGUGCUCCACUCCGCCAUGCCUCCAAGCUCCUGGAUCUGCUUUCCUCCUUUCUUCGCCUUCGAGAUGCCGCCACGGGGGCCUCUUGAGCUUUGGCUGCAGCACGCCGACUGUGGUACCCCGGCGACCAGAUCAAAGGUUAAGGUCGUCACUCCGGGGAAGGUCUACAUGACCUGAGGCUGGGGCGAGAUUGCACGGGUCUGCCAAACAGGGGGCGCCUUCAUGAUUCAUUUCGAAUACGAUGGCGCCUCCUUGAUGCUCUUCAAGGUCUUCGACACGGAUGGACGCCGGUUGGAGUGCUGCCCCAGAGGAGGCGGCCAGGACGUCAACGUGGCGAGGGCUAGGCCUGCCCUCCGCUUCCUCAGUAGCUCCUAUGGCAGUAGCGGAGAUGCUGGGGGGUCCAGCGACUCUCCCGAGAUUCUCGUGACUCCGGAGACAAGCGACGAUAGCUACGAGCCCCCAAGCUUGUGCCGCACCCGGAGCAAGGGAGCUGCAUCAGGCCGCCGACGCGGCUGAUCUGGAUGGGGUUGGCGCCGGCGCUUGGUGGCCCACUGUUGAUGAUGAUGUCGUCCAUGGAAGCGCGUGUAGUUAGGGAUCCUUAGGAUUAGCACCUUUUGUUCCCUGCGAGGAAUCAAGGAAAUACCCCGUGGGGGCAUGUAAAGCGUAUGCAGCGUCUUUUGUUGAUAUUAUCCUUAUCAUGAAGUGGUGCAAGAUGCUUGUCCUGUCCCGGCUCGGUUCUCUCUUUCUAACCUCGUGACGGCUUGGUGAUCUACGCUGACAGGUCCCGGUCCCCAGGCAAGCUUCAGACGUCGCAGGUAUGCCAGGUCGCGAUGCCGUGGUCAAGGCCAGGAGGUGAGCGGCCUGAGGUCCAGUAAGAUCCCCCAAGGCGCGAUGCUAAGGACGUCCCCCUUAGCGCUCAAGCAGCCGCCGAAAGGCGAGAAAGUAAGCCAACGUCACCAUCACAGAGCCGCAAUGAGUGGAGGUUUGGCACUGCAUCGAUUAGCUAUUCUAGGAGCGGGACUUAUCUCGAAAGCAUGGAGCCGUUCCUUCGUGAGGCGCCAGACUUGCAUGUCGGCAGCUGGGGUGUAUCUGGGUCAGGCCUUCGCGAGCUCCUGCUCCCCUUCUUUGCAUUCUCCUUCGUGCUCAGGUCCCUCCCCUCGAGCGACCUCAGUCACCGCUGGUAUGCCAGGUCGCGAUGCCGUGGACAAGGCCAGGGGGUGAGGGCUGGAGAGCCAGUAAGAGCUCCUGAGUCAUGAUGCUCAGGAGCCCCCCUUUUAACGCGCGAGCGGAUCGUACGGGUAAGGGAGAGAGAGUGCUCACGACGCCCCCACAUUAUUGUCCCUAUAAGCCAACACGAGAGAAGCAAGGGUCGCCAUUACGAUUGCCGGCCGGCCAAUGGUUGCUCCGAGAGAAUGGUGAGGGCACUGAGGAUCUGGUGAGGUGACGCUUGCGGGGCUGCCGCGAGCUAGAGCUUGACCACUCAGAUUUGCCGAUGUUGCAGGGACGGACCCAUGCACAAGCGCCGUGUCAGUGCGAGCGGCUCCAAAGGUAUGUGUCAAUCGAGCAGGCGAUUAUCACAAGCGGCUUAAGCAUGAAGCGCAAAUCAACUUAGAAAAAUGCAGGAAAGAUACAUGUCACUGGGUCCGGCCCGAGCGGCUUGGGGAUGAUGCAGCCUGAGGGGCGCCCCCAGCAAAGUGAAUUGAAGACAUAAGCAAAACAGAUACAUGCUGCGGGGACGGACCCGCGCGACCUGGGAAUGAUGCAGCCCUGAGGGUGCUCCCAGCUGAAAUGAAACUCGAAAGAUAUCACUUGGUAUCAUUGCAGAGCCGGUGUUGGAGUAGCUGAUGAUGCACGGUGAAGAAGCCGAUCCUUACGAGCCAUCAGAUCCUUGAGCCUCGGGAGGCUCUGGGGGUCCGGGCGGCUCCUCAAGGUCCAUAUCCAUCUCUGCCAGGAACGCGUAGUGUCUGGCCUCCCGAGCUUCCAGAAUGCUCCUCAUUAGGCGCUGGUGAGCAGCAUCCGCGUUCGGCAGGCCGAAAGGCAUGCAAACAUAGCUGUGAGGUGGACCCUCGCAACGUCCCACACGCGAAGGCCAGAAACGCACCUGAGACGCGACUCGGUUGAGCCCUGGGUAGUUGAUGUAGACGCGCAGCCCGCCAUCCUCGCCUGGAUGGGGAGCUACGCCAGGCAAGCGGCAAUUUCCGCGCAUGACUCUCGAUUCCUGCAGCUCCUGAGUGACCUUGGUGAUGAACUCCUGAGGGUUGGGCCCUCCUUGCCUUAUGCCUUCCUGAGGGAAACGUGCCGCGAAGCACGCCUCCAAGUGGUGCCCGAGCGCCUCCCUCGUGACCUUGGCAAAGUCAGAGGCCCUCCAGGAGAGCCCCCGAUCCUUGCCCGAGGAGGGCGCCUGUCACAUCCCUGGUCCUGGUCUGCAGUAGGCUAGCCCUUCAUGUGUGCAUCAUGUUUAAUUUUUCAAAUGAACUUGAAUUGGGGAUUGCUCAAACCCUAGCACUAGAUCGAAUCAACUAGGUUCAAAUAAAAACAUUCUCAAUGAACCCAAAAUGCUCUUCAGAAAAGUUCAUUAUUUUUGAAUUGGUCUGGAACCUCUUCCAAAAAUGGUGCACAUUUUCUAGGCCAUUCUGGAUUUUUGAAUUAAAUCAUAUAGUAUUUGCAUUUGGGCAUUUAAAUGCUAUAAAAUAUUUUAAAUGCUCAAAUAAUCCCAAACUGAAAUGUUUACUGUAGGAUAUAUUUCCAACAGUGGUCAUGAGUAGUUGCAUGAUUUUUGGGAUUGAUUUAGUAUUUUUAAUAAAGCCACAAAGCUACAGAAGAAAUAGAAAACUAAAACAAAUAAAAGAGAGGGAGAGAAGUUACCUGGACCUACCUGCUGUGCAGCCCACCUGGCCAGGCCAUCUGGCGGCCCAGUUGGCUGGCCCAGCCCAGCCAGCGCUGCCUGCUUCUUCAACCUUCUGCCAGAAGGAGAAGCAGGUGUGUGGCGAGCGCGCAACCGAACGCGGCCACCUCCUGCUUCCCGCCGCUUCCUCGACGCGGCUGUGAACGCCACGCCACCCCCGGACCCUCUGCACCUCUCCCCUCUCUCGCUGGACCUCCUCCCCCUCCUCUGUUUCUCCCUCCCGCGAACACCCGAGCGCGCUCAUCGCCACCGUUCGCCGCCGCCGUGUCCACCGUAUCCACCUCGCUCCCCCGAUCGGCCUACGAGCUCGGCCUGGUUCCCCUCUUCCUCCUCACCAAGACGCACGGCACCGGAAGCCCCUAGACGCCGCCAGCGCCGCUGUCUCUGUCCUCGGGUGCCGGAGAUCCCCGCCGAUGUUCCGCCGGACCCCGUGUCUCCCCUGCCUCUCCAGCAGCACCAGAAGAACCGCGGUGAGCAUCUGCACCGUUUCCCCCAUACCCCGUCGCCUAAUUCAUCCUACAACCGCCGUUUCCACCGAAGCCGUGAGCUCCUCGCCACCGGCGAUGGUGCAGACGAGGCCAUGGGCACUGCAGCCUGUAUCCGAGCACACCAGCAUGCUCGGCGCACCUCCAGGAACCUGCAGCCACCAGUAGCUCCCCCUCCCAUGCCCUCUAGCACCAUACUCGAUCGCUCCCAAACGCCGGCCGCCGCCACGAGCUCGACUCCGGCGAGCUCGUUCGACCCCAGCCCCUCCUACUUGGCUCUCUGGAUGCGCAAGAGCAAGGGCUAUGCCCUGGUGCCCUCAGCGCACUAAACCGACGUCUCUAGCGCAAGUCCGGCGUGCCCCCGCUGUGUUCUGUGGUCGCCGCCGGCUGGUCUCCAACGUGCUGACGUGGCGCCAUCAUUAGGGGCUAAUGACCCUGCUAAUUAAGCCCUCUGUCACUGACGUAUGGGCCCCACGCCCUUAAUUAAUCUUUGUUUAUUUUCUGUUAAGUUUAACUAACCACCUGGGCCCCACCCGUUAGCUUUGACCGCGCUGACAUGGCUGUUGACUGGCCCCACAUGUCUGUGACCCAGAGAGCACUGUGUCACUGACCAGUGGACCCUACUGGUCAGUUUGACCUAGACCAGCUCUGUUGACUCUGCUGACGUCACAAUGACGCAACGCUGACGCAGUAAUUGUCUUCUGGUUUUCAAAUAAUUCAAGAAAUUCCAGAAAAUAGUCUAAACUUCUAAAAAUCAUAUAAAAUCAACCGUAACUCCAAAUGAAACAAAUUAUAUAAGAAAAAUGAUCAGAAAAAUCCAAUCUAUCCAUCUGUACCAUUUUCAUGCAUGUUAGAACAACCUAUAGCUGCUGUUUAGCACAAGUCAUAAAAAUGACAUUUGAAUUUCACAUAUGGAGUUUGGAUUUGAACUUAGGGUUCAAACCAACUUCAUUUAACUUGCUGCUAGUUGCAUUAGCCCAAACCACAGCAUAUUGCCAUGUCAUGAUCAUGCAUCAUAUUGGGCAUUGCAUUGAUUGUGUUUCUUCUUUAUUUGUCGGUGCUUGUCCCCUCUCAGUAGACGAUGUUCCGACGUUGUGAUCGUUGACACUGAUGAAGAGUCAAUGCUAUCUUCAGAAGUGCCAGGCAAGCAAAACCACCUUGUUCAUUCCGAUAAAAUCCUACUCUCUCGCUCCUGCUCUCUUUUACUGCAUUAGGACAACAACGAUUCAUCUGUUACUUGCUGCGGUAGCUGAACCCCCUUAUCCUUUGCAUGACCUGUCAUUGCCACAGUAAAUAGAUGAAACCCACUAGCAUGAGUAGGAGUUGUUUGAGCCCUAUUGUGCCUACUCAUUCAUACUUGUUUGUCAUGCCUGCUACUGCUUAGAGUUGAGUCAGGUCUGAUUCAUCGGGGAUGAAUUAGAGGUGUGUGAACAUGUCCUACUGUUGAGAGCUAAGUGUGUGAACACGAUUUGGUAAAGGUAGCGGUGAGAGGCCAUAUAGGAGUACAUGGUGGGCUGUCUCAUUCCACCCGUCCUCAGGAACUGAGUUCUGUGUUUGUGAUCCAUGACCAGUUACUACCACGCAUUGGAAUGCUUAAGUGCCCCUCUCGACUUAUUAAUCAACUCGAUCACUGUCCAGGAGUUGCAACUAGUUUCUGGUGUUUGUAGGCUGUGUUAGUAGUCUACCAAGUGGUACCCAGUACAGGUGGGCUUGGGACAGACUAGGCACCAUGGCACGGUGUACCAAGCGUAGAUCCACCCGUUGAGGUGGGCUUGGGAACCCUGCACACAUCCUUUGGGGCCGUGAGCGACACCCCGGCCGGAUCUCCUUGCGGAUGGAACCUGAAUAGGCGAUAAACCUGGACAAGAGACUUGUGUGGUUAGUCAGGUCGUGGCCGACACCCUCGCUGGGCUUCCGCUUGAAGGUUGCCAAGUACAUGUCGUGUAAACGGCGGUAAGUGGUGAGAGUGUGUGUGAAGAAGUACACCCCUGCAGGGUUAAUAUGAUCUAUUCGAAUAGCCGUGUCCACGGUAAAGGACUUCUGGGUUGCCUGUACAGUUCAUAGACAAGUGAAAGUGGAUACUCUAAAAUACGCAAGAUAAGCGUGAGUGCUAUGGAUGGCGUUCUCAUAGGGAGACGGGAGCGGAUCCAUAGUGGUGUAUUGAUAUGGUGAAUAUGUGGACUCGUGUGCGCCACCUCAAAAGAGUUACUUGCAGUCAUAGUUCAGGAUAGCCACCGAGUCAAAGCUGGCUUGCUGCAGUUAAACCCCACCAUACCCUUGUUGAUAAUGAUGCAUAUGUAGUUAGAUCUGAUGUAAGUCUUGCUGGGUACAUUUGUACUCACGUUGCUUAAUUUAUGUUUUUGCAGAGAGACGUCAGUCUCGCUAGUAGUACCGCAUGGACUUCGACGUUUAGCUUGUUACCUCAGCUACGAUCUUGAGCCUUCGGCAGGAUCUAGUAGUUAGUUAGGCUUCUCAGCCUUUUUCAUUUGUAGAUGUCUGUACUCAGACAUGUUAAGCUUCCGCUUGUGCUUGACUUGUUUGCUCUGAAUGUUGGGUCAUGAGACCCAUGUUUGUAAUAUCUCACUCCUCGGAGCCUAUUGAAUAAAAUACUUGAGUUGUAGAGUCAUGUUGUGAUGCCAUGUUGUAUUUGCACAUAUCGAGCAUAUUGUGUGUAUGUUAUUGAAAUGCUUGGUAUGUGUGGGAUCUGACUAUCUAGUUGUUUAUCCUUAGUAGCCUCUCUUACCGGGAAAUGUCUCCUAGUGCUUCCACUGAGCCAUGGUAGCUUGCUACUACUCUGGAACACUUAGGCUGGCCGGCAUGUGUCCUUCUUCGUUCCUGUGUCUGUCCCUUCGGGGAAAUGUCACACGAUGAAUACCGGAGUCCUGUUAGCCCGCUACAGCCCGGUUCACCGGAGUCCUGUUAGCCCAAUGCUACAGCCUGGAUUCACUCGCUGAUGACCGACACGUUUGAUGCUGGGUCAUGGAUGCCUGUCCCAGUAAGUAUGUGCCACUUUGGGUUUACGACUAGCCAUGUCAGCCCGGGCUCCUUAUCAUAUGGAUGCUAGUGACACUGUCAUAUACGUGUGCCAAAAGGCGCAAACGGUCCCGGGCAUAGGUAAGGCGACACCCGUGGGAAUACCGUGUGUGAGGCCGCAAAGUGAUAUGAGGUGUUACAUGCUAGAUCGAUGUGGCAUUGAGUCGCGGUCCUGACAGCUUUGGUAUCAGAGCUUGACUGCCUGUAGGAUUACCAAGCCAAACUGGUCGAAGUUGAGUCUAGAAAUGCUUUAGUUAUAUGUAGGGGAAUUGAUUGUGGGAUGGAACGUAAGGCUCUUUUUACUCCUCAUACCUUAUGCUCUUCUGAUUUGAGUCAUCUUACCUUUCCUGCGGGGUUAAGGAACUAGGCUCUCUCUUCCUUCUAUCAGGAUCACGUGUUACUAAUCCGUAGUCCUAUAGGAUUGAUGGUUCUAAGCUUGAGUUAAGUUCCUACUAUCUCUGUGUAUUCAUAGUUGAUUUCAGAACCUUGAUAUUAUGAUGUUCGAGUGGCUAUGCCACCAUUUUGUAGGAUGUUUUAAAUCUUUUGGAGCAUUUACAGCCGUUAUGCUGUCCGAGUCGUCCCAGGUUUCUAAACAAUCUGGUGCAUUUGCAAAAUCCUUUCCCUCUGAUUUUGAUGUUCUUUUAGGCUAGGUUAAUCACACUAAUUGUUGAGUUGAGGUAUUCUAUUGCCUCGACAUUUAUGUUGGAGCUAUUAUUAUGACCCUAGGUGUCUAGAGUAUCAUCUAGUAAUCCAGCCAUGCUCUGUGUUCCCAGUGUGAUGAUUCUGACCGUCAUUCUCGAAAGCAUCCCGUGAUGCCAUUUAUUUAGUAGGUAUUCCACUCCUGGGUUAUGAACCCGAGAUUCACCUUACUUACUUCAUGUUGAUAGUGUUUGCUAGUUCCUUUAGGAUAUUAGUAACCUUUGCAUUGUUCCUCGAGGUUUGUGGUAUAUCCUUCUUCCAAAUACCAUGAACUGCUUAUGGCAGAAGUUCCUCGCUGAACCGAAAGAUCAUGACCAGUGUGCUCUUGAUGAGUUCUCGAUUCUAUGUUGUGACUCUGCCAGUUCUACCUUUCUGCAUGGGUUAUCCGGAAGAAAUGUUGAACUUUGCUCGACAUACUAAUCUAUGCAUCCAUGACUCACAAAAUCAUAUGUUCCUUUGAGUUGUCCCUCUUUAGGUGUAUUCCGACCCCGUCUAUCAAUUGAUAGUCAAGAGUAUGUGUGCAUUCGAUCGUCGAUGCCUAUUACUGUUGUGGUCCGUCAAGCCUUUCUAUUCCAGAAUGACUAGGAGAAACAAACUCCAGUACCUCACCCAUAUCCAGGAUUGGGUCAAAGCAGUUGUGCUCCGCAGAUCAAAUACUAAUCUAGCUUUUGUUCUGCUCCACCUUGGAGUAUUACCAUCUUUAUAUUAAGAAUAUCAUGGGAAUUGCACACCAUCCUAUGAACUCUUGAUACAGUGAUACUCUCUCCACCAUUAUUCAUUUCUCGGUUCCCGUGUUGUUGCAACCGGAAUGUCGACAAGUGAAUCGUGAUGUGUGAAAUCAAUACUCCUAGCAACCUUGUUGCUUGGUAGUUAAAGGACAAUAAUUUCAUUCUUAGCAUGUUGGUUAUUGAAUCAUCAUUCUAAGAUUGAUCGUGCUACCUAGUCCAUUCUUCUGGUGCACUCCUCGAUCAAUGAGUUAGGAUUAUUUCAAGUCUUCGCUCUAUUGAUCAUAUCGUCUUGCCCUGAGAAGCAAGAUUGUUCUCGAGCUUAGUAACAUAUCGGUGGUUCGUGAUUUCCUGAAUAUCUUCUCGGAAGUAUUGCCAUGUUGUCCCUUGACCGCUAUGUUAAGUUUGUGAUCAUGUUGGUUUCCUUGUAAACCACCCUUUCUCCAAGAAUCCAUGUUGGAUACCCCUGAGCUAGUUGGUUAAGCUAAAUGACAACUUGGAGAGUUGGAAGAUAAAAGCUUACCUAACUUAGUUCAUUUCAAAGGGAUAUCUUGGUGUUGGUGUGUUAGUUGAAGAAAGAUGAUAUCUUCAUCGAUUGGUCCCUGUGAUCAGUUGUUGGACCUAUUAUCUUAUAAAAACUUUGAUUUGAGUGUGGGCUAUUGUCAAAUCAAAUCAGAACCAAUGAUGUUCGCAAUGUUGUCUUACUCGCGGUUAUCCCUCGAGCAUACACCAUUACAUCUUUUGGGUCUGACCAAUGCUAUGUCCUUGUUCACAUAAUUAUGGAAUUCCAUUUAUAUGGUCACCCCGAUGACUUGUUGUUGAGCCCAUCAGCAUCAUUUUAUCUUCUCCAUGAUCAUGUUGAACAUCCAUCUAAUGUUGGAAACUUUUGUAAAAAUUACCUUCAUGUUCCAUUCAUGAGGUAUAUGUUCGGAUGAAAGAAGUGACUUUCUCUAAUUCACGUGCACUUGGUGUAAGUUGCCGCUGUGGAUCCGAGAAAGAUUGUUUUUGCUUCCUUUGGAAUCAUCCCAAGUCAGUCAUGCAUGUGCGAAGUAUACAUUGGAUUGUGAGAUUAGCUACCUCCAUUCUAUAUGUGUCCCUAGCAUGCCAAGCCACUGAUUGACUUGCUCAAGGAUAAGAAGUUCAUCGAUAAGUGCACAAGGACUUCGAUAUCCUCGAUGAUGGUUCCCCACCUGAACUCGGUAGUGUUUUAUUGUAAGACUACCAUGUGAUAAUGUUUUGUCUUGGACAGCAUGUUCACAGGUUUGUAGCAGAACCAACUCAUGUUAUGGAGCUUGCUAUCCUAGUUCAUCUCCCGAGAAUCUCGCAACUUUAUCUCGUCGACUUAUGUUGCAACUCUUCUUUUCGGACAUGUGAGUCUGGAAUAUCCUGACACCAACCAGAUCUGAAUCUCAGGCAGAUAUGAUGGUUGGAACAGUUCCCAAGAACUAUUAUAUUGGUCUCUGUAACCCGGUAAAGUGGAUGUCGUGGCCAACACACCGAGCAGGAAGACCUAUUGCUGUAGUAUCUUGAUUGAGGAAGUUGGCCACCUCCCCAUGAGGAUUUCUUAUGGAUUUACUUCCGUAGUUAUUCCUUAUGAUUUUUGUGUUCCCGAAGUCCGACCUUUACUUGAUGUCCUAGAUAUCAACUCAGUUUGAUAAAUGGGUUGCACUAGCACAUCAAGGAGAACAUUAGAAGCGGAGUGCUAAAUGUCUCUCGGUCGAUCAUCCAGAUUUUGUCCCCUUGGCCCGCCAAGGUGAAAUCUGAGAAGGUGUUAUCUUCCUUUGCAUCUGCAUCUUCUACCGGCAUUCAUCAUGGUAGUACGUUGUGUUGCCAGGAUCCUUGACACGGAUAUUGGUAAUACCUUGAUGAAUAUGGAAGUGCUCAAGUUCCUGAGAGCACGCACAAGUGCUAGGUGUUAUCAUCGGCACUAACUGGGAUUGCUUUCAGUUUCCUCGGUUAUGCUAUAAUUUUUUCAAGAGUGGACUCACUCUCCACUAUUGAGCUUCUCGUCAGUUAUUAAAAUCUUCCGUUGCGUUGUCUUCAACAAGGUAAUCCAUAUCAUCCAUUCUAAUUCGGGCAUCCCAUUCUACUGAACCCCUCCAAAUGAUCGCUUGAGAAUUGCCUUAGGCUGGUAUAAAGAGUUUUAAUGAUCUCUGAAUCAAAGGUAAUUCUUUUUGCCACUUACGGGAUAUUUCUACAAGUCACCUUCCCUAAGGUGCCCCGUUAUGGUAUCAUGGCAACUCAACUCCUCGCUACGUUGACAAUCGUUUACCACCUUCUUAAGUAUGGAAUUGUUGUCUACCUAGUGAAUCCUCGUCAUCUGUUCCACUCCAUCCCUCUAGAUGUAUGCUUCGUGUCUCAGCUCGAGAGAUGUUGCUAUGUCUCAUUCCAUGAGUUGAUCCUAAGUUGUUCGAUCUUUGAGAAGAUCGAUCCUUCUAGAGUCUCCUUCUUCUCUCAUUGUCAUGUUAGCUGGAGUUCUCAGAACAAGACGACGAGACAAAGAUGGUGAUCGAAUCAACGCCCUUGCGAAGUGCAACCUGGAUCGAGAAGAUUGUGAUAGUUUGUGUCCCUCUGUCUUCUUACCUCAUGCUUGAAUCUCGGGACGAGAUUUUUGCUUAGUGGGGGUGAGUUGUCACAUCCCUGGUCUUGGUCUGCAGUAGGCUAGCCCUUCAUGUGUGCAUCAUGUUUAAUUUUUCAAAUGAACUUGAAAUGGGGAUUGCUCAAACCCUAGCACCAGAUCAAAUCAACUAGGUUCAAAUAGAAACAUUCUCAAUGAACCCAAAAUGCUCUUCAGAAAAGUUCAUUAUUUUUGGAUUGGUCUAGAACCUCUUCCAAAAAUGGUGCACAUUUUCUAGGCCAUUCUGGAUUUUUGAAUUAAAUCAUAUAGUAUUUGCAUUUGGGCAUUUAAAUGCUAUAAAAUAUUUUAAAUGCUCAAAUAAUCCCAAACUGAAAUGUUUACUGUAGGAUAUAUUUCCAACAGUGGUCAUGAGUAGUUGCAUGAUUUUUGGGAUUGAUUCAGUAUUUUUAAUAAAGCCACAAAGCUACAGAAGAAACAGAAAACUAAAACAAAUAAAAGAGAGGGAGAGAAGUUACCUGGACCUACCUGCUGUGCAGCCCACCUGGCCAGGCCAUCUGGCGGCCCAGUUGGCUAGCCCAGCCCAACCAGCGCUGCCUGCUUCUUCAACCUUCUGCCAGAAGGAGAAGCAGGUGCGUGGCGAGCGUUCAACCGAACGCGGCCACCUCCUGCUUCCCGCCGCUUCCUCGACGCGGCUGUGAACGCCACAACACCCCCGGACCCUCUGCACCUCUCCCCUCUCUCGCUGGACCUCCUCCCCUCCUCUAUUUCUCCCUCCCGCGAACACCCGAGUGCGCUUGUCGCCACCGUUCGCCGCCACCGUGUCCACCGUAUCCACCUCGCUCCCUCGAUCGGCGUAAGAGCUCGGCCUGGUUCCCCUCUUCCUCCUCACCAAGCCGCACGACGCCGGAAGCCCCUGGACGCCGCCAGCGCCGCCAUCUCUGUCCUCGGGUGCCAGAGAUCCCCGCCGACGUUCCGCCGGACCCCGUGUCUCCCCUGCCUCUCCAGCAGCACCAAAAGAACCACGGUGAGCCUCUGCACCGUUUCCCCCAUACCCCGUCGCCUAAUUCAUCCUACAACCGCCGUUUCCACCGAAGCGGUGAGCUCCUCGCCGCCGGCGAUGGUGCAGACGAGGCCAUGGGCACUGCAGCCCGUAUCCGAGCACACCAGCAUGCUCGGCGCGCCUCUAGGAACCUGCAGCCACCAGUAGCUCCCCCUCCCUUGCCCUCUAGCACCGUACUCGAUCGCUCCCGAACGCCGGCCGCCGCCACGAGCUCGACUCCGGCGAGCUCGUUCGACCCCAGCCCCUCCUACUUGGCUCUCUGGAUGUGCAAGAGCAAGGGCUAUGCCCUGGUGCCCUCAGCGUGCUAAACCGACGUCUCUAGCGCAAGUCCGUUGUGCCCCGCCGUGUUCUGUGGUCGCCGCCGGCUGGUCUCCGACGUGCUGAACUGGCGCCAUCAUUAGGGGCUAAUGACCCUGCUAAUUAAGCCCUCUCUCACUGAUGUAUGGGCCCCGCGCCCUUAAUUAAUCUUUGUUUAUUUUCUGUUAAGUUUAACUAACCACCUGGGCCCCACCCGUCAGCUUUGACCGCGCUGACAUGGCUGUUGACUGGCCCCACAUGUCUGUGACCCAGAGAGCACUGUGUCACUAACCAGUGGACCCCACUGGUCAGUUUGACCUAGACCAGCUCUGUUGACUCUGCUGACGUCACAAUGACGCAAUGCUAACGCAGUAUUUGUCUUCUAGUUUUAAAAUAAUUCAAGAAAUUCCAGAAAAUAGUGUAAACUUCUAAAAAUCAUGUAAAAUCAACCGUAACUCCAAAUGAAACAAAUUAUAUAUGAAAAGUGAUCAGAAAAAUCCAAUCUAUCCAUCUGUACCAUUUUCAUGCAUGUCAGAACAACAUAUAGCUGAUGUUUAGCACAAGUCAUAAAAAUGACAUUUGAAUUUCACAUAUGGAGUUUGGAUUUGAACUUAGGGUUCAAACCAACUUCAUUUAACUUGCUGCUAGUUGCAUUAGCCCAAACCACAGCAUAUUGCCAUGUCAUGAUCACGCAUCAUAUUGGGCAUUGCAUUGAUUGUGUUUCUUCUUUGUUUGUCAGUGCUUGUCCCCUCUCGGUAGACGAUGUUCCGCCGUUGUGAUCGUUGACACUGAUGAAGACUCAAUGCUAUCUUCAGAAGUGCUAGGCAAGCAAAACCCCCUUGUUCAUUCCGAUAAAAUCCCACUCUCUCGCUCCUGCUCUCUUUUACUGCAUUAGGACAACAACGAUUCAUCUGUUACUUGCUGCGGUAGCUGAACCCCUUUAUCCUUUGCAUGACCUGUCAUUGCCACAGUAAAUAGAUGAAACCCACUAGCAUGAGUAGGAGUUGUUUGAGCCCUAUUGUGCCUACUCAUUCAUGCUUGUUUGUCAUGCCUGCUACUGCUUAGAGUUGAGUCAGAUCUGAUUCAUCGGGGAUGAAUUAGAGGUGUGUGAACAUGUCCUACUAUUGAGAGCUAAGUGUGUGAACACGAUUUGGUAAAGGUAGCGGUGAGAGGCCAUGUAGGAGUACAUGGUGGGUUGUCUCAUUGCAGCCGUCCUCAGGAACUGAGUUCUGUGUUUGUGAUCCAUGACCAGUUACUACCACACAUUGGAAUGCUUAAGUGCCCCUCUCGACUUAUUAAUCAACUCGAUCUCUGUCCAGGAGUUGCAACUAGUUUCUGGUGUUUGUAGGCUGUGUUAGUAGUCUACCAAGUGGUACCCGGUACAGGUGGGCUUGGGACAGACUAGGCACCAUGGCACGGUGUACCAAGCAUAGAUCCACCCGUCGAGGUCGGCUUGGGAACCCUGCACAUAUCGUUUGGGGCCGUGAGCGACACCCCGGCCGAAUCUCCUUGCAGAUGGAACCCGAAUAGGCGAUAAACCUGGACAAGAGACUUGUGUGGUUAGUCAGGUCGUGGCCGACACCCUCGCUGGGCUUCCGCUUGAAGGUUGCCGAGUACAUGUCGUGUAAACGGCGGUAAGUGGUGAGAGCGUGUGUGAAGAAGUACACCCCUGCAGGGUUAAUAUGAUCUAUUCGAAUAGCCGUGUCCGCGGUAAAGGACUUUUGGGUUGCCUGUACAGUUCAUAGACAAGUGAAAGUGGAUACUCUCAAAUACGCAAGAUAAGCGUGAGUGCUAUGGAUGGCAUUCUCGUAGGGAGACGGGAGCAGAUCCAUAUCGGUGUAUUGAUAUGGUGAAUAUGUGGACUUGUGUGCGCCACCUCAAAAGAGUUACUUGCAGUCGUAGUUCAGGAUAGCCACCGAGUCAAAGCUGGCUUGCUGCAGUUAAACCCCACCAUCCCCUUGUUGAUAAUGAUGCAUAUGUAGUUAGAUCUGAUGUAAGUCUUGCUGGGUACAUUUGUACUCAUGUUGCUUAAUUUAUGUUUUUGCUUAGAGACUUCAGUCUCGCUAGUAGUACCGCGUGGACUUCGAUGGUUAGCUUGUUACCUCAGCUAUGAUCUUGAGCCUUCGGCAGGAUCUAGUAGUUAGUCAGGCUUCUCAGCCUUUUUCAUUUGUAGAUGUCCGUACUCAGACAUGUUAAGCUUCCGCUUGUGCUUGACUUGUUUGCUCUGAAUGUUGGGUCAUGAGACCCAUGUUUGUAAUAUCUCGCUCCUCGGAGCCUAUUGAAUAAAAUACUUGAGUUGUAGAGUCAUGUUGUGAUGCCAUGUUGUAUUUGCACAUAUCGAGCAUAUUGUGUGUAUGUUAUUGAAAUGCUUGGUAUGUGUGGGAUCUGACUAUCUAGUUGUUUAUCCUUAGUAGCCUCUCUUACCGGGAAAUGUCUCCUAGUGCUUCCACUGAGCCAUGGUAGCUUUCUACUGCUCCGGAACACUUAGGCUGGCCGGCAUGUGUCCUUCUUCGUUCAUGUGUCUGUCCCUUCGGGGAAAUGUCACGCGAUGAAUACCGGAGUCCUGUUAGCCCGCUACAGCCCAGUUCACCGGAGUCCUGUUAGCCCAGUGCUACAGCCUGGAUUCACUCGCUGAUGACCGACACGUUCGAUGCUGGGUCAUGGAUGCCUGUCCCUGUAAGUAUGUGCCACUUUGGGUUUACAACUAGCUAUGUCAGCCCGGGCUCCUUAUCAUAUGGAUGCUAGCGACACUGUCAUAUACGUGUGCCAAAAGGCGCAAACGGUCGCGGGCAUAGGUAAGGCGACACCCGUGGGAAUACCAUGCGUGAGGCCGCAAAGUGAUAUGAGGUGUUACAUGCUAGAUCGAUGUGGCAUUGAGUCGGGGUCCUGACAGUGCCAGGCGCGCCUUCCUACACGACGGAGGGAGGCGCCCUUGCACAGGCGCAGAUCCUAGCGCGGUGCCUCCGGAGAUGCUUGCCUCCUGAGGCCUUGAGCUUGGCAAUGUCUUCUUCUUCUUAGGAACUACCUCGGGGAGGUUCCCACUCUUGCUGCCUGGGUCCUCAACUGAUGCAGCUUGGAAGGUACGCUCGAGAGAUCACACCGCAUCCUUCUCUUCACAGGGGACUAUGAUGACUCUGCCGCUUCCCGGCAUCUUGAGGACAUUGUAUCCAUGGUGAGUCACUGACAUGAACUUGGCCAGGGCUGGAUACCCAAGGAUGGCGUUGUAUGGCAGGAGUGUGGGAAACGUCGAAGUCCAUGAGCUCGGUACGGUAGUUCUUGCGCUGUCCAAAGGUGACAGGGAGGCGGACCUGUCCUAUCGGGGUGGUGGAGCCAUCAGUGACUCCUGAGAAAGGCUUGCUUGGUUGGAGCUGAUCAUAUGGCACUUGGAGAUUGUUGAACGUCUCGACUGACAAAACGUUGAGUCCUGCGCCGCCAUCGAUGAGGGUCCUCGUAACUUGCACAUUGCUGAUGACUAGGGAACAAAGCAUUGGGAGGACGCCGGCUAUAGCCGCACACUUGAGCUGAUCCGCUGAGCUGAAUGUGAUGGCACACGUGGACCACCCGAGAGGGCGUGUGGCCUCGAGCUUGGGCAGCACUUUGUUCACCUCGCGAGCAAACUGCUUGAAGAUGUGCUAAGAGGCUGUGGCCUGGGCACCACCCAACAUGCAAGCGAUAGCACGUGGCUCCUGGAAGCCCCCAGCCCCCUCGUCCUAAUGAUGGUCGUCAUUCCUUCUUGGCAGUGGUGGCAGAGGAGGAAUGCCUGCGUUGCCCUACGGGUGAUCCUCGCGAGCCUGAUCCCUCCAAGCCCCCUCACGAGGCUGGUCCUGCCUACAGUCCUCGCGAGGUCGGUCAUGCCACCCUUGGCGAGGGCCUCGGUUGUCCCAUCGUCCUCCACAUCUUCCUCCUCCUCGGUCGUAGCCCCGAUCGUUACGCUCGGGGAAUCGACCGAUACGUCCUUCUCGCACGGACCUGAGCUCUUGGCAUUCGUUGGUGUUGUGGGUGUGGAGGUCAUGGUACAUGUAGUACCUGCUGCCCUUGGACGACUCUAGCUGGUCCCUACCGUGCUUCGUAUCUGGCUCUGCUGCGAGCACGGCUGCUCCUUUGCGCUUCGCAUCCUUGGCCUUGGCUUUCUUCUCUUUAGGGUCAAUAGCUGGGAUCUCGAGAAGGGAGAGGCGUCCCUCCUCAGCCCUUGCACACUUGGUCGCCAGGUUGAACAGCUCCAGAGAUGUGCACAGAUCCUCAUGGAUAGCUAGCUCCUCCUUCAUCUUGAUGUUGCGGACGCCAUCAGAGAAUGUUGAGAUGAUGGCUUCCUCGGUCACCUUGGGAAUCUUGAGGCGAGCGCUUGAUGCGGGUUCUCUCCUGGUUGCUGCUUGAUACGGCGCAGGUCACCCACGACUGGAGGUCAGUCGUGAGUGCCCUGGAAGAUGGCGAUGAAGCGGGUGCGCAUCUCGUCCCAAGAGGAGAUCGUGCCAGGAGGCAGGUUCAGGAGCCAGGUGCAGGCACCAUCUUUGAGCACCAUGGGAAACCAAUUCGCCAUGACCUUUUCGUCUCCGUUGGCCUCUUCGAUGCCCAACUCGUAGAGCUGCAGGAACUCCGCGGGGUCGGCAGUGCCGUCGUAGCGAGGAGGCAGAUCCGGCUUGAACUUGCCCGGCCAGGCGACACUUCGUAGCUCGAUGGUGAAGGCGCGGCAGCCUGCGGUGGCCACUUGAGCUCUUUGCAGAUGCGGGGCUUGCUCCUAGAGAUUACCGCGCACCGCCGCCAGAGGCAGCGCGGGAUCUCGACGUGCAGGCGCAGGGAUGCGGUCUUGACGCGCUGGAGCAGGGAGCACGCGAGCACCUUCUUGGGGACGAGGGACUUCUUGGUAGCUCCUUUCUUGUCGUGGGGGACAGGACACGGUGGGUCUCGUCCAGGGGCCACGCGCCUUGGAGCCAGGGCGCCUUCUUGGGGAGGAGGUGGCGGAGGCACCUCCUGAGCUGCAUCACCCAUGCAGGACGGAGGGCAAGGCAGCGAGAGGGACGGUGCAGGGGAGCCCCCUGCAUCGCUGACGAGCUUGGUGAUGCGAGCGAGCCACUCCUCGUAGAGGUCGUCGACGGGGCGGUAUUGCAGGAGCUCGCGUGCCAGGACCAACACGGCAUGUGUGUCCGUGGGAGCGCGACGGGCAUGCGACGACGAACCAGCUGGAGUCGGCGAUGGAGUGGCGGUGCGGCCUUCCCGCCACACCAAGGGAUGCAGCAACGAUGCCUGCUCCUUGUUCCUCGCCGGGCCGGUGGCGGCAGGCAGUGGAGAACGAAGGGAAGGCCCACGGACAGGAGCCGUUUGGGCGACACGGGCUGCGAGAGCAGCCCGACGCUCGGUGGGAGCUCGGCGAGCGUCAGCCAUGGAUGCGACGAAUGAUCAAACACAGAACAUCGGAAGAAAGAUUCCGGCGCACCCCUACCUGGCGCACCAAAUGUCAGAUACCGGGUUCUGACAAAACCCUGAAGGUUCGAACUCUGGGGUGCGCGCGAAGAUCUUCCUCCUACCGAUCCACGUCCUGACGCCUCGCUGUGAAUCUAAGCUACACGAUGAACAACACCAGGGACGCAAGGUUUAUACCGGUUCAGGCCACCAUUGUGGUGUAAUACCCUAAUCCAGUGUGUGGUGUGGUGGAUUUCCUCUGGGGCUGAUGACAGAUAGUACAGAGGUAGAACAGCCUCGCGAGGGAUGUUCUUGUGGUGGUGUGCUUGGAGAGGAAUUGCUUUGUCUUUGUUGGCUCUAGGUGAGAUCCAGAUGCCUUCUACUGUGAUGGCUAUCUCUAUAUAUAGAGGCCCUGGUCCUCUUCCCAAUAUUGAGCGAGAAGGGAGCCAACAACGGCCAUUUUGAAGGGGAACAUCUAGUACAAGUUAUCCUGACUAAAGUUGGUCUUCGGCUGCCAAAGGCACUGGCGAUGACGCCGUCUUGGGCUCCACGGUGACCUCUGUCCUGCCGCUCUGCUGGUCUUGGUCUCGUUGCACUAAAAUGGUAACCUUUGCUUGGUGCCUCGGUACUCCGCGCCUGCGCUUGCCCCCUUUGCACCAAAGAGGAAACGAGGACACUGAGCAGGCUAGCGCCUGCCUGGCGCCCGCCUGGUCUCGAUCAUCAUGGCUUGCGUCAUGAGCACCUCGCGAGGUACCCUGCCUUGAUCUCUCCGCCUCCUCAUGAGCCUGCCUGGUGAGACCAUUCCUGUGGAAGCCUUGCAUCGUCCGUCCCGCGAGGCUUGGCCCCUCACGAGGGUCUUGAGCUUGAGUUGAUGAAGAUGGGCCGUACUGGGCCACCGCUCGAGCCACGCUGCAGGCCGCAGGCAGGCAAGUCUGGGAACCCCCGUUCCCAGAACGCCGACAUGCUCCCCAUGCUCUGCUCCCCCGUCAUCAGCAACGUAACCGUCACGAAGACUCUCAUUGAUGGCGGAGCAGGGCUCAAUGUUCUCUCCGUCCAGACGUUCGACAGACUCCAAGUGCCAUACUACCAGCUGCACCCCACCAAGGUUCUCCUCCCAGUCACCUUUGGCAAGCGCAACAACUACCGCAUCAAGCUCAUCGAUAUCAACGUUGCCGACAUCCGCCUGCCCUACAAUGCCAUCCUUGGGUACCCAGCGCUGGCCAAGUUCAUGGUGGCCAUUCACCAUGGCUACAACAUCCUCAGGAUGCCAGGAAGCGGCGGCAUCAUCACGGCCGCGUGUCAGGAGAAGGAUGCGGUGUGAUCCCUUGAGCGUGCUUUCCAGGCUGCAGCAGUUGAGAACCCGGAAGACAAAGACGGCGCCCUCCCUCCUGAGGUCGCCCCCAAGACAAAGAAGCUACAGCUGAGCCAGGGGUCUCGUGAGGAAUCAUCACUCGAGGACGCAACACUGAGCCUCGCAUCCCUGGACGUGGCACCUUCACCGAUCGCAUAGGAAGGCACACCCGGCGCCCCUCUCAGGCUGGGCUCGGGGGCUCUCCUCUGGAGGGCCUCAGACCUGGCCAAUGUCGCGAGAGCGGUGCUUGGGCACCAUGUGGAGGCGCUCUUCAGAGCACGCUUCCCAGGAGAAGGCAACAAGCGUGAGGCACCAGGUGUUCAGGAGUUCAUCAGCGAGGCGAUCAAGGAGAUCUAGGAAGGAAGGGUUCUGCAAGGCGAUUGUUGCCUGCCGCGAGGCGGAGCUCACUGCCCUAGCAAGGGUAAGGAGUUCCGCGUCUGCAUCGACAUCCCUGGGCUCAGCAGGGCCACAUCUCAGCAGCUCAUGUGACUGUCUUGUGUCUGCCGAUGCGAGGGACCGCCCCAUAGCUAUGUCCGCAUGCCUUUCAGCCUGGCGGGUAUGGCUGAGGUGUUCCAGCGCUGCAUGAGGGACGCUCAAGUAGCCUGUGAGGCCAAGCGCCAGGCGAUCCUGGCGGAGAUGGAGGAGCACCCUCAGGAGCCUUCUUGUCCCUUCGAGCCUCCCGAGGCCCGGCACCGGAGCGGCUCAUGAGGAACGGCUUUAGCAGCAUGCGUUUUGGCUACUUCAACAACUCUUCAGCAACGGUAUCAGGUCACAUCUCCUUAGUUCGUUCAUUUUGGGGGCGCCCCUCGGGCUGCAUCAUCCACAGGCCAUGUGGGUCUGUCCCUAUGGCGUGUAUCCCUUUUGCAUUUUAUCAGAGUCAGUUACUAUUCCUUGCAAACUUCUUUCGAAUUACCAACUGCCUGACCGGCGCUUCGUCGCUAAGAACAUCUCGCACCCUUGCAAGCCCUCCAACGACCACCUCGUGAUUAAGGACUAGCACGACGUCUGUGCUUGGGUUCGUCCCUGCAGCAUCGCUAAACCCAAGUAGCAGAGCUCUGGCUCACGAACCGGUCCCGUGUACGUCACCUCCCAUGGCUCUUGGUGCCUUGUUCUCGCAUGAGCUAAUUGUGAUGGGUAAGCAAGGGCGCGCGACCUGGUGCCCCCGUGGCCACAGGAACCACGCGCCAGUUGUUUUUCUUCAGGAUCUUCGCAUGAGAAGACUAGGCACAGCGUCUGUGCUCGGGUCCGUCCCUGCAGCAUCGAUAGAUCCAGCGGCUGAGCUCUGUCUGGCAGCCGGCCCCGUUCACGUCACCUCCAAGGGUCGUUGGUGUUUGGCCUUCUCAUGCAAUAACAUCAGGAAACUCAUUCAGCGCAGGCUGCCUAACCAUCUCGCAGGACCAACCCAAGCACCCCCAAUCAAGACCACGCGCAACCUGCCUUGAGGUAGGGCCUCGUGAGUCCCCCGCUGGCUCACAUGUGCCCAUAUACACCUCCUCCAGCACUGUCGUGCAAGCCACGUGUCAGGGUGGGGCUAUACACGCCCCGGGGGCUCUCCUCGGAGGGAGCCUCCUCCCACGCACCAGUGGAAGCACCAUGCUCCGUGCUGGCCGUCGACACAGGCGAGGAGCGGUAUGCCAGUGCAAGAGCCGAAGCGCUAUGCUCUGCACUGGUGAUAAACAACUGGGGGUGGCCUCACGGACGCAUUAACCUCAGGGAGCCUCCGGGCCUAGUGACUAGCCCCACCGUGCUACUCUCCCUUCGGAAGGUAGCGCGAGGGGGCUCGGCAUGGGGGCUACGCUCAGGUCACUCCUGGCGUACCCCACCUCGCCAGGCCUCACGUGCAUGGUCUUCGCGCACCCCUCCCAAGUGAGAUCUCGGCGAGGGAAAGGUAGGAGGGUCUAUUCGUACGUCCAGGGGGACUCCUGAGCAUCGCGACUCGGGAGCCUAACUGGUCAUGUAUCCCCUCACCUCUUGGGCUCGUCCUGGUGAUCCGUACGACCCAACGAUGGCCGAGGAAUGCGCAGGGCUGGGCCCUGCCGAUGCAGAACGCCAAGACCUGGUUGUCACCCUUCUCUUUCAAGCCGUUUGUACGUCAAGGGGACUCCUGAGCAUCGCGACUCAGGAUAACUGUUUCCAUAGCCCCUCACCUCUUGGGCUCGUCCUGGUGAUCCAGACGACCCAACGACGGCUGAGGUAUGCGCGGGGCCGGGCCCUGCCGACACAGAACACCAAGGCUUGCCCCUACAUCUUUUCCUAAGUUGUUCGCACGUUAAGGAGGACUCCUGAGCAUCGCGACUCAGGAGCCUAACUGGUCGUGUAGCCCCUCACCUCUUGGGCUCGUCCUGGUGAUCUGUACGACCCAACGACGGCUGAGGUACGCACGGGGCUAGGCUCUGCCUACGCAGAACAAUAAAGCAAACAGAAAAGUUGAAGGAGCAUAAUCUAGUUAUUACAAGAAAAAUUAUUCCAAGCAAAUAGUUUUAAACGCCUCCCCGAGGCAUGUCGCAUGGUGCAGGAUAAAAAGGCGAAAAGCAGAAUCUCUGAAACCACCUGUUCAGACUUGGGCAUCGCCGCUUGCUAGCGGAACCUCAUCGCCAAGCGCGUCGCUUGUCCCACCGGCUUUGUUUGGAGGGCCAACCACCAUGUCCUUGUUCAGCAUGGCGUCCACGGGGCUCUUCACGGCAGCAGCAGCAGCAGCACCCCGCGAGUCGGCGUCCACCGGAGCAAGGAAGGAGGAGAGGUUGAAGAUGGCAUCCUGGAGAUAAAGAUGGCUGAAGACGCACGUCAGAGCUAAGGAAGAAAUUGAGCAUGCCUCGCCUUCCACCAGGGACGUAAACCCGUCGAUAGCAUCUUCAAGAACCACCACGACUUCAGGAAGCAGAACAACAGGGGUCUCCCUCGGGGUCGUCACCACCGCCUUUCCGGAGGGACCAUCUCCGAAGAGCGCCUUCUGGGACUUGAGGAAGCGCGCCUCAAGGGAGGAAAGGGUGUCGCGUUCCAUGGCGGCCGCUUUCUUAGCCUCGGCCAGGGCUGCUUGGGCUGCCUCCGCCUCCUCCCUCAGCUUCACCAGGCGAUCACGCUCCCCAGCCUGCUCUAAGGCCGUCUUCUUCACCUCGACGUCCCAAUUGGCAAUGGCACCCUCCUGGGGCUUCAGCUUCUCCUCGCGCUCCUAGAGCUGGCUGGCCUGGGUGGCCUUCUGAUCCAGGAGGGCCUUCAGCUCAGCCUUCACCGCACGGCACUAGUUCUCAGCUUCUGUGGCCUCCUUCCGCGCCACAUCGCGCACUGUGGUAGCCACCCCAAGUGCCUUCUGGGCCUCCUCCGCAGAUCUCCAGGCCGCGCGAACAAACGCGUGAUAACCCAGAAGUAUAGGGGAUCACAACAGUUUUCGAGGGUAGAGUAUUCAACCCAAAUUUAUUGAUCCGACACAAGGGGAGCCAAAGAAUAUUCUCAAGUAUUAGCAAUUGAGUUGUCAAUUCAACCACACCUGGAUAACUUAGUGUCUGCAGCAAAGUAUUUAGUAGCAAAGUAGUAUGGAAAUAACGGUAACAGUGGCAAACGUAACGAUAGCAGUUUUGUAGUAAUUGUAACAGUAGCAACGGUAAAGUAAAUAAUCAAAUCACAAUAUGUGAAAAGCUCGUAGGCAUUGGAUCAGUGAUGGAUAAUUAUGUCAGAUGCGAUUCCUCAUGUAAUAUUUAUAACAUAGGGUGACACAGAACUAGCUCCAGUUCAUCAAUGUAAUGUAGGCAUGUAUUUCAAAUAUAGUCAUACAUGCUUAUGGAAAAGAACUUGCAUGACAUCUUUUGUCCUACCCUCCUGUGGCAGCGGGGUUCUAAUGGAAACUAAGGGAUAUUAAGGCCUCCUUUUAAUAGAAUAUCGGACCAAAGCAUUAACACAUAGUGAAUACAUGAACUCCUCAAACUACGGUCAUCAUAGAGAAGUAUCCCGAUUAUUGUCACUUCGGGGUUGUCGGAUCAUAACACAUAAUAGGUGACUAUUGUCAUGCCCAUUAUGCGAUACUAUCCUAAAGAGACUCAAAGGUCCCACAACUGCAUAUUGAUACACUUUUGCAAGGUGGAUAUCAUUACAUCAACAUUACAUAAUAGAUGGGGAUACAUACAAAAGGCAUACAAUGCCACAUGAAUACAACAUCAUUAUACAAGAGAGCAACAUCUGACUAUGGAUGAAACACAAACAGAAACUCAAAUGACAUCCACCCUACUAGCCCAGGCUACCGACCUGGAACCUAUCCCCUGAUCGAAGAAGAAGCAGAAGAAGAACUCCAAAACAAGUAAACAUCGCUCUCGCGUCAUGAUCAUCGCAAAACCUGUACCUGCAACUGUUGUUCUAGUAAUCCGUGAGCCACAAGGACUCAACAAUCCCAUUACCAUGGGUAUCAAGACUAGCAAAGCUUAAUGGGGAAGGAAGGGGUAAAGUGGUGAGGUUGCAGCAAUGACUAAGCAUGACAUUGUGGCUAACAUACGCAAAUAAGAGCGAGAAGAGAAGCAACGGAAUAGUCGUGAAGCUAGAAAUGAUCAAGAGGUCACCCUGAACUCCUACUUACGUCAAACAUAACCCAAAAUCGUGUUCACUUCCGGACUUCACCGAAAAGAGACCAUCACGGCUACACACAUGGUUGAUGUGUUUUAAUUAAGUCAACUGUCAAGUUAUCUACAACCGGACAUUAACAAAUUCCCAUCUGCCACAUAACCGUGGGCACGGCUCUCGAAAGUUUAUACCCUGCAGGGGUGUCCCAACUUAGCCCAUCACAAGCUCUCACGGUCAACGAAGGAUAUUCCUUCUCCCAGGAAGACCCGAUCAGUCUCGGAAUCCCGGUUUACAAGACAUUUCGACAAUGGUAAAACAAGACCAGCAAAGCCGCCCGAUGUGCCAACAAAUCCCGAUAGGAGUCGCACAUAUCUCGUUCUCAGGGCACACCAGAUGAGCAAGACAUCGGGUUGGCAUAGACCCUGGUGGCCCAGGGGGCGCCGGACAUCGCUCGGUUUGGACCAGCACUCGGAGGAGAACUGGCCCGAGGGGGGGGGGUAAAUAAAGAUGACCCUCGGGCUCCAGAAACCCAAGGGAAAAAGGCUUUGGUGAGGCGAAUGGUAAAACCAAGGUUGGGCCUUGCUGGAGGAGUUUUAUUCAAAGCGAACUGUCAAGGGGGUCCCAUAAAUCACCCAACCGCGUAAGGAACGCAAAAUCAAGGAACAUAACACCGGUAUGACGGAAACUAGGGUGGCAAGAGUGGAAGAAAACACCAGGCAUAAGGCCGAGCCUUCCACCCUUUACCAAGUAUAUAGAUGCAUUAAUUAAAUAAGAGAUAUUGUGAUAUCCCAACAUAAUCAUGUCCAUCAUGGAGCAAUCUUCAACUUCACCUGCAACUAACAACGCUAUAAGAGGGGCUGAGCAAAGCGGUAACAUAGCCAAGCAAUGGUUUGCUAGGAAGGGUGAAAGGGUUAGAGGCUGGCAUGGCAAUUUGGGAGGCUUGAAGAGAAAAUGAUAAGUAGCACAGCAUAGCGAUAGAACGAAGCAACUAGCAAUAGUAGUGAGAUCCAAGGUGACAGUCAUCUUGCCUAAAAUCCCGAUAGGAAGAAGAACGAGUCCAUGAAGAAGAUGAAUGGGAGUAGUCGAACGAAUCCUCACAAUCGCAACAUUACCGGAACUAAGAAGCAACACCGGAAAGAAACAAACAACAUGGUAAAUGCACAAGCAUAAACAUGGCAUGAUGCACAAACAAGUAUGAUGCAUGUCCGGUUUAAUAAGGCAUGGCAUGGCAAACUGCAACACACAAUACUACAAAUUAAGUGGAGCUCAAUAUGCAAUGAGUUGCAUAUUGACGAAACACCACAUUCAACUAUUUAGUUAGCUCCCGUUUAGGUACCCAACAAUAUUAAAUGUUGAUUAACAUGGCACGAGGUGAAGCAUAAUAAAACUACCUAUCUAGGCAAGUUUAAAUGAGGCCGGAACAACAAACAACAAUUCCAAAAAAUCCCCAUGUGCAUAUUUUAGAUUUGGUACUAUUCUGCCCUAAAACAUAUUUUAUUGUUGUUAAACAGGAAAAUAAAGUGGACCAUGUUAUUCUAUGCAUUUUUCCACCACAUUUACAUAUAAAGUUUAUUAAAUUCGGAGCUACAGUUAAUUAGUUAUGAAAUAAAUCAUUUUAACAUGCUAUUUAUGCAAAAUAAUAGCAAACAGCAAGUUAACAUGUUUAACAUGGAUGAAAGUUGCAUAUUAUGAAACUAGAUGAAAAACUAAGCAUUUUACAUAUUAAAAUCAUUUUAAUCCGAUGCACCAUUUGUGAGUUAUUAAAUGCAUGAUCUAGAGGGACUUUUCUGUAAAACAGUAAAUCCCAGAUAAAAGCUAAAUCGCAACAGAGGAAAAAACACACAUCGGGCCGAAUCUGAGAUCUGGACCAUGACGCUGGGGAGCUGCUCACAUCGGGCCUCGAGGCCGGUCGGUGGAUCUGAUCCAAGGGGCGGUUUGGAGGCAGACCGAGCGAGUGCACGGUCAACGGGAGGCGAGCGGCGCUUGAUCUCCAUGUGCACGGGACGAGCAGAGCUCCUGCUCGAUGAAGAGGAAGCAGAGGCCGUGGCGUGGACUUGGCGACAGGGACAUCCCAGGGAUGGUGGCGGCUUGGCGUUUGAUCCGGAGCAGGGGAGAAAAGGGGCGGCGCGACUGGAACGGCCGAGGCGUGGGGUCAACGCGGGGUUGUCCCACUCGAUGCAGGUGGCACUGAGAUGCAAGGGACUUGGCGCAGCGACGCAGAAGCUUGACGGGCGGAGGCGAGCGGCGCUAGCGAGGCGGCAGUGGCUUCGGGAACUUGAAGGGGCGGUGGAGCCGCAGGUGAGGUCCGAGACGAGGCAGUUGCCAGAUCCGGGGCGGAGGGACUCGUUCCCGGCGGCGACAAAGCUGCGGGCAACCAUAGAGGCUCAUGGAACACAGAGGGAGAGGCAUGAGAACCGAGGGAGUGAACCAGAGAGAGGAGGGAAGGAGGAGAAGAAGAGGGAAGGGACGACGGGUUCCUGGAGGAGCUCGAGCAUGAGGGCGGCACUCGGGGUGGCUGGGUACGCCAGCGGCGACGGCGCCAUGGAGAAAGGAGCAAACGGGAGAAGCUCGCUCUCGGUCGGGGUAGCAGGGGUCGCUUGGUGGCUCCGACCGAAGGAGCUCGGGCUCGGGCGCUGGUUGGAUGGCUGCGUAGAUCGAGGGAGGAGGCUGCGGGUGCGGGUUGGAGGAAGGAAGCUAGGCUGAUUGGCGACGGGUGGAUGGGACAAGGUCCCUAGGUUUUAGGGUUAGUCUUUAUAUAAGAAGUGAAUUUUGGAUAGGGGUAUUUGGUCCCUCCGAUCUUAAUUGGAUGGUCUAGAAAUAAAUAGAUAGGGAGCCAAAUAAGAAAACGGAGAUGUUUUAUAGAUGUUGGGGGAUGAUCCAGACCGAUCGGUCAUGACUGGCCGGGUCGGGUUCGGAGAAGUUUCGGACGCGCACGCGAGGGGUCGAUGCACUAUACAAAGAGACUCCGGUUUAGGCAAGAGGGAAAACGAAGAACAAGGUUGGUCUCGGAACGGUCAAUGAAAGCAAGGGGGGACAUGGCAACUACGAGCGGACGCAAACUUUGUGAAAACAUGCAGAUGCAAUGCGCAUGAUGACAUGAGAUGAAAUGCAUGACAUGAACAAAAUGCAAAACAAAAGACAAAAAACCCAACCACGGAGGAAAAUAAUAUAUCACAUAGCCGGAAAUGGCAAGGGUUCGAGUUACAAAUAUGUAAAGUUGUGUCCGGGGCGUUACAACUAUAGACUUGCAAGAUAGGAUCAAGAACUCACAUAUAUUCAUAAAAACAUAAUAGGUUCAGAUGUGAAAUCAUGGCACUCGGGCCCUAGUGACAAGCAUUAAGCAUAGCAAAGUCAUAGAAACAUCAAUCUCAGAACAUAGUGGAUACUAGGGAUCAAACCCUAACAAAACUAACUUGAUUACAUGUAAAUCUCAUCCAACCCAUCACCGUCCAGUAAGCCUACGAUGGAAUUACUCACACAUGACGGUGAGCAUCAUGAAAUUGGUGAUGGAGGAUGGUUGAUGAUAACAACAGCGAUGAAUCCCUCUCCGAAGCCCCGAACGGACUCCAGAUCAGACCUCCCGAGAGAGAUUAGGGCUUGGCGGCGGCUCCGUAUUGUAAAACGCGAUGAAAUUUUUCUCUGAUUUUUUUCUCUACGAAAGCAAAUAUAUGGAGUUGGAGUUAAGGCGGUGGACGUCCAGGGGGCCCACGAGGCAGGGGGCACGCCCAGGGGGAGGGGGCGCGCCCCCACCCUCGUGGACAGGGUGUGUCCCCCCUGGCACUAUUUCUUUCACUAGUAUUUUUUAUUAAUUCUAAAAAGUUGCUCCGUGGAUUUUCAGGUCAUUCCGAGAACUUUUAUUUCUGCACAAAAAUAACACCAUGGCAGUUCUGCUGAAAACAGCGUCAGUCCGGGUUAGUUUCGUUCAAAUCAUGCAAGUUAGAGUCCAAAACAAGGGCAAAAGUGUUUGGAAAAGUAGAUACGACGGAGAUGUAUCAACGCGUCGGCCCUGAGCCAACCAGAGAUCAACCCCAGGCGUCCUCGCACCGAACGAUAGUCCAGGCCCUGAAGCUCACCCUGGAGGAGGUCCAGCGUUGCCUUUGCCUCUUCCAAGGUCCCAGAGGGAGCAGAAGCACCAUGGCUCGGCCAUGCACUGGGCAAAGGAGGAGAUGCCCUCGACGCGAAGGCAGAAGAAACCUCAGCCUGAUGAAGGACCGGGGUCUUCCAGAGAUUGGUUGCCCCCAGUGGCCGCGACAAGGCUGGGCGCUCGAGGGGCCAGGCCUGCCACCUCCUGAGGACGGGCAUCCACAUCCUCCAGAGCUGCCGUUGCCCCUGGGCUGCGGGGGCUGCGGCACUCUUCUUCACCAGGGCCUCAAAGGUCGCUCCGUCGCCUGCGACUGCGGUGAUCUCCGUGCCUUCCCCCUGCUUCUUCGCUGGCUGCUGCCUAGCGACAAGAGAAUACAUUCAGCAUCACUUCAAGAACUGACAAGCAAGGAUAAGGAAGAAGCUUAUUGGUCAAUGAAGGCGUAUUGCCUCUUCAUGCUUAGCAGCGGGACCUGAGGUGGCGCAGCUGGCGCCGAGCCCUUGUGAGCAGGGGAGCUUGCGGUUGGCGCUCCCUGGGACGACGUUGGCGAAGGUGGGCUGCUGCCCGGAGAAAUCACCGCAGACCUGCUCUUCUUCACAACUGCUCGCUGGUGCUUCUUCAAGGAGGCCACCGCAGACCUCGUGGCGACCCCUGGAGGGCGCGACACCUCUACCACCGGGGGCUCGCCUUCAUCAUCGUCGUUUGGCAGAUCAUGUAGGAGCUCCCUCUGCUCCGGGGCGGAGGAUUCGCCCAUGACAUCAUCCUCGGUUUCCUCGGAGGAUUGGCCGUUGGAGGAGAGGAGCACCAAGGUAGUAGGCGGCAUGGAAGACCCCAGCCGCACAAACCUGAGGUCCUCGGCGUCGUCGCGGUCGUACAACGGGAGCCAGCCCUCCGGAGGGUCGCUCAGGUCCUUUCCCGUCACAUAGGUCAGCACCUUGCUCAGCUCCUCCUCAGGAAGGGAAUUCCGGCGCAGGCGAAUCUUGUCGUCAUCACCGCCAAGCUUCCACAAGGGACGGGGGCAGUCUUGAAGCAGCGCGAUGCGCUGCUUCAGGAACUCCCUGAUGAGCAUUGCCCCCAUCAGCUUCGCGUCCUUCAGCUCCUUGUCCAUCAUCCUCACAAAGGGCGUUAGGGCAGGGUCGGUGAUCUUCUCAAACUUCCACCACUUGUUGGAGACGGGGAAUGUGGUCGGCAGCUGCAGCGAGCUCUAGGAGCUCUUGGCAUCCAUCAACACCCACCUCUUCAUGGUGUCCUCCACCUUCUUCCCUAUGCAGGAUAUUGCGUUGCCACCCCGCACCACGACGAAGCCGAUGUACCCGACUGGGUUAUCGCCGGUCUUGUGAAGAUAGAAGAAGUGGCAAAACAAGUCAACGGAGGGCAGCACGCCCAUGAACGCCUCACAAUAGAAGGCGAAGAGGGACAGAAGGUGGAUGGAGUUGGCAUGGAUGUGGAGCGCAUGGAGUCCGUACUGGUGAAGGAUGGCGAAGAAGAAAGGGGAGAACGGAGGCACUGACCCAAAGUAGAUGUUGUGCAUGAAGAAGGGGAAGAAAUUGCUGCCCGCGGGCUCCGGGACAGCCGUGGCGACCAGGAGCAUGGUCUCCCCCAUUGAUUGUCGUUGCUCGCUGUCAGGAGGAGCUUUGUCUUGAGCUUCUCUCCUGUCAUGCAGGGUGCCAUCAGCCCUGGCUCGUACCGGUUGGCACCGGCGGCCGAGGACGAACCCGUGGCAUUUUUAGCGGCCAUCAGGCAGGAGAUUUGGUGUAUAAUCGGCGGAUCUAGUGAGCUCUUCUGCUGCGGGGAGAAGGGGAUCUGGAGCAAGACGAAGAGGAGCAAUGAAAUCCUGGCGGCAGGCGGCACCCCUUUUGUCAGAUGGGAGCAGUUGCCGAGGCAGCAUGGGGAAGCAGAGUCACCCACGUGCAAUCAGUCGCCGCGCGUCAUCAAGGCCGCAGGUGGUUAGGGCCCGCGGCGCUCCGCACUUGCCCUUUGGCUUCGCCUCGAAGCCAAGUCCGAGCGUGCCUUAGGACCGGGGGCUACUGUCAGCGUCCUGGACUUGGGGCCAACUUUGACCCACCACGUGGCCCAUCCAGUCCUGCCUGCUUGUGGCCCACCAUGUGGCUCCAUCGACGGCCUGGUACAGCCCAACUUUGACCACAAUACAGCAAGACCCUCGUGAGGGGACAAGCCUCACGAGGCGGACGAUGCCAAGACCCCUGAAGGAGUUGCCUCCCUCAGGAGGGCUCCUAAGGGGCAGAGAGUUCUAUGUAGCUACCUCAUGAUGCUCAGUUGACAUGAGCCAUGACGACCAAAGCCAGGCGGGCGCCAGGUGGGCGCAGAGCGCAGGUUUCCUCUUCGGUGCAAGGGAGGCAAGCCACAGGCGCAGAGUCCCGAUGAAUCAACCAAAUGUUUCCAUUCUGGUGCAACGAGACCAAGACCGCCAUGACGGCAAGAAGGAGGUCAUCACCGAGCCCACCGCAGCGUCACGACCAGAGGCUUUUCGUAGGUGAAGACUACUUUUGUCAGGAUAGACUGUACUACUUGUCCCCUUUCAAAUCCCGCCGUUGUGGAAUCCCUUCCUGCUCAUAUUUGGGAAGAGGACCAAGGCCACUAUAUAUAGGACUUAGCCACCACCAUAGGGGAAGAUCGAUUCCUCCCCGAGCAACAUACCAGCUCAAGAACACCUCACCUCCUGAGGCUUGUUCAUCCUUGUACUAGUUCAUCCAUAGCCCCUCGAGGCAAUCCACCACACCACACUAGAGUAGGGUAUUACACCACAACAGUGGCCCGAACUAGUAUAAAUCUCUGUGUCUUUGUGUCUCUGUGGGCUCUUCACGCUAGGCUAGGGAGGAUCGCGAGUAGGCAGGCUGGGCAGGUUGAGAUCUCCGCACGCACCCCAGUGUUCGAACCUCUCACGGGUUGCCGGAGCUAGAAAUCUGACAAUUCAUGCCAUGUUUAUAAUAGUUUUACAUGAUUUUGGUAUGAUUUGAUUAGAACUAACCUGAACUGACAUUGUUUUCAACAGAACUACCAUGUUGGUAUUUUUGUGCAGAAAUAAAAGUUCUUAGAAUGCGCUGAAAAUCAACGGAGAUUUUUUCUGGAAAAUAUAAAAAAUACUGGAAUGAAGAGUUAUCGGAGGGGAGUCCCGUGCGCCCUAUGAGGGUAGAGGGCAUGCCCCCUGCCUUGUCGACUCUCCAUGGGACCCCCUGACUUAUUCUCGGCGCAAACAUCUCCUAUAAAUCCCAAAACCUCCAGAACAUGACCUAGAUCGGGAGUUCCGCCGCCACAAGCCUCUAUAGCCACCAAAAACCAACCGGGACCCUAUUCCGGCACCCUGCCUGUAACGCCCCGAGACCGAUGCUCUAGUUGCCUUCCUUUUAUUUUAGUUGCUGCCGUGUGGUUAUUGUGUUUGUUGCAUUAUCAUAAUUAUUGUUGCAUAUUUCAUUCCUAUAUGAUUAUGCCAUGAUCAUGUUGAGUGCCUUGUCAUAUAUUUGCUUCGUGCACCAUCCCAAUAUCACAUGUUAUGUUGCAUUGUACCCUUGUCAUUUUGCAUUUCAUCAUGCUCAUCAUGUUGUGUGUGCAUCAGCCCUUGCUAUCUCUCUCAAGCCAUAUGCCCAUGUAUCAUCACCUCUCCCUUCCUUCUUCCUUCAUGUUUUUGCAAGUGACAUUAUUCCCUCCUCCAUUAAUGUUCAUUUAUUUCGUGGCGAUCUUACUCAAUGCCUUAUACCUCUAUGUCAAAUUUUAUCUCAUUUGGAGUUGAUUUGGUUGGGUUCAAAAAUGGCUCAAGUUUGAAUUUAAUUCAAACUUGAAUUAUUUUUCUAUCCUUAAAAAUGCCCAAAUCAAUUUAUCAAAUUUCUCCACAAGUUCUGGACUCCAGAUAUAUUCUCAUAUCUCUCUCAUGCCUUCCCUUUAUCUCUGAGCUUUUCUCUCUUAUUUUUUGUUUGAGGAAAUUGAGAAAAGAAAGAAUAAGAGGGAGAGAGAGAGCCCAUCUAGCCCAACAGCCGCAGCCCAGCUCACCUCCCAUGCAGUUGACCUGGCCCAGCUCUGUUCACGGCCACCUGCCCUGUUGCGUCGCCGUCUCUGUUCCAGAGACAGAGCACUCGCGCUCGCGCCGUGAGCUUCACGGACGCCGAGGUCGCGCCGUCUUCUCCCCUCCUUUUAAGCCAGCAGCCACACCCUAGGGUUUCCCCUUCUCCCUCUUGUUUUCCUUCGCCACCGCCACCAUGGAGGGCAGCUCCUCCCCGCUCCAUCUCCUCCCUGCAGCCACCAUGGCCGGCUCAAGCAAGAGCUCAAAAGCAGAGUAGGAGCAUCGCUAGCCUCCCCUCCCUCGACCCCGAGCACCGCAACAACUCCCCGAGUCCGUUCUAACGCCGAUCCGAGCCCGAGGACGCCUUCCCCGACGUCCUCUUCAUCCUCUGCUUCGUCUUCUUCACAGACAACAAGUCCACCGGAGUUCCUCGCCUCCUCUCCGUCUAUAUUCUGCGUCCGCGACCGGAUCCUCAUGUCAUAGGUAUACUAGGUAUACCCAACUCCAUCUCUGCUCUUUUUGAUAGCGAUUCGAUCACCGGAGUAGUCGCUAGAUCCAUGCCAUCUUCGUGUUCUCGGUGCUCCGACGAGUUCUGAAUUUUGUUGUGUAGUUGUAGUAGUCACCGUGGUUCCUCACUUUUCGCCCCCGCUCUGGAUCCUCUCACACGCACGGCCGCGCUCGAUUGCGAGCCCGUGGCCUUGCUUUGUCUCGCCACCACCAUGACCGAGCCAAGCUUAUGCUCGUCCACGAGCUCCACGCACUCACACCCCUCCCGCAUAUCACACACACCAUGCGCACGUCCACAGCAGCCGCAUCAUGCACAAUAGCUUUCCCACCUCGUCCGCACGCCUUGCAUAACUCUGCUGUAGCUUCUGACUCGCCGUGCUUCACCGCCAUGGCCGCAGGAUCAUGCCUGCACACAGCCCCGCAUGCACGCGCGCAUCUUGCAGUGCACCCCCUCCUUUGUCCGCACCCGCGCCAUGCUCGCGUCCUUGCCAGUUUUUCCUCGCUCACGCCCAGCAGCUGCCACAUAGUCACACGUCGUGCCUCGUCCGGGACGAGCUUCUGCUCGAGGCUUAUGCUCCGGCCCCUCUCGCAGCUCUCCGCAAGCACGCGUGCACCUUCUUCUGUUUCCGCACGCCCGCCGCAAGUUCAUAACCCCAACGGCCGUUGCUUUUGCUUGCCCUCGCCGUCGGUUGUCGCCGUGCAGCCAUAGCCAAGCUCGACCUGCUCCUGAAUAGCUCAAAAGAGCCUGGGAGCUUGUUUUAUCACGAACUCAUACCUAGCCCAGUGGCUACCGCAGCCACUAUCCAACCAGGAGGUCUGGAGUUCGAAUCUCAGGCGCCACCUAUUUCUUUUUAUUGCUUUGCUUAUUCUCUCUCACACGCAAUGGGUUCGAUCUGCUACUGGGCUUGCACAGUGCGUUGAAUCCGGCCCGUGCAUUUUUUUCCAGUUUGUGCAUUUUACCAUUUUCCAGUGCAUUCUUAUUUACAGUAAUGCCAUCAGUUUAAAAUGCUCAUAACUAAAUAUCCAUGCAUCCAAAUGAAACAUGUCAUAUAUGCAUCUUGCUCAGUUUUUCAUGUUCUUUAACAAUAUACAACUUUCAUCCCUGUUCAAACUGAUUAAAAUUGUUGUUUGCAUUGUUUUGCACAAAUGACAUGUUAAAAUAGUUUAUUUCAUAACUUAAUAACCGUAACUCCAAAUUUAAUGUUCUUUAUAUGUAGAUGGGCUAGAAAAUUACAUAGAUUAACUUGGUGCAUUUUGUUUUGCUGUUUGAAAACUCUAAAAUUAUGUUAUAGGUAGAACACUACCAGAUUCAUAAAUUGCAUAUGGGGAUUUUUCGGAAUUGUUGUUUGUUAUUCCGGCGUCAUUUAAACUUGCCUAGAAAGGUAGUUUAAUUAUGCUUCACCUCUUGCCAUGUUUAACAACAUUUAAUAUUGUUUGGUGGCUUAAACAAGAUCAAACUAAAUAUGUCAAUGUGGUGUUUUGUGAAUAUGCAACUCGUUGCAUAUUGAGCUCCACUUAACUUGUAGUAUUGUUUGUUGCACUUUUCCAUGCCAUGCCUCAUUAAACCGGUCAUGCAUCAUACUUGUUUGUGCAUCAUGCCAUGCUUAUGCUUAUGCAUUUACCAUGUUGUUUGUUUCUUUCCGGUGUUGCUUCUUAGUUCCGGUAAUGUUGCAAUUGUGAGGAUUCGUUCGACUUCAUCCGUUCGUCUUCUUCAUGGACUCGUUCUUCUUGCUAGCUGGAUUUCAGGCAAGAUGACCGCUACCCUGGAUCUCACUACUAUCAUUGCUAUGCUAGUUGCUUUGCUCUAUCGCUAUGCUGCGCUACCUAUUACUUGUUUUUCAAGCCUCCCAAAUUGCCAUGUCAGCCUCUAACCCUUUUCACCCUUCCUAGCAAACUGUUGCUUGGCUAUGUUACCGCUUUGCUCAGCCCCUCUUAUAGCGUUGUUAGUUGCAGGUGAAGUUGAAGAUUGCUCCAUGAUGGACAGGUUUAUGUCGGGAUAUCACAAUAUCUCUUAUAUUAUUAAUGGAUCUAUAUACUUGGUAAAGGGUGGAAGGCUCGGCCUUAUGCCUAGUGUUUUGUUCCACUCUUGCCGCCCUAGUUUCCGUCAUAUCGGUAUUAUGUUCCCGGAUUUUGCGUUCCUUACGCGGUUGGGUGAUUUAUGGGACCCCCUUCACAGUUCGCUUUGAAUAAAACUCCUCCAGCAAGGCCCAACCUUGGUUUUACCAUUUGACUCACCACCACCUAUACCUUUCCCUUGGGUCGGCCAACCCAAGGGUCAUCUUUAUUUUAGCCCCCCCCGGGCCAGUGCUUCUCUAAGUGCUGGUCCGAACCAGAGCCACUAGUAGCGCCACCUCGGGGAAACUUGAGGGCUGGUUUUAGUUGUACGUAGUGUUCAUCCGGUGUUGCCCUGAGAACGAGAUAUGUGCAGCUCCUAUCGGGAUUGUCGGCGCAUCGAGCGGUCUUGCUGGACUUGUUUUACCAUUGUCGAAAUGUCUUGUAAACAGGGAUUCCGAGUCUGAUCGGGUCUUCCUGGGAGAAGGAAUAUCCUUCGUUGAUCGCGAGAGCUUAUCAUGGGCUAAGUUAGGACACCCCAGCAGGGUAUAAACUUUCGAAAGUCGUGCCCGCGGUUAUGGGAAGAUGGGAAUUUGUUAAUGUCUGGUUGUAGAUAACUUGACACCAGAUCCGAAUUAAAAUGCAUCAAUCGCGUGUGUAGCCGUGAUGGUCUCUUUUCGUCGGAGUCCGGGAAGUGAACACAGUUUUUGGGUUAUGUUUGACGUAAGUAGGAGUUCAGGAUCACUUCUUGAUCAUUGCUAGCUUCAAGACCGUUCCGUUUGCUCUCUUCUCGCUCUUAUUUGCGUAUGUUAGCCACCAUAUAUGCUUAGUUGCUGUUGCAACCUCACCACUUUACCCCUUCCUUUCCCUUUAAGCUUUGCUAGUCUUGAUACCCAUGGUAAUGGGAUUGCUGAGUCCUCGUGGCUCACAGAUUACUACAACAACAGUUGCAGGUACAAGUUAUGCGAUGAUCAUGACACGAGCGUGAUGUUUGCUUGUUUGGAGUUCUUCGUCUGCUUCUUCUUCGAUCAGGGGAUAGGUUCCAGGUCGGCAGCCUGCCCUAGCAGGGUGGAUGUCGUUUGAGUUUCUGUUUGUGUUUCAUCCGUAGUCGGAUGUUGAUCUUAUGUAAGAUGAUGUUGUAUUCGUGUGGAAUUGUAUGCCUUAUGUAUGUAUCCCCAUCUAUUAUGUAAUGUUGAUGUAAUGAUAUCCACCUUGCAAAAGCUAUUCAAUAUGCGGUUCUAUCCUUGGUGGGACCUUCAAGUCUCUUUAGGAUAGUAUCGCAUAUUGGGCGUGACAAGUUGGUAUCAGAGCCUCGACCGACCAUAGGAGCCCCUUGAUUGUUGGCUGUUGUUGAGUCUAGAAGAAAACUAUUUUUCAGUCUUAGGAUUAUAUAUAUCGGAGAGUAUGAUUCUUUUCACUCCUCGGUCCCAUCGUCGCUCAGGUGAGGCCUCCUAACGUAGAUGUUUUGUCUUUCCUCUCCUCAAAUUUCACUAAAAUAAUUUUAGGAUCACGCGGGUAUCUUGGAAUCGUUCCGAUGGUUUUGUGACGAGAACAUUGUUCUUGGUGCCUCCUAUCUUUUAUGUGGUAGUGACCCGGGGAGUUGAGCUCCGAGGUGUUGUCGUCAUAAUUUUAUCGUUGCAGUUCUGGAAUACCUGAGUUUUGCCGACAUCGAAAAUCUCUUUUAUGCAGUUGUUGGUGAGAUAACCUCGACGCCACCCAGUACUGGGGCGGGAGUUCGGGAGUAUUGCCAUAGCUUGUAUAACGGAUGCUUUUCGAAGGUUGAGGUACAUGAUUUCCGAUGGUUUCUUGGUUAUGUGUUGACGGAUGGAUACAGCUGGAUGUAGGGAUUGUUAGUUUGUGUGAGAUAUAUUGCUUCCCCUGUAUCCCCAACACCAGAUUGCAUAACCAAAAAGUUUUGGGAGUUUUAUAGGUGGGAAUUCAAGUAGCUCCUAGUAUAUCUUUCCGAUAGAUGCAUGAUAUGGGAUUGGGUAAAUCUCUAUCAUAUGUAUUUGUUCCGGCUUAUUCUACUAGCCAAUCCUUUGUUUUGUUUUGAGUUGUGGUAUUCGAGUUGCUUCAAUGUCAAGUGUUGAUUCCAUACCUUUCAAGCGGUGUUCUCAUAUUUCUAUGAGAGUGCUAAUCCUUCUUGUUUAUCGAGAUUGUCAUGUUAAUUCUUUUCCAACAGGCGUGUUUAUCUUCAAGUGAAUCCGAUCAUUUCAACAUUUGCGAGGUCAAUUCUUAGUUCUCUCAAUGGUGUUUGUUUCAUCCGUCCCAAGUUGUCUUUGUUUUCCCGCCCUCCCACCCCUUUUCUUCAAGGACUCAGCUUUCUUAAUCAAGUAUCCUUUUAUUGAUGGGAAGUCUCUCCAUUCUUUUCCAUCAAUGCUCUUAUCCGGUGAUUCUCAGGAAGAUACUAACGGAGCUUCAAGUUCCUCAUUCUUCAUUCUCGUAUUCUUUUCUGAUGGAUUUAACUCAAGCUUUUAGUGUUGAUCAUAUCUCUUCCUUUUGUUUCACAUAUCUUGCCAUGUGAGUUUCUUAUCCAAGGCUCUCUUAUUUAUUCAACUUGCCCAGUUCAUAUCCGGAGUGCUCAAGAUAUCUCAAAAGAUUUGUGUUUCCAUUCUUAAUCCGUUAAAGCUAUCUGGAGGUUGUUAUCCCAUUCAAGCCAUUUAAUUCAACCGGUGCAUUUUUUUAAAUUGUUCAACGGUGUUUCCUUUUGAGUGGGCCCUAACCCACAUGUCUUUUCCCAGGAUCUUACCUGACUCUUCUAAUUAUCAGGAGCCAUUCGCAAAUUCAUAUCCAAGUUUGACGUAAGAAUGAAUUUCAUCGUCGGAUGUUUUCCAAGAUCAAUUUCAAAUUAUUUUUCCUUGUUGGCUCAACCUCUUUGUUUUUCAUUUCCCCGGAGUAUCUCAACCAUUCAUGGUAGUGUUUCUCGUCGUCAUUCUCGGAUUUUGAAGACCGAAGAAGAGUUCCUCUUAAAUCCUUACCCGUUCUUCCAGAGAUUCAUGGUUCUAGCUUCAUGCCAUCCUCAUAAUUGUUUUGAUUGUGGAAAUUCUUUUCUUACCAUCCGGAGCAUCUCAUGAGUUGUUUCCAUUUCUUUCCUCCGAAAGCCAUCAUGUCAUAAUUCUUCAUUCGUAACAUGUAGCUAUCAUUCUCCAAAACUUACUGGUGCAUCGUUCAAAUAUCCUCUAAUCAGUUCAUGAUCUCUUCGUUCUCUUGUAUCUAAAUCCCCUCAAGUAUCUUCAUUCGUUUUCCAAUUCUUCCCAGUGAAUUGUGGCUUUGCUACUUUCAUUUUCAAUUCUUACGGCGGUUCAUUCAAGUUUUCACUUCCUUCAUUAUCGUAUCAAUUCAUUCGUUGUUUUCAAAUCCUACUGGUGGAUCGUUGAAGACCUUCCCAAGUUGUGCUAUUUCUCUCUUUAAUGUUUUCAAGAAGAAUAAGUAGUAUGCCAAAUCCGUUGCUUGUCAUCAAUUUAUAUUGGUGAAGGAUACGCAUAACAUAAUUCUUAUUCUUGUUUCAUCCAAGUGAUUAAUUCCUCUUCCGGAGUUCCAAGUUUUCCGCUUUAUCUCGUCACGAAGCUCCAUCUAAAUCAUCGCAAGGCUUCACCUUGUGUUUCAACCUCUCUUUCUUUCUAUCAUCCUUUUAUUACCGGAAUUUUUCAUGGAGGCUCUACAUGAUGGUUCGUCAAGGAUUCUUUUCAUUCUUCAAUUGUUUUUCAAGAUUUCUCUUGAAGUUAUGACCCGCCAAGCUAUACUCUAAAAUAAACAUGGUGCUCAACACAUGUUUUGUUUUGAGGAGUUCAAGUAUUCUUCUUCAUGCAUUUCGAAGUGCAAUUCUUUCUACCUUAGCUUUUGAGGUGGUGUUAUAUCAUUCUUGGCAAUUUCCAUUCAGGUUUCGCGAUUCACAUGUUGUCAAGAAUGAGAUAUUUUAAAUCCAUCAAUCUUUUCUUUGGAGUUAUCUUGGUAUAGAUUUCACCUAAAGCCCUCCCUAAGGAAUGUUGCUAUUUGUGGUGCUUAUCAAUGAUCCAAGCUUUCUCCAUAUCCUUGGCGUUGAGUGAGGUUUUUCAUCUCUUCAUUGAUCUCAAGCAAGCAUUUGUUUCCGUUAGUGGCCGCUUGUCACCUCAUAGUCUUGAGAUGUUUUCCAUAAGCCCACUACAAGAUUAUUCUUUUCGUUGUUGGUUUUGCAACAACUCCAUUAUAACCUUCUUGGAAGGGUGCUUUCCAAUCUCUUUUGUGGCAGAAGUUGGCAUUUUCUCCUACAUUCUGUUAUUCCAAUGAUCUAGCUUCUAUUCUUUCAUUCCGGAGGCAUUGUGAUGUUGCUCUCUUCACCCAUCACCUCGUCUUGUCAAGUUCAUGUUCUAUUCCUUCCAUGUUCAACCGGAGUGCUGCCCGAAUUCUUCCUCUCUCAUCUUGUUUUAACCAGAGUGGUUUCAAAUUCUAUCUUGUCCAUUAAACUCUUGAUUCAUGUCUUUGCAACCUCUUGGUUCUCGGCGUAUCCCUUGUUCCUCUUUUCUAACGGAGUGUUUUCAACUUUGUUCAUCUUCGUUGUUUUCUUUCUUUCAUUUUGCUCAACAUCAAGGUUCUUUGGUUUCACUCUUUUGUCGAAGAAGCAACUUAGUUUUACCUCUUCUCAUCCUCUUCCGUUUCUCUCCGGUGCCAUCCUAGAUCUCGGGACGAGAUCCCCUUAUAGUGGUGGAGUGUUGUAACGCCCCGAGACCGAUGCUCUAGUUGCCUUCCUUUUAUUUUAGUUGCUUCCGUGUGGUUAUUGUGUUUGUUGCAUUAUCAUAAUUAUUGUUGCAUAUUUCAUUCCUAUAUGUUUAUGCCAUGAUCAUGUUGAGUGCCUUGUCAUAUAUUUGCUUCGUGCACCAUCCCAAUAUCACAUGUUAUGUUGCAUUGUACCCUUGUCAUUUUGCAUUUCAUCAUGCUCAUCAUGCUCAUCAUGUUGUGUGUGCAUCAGCCCUUGCUAUCUCUCUCAAUCCAUAUGCCCAUGUAUCAUCACCUCUCCCUUCCUUCUUCCUUCAUGUUUUUGCAAGUGACAUUAUUCCCUCCUCCAUUAAUGUUCAUUUAUUUCCUGGUGAUCUUACUCAAUGCCUUAUACCUCUAUGUCAAAUUUUAUCUCAUUUGGAGUUGAUUUGGUUGGGUUCAAAAAUGGCUCAAGUUUGAAUUUAAUUCAAACUUGAAUUAUGUUUCUAUCCUUGAAAAUGCCCAAAGCAAUUUAUCAAAUUUCUGCACAAAUUCUGGAGUCCAGAUAUAUUCUCAUAUCUCUCUCGUGCCUUCCCUUUAUCUCUGAGCUUUUCUCUCUUAUUUUAUGUUUGAGGAAAUUGAGAAAAGAAUAAGAGGGAGAGAGAGAGCCCAUCUAGCCCAGCAGCCGCAGCCCAGCUCACCUCCCAUGCAGCCCACCUGGCCCAGCUCUGUUCACGGCCACCUGCCCUGUUGCGUCGCUGUCUCUGUUCCAGAGACAGAGCACUCGCGCUCGCGCCGUGAGCUUCACGGACGUCGAGGUCGCGCCGUCUUCUCCCCUCCUUUUAAGCCAGCAGCCACGCCCUAGGGUUUCCCCUUCUCCCUCUUGUUUUCCUUCGCCACUACCACCCAGGAGGGCAGCUCCUCCCCGCUCCAUCUCCUUCCUGCAGCCACCAUGGCCGGCUCAAGCAAAAGCUCAAAACCAGAGUAGGAGCAUCGCCAGCCUCCCCUCCCUCGACCCCAAGCACCGCAACACCUCCCCGAGUCCAUUCUGACGCCGAUCCGAGCCCGAGGACGCCUUCCCCGACGUCCUCUUCGUCCUCUGCUUCGUCUUCUUCACGGACAACAAGUCCACCGGAGUUCCUCACCUCCUCUCCGUCUAUAUUCUGCGUCCGCGACCGCAUCCUCAUGUCACAGGUAUACUAGGUAUACCCAACUCCAUCUCUGCUCUUUUUGAUAGCGAUUCGAUCACCGGAGUAGUCGCUAGAUCCAUGCCAUCUUCGUGUUCUCGGUGCUCCGACGAGUUCUGAUUUUUGUUGUGUAGUUGCAGUAGUCGCCGUGGUUCCUCACGCUUCGCCCCCGCUCUAGAUCCUCUCACGCGCACGGCCGCGCUCGAUUGCGAGCCCGUGGCCUUGCUUCGUCUCUCCACCACCAUGACCGAGGCAAGCUUAUGCUCGUCCACGAGCUCCACGCACUCACACCCCUCCCGCAUAUCACACACACCAUGCGCACGUCCACAGCAGCCGCAUCAUGCACAACAGCUUGCCCACCUCGUCCGCAUGCCUUGCAUAACUCUGCUGUAGCUUCUGACUCGCCGUGCUUCACCGCCAUGGCCGCAGGAUCAUGCCUGCACACAGCCCCGCAUGCAUGCGCGCAUCUUGGAGUGCACCCCCUCCUUUGUCCACGCCAGCGCCAUGCUCGCGUCCUUGCCAGUUUUUCUUCGCUCACACCCACCUACUGCCGCAUAGUCGCAUGUCGUGCCUCGGCCGGGACGAGCUUCUGCUUGAGGCUUAUGCUCCGGCCCCUCUCGCAGCUCUCCGCAAGCACGCGUGCACCUUCUUCUGUUUCCGCACGCCCGCCGCAGGUUCAUAACCCCAACGGCCGUCGCUUUUGCUUGCCCUCGCCGUGCAGCCAUGGCCAAGCUCGACCUGUUCCUGAAUAGCUCAAAAGAGCCUGGGAGCUCGUUUUAUCACGAACUCAUACCUAGCCCAGUGGCUAGUGCAGCCACUAUCCAACCAAGAGGUUUGGAGUUCGAAUCUCAGGCGCCACCUAUUUCUUUUUAUUGCCCUGCUUAUUCUCUCUCACACGCAAUGGGUCCGAUCUGCUACCGGUCUUGCACAGUGCGUUGAAUCCGGCCCGUGCAUUUUUUUUCUAGUCUGUGCAUUUUACCAUUUUCCAGUGCAUUCUUAUUUACAGUAAUGCCAUCAGUUUAAAAUGCUCAUAACUAAAUAUCCAUGCAUCCAAAUGAAACAUGUCAUAUAUGCAUAUUGCUCAGUUUUUCAUGUUCUUUACCAAUAUGCAACUUUCAUCCCUGUUCAAACUGAUUAAAAUUGUUGUUUGCAUUGUUUUGCACAAAUGACAUGUUAAAAGAGUUUAUAUCAUAACUUAAUAACCGUAACUCCAAAUUUAAUGUUCUUUAUAUGUAGAUGGGCUAGAAAAUUGCAUAGAUUAACUUGGUGCAUUUUUAUUUGCUGUUUAAAAACUUUAAAAUUAUGUUAUAGGCAGAACAGUACCAGAUUCAUAAAUUGCAUAUGGGGAUUUUUCGGAAUUGUUGUUUGUUAUUCCGGCCUCAUUUAAACUUGCCUAGAUAGGUAGUUUAAUUAUGCUUCACCUCUUGCCAUGUUUAACAACAUUUACUAUUGUUUGGUAGUUUAAACAAGAUCAAACUAAAUAUGUCAAUGUGGUGUUUUGCGAAUAUGCAACUCGUUGCAUAUUGAGCUCCACUUAACUUGUAGUAUUGUUUGUUGCACUUUGCCAUGCCAUGCCUCAUUAAACCGGUCAUGCAUCAUACUUGUUUGUGCAUCAUGCCAUGCUUAUGCUUGUGCAUUUUACCAUGUUGUUUGUUUCUUUCCGGUGUUGCUUCUUAGUUCCGGUAAUGUUGCGAUUGUGAGGAUUCGUUCGACUUCAUCCGUUCGUCUUCUUCAUGGACUCGUUCUUCUUCCUAGUUAGAUUUCAGGCAAGAUGACCGCUACCCUGGAUCUCACUACUAUCAUUGCUAUGCUAGUUACUUCGCUCUAUCGCUAUGUUGCGCUACCUAUUACUUGUUUUUCAAGCCUCCCAAAUUGCCAUGUCAGUCUCUAACCCUUUUCACCGUUGCUAGCAAACCGUUGCUUGGCUCUGUUACCGCUUUGAUCAGCCCCUCUUAUGGCGUUGUUAGUUGCAGGUGAAGUUGAAGAUUGCUCCAUAAUGGACAGGUUUAUGUUGGGAUAUCACAAUAUCUCUUAUAUUAUUAAUGCAUCUAUAUACUUGGUAAAGGGUGGAAGGCUCGGCCUUAUGCCUGGUGUUUUGUUCCACUCUUGCCACCCUAGUUUCCGUCAUAUCGGUAUUAUGUUCCCGAUUUUGCGUUCCUUACGCGGUUGGGUGAUUUAUGGGACACCCUUGACAGUUCGCUUUGAAUAAAACUCCUCCAGCAAGGUCCAACCUUGGUUUUACCAUUUGCCUCACCACCACCUAUACCUUUCCCUUGGGUUGGCCAACCCGAGGGUCAUCUUUAUUUUAGCCCCCCCGGGCCAGUGCUUCUCUAAGUGCUGGUCCAAACCAGAGCCACUUGCAGCGCCACCUCGGGGAAACUUGAGGGCUGGUUUUAGUUGUACGUAGUGUUCAUCCGGUGUUGCCCUGAGAACGAGAUAUGUGCAGCUCCUGUUGGGAUUGUCGGUGCAUCGCGCGGUCUUGCUGGACUUGUUUUACCAUUGUCGAAAUGUCUUGUAAACCGGGAUUCUGAGUCUGAUCGGGUCUUCCUGGGAGAAGGAAUAUCCUUCCUUGAUCGCGAGAGCUUAUCAUGGGCUAAGUUGGGACACCCCUGCAGGGUAUAAACUUUCGAAAGCCGUGCCCGCGGUUAUGGGAAGAUGGGAAUUUGUUAAUGUCCGGUUGUAGAUAACUUGACACCAGAUCCGAAUUAAAAUGCAUCAACCGCGUGUGUAGCCAUGAUGGUCUCUUUUCGGUGGAGUCCGGGAAGUGAACACGGUUUUUGGGUUAUGUUUGACGUAAGUAGGAGUUCAGGAUCACUUCUUGAUCAUUGCUAGCUUCACGACCGUUCCGUUUGCUCUCUUCUCGCUCUUAUUUGCGUCUGUUAGCCACCAUAUAUGCUUAGUUGCUGCUGCAACCUCACAACUUUACCCCUUCCUUUCCCUUUUAAGCUUUGCUAGUCUUGAUACCCAUGGUAAUGGGAUUGCUGAGUCCUCGUGGCUCACAGAUUACUACAACAAUAGUUGCAGGUACAGGUUAUGCGAUGAUCAUGACGCGAGCGUGAUGUUUGCUUGUUUGGAGUUCUUCUUCUGCUUCUUCUUCGAUCAGGGGAUAGGUUCCAGGUCGGCAGCCUGGGCUAGCAGGGUGGAUGUCGUUUGAGUUUCUGUUUGUGUUUCAUCCGUAGUCGGAUGUUGAUCUUAUGUAAGAUGAUGUUGUAUUCGUAUGGCAUUGUAUGCCUUAUGUAUGUAUCCCCAUCUAUUAUGUAAUGUUGAUGUAAUGAUAUCCACCUUGCAAAAGCAUUUCAAUAUGCGGUUCUAUGCUUGGUGGGACCUUCGAGUCUCUUUAGGAUAGUAUAGCAUAUUGGGCUUGACACUGCUGGAGGGUGGGAUCCAUCACUGGUGGCCAUCUUCAUCAUCCUGACGCUCUCCAUGAUGAGGAGGGAGUAGUUCACCCUCGGGGUUGAUGGUAUGUACCAGUAGCUAUGUGUUUGAUCUCUCUCUCUCUCUCUUGUUCUUGAUUUGGCACGAUCUUGAUGUAUCACGAGCUUUGCUACAAUAGUUGAAUCUUAUGAUGUUUCUCCCCCUUUACCUUCUUGUAAUAGAUUGAGUUUUCCCUUUGAAAUUAUCUUAUCGGAUUGAGUCUUUAAGGAUUUGAGAACACUUGAUGUAUAUCUUGUGUGGGAUACCCGUGGUGACAAUGGGGUAUCCAAUUAUGUUAUCCUUGUUGACAGAACUUGCACUAGUGAAAGUAUGAACCCUAGGCCUUGUUUCGAAGCAUUGCAAUACCAUUUGUGCUAACUUUUAUCAUUAGUUAACUUGCCAGGGAGGUGAGUGCUUGACGGUAUAUCUUUAGUUCUUGCAAUUGAAUCUUUUAGUUUAUUGUUUUAUCACUAGUUUAGUCUAUAAAAGAAAACUAUAAAAAAAUGGAAUUGAGGGUGCCUCAUAUGCUUCAUCUUUUUAAUGUCUUUCGUGAAAAUGAUGGAAAGGAAAAUUGUGCUCAAUUGCGAGAAGAAGAAUGAAUUAAAAUGUUUGGAACCAAAUUUUUGAAUGAUGAGCAUGAUUGCAAUGUUGUUAGUAUGAAUUCUUUGCAUAUCCAUGAUGCUAAUGAUAUGCAAAGCCACAAGCUUGGGGAUGCUAUGUUUGAUGGAGAUUAUAUUUUUUCUCCCCCAAGUUUUGAUGAGCAGAUUUAUUAUGAUGACAGCAUGCCUCCUAUUUAUGAUGAUUAUAUUGAUGAAACUGGGUUUGCAAGAGUGUCAACUUUAGGAAGUAAUGAUCCCACUAUUUUGGAUGAUGUUGAAUCCUAUUGUGAUAAUUAUGAAAGUGGACUUGGAGAGGUCAUGACUUUAUUUAGUAAUGAUUCCACUAUCUUGGAAGAGGUUUCAAUUGAUUAUGAUGAGAACAAAGUUGCUACUUAUGAUGAUGAUUGUGAUGAUACUUAUGCUAUAAAAAGUAGUGUUGAUUAUAUUUAUAAAACUUGUCAUGAUUAUGAUUACCCUUUUUCUGAACAUUACUCUUUUAAUGUGGAAACAAUUUAUAGUAUUCAAGUUUCUUAUGAUACUCCCACUAUUCCAAAUGAGAAGAAUUUUGCUUAUGUGGGUAGUAAUAAAAUUUCUUCUUGUAGAGCAUGAAAAGAAUGAUUUAUGUGAUGGCUAUAUUGUUGAAUUCAUUCAUGAUGCUACUGAAAAUUACAAUGAGGGAGGAACAUAUGAUUGUAGGAAUUGCAAUAAUAUCAAGUUCCCUCUCUAUGUGUUGAAAAUAUUGAAGCUAUGCUUAUUUUGCUUUCCUAUGCUAGUUGAUUCUUGUUCCCAUAAGUUGUUUGCUCAUAAAAUCUGCUAGUCAUAUUCUUCAUGCAGCUCUCUUUGUGUUUCAAUUCUUAUCUUUUAUGUGACCAUCAUUGAAAUCAUCAUGCCUAGCUAGAAAGACAUUAAAGAAAAGCGCUUGUUGGGAGACAACCCAACAUAUACCCCUACUGUAGUAAUCAUGUUUUAUAGCUUUUGUUUCAAUAAAGUGCCAAGUAGAACCUUUGGGAAGACUUGGGUGAAAGUUAAUGCGAUCUUUCCAUAUAAACAGAAACUUUGCGCUCACGAGAUUAGCUGUCCAUUUUUACAUAAGAGCGAUUUUAAGUUGAUUCUUUUUGCAGAAGACUAAUAGCCAAAUUUCACAGGUCCACCGAUUUAUUUCAGAAUUUUUGGAGUAAAAGAGUAUUCGAGAGUUACAGAUUACUACAGACUGUUCUGGUUUUGACAGAUUCUGUUUUCUAUGUGCUGUUUGCUUAUUUUGAUGAAUCUAUCAGUAGUAUCGGAGGGAAUGAACCAUAAAGAAGUUGGAAUACAGUAUAUAUUACACAAAUAUGAAUUUAUAAUGAGUUCACAACAGCAAAAGUGGUGAUUUAUUUUCUUAUACUAAUGGAGCUUACGAGUUUUCUAUUGAGUUUUGUGUUGUGAAGUUUUCAAGUUUUGGGUAAAGAUUCGAUGGACUAUGGAAUAAGGAGUGGCAAGAGCGUAAGCUUGGGGAUUCCCAAGGCACUCUAAGGUAAUAUUCAAGGACAACAAAGAGCCUAAGCUUGGGGAUGCCCCAGAUGGCAUCCCCUCUUUCGUCUUCGUUCAUCGGUAACUUUACUUGGAGCUAUAUUUUUAUUCACCACAUGAUAUGUGUUUUGCUUCGAGCGUCAUUUUGUUUUGCUUGUUGUUUGAAUAAUAUUCCAAGAUCUGGGAUUCUUAAAUUUUAGAGAGUCUUCACAUAGUUUCAUAAUUAUUCAACUGCUCAUUGAUCUUCACUUAUAUCUUUUGGAGCAGUUUGUCAUUUGCUCUAGUGCUUCACUUAUAUCUUUUUAGAGCACGAUGGUGGUUUUCUUUUGAAGCAAUAGAUGUACACUCAUGCUUCACUUAUAUUAUUUAGAGAGUCCUAAACAGCAUGGUAAUUUUCUUAGGUUAUUAAUUUAGUCCUAAUAUGAUGGGCAUCCAAGAGGGAUGUAAUAAAAACUUUCAUAUAAAAUGCAUUGAAUACUAUGAGAAGUUUGAUUCUUUAUGAUUGUUUUGAGAUAUGAAGAUGGUGAUAUUAGAGUCAUGCUAGUGGUGUAAUUGUGAAUUUGGGAAAUACUUGUGUUGAGGUUUGUGAGUCCCGUAGCAUGCACGUAUGGUAACCGUUGUGUAACAAAUUUGAAGCAUGAGGUAUCUCUUUGAUUGUCCUCCUUAUGUGUGGAGGUCGGGAUCGCGUGAUGGUUAACUCCUACCAACCCUUCCCCUAGGAGCAUGCAUGUACUGCUUGGUUUUGAUGGCUUGUAGAUUUUUGCAAUAAGUAUGUGAGUUCUUUAUGACAAAUGUUGGGUCCAUCGAUUAUACGCACUCUCACCCUUCCACCAUUGCUAGCCUCUCAUGUGGUGCGCAACUUUCACCGGUACCAUACAACCACCAUUUACCUUCCUCAAAACAGCCACCAUACCUACCUAUUAUGGCAUUUCCGUAGCCAUUUCGAGAUAUAUUUCCAUGCAACUUGUCACCGUUCCUUAUAUUAUGACACGUUUUGUCAUUGUCAUAUUGCUUUGCAUGAUCAUGUAGUUGACAUCGUAUUUGUGGCAAAGCCACCUUUCAUAAUUCUUUCAUACAUGUCACUCUUGAUUCAUUGCACAUCCCGGUACACCACCGAAGGCAUUCAUAUAGGGUCAUAUUUUUUUCUAAGAAUUUAGUUGUAAUUCUUGAGUUGUAAGUAAAUAAAAGUGUGAUGAUCUUCAUUAUUAGAGCAUUGUCCCAUGUGAGGAAAGGAUGAUGGAGACUAUGAUUCCCCCACAAGUCGGGAUGAGACUCCGGACAAAAAAAGGCCAAAAAAAGAGAGGGCCCAAAAAAAGAGAAAAAAUGAGAGAAAAAGAGAGAAGGGGCAAUGCUACUAUCCUUUUACCACACUUGUUCUUCAAAGUAGCACCAUGAUCUUCAUGAUAGAGAGUCUCCUAUGUUUUGACUUCUAUAUACUAGUGGGAAUUUUUCAUUAUAGAACUUGGCUUGUAUAUUCCAAUGAUGGGCUUCCUCAAAUGCCCUAGGUCUUCAUGAGCAAGCAAGUUGGAUGCACACCCACUUAUAGCUCUAGUGCAUCCGUUGCAUGACAAUCCCUACUCACUCACAUUGAUAUCUAUUAAUGGGCAUCUCCAUAGCCCAUUGAUAUGCCUAGUUGAUGUUAGACUAUCUCCUCUUUUUUGUCUUCUCCACAACCACCAUUCUAUUCCACCUAUACUGCUAUGUCCAUGGUUCACGCUCAUGUAUUGCGUGAAAGUUGAAAAAGUUUGAGAAUACUAAAGUCUAAAACAAGUGCUUGGAUGAAACCGGGGUUGUGCAUGAUUUGAAUAUUUUGUGUGACGAAGAUGGAGCAUUGCCAAAUUAUAUGAUUUUGUAGGGAUAAGCGUCGGUGGGAAACGACACCUAUGGGAUCACGAGGAUCCCUUCUGCGGUUGCGGGGCGCGGGGUUGUGAGAAGAUCAGGAUUAGCAGUCAGCACAAGGAUCAUUUACCCAGGUUCGGGCCGCAAGGAUGCGUAAAACCCUAGUCCUGCUUUGGUGGAUGUAUUGCGUGUUCUUGAGUUCUUGAACUAGCUACGGUGGCUGUGUGGUUCCAAAGAGCCGAAUCCCUCUCCAGUAUGCCAUGGGCCUCCUUUUAUAGUCGAAAGGGGCUACCACAGUGGCACACUGGAGGUGGAAAGGCCUACAGUGCUAUGAGCUUAUCGCUCGUAUUACAGGACAAGGCACAUUUAAUGCGUAGCUUAGGUGUCUUCUUGCUUUAUCGGGGACGGGAGUGAGGCAUGUUCCGUCCGUCGCCGCUCCUACUUGCUUCGACACGCGCCCUGGCCAGUGAUUCAUGCGGCGCCAUGUAGGCAGGCAAGCAGAUGAGGUGGCGCGGUGGUGGAGCCUCCACGAAGAUCUGCAUGCCGCCACACAGGCGAGUGCUGAGUUGGCCUGGAAGCUGCAUGUUGCCAUGCAGGUGCCUGCCCAGCUGGUUGGGCUGGCGACUGCAUGUGAACGGCGAUGGAAAUUUGGUUGGUGUGGGCCUGGCAGUGGCCCCCGCUGACGCCCUUGGCAAGGGUCUUUUCGGGUGGCCCGGCAAGGGUCUUGCCAUGGCGCGCUGUCAUCCCCGGCAAGGAUCUUGCCGGGGGUCUUGUGGAUUUCCUCGGCAAGAAUCUUGUCGAGGAUUGUUGCCUUCCAAUCCUCAUCUGAUCUUGAAUAUUCUUUGUCUUCACAAAGAUCUGCAUGCCACCAUGGAGGUGCCUCCCGGGCCUUGGCCCAACGUGGUUGAUGGUGUUGGACAUCGUGGAUUCGAGGGUGGCUCACUCCGCUGGUGUGGGCGAGCCGCCCCGGCAAGGGGCUUGCCGGGGCUGCUGAGCCCCCCCGGCAAGGGUCUUGCCGGGGAAACCUGCUUCGUCCAUCUGCUCUUUGUGGUCUCUUUCUUUGAUGUUGCGCUGAUCAUCUUGUGGCUUCGACUCCUCCCUUUUGCCCUGCUAAGUGCGGCUUCGGCCUGUGGCUCUGACUACCCGUGCACAAGUAAAGGGGGUACAAAGGAGUGCCCCUACUUUAGUACACCGAUAGGAGCCUCUGGGCCUGGGCCACACAUAGGCGCAACGCGUUGUUGGGCCGGGCCCAAAAUGGUGCGCGGCAGGCGGGGCGGUUUUUACCGCAGUAACUUUCCGUCUGCUGCGCUUCCCCAUGACCCGCGUUGGACGCGCGACAUGGGGUCGCGCGCGCGUGCGUGACUGAAGCACACUGGCAUCAUCUUGUGGUGGAUAGUAAAGAGGCGGCUUGCAUGUCCCCUUGAGACCGCAGGGCCACCGCUCAUUUAGUGCCCUUACUUGGGAACCGUCGCUCCACGCGUCCCACUGCGUCCGUCUCUUGCACCACGUUUGCUGCAUGCAUGACACAGAGCGAAUGGCAGGUGACCGGGAUACGGGAAGUCGCGCGCGCAUGGAUCGGUUCCUCGUGCGCCUUCAUUUGGGCGGGAAGGGCAGUUGACGGCCCUGCCCGUUGUCACUUCAAAGAGCCGGAUUGGCCGAAAGGGGCGGCCGAGCCCCGCCCCCGCCCCUUUAUAAAGAGGGGAGCGGGAAGAACGACGCCUCUCAAUCCUUUGUCAUCCGCUUCUCCCCAUUCCUGCUCCCUCCUUCGUUCUGCCAUGGCGAGGGGGCGUGGCGACGCUUCAUCGGUGGCGGCGAGGGUCUCGGCUAGACAACGCAUCACUCCUCCCCAAGAGCUCGUGGCGGUAGAGUCAACCGUUAGAGGAAGGGGGAGGGACGUGGUCAAGGCCGUCGCGGUGCUCGGGGAAGAGGAGGACGGGGCGGCGCAUCGGCCUCGCCUGCGCCAGCGGGCCCUCCCCCGAUGGAGGGCCACAUCGGGAACAACCCUUACGACUUCUUCAUCAGGUUGCGCCAGCCGCCGCACCGUCGUCUUCGCCUCCCGACUCCAUUUGCGCGGGAGAUGGAGCUGGACCCACCGCAGGCGCUGCGGCUGCAUAUGAGGGGUUGUGGGAACAGCAGCACAUGGGUCGAUGUCGAGUUCCCCGCCCCUCACGUCAUGUAUCUUCACCGAGGGUGGAAGACUUUUGCCCGCAUCCACAGCCUGAUGGAGGGGCUCACUCUCCAUUUCAAAUUAAUGGAGAGAGGCAUCCUCUCCGUCAAGGUCUUUGGGCACUUCAGGACUCACGUAAGGUGCUGCAUGGAGAGCUCCUCUGACGAUGAAGAUUCCUUCUCGAGCAAGAGUGGAGAGGAGGACAGCAGCAGCGACGGCGAGGGUAGCGGGCGGCAGGAUGACGGGUCCGACUAAGCGUCGGGCGCCUCUUCGGGCGACACCGGCGAACCCAUCAUCCGUGUCGCCGAUUCCUUGAACUUCUCGGGGUCACCUCCUUGGGCGGCUGGCGUAGGGAGGCCGGAGAAGGCGAAGAAGGCGGGUGGCAGGCCGUCAAGUCGGAGUUCAAUGGCACCGACGCCUUCAUAGCGUAUUGACGGACCGCUGCCUCAUCUUCCAGCUCUUCCUCCGGCGCCACCACUGCCAACCCUCUCCUAGGCGACUGCCGGCAUGUUUUCUUGGCGCCUUCUGCUGCUCGUACCUCGCCUAGGCGCCCCUUUUGCACUUUUGCUUUCUUGUUGCAUUUCUUGUAUGGAACGUAUUAAUGGAAAAGGGGGCUUGCCGGGUCUUGUGUGUGCGUGUGGGAAAAGCCCAUACCAAGGAACAUAUCCUUGUUAUUUUUAAUAUAAACACCACUGCCUGACAGCAGGCCUUGCCGUUCCCCCACUCCGUUCGUCCAUACUCAUGCCUUUGGCGGAGGCAGGGACGAGGUGGGGGUGGGCCCUACGCUUGCUUCCUUGCCGCUGCGGCUACAACCAUAUUCCAAACCAAGAAGCUCUUGGGUGAUAGGAAUGAGGGGAGCAUGAUAGCUUUGGAAUAAAACAAGGUUUCGUACGUCCCAAGUUUUAUACGGAAAUGCAUGACAGGGAAUGGGAAAACUUAUCAAAAUCUACAGCCCCCCGGCAAACCAACCUUGCCGUGGGUGGACCCUCGUGUCUUUAGCCCUCGGCAAGCUUGGCUUGCCGGGUCCGGAGCACUGGCUUGUUUUCUUCCUUCCACUUGUCUUGGUGGAAACAUUCAUGUACCCUGCGCACCAAAGAUGAUAGAUAGGAACAAAAUUACGCAAGCUCGACCUCUAAGCUAGGGGUUAGUCGCUGCUAAGCACUAUCAACCCUAACCAAGGGAGGGACUCAAUCUAGAAUGCAUGCUAUAACUUAGGGCGCCAGUGCUUCAUUAUUUAUGCUCAGGGUCUGUGCCUGGCUUUGUACAAAGGGUUACAUGCCUUGCUGGCAAGGCUUGUACAAAAGGUGGCUUGCCGGGAGGCCCGACAGCUGAUACGUCUCCAACGUAUCUAUAAUUUUUUAUUGUUCCAUGCUAUUAUAUUACCCCUUUUGGAUGUUUAUGGGCUUUAUUUUACACAGUUAUAUCAAUUUUGGGACUAACCUACUAACCGGAGGCCCAGCCCGUAUUGCUGUUUUUUGCCUAUUUUAGUAUUUUGAAGAAAACGAAUAUCAGACGGAGUCCAAACGGAAUGAAACCUUUGGGAGCGUGAUUUUUGGAACGAACGUGAUCCAGAGGACUUGGAGUACAAGCCAAGAAGCAAUCGAGGCGGCCAGGAGAUAGGAGGGCGCGCCCACCCCCUCUGGGCGCGCCCCCUGUCUCCUGGGCCCCUCGGGGGGCCACCGACGUACUUCUUCCUCCUGUAUAUACCCACGUACCCCAAAAACAUCCAGGGAGCCAACGAAAAACAAUUUCCACUGCCGUAACCUUCUGUAUCUUCGAGAUCCCAUCUUGGAGCCUUCGUCGGCGCUCCGCCGGAGGGGGAAUCGACCAUGUAGGGCUUCUACAUCAACACCAUAGCCCCUCCGAUGAGUUGUGAGUAGUUUACCACAGACCUUCGGGUCCAUAGUUAUUAGCUAGAUGGCUUCUUUUCUCUUUUUGGAUCUCAAUACCAUGUUCUCCCCCUCUCUUGUGGAGAUCUAUUUGAUGUAACUCCUUUUGUGGUGUGUUUGUCGAGAUCCGAUGAAUUGUGGGUUUAUGAUCAAGUUUAUCUAUGAGAAAUAUUUGAAUCUCCUCUGAAUUAUUUUAUGUAUGAUUGAGUUAUCUUUGCAAGUCUCUUCGAAUUAUAAGUUUGGUUUGGCCUACUAGAUUGAUCUUUCUUGCCAUGGGAGAAGUGCUUAGCUUUCGGUUCAAUCUCGCGGUGUCCUUACCCAGUCACAGCAGGGGUUGCAAGGCACAUAUUGUAUUGUUGCCAUCGAGGAUAAAAAGAUGGGGUUUAUAUCAUAUUGCUUGAGUUUAUCCCUCUACAUCAUGUUAUCUUUCUUAAUGCGUUACUAUAUUCUUAUGAACUUAAUACUCUAGAUGCAUGCUGGAUAGCGAUCGAUGUGUGGAGUAAUAGUAGUAGAUGCAGGCAGGAGUCGGUCUAGUUGUCACGGACGUGAUGCCUAUAUACAUGAUCAUGCCUAGAUAAUCUCAUAAUUAUUCGCUUUUCUAUCAAUUGCUCGAUAGUAAUUUGUUCACCCACCGUAAUACUUAUGCUAUCUUGAGAGAAGCCACUAGUGAAACCUAUGGCCCCCGGGUCUAUCUUCUAUCAUAUAAGCUUUCAAUCUACUUUUAUUCGCAUCUUUACUUUUCCUAUCUAUGUUAUAAAAUACCAAAAAUAUAUUUAUCUUAUCAUACUAUCUCUAUUAGAUCUCACUUUCGCAAGUGGCCGUGAAGGGAUUGACAACCCCUUUAUUGAGUUGGUUGCGAGUUCUUUGUUUGUUUGUGUAGGUGCGUGGGACUUUUGAGGAGUCUCCUACUAGAUUGAUACCUUGGUUCUCAAAAACUGGGGGAAAUACUUACACUACUAUUGCUGCAUCACCCUUUCCUCUUCAAGGAAAACCAACACAAGCUCAAGACGUAGCAGCAGUCGCGCCUUAUGGGUAAAACUUGCAAAGAUGCUCGAUGUUCCAGGAGUUGCUCACUGGAAUGGCAUCUUCGGUCUCCAGGCGGGCUGCGCCGGACCUGGUGACUCAUGUUACCCGAUAAGGGCCUUCCCACUUUGGCGCCAACUUGUUGGAAUUCUUGGUCGACUGAACAUGCCGAAGAACAAGGUCGCCUUCCUCAAAGCUCCGGGCAUGAACCUUGCGGCUAUGGUAGCGGCGCAAGGCUUGCUGGUAGCGUGCUGCUCUCACAGCCGCCCGGAGACAAUCUUCCUCAAGGAGCGUUGCGUCAUCUUGCCACAAUCGCUCUUGCUCAAGCUCAUCAUAAGAGAGCACUCGAGGUGACCCGUAUAUGAGUUCUGUGGGGAGAACUACUUCUACCCCGUAGACCAGGGCAAAGGGUGUCUGGCCAGUGGCUCGAUUUGGUGUCAUUCUGAUCGACCAAAGAACCGCCGGCAACUCAUCAAUCCAGCACCUUCCACUCUUGCACAGCCUGUCAAAAGUCUUCGUUCUUAAGCCUUGCAGAACUUCAGCAUUUUCUCUCUCUACUUGGCCGUUGCUUCAUGGGUGUGCCACGGAAGCAAAACAGACCUUGCUGCCGAGAUCCUCAAUGUACUGCAUUAAGGCGCGGCUUGUGAACUGUGUGUCGUUGUCGGUGAUGAUCCUGUUGGGUACCCCGAAACGCAAACUAGCCCCUUGAAGAACUUGAUGGCUGACUGCACUGUGACCUUCCUCGCUGCUUCCACCUCUGGCCACUUUGUGAACUUGUCGAUUGCAAUGUACAAGUACUCAAAGCCCCCGAUGGCAUGAGGGAAAGGGCCCAAUAUGUCGAGCCCCCAGACCGAGAAGGGCCAGGAGAGAGGGAUGGUUUGAAGAGCUUGAGCUGGUUGAUGAAGCUUCUUCGAAUGGAACUGGCACGCUUCACACUUGGUUACUAGUGCCGUCGCAUCGCGGAGGGCAGUAGGCCAGAAGAAACCUUGUCGGAAAGCCUUGCCAGCAAGAGCCCUUGACCCUAUGUGGGAGCCACAUAUGCCUCCAUGUAUCUCUGCCAACAGCUCUAGUCCUUCCUCCCGGGAGAUGCACUUUAAUUUCACCCCAUUUGGUCUCUUUCUAUGCAAGACGUUGUCAACGAAUUGGUACAGAGCGGACCGGCGGGCUACUCUUUCUGCCUCUUCCUGCUCCUCAGGAAGCUCUCCUAUUUGGAGGAAUCGGACGGUGUGCCGCGCCCAUGCGGGAGCCCAUGGCUUGACGACAAGGACCAAAGGCAUCUCUUCUGCCACGGGAAUGACCGUCUCUACGGCCAUGGCCUGAGGCCCUGCCGGAGUCAGUUACCCCGCGGCAGGAUCGGCAUCCACGGCAACAUCUUUGCUAGAGGCUCCGGGGAGCUUAGUGGGAAAGUACUUGCCGGGGCCUAGCUUCCUCCGCUUGUUCUGCCCGGUUGAUGGUUCGACGGAUGGUUGAGUUAACCGAAGCACAAAAGUACUUGGUUCCAUAGGUAGCUUGAGGGUAACACGCUUUGACAGGUAGUCGAUGAUGUCGUUUUCCGUCCGGGGGACAUGCUCUGCUCGUAUACCGUCAAAGUGCUCCUCCAGUUUCCUCACUUCAUCCACGUAAGCUUCCAUCAACGGGCUUUGAUAAUCUUUGUUGAUCUGCCUAACGACGAGUUGCAAAUCACCCCUGACGAUGAGCUUUUUGACUCCGAGGUCCACCGCGAUCCUGAGAGCGGCAAGCAAGCCCUCGUACUCGACGGUGUUGGUGUCCUGGAGGUCGCCGCGCCGCCGUCUGGCGGCACGACUACGCCACUAGAGGGCCCCGCGCCGCCUGCAGGGGGCCCGACUCCGUCUCUGGAGGUCGCGAUGUGUGGCUCAUCGUCUCGUGUACGAAUGACCCCGUUCACCAGGCCUGGACUGCUAGGGUGAUGUGGAUGUUCGCGGGCCACGCCACGGGUUCUCUCCGCGACUGCCCUGCUACUCGUCUGCAUCGGUACUGGCAGUCCGGUUCCGGACGAACCGAUCGCCGUGGUCGUCUUCUUCUUAGGAGCCAUGGCGAUGAAGAACUGUUGGGCCAACUACUAGAUCAGAUUCUCACAAUUGUGCUCCCCCUACCUGGCGCGCCAAAGGUGUCGGUGGGAAAUGACACCUAUGGGAUCACGAGGAUCCCUUCUGUGCUUGCGAGGCGCGGGAUUGUGAGAAGAGCAGGAUUAGCAGUCAGCACACGGAUUGUUUACCCAGGUUCGGGCCGCGAGGAUGCGUAAAACCCUAGUCCUGCUUUGGUGGAUGUAUUGAGUGUUCUUGAGCUCUUGAACUAGCUAUGGUGGCAGUGUGGUUCCAAAGAGCUGAAUCCCUCUCUAGUACGCCAUGAACCUCCUUUUAUAGUCAAAAGGGGCUGCCAUAGUGGCAUACAGGAGGUGGAAAGGCCUACAGUGCUAUGAUCUUAUCGCUCGUAUUACAGCACAAGGCGCAUUUAAUGCGUAGCUUAGGUCUCCUCUUGCUUUAUCGGGGACACGAGCGAGGCCCGUCCAGUCCGUCACCGCUCCUCCUCGCUUCGACACGCGCCCUAGCCAGCGAUUCAUGCGGCGCCAUGUAGGCAGGCAAACAGCUGAGGUGGCGCGAUGGUGGAGCCUCCACGAAGAUCUGCAUGCCGCAACGCAGGCGUGUGCUGAGUUGGCCUGGAAGCUGCAUGUUGCCACGCAGGUGCCUACCCAGCUUGUUGGUCUGGCGGCUGCAUGCGAACAGCGAUGGAGAUUUGGUUGGUGCGGGCCUGGCAGUGGCCCCGCUGACGCCCUUGGCAAGGGUCUUGCCGGGUGGCCCAGCAAGUGUCUUGCCGUGGCACGCUGUCGUCCCCGGCAAGGAUCUUGCCAGGGGUCUUGUGGAUUUCCUCGGCAAGAAUCUUGUCGAGGAUUGUUGCCUUCCAAUCCUCAUCUGAUCUUGAAUAUUCUUUGUCUUCACAAAGAUCUGCAUGCCACCAUGGAGGUGCCCCCCCGAGCCUUGGCCCAACCUGGUUGAUGGUUUUGGAGACCGUGGGUUCGAGGGUGUCUUACUCCGCUGGUGUGGGCAAGCCACCCCGGCAAGGGGCUUGUCGGGGCUGCUGAGGCCCCCCUGGCAAGGGUCUUGCCGGGGAAACCUGCUUCGUCCAUCUGCUCUCUGUGGUCUUUGUCUUUGAUGUUUUGCUGAUCAUCUUGCGGCUUCGACUCCUCCCUUUUGCCCUGCUAAGUGUGGCUUCGGCAUGUGGCUCUGACUGCCCACACACAAGUAAAGGGGUACAAAGGAGUGCCCCUACUUUAGUACACCGACAAUAAGCUUUCUUUGGCCAUGUUAUUUUGAGAAGACUGUCGGUGUAUAAAAGUAGGGGCCUAGCUUUUGACCCCUUUACUUGUGCACGGGCAGUCAGAGCCACCUGCCACGACCACACAUGAGCAAGGCAAGAGAGGGAAGCCGGAGAAAAGCCAAAGCCACAGGGACAAGCAAAGCAAACAACAAAGGACCAAGACCACAAAGGUCGCACGGGCAAUGCAGGUGCCCCGGCAAGGACCCUUGCCGGGACAACCCGUCCACACCCGCUGAGCGAGCCACCUUCGAGCCCACCAACACUGAGCAGUCGCAUUGGGAUAGGGUUCGGGAGGCACCUCCGUGGUGGCAUGCAGAUGUUUGUGAAGACAAAGAGAAAUCAAGAUCAAAAGAGGAUAGGAAGGCAACCAUCCCCAGCGAAGAAAUCCAUAGGGGCCCCUGGCAAGAUCCUUGCCGGGGAAGCCAGCUUGCCACGGCAAGACCCUUGGCGGGCCACCCGGCAAGACCAUCGCCAAGUGCCCCGGCAAUACCAUCGCCAAGCACCCCGGCAAGGCCACUGCCAGGCCCGCACCAGCCAAGUUCCUACCGCCGUUCGUACGCAGCCGCCGACCCAACCAGCUGGGCAAGCACCUGUGUGGCAGCAUGCAGACCUUCGUGGAGGCUCCACCACCGCGCCACCUCAGCUGCCUGCCUGCCUACAUGGCGUUGCAUGUGUUGCUGGCCGGGGCACGUGUCAAAGCCAGGAGGGGCGGCGGCGGACGGGACGGGCCUCACCCCUGUCCCCCGAUAAAGUGAAGGACACCUAAGCCUCGCAUUUAAUGCGUCUUGUCCUGUAAUGCUAGCGAUAACCUCGCAACGCUGUAGCACUUUCCACCUCCUGUGUGCCUCUGUGGCAGCCCCUUUGCCUAUAUAAGGAGGCCCAUGGGAUACUGGGGGGGGGGGGAUUCGGCUCUUUUGGACCUCGCAGCACCCAGAGCUAGUUCGAGAGCUCAAGAACACUAAUACAACCACCAAAGCAGGAUUGUAGGGUUUUACGCAUCUUUGCGGCCUGAACCUGGGUAAAUCCCCUUUGUGCCAUCCACUAGCCCCGCUCUUCUCAUGAUUCCGCGCCCCGCAACCAUAGAAGGGAUUCCAGUGAUCCCAUAGUUGUCGUUUUCCACCGACAUCUUUGGCGCGCCACGUAGGGGCACGCUAUUAUGACAAUCUGGUCUAGCAGUUCGCCUAGCUGUUCUUCAUCGCCAUGGCUCCUAAGAGGAAGACGACCACGGCGAUCGGUUCGUCCGGGACCAAGUUGCCGGCACCGGUGCGGACCAGUAGUGGGCCGGUCGCGGAGAGAACCCGUGGCGUGGCCCGCGAACAUCCACAUCACCUUGGCGGUUCAGGCCUGGCGAGUGGAGCCGUUCGCGCGCCAGGCGACGAGCCACCAGUCGCGGGCUCCAGAGACGGAGUCAGGCCCCCCGCAGGCGGCGCGGGGCCCCUCAGGGGUGCCACCGUCCCGCCAGGCGGCGGCACGGCGACCUCCAAGAUGCCAACACCGGCGCCCAUGGUGCACUCCUCUCAGGUUGUGCGUGAUGAGCAUCGUCACUCUGCCGGUGAUCCUGUGCGCCGCCCUGGGAAGAGUCCCGUGCGCCCAUCACAUGAAGAGGAGCGCCAGCAUGCGCACCGAGGUGCUGAUGGAGGUGGAGAAUGGCUGCGGAGCCGGGAUGGAGGUGGAACAUGGUUAGGAGUCGAGGUGCAUCGCGGUCCACCCAGCUUUCACCGCCACCCAUGCCAGCGGAAGCCCUAGCGCGCGCACAGCUGCUCCUUGAUUUUCCUCCCGCCACGGAGAAGCUUGACGAAUGGAGGGCCACCGUCCGGAGCCUCGUCGGCAUCGCCAACAACGACGGGCUGCGGCCGGCGGAACCAGUCGGCCGUCGCUCCGCCGUGCUGCCAUGUGCUAGUGGAGGCCACGCCGGAGGCGACGCGGCCACGGUGUAUUACCCGCCUCCAUCCCGACCGCCCCGGGCGUCGGCUUGCCAUGGCGACGCUCGUGAUGAUAUCUCCAUCGCGCCAUCCGACCCGCGAACCAACCGCGAUCAGUGCCAGGUCCUCCGGGAGCAGGCUCAUGAGGACGCUCGAACUACGAUUGAGCGCUGACGUGACGCGCGCCACCAGUCGGACAGGCGGGCAGGGCCCGCUACGGACCACCUAGUGCCGAGAGGCUACGGUGGCCUACCUUACGAGGUGGGUUGUCCGGCCUUCACCCGUGAGCUACGGAAGUUCCAAUGGCCCUCCCACCGUACGUUCAAUCCUGACGUUGGCGAGGAGUACAAUGGCAAGACCCACCCGUCGGAGUUCCUCAGCAUCUACACCAUCACGAUGCAAGAUGCUGGGGCCCGCAACGGUAAGGUGCUUGCCAACUACGUCCCGUUGGCACUCAAGCCUAAUUUUAUGUCAUGGUUGAUGCACUUGCCGGUGGAUUCCAUCUCUUCUUGGGCGGAUCUGUGCCAUGAGUUUGUUGGCGUGUUUACUGGAGGUCACCAAGCUCAUGGCCAGGCGAGUGAUUUACACAUCAUCCCCCAGAAGGAAGGAGAAAACCUGUGCAAGUACAUCCAAAGGUUCAGCCGGGUGCAGUACAACAUCCCCGAUGUUCAUCCUGCCGCCAUGAUCAGUGCUUUCCACCAGAACGUGCGCAAUCACAAGAUGCAUGAAGAACUGGCGAUGAACAAGGUUAAGGAUGUGGCCGAGCUCUAUGUUCUGGCCGAUCAGUGUGCUCAUGCUGAGCAGGGAAGGAAGUACCUCGGCGAAGAUGCCGGUGCGGAAACCGACUCCACUGGCGAUACCGCCACCCCAGCAAAGAAAGUCCGACGCCGUAAUAGGAAACGCAAGGGCAAGGUCGUGCUUGCCGUUGAGGGAUCCGACGACACUGGUACCAUCAAGAAGACCAAGGAGAGCGACACCGGCAAGGAGGUUGACGGGUGUGACGCUUGCCGUGCCUUGGCGGCCACCGACAAGCCAAGAGGCUCCAACAAGCAAUACUGCAAGAUCCACCGCACCAAGGGCCACGACCUCCAGCACUGCCGACAAGUAGAGCUUCUCGCUGAGAAGCAGAAAGCCGAGUAUGAGCGGCGGGAUAAGGAGAAGGGCCAAGAUGGUGCCGAGGGGUCCGGCAAGAAACAUGGCGGCCAAGGAGGCCGCCGCGGUAAAGACGGUCAGCAGGAGAGGCCCGCCAGGGGCCACGACAAGAAACAAGAAGAUGAUGAUCAUGAUGGGGACGACGAGUCCGGCGAUCAUGAGUUCCAGAAAGCCAUAGAGGCCAUGUGCGUCGAUGGUGGCGCCUUGCUGCAUACAUCCCACCGCCAGCUCAAGCAGUGGGCGCGUGAGAUCACAGCAGUGGAGCCAUCGUUCAACACGCGGAAGCCACUGAAAUGGUCCAGCACGCCCAUCAUCUUUGAUACCGAGGACCACCCCGACCGCACUACCGUGGUCGGGGAUUGCCAUUGUUGGUUUCCCCAACGAUCCGCAACCUCAAGGUGACAAGGAUGUUGGUCGAUGGCGGGGCCGGCCUGAACUUGAUCUUUCCUGCCAUGGUCAAAAAGCUGCAGAUCCCUGAUGGAGACCACAAGGAAACAUGCACAUUCCAAGGGGUUAACCCAGGGAGGAUCCAGCUGAAGGGAAAGGUCAUGCUGCCUAUGACCUUCAGAGGCGAGCUGAAUCACAGAACAGAGAGGAUUGUUUUCGAUGUAGCCAAAAUCCCCUUGCCAUACAAUGGGAUCCUCGGCCGCCCGGCACUAGCCAAGUUCAUGGCAGCUUCACAUUACGCCUACAACAUGUUGAACAUGCCCGGGCUGAUGAACAUCAUCACCGUCCCCUCCGAGAAGAAAGAUGCGUUGAUUUGCACCGACCAACUCUACCAGGAAGCGGUUGCAGCAGCUCCCACCAAGGCACCUACUCCUGCCGACAGAGCCCCGGGAGGGAAGAAGAUUGGCGAGACCCCUCGCACCCACUCUGGCAAGCGCAUCUCUUUGGGGUGUUGUGCUGCCGUCGAGGACGUGCCAGAGAGCUCCGCCGACUGAAGCAACAAGCCCAGGGCUGCACCGCCAAAGACCAAGAAGGUGCCCGUCAAAGAGGACGGCACGGGUGGGGUUUUCAUCCUAAGCUCCACCCUCGACAGCAAAUAGGAAAGCGAGCUCGUCACUUUCUUGCGGGCGAAUGUUGAUGUGUUUGCAUGGAAAGCCUCCGACAUCCCCGACGUUCCCAGGAAAGUGAUUGAGCACCACCUUGUUGUCUGUCCUCAUGCGCGGCCCGUCAAGCAGAAGGUCAGGAAGCAAGCUCUGGAGAGGCAAGAGUUCAUCAUGGAAGAAAUUAGGAAGCUAGAGGCGGUAGGCUUGGUAAGAGGAGUGCUCCAUCCGACGUGGUCGGCCAAUCCGGUAGUAGUGCGCAAGGCAAACGGGAAGUGGAGGCUGUGUAUUGAUUACACAGACAUCAAUAAAGCUUGUCCAAAGGAUCCCUUCCCGCUACUGCGCAUCGACCAGAUUGUUGACUCCAUGGCAGGGUGUGACCUAUUAUCAUUCCUUGAAGCCUACUCCGAAUACCACCAAAUCUUCAUGACAAAAGAAGACGAAGAAAAGAUAGCGUUCAUCACCCCAUGUGUUACGUACCGCUUUUUACGGAUGCCUUUUGGGUUGAAGAACGCUAGCUCAACGUUUGCAAGAGUAGUCCAGAUUGGUUUUGAACCCCAGCUACAUAGAAAUAUGGAAGCUUAUAUGGAUGACAUAGUGGUCAAGACAAAGGACAAAGCGACGCUCGUACAAGACCUGGAGGAGACCUAUAGGAACCUGCACAAGAUUAACCUCAAAUUGAACCCUGAGAAGUUUGUCUUCGGUGUCCCAUCCGGCAAGCUUCUAGGGUUCUUUGUGUCAUAGCGCGGGAUUGAGGCCAACCCGGACAAGAUUAAGGAAAUCGAGCAGAUUGAGGCACCCAAGCGGAUCUAGCACGUGCGUCGGCUCACUGGCUGCGUUGCCGCCAUGAGAAGAUUCAUAUCCAAGUCCGAAGAGCGUGCCCUCCCCUUCUUCAAGAUCCUAAAGAAGACGAGCCCCAUGGAAUGGACCCCGGAGGCCGAGGCGGCGUUGCAAGAUUUGAAGAACUAACUUUCCUCUAUCCCGGUGCUAGUUGCGCCUAAACCACAAGAGCCGUUGCUGCUAUACCUAGUAGCAACAAAUCAAGUGGUUACCGCCGCAUUGGUGGCCAGAGAGAGGUUGACGGGAAGACAGCAGCGGCAGCAGAGCCAACGGCUGGCGGGUCGGAACCCUCCCCGGCAGGGCUCGGUCCCGGCAGGACUGAGUCCCUGGCAGGGCCCGAUCCCGGCAAGCCUGACGCCAGUGCGACAAGACCCGCGUGGCCAGGUGAAGUGAUGCAAAGAAGGAAGAUGGUGCAGCACCCAGUUUACUUCGUUAGCUCCCUCCUACAGGGGGCUAGGUCGAGGUACUCAGGUGUACAAAAGUUGCUCUUCAGCCUCCUUAUGGCCUCGAGGAAGCUGCGCCACUACUUUUAGGCGCACGAGAUCACCGUGGUUACCCGCCUUCCAUUGCAACGGAUACUACACAACCAAGAUGCGAUAGGAAGGAUUGUGGAAUGGGCCCUAGAGCUGUCGAGUUUCGGCUUGAAGUUCGAAAGCACCUCGACGAUCUAGAGCAGAGUCUUGGUGGAGUUUGUUGCAGAAUGGACCUCGACACCAGAAGAAGAGGUACAAGAGACCACUCUCCCCAGCAAGGAAACAAGUGGCGACUGGGUCAUGUACUUUGAUGGGGCUUUCUCGCUGCAAGGCGCCGGUGCUGGUGUGCUGCUUGUCGCACCCACCGGGGAGCACCUCAAGUACGUCAUCCAAAUGCACUUUCCCCGGGAGAUGUCAACCAACAACACCACCGAAUACGAGGGUUUGCUCGCCGGUCUCAGGAUCGCGGCGGACCUCGAAGUCAAAAAGCUCAUCGUCAGGGGCGACUCACAACUCGUCGUCAGGCAGGUCAACAAAGAUUAUCAAAGCCCUUUGAUGGAAGCCUACGUGGAUGAAGUGAGGAAACUAGAGGAGCAUUUUGACGAUAUACAAGCGGAGCACGUCCCUCGAGCGGAGAACGACAUCGCUAACUACCUGUCAAAGCGCGCCGCCCUCAAGCUACCUAUGGAACCAGGUACUUUUGUGCUUCAGUUAACCCAACAAUCCGUUCAGCCAUCGACUGGGCGGAACAAGUGAAGGAAGCUAGGCCCCGACAAGUACUUCCCCACUGAGCUCCCCGAAGCUGCCGGUGGAGAUGUUGCCUUGGAUGCCAAUCCCGCCGCGGGACCUCAGGUCAUGGUCGUGGAGGUGGCUGCCCCCGCGACAGAAGAGAUGCCUUUGGUCCUUGCCAUCAGGCCACAUGCUCCGGCAUGGGCACAACACACCGUUUGAUUCCUUUAAUAAGGAGAGCUUCCCGAGGAGCAGGAAGAGGCAGAAAGAGUAGCCCACCGGUCUGCUCUGUACCAGUUCAUUGAUAACGUGCUAUACAGAAGAAGGCCAAAUGGGGUGAAAUUGAUGUGCAUCUCCCGGGAGGAAGGACUAAAGCUGUUGGCAGAGAUACAUGGAGGCAUAUGUGGCUCCCACAUAGGGUCAAGGGCCCUUGCCGGCAAGGUUUCCUGGCAGGGUUUCUUCUGGACCACCGCCCUCCAGGAUGCAACGGCACUAGUAACCAAGUGUGAAACGUUCCAGUUCCAUUCGAAAAAACUUCAUCAACCAGCCCAAGCCCAUCAAACCAUCCCUCUCUCCUGGCCCUUCUUGGUCUGGGGGCUCGACAUUUUGGGCCCCUUCCCCCAUGCCGUCGGGGGCUUUGAGUACUUGUACGUUGCCAUCGACAAGUUCACAAAGUGGCCAGAGGUGGAGGCAGUGAGGAAGGUGAUGACACAGUCAGCCAUCAAGUUCUUCAAGGGACUAGUUUGCCAUUUUGGGGUGCCCAACAAGAUCAUCACCGACAAUGGCAUGCAGUUCACAAGCCAUGCCUUCAUGUAGUACAUUGAGGAUCUCGGCAGCAGGGUCUGUUUUGCCUCCGUGGCGCAUCCACGGAGCAACAGCCAAGCGGAGAGAGCAAACGCUGAAGUCCCGCGAGGCUUGAGGACAAAAACUUUUGACAGGCUGCACAAGAGCGGAAGGCGCUGGAUUGAGGAAUUGCCGGUGGUUCUUUGGUCGAUAAGAACGACGCCAAAUCGAGCCAACGGCCAAACACCCUUUGCCUGGUUUACGGGGCAGAAGCAAUUCUCCCCACGGAACUCAUAUACGGGUCACCUCGUGUGCUCGCUUAUGAUGAGCUUGAGCAAGAGCAAUUGGGGAGGGAUGACGCAACGCUUCUCGAGGAAGAUCGUCUCCGGGCGGCUGUAAGAGCAGCAGGCUACCAGCAAGCUUUGCGGCACUACCAUAGUCGCAAGGUUCAUGCCCGGAGCUUUGAGGAAGGCGACCUUGUUCUUUGGCACGUUCAGUCGGCCAAGAAUUCCAACAAGUUGAUGCCAAAGUGGGAACACCCUUAUCGGGUAACGCGAGUCACCAGGCCCGGCGCAGUCCGCCUGGAGAUCAAAGAUGCCGUCCCAGUGAGCAAUUCCUGGAACAUCAAGCAUCUUCGCAAGUUUUACCCAUAUGGCGCGGCUGUCGAGCCUCCCGUCAAGCCAUCCUUUUGUACAAGCCUUGCCGGCAAGGCAUGUAACCCUUUGUACAAAGCCAGGCGUAGACCCUGAGGUUAAAUAAAUGUAGCGCUUUGCGCCCUAAGUUAUAGCAUGCAUGCUAGGUCGAGUCUCUUCCUUGGUUAGGGUUGAUAGUGCUUGGCGGCGACUAACCCCAAGCUUAGAGGUCGAGUAUGCGUCUCUGUCCUUCCCUGUCUUCUUUGGUUCGUAGGACAAGUAAAUAUUCUUGCCGAGCUAUUCUGGAAGGAAGGAAACGGACUGGCGCCUGGGCCUCGGCAAGCUAGAAUUGCCAGGAGCUGCGAGAACGAGGAUCUCUCCACGGCAAGCCAAGAUCGCCAGGGGCUGUAGAUCCAGAUAAGUCUUUAAUCCCCUAUCAUGCGUUUUGUUAUGGGCUGGGAUGCGUGAAACCCCGUUCCAUCUCUGAGCUACCGUGCUCCCUCUUUUCGGCACCCAAGGAUAUUUCCUGGGUCGAGAUCUGGUCAUAGCCGCGACAGCAGAGGAGGGGAACGAGGGGCCUAAGCCCACCUCAUCCUUGCCCCCGCCAAGAGCGUGAGAAAGGUCAAGCGAGGUGGGGAGACGGCAAGGCCUGUUGCCGGAAAAAAAAAAUUGUCUCGAAAGAUGAUAGGGAUUCACCCCUUGCCGUGGGUUUCUCCCGCGAACGUAAUCCCGGUGAACGUCCCUUUUUCAUUAAAAAACAUCCCGUACAGGUACAGUCCAUACGAGAUGAAAAACAUGAACAAGGGGAAUACAAGUUAUAAAGCUAACAAAGGCCCAAAGGCUUACAGAACUAAAAAGAUAUAAGGUGCCCGUAAUCCCUUUCUUGUCCCUCUCCUCAGGACAUGGAACAAGAAGGCAGAAGGGCACAAGGGGCACCUAGGCGAGCUACGAGUGGAAGGAGACACCAAGAGGAUAUCUCAGUGGCCGUCCGAGGGCUGGAUGGUGAUGGCGACGCCGAAGGCAGAGCUCGAAGACGAGGCGGCAGGACGCCAACACGCGACGAAGGCGUCGCUGUCCGCGUACUCUAACUUGACGGCCUCGCCGCUCAUCCUCUUCCUCUUCCACAGCCUCCCUACGCCAACCGCCCAAGGAGGCGACCCCGAGAAGUUCAAGGAGCCGGCGACACGGAUGAUGGGGCUGUCGGUGCCGUUCGGAGCGACUCCCGACGCCCAGUCGGACCCGUCAUCUUGCUGCCCGCUACCCUCGUCGUCGCUGCUGUUGUCUUCCUCGCCAGUCUCGCUUGAGGAGGACUCUUCAUCGUCGGAGGAGCUCUCUACGCAGCACCUCACGCGGGUCCCGAAGUGCCCGAAGAUCUUGACGGAGAGGAGGCCGCCCUCCAUUAGUUUGAAAUGGAGAGCGAGCCCGACCGUCAAGCUGUGGAGGCGAGCGAAGAUUUUCCACCCUCCGUGAAUAUACAUGACAUGGGGGGCACGGAACUCGAUGUCGACCCACGUGCCGCUGUUCAUGUGUAGCCGCAGCGCCUGCGGCGGAUCCUGCUCCAUCUCCCGCGCAAAUGGGGUCGGAAGGCAAAGGAGACGGCAUGGCGGAUGGCGCAGCCUGACGAAGAAUUCACAGGAAUUAUCCCCAGCAUGGCCCUCCAUCGGAGGAAGGGCUGCUGGAGGGGGCGAGGCGGAUCUGCCGCCCCGUCCUCCUCUCCCCCGGGCUCCACGGCGGCCUCGGCCUCGCCCCCUCCCCCUUCCUCUAGCGGCCGGCUCUGCCGCUAUGAGUUCCUGGGGAGGAGUGAUGCAUUGUCUGGCCAAAACCCUCGCCGCCACCGAUGAAGCAUUGCCACGCCUCCUCGCCAUGGCAGAAGAAGAAAGGAAGCAAGAAUGGGGAGAGGUAGAUGGCGAAGGACUGAGGGGCACCGUCCCUCUCGCUCCCCUUGUUAUAAAGAGGCGAGGGAGGGGCUUGGCCGCCCCCUCCCAGCCAAUCAGGCCUCUUGGAGUGACAGCAAGCGGGGCCGUCGACCGCCCUCCGCGCUCCACUGAAGGCGCAAGGGAAUCAACCCACGCGCGCGCGACUACCCACGACCCCUGCGCCUGUCAUUUGCUCUGCAUGCAGCGAACGUAGCGCAAGGGGCGGGCACAAUGGGACGCGUGGAGUGACGGUUCCCGAGCGAUGCCAGUAAAUGGGGGGCGGCCCUGCGGUCUCAAAGAGACACGCAAGCCGCCUCUGUACUGUCCACCACAAGGUGACGCUAGCAUCCCCACGUCAUGCGCGCACGACCCCCACGUCGCGCGUUCGACGCGGGGCGUGGGGAAGCGCAGCGAGCGGAACAGUGGCCGCAGUAAAAUCCGCCUCGACUGCCCGUGCACCGUUCUGGGCCUGGCCCAACAACGUGCUGCGCCUAUGUGUGACCCAGGCCCGGGGGCUCCUGUCGGUGUACAAAAGUAGGGGCCUAGCUUUUGACCCCUUUACUUGUGCACGAGCAGUCAGAGCCACCUGCCAUGACCACACAUGAGCAAGGCAAGAGAGGGAAGCCGGAGAAAAGCCAAAGCCAUAGGGACAAGCAAAGCAAACAACAAAGGACCAAGACCACAAAUGUCGCACGGCCAAUGCAGGUUGCCCCGACAAGGACCCUUGCCAAGGGCAGCCUCAGCAGCGCCGGCAAGAUCAUUGCAGGGGCAGCCCGUCCACACCCGCUGAGCGAUCCACCUUCAAGCCCACCAACGCUGAGCAGUCGCGUUGGCACAGGUUUCGGGAGGCACCUCCGUGGUGGCAUGCAGAUCUUUGUGAAGACAACGAGCAAUCAAGAUCAAAAGAGGAUAGGAAGGCAACCAUCCCCACCGAAGAAACCCACAGCCCCCCCGGCAAGAUCCUUGCCGGGGAAGCCAGCGCGCCAUGGCAAGGCCCUUGCCGAGUCACCUGGCAAGACCAUCGCCAAGUGCAUCGGCAAGGCCACCGCCAGGCCCGCACCAGCCAAGUCCCUACCGCCAUCCGUACGCAGCCGCCGACCUAACCAGCUGGGCAGGCACCUGCCUGGUAGCAUGCAGACCUUCGUGGAGGCUCCACCAUCGCGCCACCUCAGCUACCUGCCUGCCUACAUGGAGCUGCAUGCGUUGAUGGCCGGGGCAUGUGUCGAAGCCAGGAGGGGCGGCGGCGGACGGGACAGGCCGCACCCACGCCCCCCGAUAAAGUGAAGGACACCAAAGCCUCGCAUUUAAUGCGUCUUGUUUUGUAAUGCUAGCGAUAACCUCACAACGCUGUAGCACUUUCCACCUCCUGUGUGCCACUGUGACAGCCCCUUUCGCCUAUAAAAGGAGGCCCAUGGCAUACUGAGGGGGGAUUCGGCUCUUUUGAACCUCGUAGCACCCAGAGCUAGUUUGAGAGCUCAAGAACACUAAUACAACCACCAAAGCAGGAGCGUAGGGUUUCACGCAUCUUUGCGGCCCGAACCUGGGUAAAUCCCCUUUGUGCCAUCCGCUAGUCCCGCUCUUCUCACGAUUCCGCGCCCUGCAACUGUAGAAGGGAUUCCAGUGAUCCUAUAGGUGUCGUUUUCCACCGACAUCUUUCCUGUCGUGUACAAAAGUAGGGGCCAAGCUUUUGACCCCUUUACUUGUGCACGGGCAGUCAGAGCCACCUGCCACGACCACACAUGAGCAGGGCAAGAGAGGGAAGCCGGAGAAAAGCCAAAGCCACAGGGACAAGCAAAGCAAACAACAAGGGACCAAAACCACAAAGGUCGCACGGGCAAUGCAGGUUGCCCCGACAAGGACCCUUGCCUCAGCAGCCUCAGCAGCCCCGGCAAGAUCCUUGCCGGGGCAGCUCGUCCACACCCGCUGAGCGAGCCACCUUCGAGCCCACCGACGCUGAGCAGUCACGUUGGGACAGGUUUCGGGAGGCACCUCCGUGGUGGCAUGCAAAUCUUUGUGAAGACAACGAGCAAUCAAGAUCAAAAGAGGAUAGGAAGGCAACAAUCCCCACCGAAGAAACCCACAGGGCCCCCCGGCAAGAUCCUUGCCGGGGAAGCCAGCGCGCCACGGCAAGACCCGCGCCGGGCCACCCGGCAAGACGAUCGCCAAGCGCACUGACAAGGACACCGCCAGGCCCGCACCAGCCACGUUCUUACCACUGUUCAUACGCAGCCGCCGACCCAACCAGCUGGGCAGGCACCUGGGUGGCAGCAUGCAGACCUUCGUGGAGGCUCCACCACCGCGCCACCUCAGCUACCUGCCUGCCUACAUGGCGCUGCAUGCGUUGCUGGCCGGGGCACGUGUCGAAGCUAGGAGGGGCGGCGGCGGACGGGACGGGCCUCACCCCUGUCCCCCGAUAAAGUGAAGGACACCUAAGCCUCGCAUUUAAUGUGUCUUGUCCUGUAAUGCUAGCGAUAACCUCGCAACGAUGUAGCACUUUCCACCUCCUGUGUGCCACUGUGGCAGCCCCUUUCGCCUAUAAAAGGAGGCCCAUGGCAUACUGAGGGGGGAUUCGGCUCUUUUGAACCUUGCAGCACCCAGAGCUAGUUCGAGAGCUCAAGAACACUAAUACAACUACCAAAGCAGGAUCGUAGGGUUUUACACAUCUCUGCGGCCCGAACCUGGGUAAAUCCCCUUUGUCCCAUCCGCUAGUCCCGCUCUUCUCACAAUUCCGCGCCCCGCAACCGUAGAAGGGAUUCCAGUGAUCCCAUAGGUGUCGUUUUCCACUGACAUCUUUGGCGCGCCAGGUAGGGGAGCGCAAUUUGUGAGAAUCUGGCCUAGGGGUAGGCCUAGCAGUUCAUCAUCGCCACGGCAUCUGCGGAGAAAGCGGCCUAGAGGGCGGCGCUGCCCAUUGGCGGGAAGGAUGCCGAGGCGGCGACGAAAGAGCUAAGUCAUGCUAAACUUUAAAUUUUUAUCCUUAAAUAUAAUGUUGUUAUCCUCGGUGGUUCUGCCUAUGUAUGGGAAACCUAUACGCGAAGGGCCCUCCUUUGAUUGGCAACGCCCUUGUUCUAUUUCGAGCCAGCUCAACAGUUUGAGCGGCCGCGUUGAGAGCGGUAGGGUAGCCUUCCGCCACCAGCUACGCUCUCAUUUUUGACUCGAGUCAAGCUCGACAGAUCGAGCGGCCGCGCUGGCAGCGGUGAGGUGCUUUGCCGGCAGCAAGCACACCCGGCAGGCUAAUGAGGAUCCGUCCUCAAGGCGCUGCCCCGGGUUUACACGCUGGCAAGCUUACCCAAUCGACGUGGGGCAUACAUACAAAGGAAAAUCUAACAGGAAAAUAACAUGCAUAGUUUCAAGGGUACUGCAGAGUCGUAUUACAUAAAUUGCCGGCGCGGUUCUAACUAAAGAUAGCAUUUGUAUUGGUCAUGAACCUGCAGCGGCGAUAAGAAAUGAGGUGCUCAGUCCCAGCGCUGGGCCUCCAACCUCUUGAUUUUGUCGAUGCGGCUGAGGAUGGGCUGGAUACGCUCGUUGAGCGCUGCGAUGUCAGCGUCCUCCGGCAAGCUCUUCAACACCGCUUUGAAGUCGAGGUCAGGAUGCCAAUGCGCUAUCUUGACGAGCACCCUGGUGAUGGCCCCCUGGCAAAGAAUCCGGGACUCUUCAGCAAGGGAGGCCGCCCGAUUAGAGUGGAGCCAACGACCCUCUCAAAGUAUAUUGUCAGGCUGGCGUUGGGGCUCAGGUUCACUUCCGGGGUGUACUCCAUGCCCGGCACCCCCAUGAUGGACAGCUGGUCGGCGGCGGAGUUUGCGACGGCGGCAAGGCGCUCAAGCCAGCGUUUCUCGCCGGCCUUGUGAUCCUCGAGGUUGGCGGUCUUGUUCCUCAGCAGCUGCUUCUCCGCCUCCAGCUCCCUUGUCAGGAGUCCCUCCCGGGUCAAGGCCCACGACAGCACCUCCUCGAGCUCUCCUAGCUUCAGCUUGAGAUCUUUGAUGGAGGCAUUGGCUUCGGAGAGCUCUCCAGACUUGCAAAUGAUCUCGCCCUGCGCCUCUGUCAGGGCGCCGUUGAGCGUGUCCUUCUCUUGAGACAGCUUCAGAGUUUGAUCCUCCAGCUCCUUCACCUUGCCGGCGUGAGCCUGAGCCAGGGCGUUGAGUGCCUCUUGAUGCCUCCUCUCCAGCUCUUAGGUCCACUGGAGGACGAGCUUGUCCACUUCUUCAGCCUUGCCGUAGAGAGUGGCGGCAAGCUUCUCCUCGCGCGCGGCAAGGUCCUCCUCCUGGGUCCUCAGGGCGGCCUCGUGCUGGGACCGGACGGCUGCGGCCUUGUCGGCCAGCCUCUUCGCCGUUUCCUGGGCCUUCUCGAUGUCGGGCAGCCUCAUGGUGAGCUCCAGGUCGCGCCUGGCCAGAUCGCCCUGAGCGGCCUUCAGCUCAUCCUGAACCUGGCGCCACCAACCUUGUGCCUUGGCGACGCGCUCCUCAAAAUCUGCCUCCACUUUCUCCACCACCGCCGUGUUGGACUUGGCCUUGUCCAGGCGAGCGCGGUGGAGAGCCUGGAGUUUCCGGAAGUUGGCGCCCAUGGCCAGGAGCAGCUGCUCCUCCUGGGAGCCAUCACCGUCGACGCUCAACUCAUCAACAACGUCAAAACCGGCGGUGGUGAGCACCUCAUUGUCAAGAAAUUCCCCCUCGGCGAUGGCUCUAGAGCUUGACGCGCCUGGAAGGUGGACGAAGAGGUCAUCGCUCACCUUCAGGUACUUGCCGGAGCCAGAGGCAGCGGAGGAGGAGGGCUGGUCGUCGACCACCGCCUCCUCGGCAGUGGCCUUGCCGGUCCCCUCGGCGGCCCCCUUGCCGGGCUCCUCGGCACGCUCCUCAAGGGGGCAUUUAGUGGGCCCCUUAGCAGCGUCUUCGGCGGCACCCCUGGCGCUCUCCUCGGCAGCAAUCUUCUCCGCCUCCACCGCGGCCUCCACGGUAACAUCCUGGAUGGUGGUGUCGACAGCCUCCGAAGAAGGGCCUGGACACCAAGAAAGAGACGGGGUGGAGCCAAGGUCGAAAGCCGGUGAGGAAAAGAGGAAAAGAAGAAUGUCAACAAAAACAAACGGGUAGCCUACCUGUGCCAGGCCGAGAGGCGGAAGCCCUUUCUCCGCCAAGAUCCGGAGCCGAAGGAAAGCCACCAGCUCAUGCGUUCUCCUCCUCCUCCUCCGUGUGCAUAGCCUCAGGGCUUUGUGCCCUUGCCGGGGACGCCCCUUGGGGCGGUGUGGUUGACGGAGGAGGCACGAUAGGAGAACCCUUCGUGGCUCCCCUUGGUGCUGCUCCCCUCAUGCAUCCACGUCAUGGUUAGCACUGAAGCAUCACGCAUAACGCACGCUGAUGGAGGGCGGGUGAUGGACUCACGCUGGGGGCUGUGCCGGGGGCUGCUGUCCGGGCUGCUCGACACCACCAGUGGCAUGCCGGAGGUGCCUGUCGAGGGCUGGCUACUCGUCGACGUCCGGGCCCUAUUCAUCCUCUGGGCCAGCGUCUCCACAUCCCUGCAAAAUGAAGGCAAGUGAGUAACACCGUCGGGGGAUGUGCGAGGAAUGAGGGAGAAAAGCACAGGCUUACUCGUCAUUUCCUUCCUCCUCCUCCUCCUCCUCCUCCUCUGGUGCCUUCCUUUUCCUCACUGGGUUGGGUGACCCAGAGUAUCUGUCUGGGCUGAGGGGCCCGAAGUCCAAGGCAAUCCCCGCGCCAACGUCUGCUGGCGGCGGGGAGGGCGGUGGCGUCUGAGCAUGCCUGGACGACGAGGAAGCAGGUGUCUUCCUCCUCGCUGCCUCGACUUCCGCCGCCUUCUUCGUCAUCGCGGCCCUCGUCUAGCGCGUCGCCGCUCCAUGCGCCAGCCGCAGCUGUGCGGCCCGUCUAGGGCGAACCGGCUCACCAGAGGCAGCCCACCGUAGAACUCGCCCCCUCCCGGUGGUCGGAGGGACGGAGGCUGCAAUCUCCUCCUCCUCAUCUUCCUCGGAAUCCCCGUUGCCGACGUCCUCGACAAGGGGGGGGGGGCGGCGCUGGCACCGCUGGCCUUCCCAGCGGCCACUGCCCACUAGGAGAGGUCCUCCUCCUCCGCUUCUGCCGCGGCACUGUCCACCGUGCCACCGAUGCUGCCGGCCUCCACGUCAAGCCUCGCUUCCCGCAACCCGCGGGUGAUGUAGUCCAACUCCACCUGAGAAGUGUGCUGGACAAGCCGCGGCUCGUCGGUGACAUAUGCCUCGUGCAAGGUGUCGAGGAAAUCCUGCACCCUAAGCUCGUCAAGCUCGACCCAGCUCGGCUCGAGGCCAUGCGCAUUAAAGAGCGGCAUCAUGGCGAUGAUAUCCGACCGACGAGAGUUGUUGCUGAGCGGGACCACCCCCGUCGGCAACUUGAAGAUGGGCUCCUUGUCCACCUUGUCGGCCUUCGCGGCAGCCCUUGCCACCUGGUCGGACCGCUCCAUCACGCCCUCUUCAUUAACCUCGAGCUAGAAGAUUCGCCGGCAGAGAUGAGCAUGCCUCAGCACUAUCAGAUUAUGGUCGAGGCCAGGGCGGAGCCGCAUGAUAUCAGCAGCAUUCACAAAAAGCCAGUCCGGCCUCCCCUUGUCGUGCAGAGGGGCAAUCCGGCGGCGGAUGAAGUCCGCGCCGAUCAUCUCGAGGGUGAGCCAGGCCCGGGUAAGCCUGAGGAUCCUGGUGGUGGCGAUCGUGAGCUUCUCGUCGUUGACGUCGACGUCGCCCCAGUCCUUUCCACGGACCGGCGCGACCUGACGGACCUCACAGAACGCCGGCAGUUUCUCCUCCUCGAUAAAGCACCACCGGCCCCGCCACUCUUCCCACCUCUCCUUCAUGGCGUCGUCCGGGUAUGCUCCUUUGGCCCUUGGGAUCCAAGCGACGCUGCCGGUGAUGGCGCCUACCUUUUGGAUUCGAGGGGAGAAAUAGUGGCGGAAGAGCAUCAUGCUGGGAUGCACCCCGUCGAAGCCCUCGCAAAGGUGUGCGAAAAGGGCCAUACACGCCACGGCAUUUGGGGGUGAAGUCCAGGAGGCGGAAGCCGAAGGUGUACAUGAUAUCCUUGAAGAAAUCAGAGAAAGGGGGAUAGAGCCCGCAGGAGAAGUAGUCGACGAAGAAAGGGUACCGAUUUGGGGAGGGCCCGGCGCUGGCGGGGACGACACGUGUGGCCGGAUGUCCCGUCAUCUCUCCCCCCAUCUUCACGCCCCACAGGACCUUGAAGUACUCCUGGAGCAUGGGCACGUCGACCGUCGAGGGAAAGAGGGCAAACUGCGCCCGUCGCACCACGAGCUCGCUCUCCGACGGCUUCGCCGCGCCGGCAUCCUUGACUGCCCCCUUUCCUUUGGAGGAUUUGUGCGCCAUUGCGGUCGUAGAAAGAAGGGGAUGGAGGAAGCGCGUCGGUGAUGAGCAGAAGCGGGGGCUCGAGGAAGAAGAAAGGGGGCGGCGGUUUCAAGAUGGAGGGAGGCGCACGAAAGGGGAAAAGUGAGCAGCGCGCCCGCGGGCCUCCUUUCCCAUUAACUGCGACGCGACUCAUGCGUGCGGUCGCCAUCCCACGCAUGCCCCCCACGUCACGCACGCGCACGACCCCCAUGUCGCACGUUCCAUGCAGGGCGUGGGAAAGCGUAGCAGGCAGAACAGUGGCCACUGUAAAAUCCGCCUCGAGUGCCCGUGCACCGUUCUGGGCCUGGCCCAACAACGUGGUGCGCCUAUGCGUGACCCAGGCCCGGGGGUUCCUGUCGUUGUACCAAAGUAGGGGCCUAGCUUUUGACCCCUUAACUUGUGCACGGGCAGUCAGAGCCACCUGCCACGACCACACAUGAGCAAGGCAAGAGAGGAAAGCCGGAGAAAAGCCAAAGCCACAGGGACAAGCAAAGCAAACAACAAGGGACCAAGACCACAAAGGUCGCAUGGGCAAUGCAGGUUGCCCCGGCAAGGACCUUUGCCGAGGGCAGCCUCAGCAGCCCCAGAAAUAUCCUUGCCGAGGCAGCUCAUCCACACCCACUAAGCGAGCCACCUUCGAGCCCACCAACGCUGAACAGUCGCAUUGGGACAGGUUUCGGGAGGCACCUUCAUGGUGGCAUGCAGAUCUUUGUGCAGACAAAGAAAAAUCAAGAUCAAAAGAGGAUAGGAAGGCAACCAUCCCCACCGAAGAAACCCACAGGGCCGCGCCACAGCAAGACCCUUGUCGGGCCACCCGGCAACACCAUCGCCAAGCGCCCUGGCAAGACCAUAGCCAAGCGCCCCGGCAAGGCCACUGCUAGGCCCGCACCAGCCAAGUUCCUACCGCCAUUUGUACGCAGCCGCUGACCCAACCAGCUGGGCAGGCACCUGCGUGGCAACAUGUAGACCUUCGUGGAGGCUCCACCACCACGCCACCUCAGCUGCCUGCUUGCCUACAUGGCACUGCAUGCAUUGCUGGCCAGGGCACGUGUUGAAGCCAGGAGGCGCGGCAGCGGACAGGACGGGCCUCACCCCCGUCGUUCCCCGAUAAAGUGAAGGACACCUAAGCCUCGCAUUUAAUGUGUCUUGUCCUGUAAUGCUAGCGAUAACCUCGCAACGCUGUAGCACUUUCCACCUCCUGUGUGCCACUGUGGCAGCCCCUUUUGCCUAUAAAAGGAGGCCCAUGGCAUACUGAGGGGGGAUUCGGCUCUUUUGAACCUCGCAGCACCCAAAGCUAGUUCGACAGCUCAAGAACACUAAUACGACCACCAAAGAAGGAUCGUAGGGUUUUAUGCAUCUUUGCGGCCGAACCUGGGUAAAUCCCCUUUGUGCCAUCCGCUAGUCCCGCUCUUCUCACGAUUCUGCGCCCCACAACCGUAGAAGGGAUUCCAGUGAUCCCAUAGGUGUCGUUUUCCACCGAUAAAGACAUAAUUGCUUUGUUUGUAUGCUUGAAGUAUUAUCGUUUUUAUGUCAAUUUUGAACUUUUUUUUUGAAUCUUAUGGAUCUGAAUAUUCUUGCAACAAUAAAGAAGAUUACAUUGAUAAAUAUGUUAGGAAGCAUUCCACAUCAAAAAUUCUUUUUUUAUCAUUUACCUACUCGAGGACAAGCAGGAAUUAAGCUUGGGGAUGCCGAUACGUCUCCAAUGUAUCUAUAAUUUUUGAUGUAUUCAUGCCAUGUUUAUAAUAGUUUUACAUGAUUUUGGUAUGAUUUGAUUAGAACUAACCCGGACUGACGGUGUUUUUAGCAGAACUACCGUGCUAUUGUUUUUAUGUAGAAAUAAAAGUUCUCGGAAUGCGAUGAAAAUCAACUGAGAUUUUUUCUGGAAAAUAUAAAAAUACUGGAAUGAAGAGUUACCGGAGGGGAGUCCCGUGGGCCCCACAAGGUUGGAGUGUGCGCCCCCCUAGGGCGCACCCUCCUGCCUCGUUGACUCUUCGUGGCCCCCCCUGACUUGUUCUUGACGCCAACAUCUCCUAUAAAUCCCCGAACCUCCAGAACAUAACCUAGAUCGGGAGUUCCGCCGCCGCAAGCCUCUGUAGCCACAAAACCAAUUGGGACCCUGUUUCGGCACCGUGCAGAGGGGGGAUCCAUCGCUGGUGGCCAUCUUCAUCAUCCCGGCGCUCUCCAUGACGAGGAGGGAGUAGUUCACCCUCGGGGCCAAGGGUAUGUACCAGUAGCUAUGUGUUUGAUCUCUCUCUCUCUCUCUCUCUCUCGUGUUAUUGAUUUGGCAUGAUCUUGAUGUAUCACGAGCUUUGCUACUAUAGUUUGAUCUUAUGAUAUUCUCCCCCUCCACCUUCUUGUAAUGGAUUGACUUUCCCCUUUGAAGUUAUCUUAUCGGAUUCAGUCUUUAAGGAUUUGAGAACACUUGAUGUAUGUAUUGCGUGGGAUACCCAUGGUGACAAUGGUGUAUUCUAUUGAUUCACUUGACGUAUGUUUUGGUGAUCAACUUCUGGGUUCCAUGACCUUGGGAAUCUAUGCAUAGGGGUUGGCACACGUUUUCGUCUUGACUCUCCGGUAGAAACUUUGGGGUACUCAUUGAAGUUCUUUGUGUUGGUUUGAAUAGAUUAAUCUGAGAUGUGUGAUGCAUAUCGUAUAAUCAUACCCGUGGAUACUUGUGGUGACAUUGGAGUAUCUAGGUGACAUUAGGGUUUUGGUUGAUGUGUGUCUUAAGGUGUUAUUUUACUACAAACUCUAGGGGUGUUUGUGACACUUAUAGGAAUAGCCCAAUGGAUUGAUCAAAAAGAAUAACUUUGAGGUGGUUUUGUACCCUACAAUAAUCUCUUCGUUUGUUCUCUACUAUUAGUGACUUUCGAGUGACUCUUUGUUGCAUGUUCACGGAUAGUUAUAUGAUCCAAUUAUGUUAUCCUUGUUGAGAGAACUUGCACUAGUGAAAGUAUGAACCCUAGGCCUUGUUUUGAAGCAUUGCAAUACCGUUUGUGCUCACUUUUAUCAUUAGUUACCUUCCUAUUUUUAUAUUUUCAGAGUAUAAAAACCUAUAUCUACCAUCCAUAUUGAACUUGUAUCACCAUCUCUUCGCCGAACUAGUGCACCUAUACAAUUUACCAUUGUAUUGGGUGUGUUGGGGACACAAGAGACUCUUUGUUAUUGGGUUGCAGGGUUGUUUGAGAAAUACCGUCUUCAUCCUACUCCUCCCAUGGAUUGAUAAACCUUAGGUCAUCCACUUGAGGGAAAUUUGCUAUUGUCCUACAAACCUCUUCACUUGGAGGCCCAACAACGUCCAAGAAGAAGGUUGCGUAUUAGACAUCAACUAUGCAAUACGUCCAAAAUAAUAUUAGGAGGCACCGACUUACAAUGAGAUCCAAGAUGGCUUAAGUCAUCAACCGCCUCAUUCUUCCUUCGAUCAAGGUUAUCCACCUGAUAACCCUUGAAGUGACCAGCAAUAUUAUCAACCACCUGGCAAUAAGCCACCAUGAGCGGGUCUUUGGAAUCUCAUGUGCCUGAGACUUGCUCAGCCACAAGGUCUGAGUCGCCCAGACACCUGACCCGACUUAAAUUCAUCUCCUUGGCCAUACGAAGGUCGUGGAGUAAAGCCUCAUAUUUAGCUGCACUGUUAGUACAAUGAAACAUUAGCCUUAAAACAUAACAAAAAAUUUCACCUUGUGGGGAAUUCAAAAUAACUCCAGCCCCCGAGCCUUCCAACUGCCUGGACCCACCAAAGUGGAUCGUCCAAUAUGUGUUAUCAGGCUUCUCCUCAGGUGUCUGCAACUCUAUCCAGUGAUUGAUGAAAUCCACCAGAGCCUGAGAUUUGAUGUCUAUUCUUGGCACAUAUUUCAAACCAUGAGGUCCAAGUUCAAUUGCCAACUUAGCAACCCAGCAUGUGGCCUCCCUAUUUUGAAUAAUGUCUCCUAAGGGAGCAGAACUGACCACAGUAAUAGGAUGACUAAGAAAAUAAUGCUUCAGCUUGCGACUCGCCAAGAACAUCCCAUAUACCAGUUUCUGCCAAUGUGCAUACCGUUGCUUGGACUCAAUCAACACCUCACUGACAUAAUAAGCCGGCCACUGGACAGGGUACUCCUUACCCUCCUCCUUGCGCACCACAACAAUUGCCGCACUGACAGCCUUGCUAUUAGCCGCCACAUACAGGAGAAAAGGCUCUUUUUCAAUCGGAGCCACAAGGACGGGCGGCUCAGCUAACUAUUUUUUGAGUGCCUCAAACGCCUUAUCAGCAGCGUCACUCCAGACAAAGUGAUAUGUCUUCUUCAUCAUCUGCUAUAAAGGAAUUGCCUUUUCUCCUAGGCGGCUUAUAAACCGGCUCAGAGCCGCGAUACGACCCGCCAGGCGCUGGACAUCAUUGACACACGCCAGCUUAGCCAAUGAAGUGAUGGCCUUAAUCUUCUUGGGUUAGCCUCAAUGCCCCUCUCUGAGACCAGAAAACCCAAUAGUUUACCUGCUGGCACACCAAAGACACACUUGGUCGGGUUAAGCAUCAUCUUAUACACCCGGAGAUUGUCAAAGGUCUCCUUCAAAUCAUCCAGCAGAGUCUCGUUCUUUCUGGAUUUGACCACAAUAUCAUCCACAUAAGCAUGCACAUUACUCCCAAUCUGACUGUGAAUGCAAUUUUGAACACAGCGUUGAUAAGUCGCCUGAUCACUCUAAAGCCCAAAAGGCAUUGAAACAUAGUAGAAGACUCCAAUGGGGGUGAUAAAAGACGUCUUCUCUUGGUCUUUAACUGCCAUCUUGAUCUGAUGAUAACCAUAAUAAGAAUCCAGGAAGCAUAAGCUCUCACAACCAGCUGUGGCAUCAAUAAUCUGGUCGAUACGAGGGAGAAAAAACGGGUCAGUUGGACAAGCUUUGUUAAGAUCGGUGUAGUCAACACACAUACGCCAUGUGCCAUUCUAUUUGAGUACAAGCAUAGGGUUAGCCAACCACUCAGGGUGAAAGACUUCCACAAUAAACCUAGCUACCAAGAGCCGGGUUACCUCCUCUCCAAUGGCCUUACGUCGCUCUUCAUUGAAACGAUGAAGGAAUUGCUUGAAUGGCUUAAACUUAGGAUCCACAUUAAGGGUGUGCUCAGUGAAUUCCCUCAGUACACCCGGCAUGUCAGAAGGUUUCCAUGCAAAGAUGUCCCGAUUCUCACAGAUGAACUCAAUGAGCGUGCUUUCCUAUUUAGGAUCCAUAUUAGCCCCCACUGUGAACUGCUGAGACGAGGCGCCAGGGACGAAGUCAACCUCUUUAGCGUCAUCAGCCGACUUAAACUUCAAACAAGGGUCUCGCUCACAAGCGGGCUUCUUUAAAGGGGUCAUAUUAGCCGGGUCAACAUUGUCCUUCUAAAAUUUAAGCUCCUCCGUGGCACAGGCCGACUCAGCAUAGGCAUCAUCUCCUUCCUCACAUUCCAAGGCAAUCUUGCGAUCACCAUGGACCAUAAUGGUACCCUUAAUCCCUGGCAUCUUAAGCUACAAACAAGGCAUGAUAACGAAUCUUGAUCUUGACCACUUCAAACCAUAUCGUCUCUAUUCUGUGGUCAUAGUCAUCACCAAAACCCACCUCCAGGGCAAUCUUUCCAAUAGGAUACACUGACUUACCAGGCACCACGCCAUGAAAAACUGUAGAAGACGGCUAAAGAUCCUUGUCAGUUAAGUUCAUCCAGCGGAAGGUGUCAUAAUACAAUAUGUUGAUAAUGCUACCACUAUCCAUGAGUACUUUAGUGAAUUUAUAACCCCUGACCUAAGGGGCUACCACCAAUGCCAGCUGACCUAGAUUGUCAACCUGGGGCAGGUGAUCCUCCUGACUCCAUGUGAUUGGGUAUUCUGACCACCGCGUGUAUCAAGGUACCGCUGGCUCAACUGUCCUGACCGGGCGCUUAUGAACCUUCUGAUUUCGCUUGUAAAGACUUGUGGUGUAAACAUGAUACUGGCCACUGUUGACAUGCUUUGGAUAACUCUAAUAUCCUAACUGAUGCUGUUGGUUACCCAGAUUAGAUUGUUAGUUAUAACCACCCUGACUGCCCUGUCCUUGAUAACCAGGAUUUGAGCCGCUACCACCAAAGCCAUGCCCUUGUGAGCUGGAACCUGACCCGCCAGGCAGGCCAUUGUUGUUACCAUGAUUUUGACUAAAGUUGGAAUUCCUGUAUUCUCGCAUGAUAAAACAAUCUUUCCAAGCAUGAGUCAUCGGCAUAUUAGGUAUAUUGUGUUUUAGGAAGGCUCAUUCAUCAUUGCCUCAAUAUUAAAGUUCUUCCCUCUGAAGGAUGGCUAACCAUUACCAUUGCGGCGCUGUUUUUUAUAUCAAGUGUUGGUGUUGGCUACAAGAUCUGACCCGACAUCGGGUUGUCUGCGCUUACCACCAUUACCCUGGUUGUUUCCAUUGUGCCCUGCCAUAUUCUGUUGCUGACCAUUACCAUUACCACCUUUCUUUCCCUUGUUGGAUUUCUCAUCAUCAGAUCCAGGAUCUUUCGUGGUAUUAGAGUCAGCAUACUUUAUGAGAGCCGCCAUGAGCUCACCCAUGUCAUUAUAGUGACGUUUGAGCUGCCCAAGCUUCUGCUUAGGGGGGGGGCUAAAAUGACAGUUCUUCUCCAAAACCAAAACCGUUUGACCUGACGCAAUACUAUCCCAAGAGUGAAUAAUAGCAGAGACCCGACAGACCCAAUGAUGGGCCAACUCAUCCUCACGCUGCACACAAUUAUUAAGGUCAAUAAUCAUCAGAGGCUACUUGCAUGUUCCUUUAGAGUUUUGGAAUAAUCGUGCUUUCAACUCUGCCCAUGAACUAAUGGAAUUAGCAGGCAAUCCUUUUAACCAGGUCCGAGCUGGCCCAUCCAACACGUAGUAAAAUAUUUAGCACAUACACCGUCAUUGACAUCCAACAUCUCCAUGGCUAACUCAUAACUCUCAAUCUAGGCCUCAGGGGGGAGAUCAACUGUAUGGUGGGCGCCAACUGUCAUGACUUUGUCACGACAGAUGUCCUUGUGAAAGGACUUAAGUGUGGAGCCAUCGCAACGUAGGUUAGCUUAAAGGGGUUGAUAGGGAUGAGAGACACGAGAUUACCCAGGUUCGGCCCCUCACAACAAGGUAAAAUCCUACGUCCCGCUUCGUGCUGUAUUGAUUGGAUCUUGAUUACAAGGGAGCGGAAUCACUUGACCUAACUAUCGAUUGAUUGUUUCUUAAGUUAACCCGCCACAGGGUCAAGCCUUUAUAUACACAGGUCGAGGUCCUGGGCUUACAAGAGUCCAAGCCGGAUCACACAAUGUGUCAAACUCGGGUUCUAAUUCACCUUGGCUUUCUAGGCAAGCCACCAUCGGGCGGCUCACACCUCCGGGUCAUAGCAUCAGUGCCGGGUCUUGGGCCUUCAACAGGCCUGCCUCAUGAGCAGCCUCAAGUAUUCAUAUCUUCUCUUCUUGGGCCUAUCUAGGCCUUCUCUUGUUGAGUCGCCAACAGUGUAACCCGGCCCCUCCUGGGCGGGUCACACCGCGGGGUUAUAUCCCCAACAAAUGCAGAAUUUGUUUGUGCGCUGCUUGUCGACCUUGGACCUUGUCAUAGACACAUUGGUGGUGUUCUUGUAGGUUUAGCCCGACACACUGAUGUUGAAGGCGGUCAACAUCUUGGAGUCGUCGUGCUCAUUGAGGGAAAAAUUACUGAUGUAUAUCUUGAACUGUGAGGUGGCCGUCCUGUUGUUCUGCGUGAUCGACGACAGCAUGCCACCAUGGUGACAGUUGGUGGACUUCUUGUUGUGCGACGUGCCGGGCGGCAGAUCCACCAUGACCUGUUUCUUCUCGCAGCAAUGUAGAGUGGCACCAUUGGCAGCAUGGAAGCGGUGCAGUUGCCCUGAUUUGUCGUAUCGACUCCAGUCAUGAUCGGGAUGAACUCGGGCUCGGCUCAUACCCAACUCAGCCGCUACCCCGAGCGCUCGAUGUGGUGGUACAGUUGGUAAUUGUGGACAGUGACCCUUACCUGCACACAUGAAUUCGAUUGAUGUUUCAGUGGCACAAACACCAUGAUCAGAUGGGAUUUUCUGUCCAUGGAGCAGAGUGGAGUGGAAUUUGAAGUUAGCCCAUUUUGGCUCACCCCGUGUAAGGGAUACCUGGGGGGUGUGCAAUGAGCUACCAGCAAACCCGGAGGACAAAUAGCACAUGAACAUGGACAUGACAAACUAUUUCAAUGCCAUCGAUCUCAUGCUAAAGGGAUUCUUCAUGAAGUGGCGCCUGACAAGAAGAACGUGCGCAACUUGGCACCUGGUCUAUGUAGGUAGGAGAUGAGACAAGGGGAAGAGGGAUGGCAGGAGGAUUGGGUGUACAAGAAAGAGGACAUGGAUUGCUGGAUUGGCACACAUAUAAUCCGAUCAAUAUUUAUUUGAACAAUGAUAUGUAUGAUGAAGGCAUGACUCUUCUGGUAACUGGCACUCGAGUUUCUAAGAGUUUGUUUAACACACUGCUACUUCUUGAGCUUGCGUUGAUUUUUCCCUUGAAGAGGAAAGGGUGAUGCAGCAAAGUAGAGAUAAGUAUUUCCCUCAGUUAAGAACCAAGGUAUCAAUCCAGUAGGAGGUACAAGCAAGUCCCCAAUAUAUGCACUUGCACAAACUAACAAACACUUGCACAUAACACGAAAAAGGGGUUGUCAAUCCCUCCAUGGUCACUUGCAAGAGUGAGAUCUAAUAGAGAUAGAUAUAAAAGAUAAUUAAAAGGGAAAAUAAAGUAAAUACAAAUAAAGUGCAGCAAGGUAUUUUUGGGUUUUCGGUUUUAUAGAUCUGAAAAUAUAUGAUGGAAAAUAGACCCGGAGCCAUAGGUUUCACUAGAGGCUUCUCUCUCGAAGAAAGCAUACGGUGGGUAAACAAAUUACUUUUGAGCAAUUGAUAGAAGCACAAAGUUAUGACGAUAUCUAAGGAAAUGAUUAUGAAUAUAGGCAUCGCGUCUAUGACAAGUAGACCGACUCGUGCCUGCAUCUACUACUAUUACUACACACAUCAAUCAACUCUUGCCUGCAUCUAGAGUAUUAAGUUCAUAAGAACAAAGUAACGCCUUAAGCAAGAUGACAUGAUGUAGAGGGGUAGAUCCAAUCAAUAUGGUAAAACCCCCAUAUUUUUAUCCUUAAUGGCAAGAAUACAAUACGUGCCUCGCUACCCCUACUGUCACAGGGUGAGAACACCACAAGAUUGAAUCCAUCAGAAAGCACCUCUCCCAUUGAAAGAAAAAACAAACUAGUAGGCCAAACCAAAUCGAUAGAUCGGAGAGAAAUACAAAGCUAUCUUAAUCAUUCAUAAAAGAGUUUAGAGAAGACUCAAAUAAUGUUCAUAGAUAAUCUGAUCAUAAAUCCAUAGUUCAUCCGAUCUCAGCAAACGCACCGCAAAAGAAGAUUACAUCGAAUAGAUCUCCAAGAACAUCGAGGAGAACAUUGUAUUGAAUAUCAAAGAGAGAGAAUAAGCCAUCUAGCUACUAGCUAUGAAACCAUAGGUCUGUGGUAAACAACUCACACAUCAUUGGAAGGUCAGCAAGGUUGGUGUAGAGGCCCUCCGUGAUCGAAUCGCCCUCCAGCAGAGUACUGGAAAAGGACCCAAGAUGGGAUCUCACGAGAAUAGAAGCUUGCGGCGGCGGAAAAGUAUUUUUGGUGUGCCCUUAGAUGUAAGGGGAAUAUUUGGGAAUUUAUAGUGCUGGAGUUAGGGUUAGGAGAGUGCUACUUCUUGAGCUUGCAUUGAUUUUUCCCUUGAAGAGAAUAGGGUGAUGCAGCAAAGUAGAGAUAAGUAUUCCCCUCAGUUAAGAACCAAGGUAUCUGAAUCCAUUAUGAGGCAUAAGCAAGUCUCCAGUAUAUGCACCUGGACAAACUAACAAACACUUGCACACAACGCGAAAAAGGGGUUGUCAACCCGUUCAUGGUAAUGAACAAGAGUGAGAUCUAAUAGAGAUAGGUAUAAAAGAUAAAUAAAAGAGCAAACAAAAGUAAAUAUAAAUAAAUUGCAACAAGGUAUUUUUGGUUUUUUUAUUUAUAGAUCUGAAAAUAUAUGAUGGAAAAUAGACACGGGGGCCAUAGGUUUCACUAGAGGAUUCUUUCUUGAAAUAAGACAUACGGUGGGUAAACAAAUUACUGUUGAGCAAUUGAUAGAAAAGUGCAUCGUUAUAACGAUAUCCAAAGCAAUGAUCAUGAAUAUAGGCAUCACGUCCGUGACAAGUAGAACGAAGCGAUUCUGCAUUUAGUACUAUUGCUCCACACAUCGACCGCUAUCUAGCAUGCAUCUAGAGUAUUAAGUUCAUAAGAACUGAGUAACACCUUAAUUAAGAUGACAUUUUGUAGAGGGAUAAACUUAAGCAAUAUGAUAUAAAUCCCAUCUUUUUACCCUUGAUGGCAACAAUACAAUAUGACACCGCAAGAUUGAACCCAAAACUAAGCACCUCUACCAUUGCUAGAAAAACCAAUCUAGUUGGCCAAACCAAACUGAUAGUUCAAAGUGAAAUUCAAAAAUAUCUUAAUCAUGCAUAAAAGAGUUCAGAGAAGACUCAAAUAACAUUCAUAGAAAAUCUGAUCAUAAAUCCAAAAUUCAUCGGAUCUCAACAAACGCACUUCAAAAGAAGAUUACAUGGAAUAGAGUCUCCAAGAACAUUGAGGAGAACACUGUAUUGAAGAUCAAAGAAAGAGAGAGAGAGAGAGAGAGAGAGAGAAGAACCCAUCUAGCUACUAGCUAUGGACAUGUAGGUUUGUGGUAAACUACUCAUGCUUCAUCGAAAAGGCAGCAAGGUUGAUGUAGAGGCCCUCUAUGAUCGAAUCCCUCUCCGGCAGAGUGCUGGAAAAGGCCCCAAGAUGGGAUCUCACGAGAACAGAGGCUUGCGGCGGCGGAAAAGUAUUUUGGUGGAUGUCGGUGUCAAAACCGGCGGAUCUUGGGUAGGGGGUCCCGAACUGUGCGUCUAAGACUAAUUGUAACAGGAGGCAGGGGACACGAUGUUUACCCAGGUUCGGCCCCUCUCGAUGGAGGUAAAACCCUACUUCCUGCUUGACUGAUCUUGAUGAUAUGAGUAUUACAAGAGUUGAUCUACCACGAGAUCAGAGAGGCUAAACCCUAGAAGCUAGCCUAUGGUAUGAUUGUUGUUGUGUCCUACGGACGAAACCCUCCAGUUUAUAUAGACACCGGAGGGGGCUAGGGUUACACAAAGUCGGUUUAUAGAGGAGGAGAUCUACAUCCGAAUCGCCAAGCUUGCCUUCCACGCCAAGGAGAGUCCCAUUCGGACACGGGAUGAAGUCUUGAGUCUUGUAUCUUCAUGGUCCAACAGUCCGGCCAAAGUAUAUAGUCCGGCUGUCCGGAUACCCCCUUCUCCAAGACUCCCUUAGUAGCCCCCAAACCAGGCUUCAAUGACGAUGAGUCCGGUGCGCAGAUUGUCUUCGGCAUUGCAAGGCGGGUUCUUCUCUGAAUCCGGUGCACCCGUCAUAGCGAAUAGUGUCCGGCCUCCCAGUAAGGUUGUACUGCUCGGCUUCUGUGCUUCAAUAAUGGCCAUCUCCACGUGUCGAUCGAAGACGAGGGGCCGGGGCAUUUUUACAUUGCCACCCUAAUCCCGUAGGUGAGUCGUCUAUUUUAGGUGACGGGGAUCCUCAGAUCCAAAUCACACCAUCUUACCCCAAGCAAGCAUUCCGCAAAGCGCGCCCAAAAGAGGCCAUUCCAUCAUGACCGGUCGCCGCAGCCCCGCUCGCCGCUCCCCCAGCUCGAAGCCAGGGGAUUGGGAAAAGUGUUCCGUCCCUCACAGCCGCCUAAUCUAGCUGCAGACCAAAGGGUUCCUUCCGCCCGCAUACAUGGUCCCCGUCUGAUCCGUAUUAGCCACCUAUAAUGGUGGGGAGCAAGCGGAGAGAUUUCCUAACCCAUCUCGGGGGGAGCGGGUAUGCCUAGUCCCAUAUCUGCUAAGAGGCGUCAGGUUUCCAAUCCACCCGUUCCUCCGCGGGCUCCUGGAGUUCUACGGUCUCUAGUUGCAUAGUCUUACCCCGCCUCCAUAGUGCACAUUGCGGGCUACGUUGCCCUCUGCGAGCUGUUCCUGGGCUGCGAAGCUCAUUUUGAGCUAUGGAAGAGGUUAUUUUGCCUCGUCCCCCGCAACCAGGAGGGGUCUAUAUAUCAAGUGGGCGGGGCGAAAUAUGGCGCAUCGCCCAGACGGAUACCUGUCCGGUACUGCCAAGAAGGCGUCCGAAGACUGGCCCUCGGAGUGGUUUUAUGUUGAUGGCGUUCCCCUGCCGGACCCAGUCCGGAUGGGCCUUCCUGAGUUUACUAAUACUCCGCAGAAGAAACGCCAAAGCUGGCGCCCUCGGAGCCCCAGGAGGAAGAAAACAGGGAAGUCUUCUAUCUGAUGAGCCGGAUACAAACACUGGCCAAAUCAGGAUUGACAAUAAUCGAAGUUAUGUCAAUAUGCAUAAUAAGGGGAGUGCAGCCACUUCAACAUAGGGGAAAACCCAUGUGGCACUUCAAUGGAGAAGACGAUGCCUCCCGCUAUGGUUGCAAAGGUCCGGACUCCGCCACAUCUCUGGCAAGGAUACUAUCUGAAUUGUACAAGGGAGAAGAAGAGGAGUUCGUCCGCAUCAAACCGCAGGAUGGAUUUUCCAUGAACAACCCCCGAAGCUAGGUAAGUGGUCGUCUUUUACUCAACUCUAUCUGUUCUUACCUUCUUUGCCACAAUUAUUUACCUUGCUGUUUCAAAACGGGAACUAAGGAGGGCCGUGAAAGAGUUCAACAGCCCCCCUCCGCAGCCGGAGGAUCCCGGCCGGGCUCUCGACCCCGGAUUUAAAGAAGAUCCGGACAUAUCAGUGGCAUUCAUCGACGGGAGUUUCUAUCAGGCGAGCAGUGAUGGCUCUUUGGUGGCCACCAUCGCGGAUUAUCCCGGACUGCUUCCCGUGUCGCAUGUAAGUAAUGUCAAACUUCCGAAAGGAUUCCUUUGCUUUGCCGUACCUUAUGAUCGCACGCCGUGUUUUUAUAGAAACAGCGGUCGGGAUGCCGUGCAGAACCCACGGGGGCCUCUCAGCAAGAGGUGCCUAGACAAGGUAGGCUUAAAAGGAAGGCGGUUAGGAGCGACACACAAGCUCAGAGGUAUUCAUUGAACUUGUCCCGUGGUCUAUUUGGUCUAUCUGUCGAGGCAUGACGGCUUUGAUUAUGUCCUGUCAGGAAGCGCAGGACUAUGCCCGGGGACCCUUCCGGCCAUGCUUCUGGCAGCCGGAUUCCUGGACCAGAUUCACAGGUGGAGGCUGAUGCGGGGACAGUGCCAGACUGUCCUCCUGUGGAGGACACGGAUAUGCUUUCCGCCACAAAUUCAGAAGUGGAGAGCGCCAUGAAUCACCGGCGCCGACGGGCCGUACUCCGCGGGGGUAUUUUUACCGAAGAGGCGUUCAAUGCCUUCAAUUCCGGACAUGCCUAUAUCCACGCUGCUCAAGAUGGACUUGCCAAAGCAACGGACCAGUAUGUGAAGGACAUACGGGUAAGAGAAUUUAAUAAGUAUGUGUAGUGGUAGCCCCUGAGACUUGAAAUAGUUGGCACAACUGAUUUAAGGAUCAUUAAAUGCACAGGUUCUUGUAGAGAAGAAUACCCAGUUGUCUCAAGAGCUGGAGGAGUGUAAGGCCCAGAUGAAGGCUAAUGCAGCCGAACAAGAGGGAUCCAAAAAGAUUUCUUCUGGUAAUAAUUUCCUCUACCAGUUUGCGUCUUCGGCAUAGUUUAUAAAUCUGACGAAGUAUUCGACAGACAAUGCCGGAGGAAAUCCAGAGACUGUGGGGGAUGAUGAGCUGCAUCUGCGAAGUCAGUUGAAGGCGGGCGAACGCAUGCUGACGCAAUCUAUUCAGGAGAGGAUAAAGCUGCAAGAUGCUAAUCUCCAACUGAGCGUCGAACUGAAAGAUGUUCGGGCUCAGCUCAUGGACUCCAUGAAGGAGAACCGUAGGCUUCGACGCGGACACGGCAUUUAUAGUAAGUGCUUGAACAAACUGUGGUAUAGUUCGGCGAGGAGGCGUAUUGACAGAGUUAUGUCUGCAGGUAUGUUGACAGGACACCCUGGAGAGGAGAUGCCCGGUUCCGCAGGCGAUAUGCUGCAGGAGCUUUGACAACUGCAUGAGCGAGCUCGGCAGGUGAUGUAGGGUAUUGCCCAGGCUUUGUGGUCGUCCGCUUUCCUGUCGGGAGGUAUGAGCGAACUUGUAGAGAUGCUCAAAGGAGCACGGCGGCGCUUCCAUUUAUGGAAGGUGUCAGCUUGCCGGCAAGGUGCGAGAGAAGCUUGGGCCAUGGUGAAGAGGCGAUAUGCCAAGGCUGACCCUAACCAUAUGGCCGAAGUUGGACCGGCUGGGCCAGAUGGGCAAGAGAUACCCGCUAGUUUGGUGUAUGAUCAAGUAGCGUUAGCUGCAAAGUAUUCCCAGCAGGAUUGUAAGUUAGACAGCCUAUUGGAUGGUAUAGAGGAAGAGUACGGCCAGUCGAUAUGAUUAUGUAAUUUGAACGGGCUCAUGUACUCCCUAGCUGGAUUGAAAAUCAUUUGUCAUGGCGGACCUUUUCGCUUCAGCCCCCGGAUCUGAUAGUCCGGGGUGUGUCCGAAUACCCGCACAGUUAUGAAAAAACGGGGUAUGCGUGGAGACCAGGCGUAGGGGUCAUAAGUGCCUGAACAGACAAGUACCCAACUAGUUAUGUUAUAUUACAUGGAUAGUAAGAAACAUCUUCCAGAUAGAAUAGUUCCGUUAAGGGUUCCUUUCUCUAGGUACGCAUGCAUUGAUGUGCAUGUCCGAUCUGCGAACAGAAGCGCAGGAAACAAAACAUCUGGGUUUUUUCAUUGUUAUGAACGAGGACAUCUUUUAUUCAUCAACUGAAUAUUCCCUUAAGAACACUAGCUUUCGGCUUCACCCAGUCUGAGGUACACAUCCGGCUCAACCGGCAGUAACAAUUGCAGAGGUGCUCCCCUUAUGCCCUAGCCGAAUUAAUGGGAAUGUAGGGCAUAAAUACAAGAGCCAGGCAACCCAGCAUGGCCAAAACUUAAGUCAUAUCGAUGCAUAUAAUGGUGAAGGAAAGUCACAUAUGGAAAGAAAAAUGCAUAUGUGGCUGGCAAGAAGCCAUUAAAAGUGGUUAUAUUUAGCUUCCGAAUAGGAAGCCCCCAGGUAUAGUGUGCACGCAUAGUGCAGCCGGAAUGCUCAGGGCAUCCGUACAGUUUUAAGGCUGUGAAAAGAAAGAAAAAGAAAAGGGGAGAGAAAGGAGGAAAGGGAACAUAAUUGAAGAAGCGGAGUGAAGGAGAUGAACACUGGGUUCAGCACUAGGCGUAGAAUCUCCGGAGUCUGGCCACGUUCCAUGGGUUUAGCUCGAGUCUGUUAUCAGAUGCGUUGCGCAGACGGUACGCUCCUCCAGUGAGAACUUUACCAAUGAUGAAGGGACCCUCCCACUUGGGUUUGAGUUUGUCCUUCUUCUCAGGUAGGCAUAGAACGAGUUCGCCAAUGUUAUAAGUUUUGGCGCGUACUUCUCUGCUUUGAUACCUUCGAGCAUGUUGCUGGUAGAAUACAGGAACGGGCUUUAGCAACAUCACGCUCCUCCUCCAAAGCAUCUAAGUAGUCCUGCCGGUCUAACUCGGCCUCCUUCUCUUGAUACAUGCGCACGCGAGGUGAGUCAUGAAUUAUGUCGCAGGGUAGUACUGCUUCUGCGCCGUAUACCAUAAAAAUGGUGUGUAUCCGGUAGUGCCAUUCGGCGUGGUCUGCAGCCCCCAGAGUACGGAGUCGAGUUCCUCGACCCAAUGCGUGUCUGAUUCCUUCAAGGAUCGCACUAGUUUGGGUUUGAUGCCGCUCAUGAUAAGACCAUUUGCAUGUUCAACUUGACCGUUUGUUUGGGGGUGAUAGAUAGAGGCGUAGUCGAGCUUAAUGCCUAUUUUGACGCAACAGGCUUUUACCUCUUCGGCUGUAAAAUUGGAGCCAUUGUCCGUGAUUAUACUGUGGGGGACACCGUAGCAGUGUACAACCUCCGAUAUGAAGUCUAUCACUAGUCCGGAUUCGGCCGUUUUAACUGGUUUGACUUCUAUCCAUUUGGUGAACUUGUCCACCAUGACCAAUAAGUAUCUUUCUUAUGGCUUCCCCCUUUAAGGGGUCCUACCAUAUCCAGCCCCCAGACCGCGAAGGGCCAAGUUAUGGGGAUUGUUUCGAGAGCAGUAGGGUUCAUAUGGCUCUGAUUGGCAAAUAGUUGAGAACCAACGCAAUGUUGGACGAGUGCCUGUGCGUCCGCCCGGCCUGUCGGCUAGUAGAAUCCUGUCCGAAAGGCCUUGCUCACGAGAGCUCGGGCUGCCGUGUGGUGCCCGCCUAGUCUGGAAUGGAUUUCGGCUAAGAGCUGCCGCCCUUCCUCUUCGGAGAUGCAUCGUUGGAGCACUCCGGUGGAGCUCUUCUUGUAGAGUUCUCCUUCAUGGACUUUGUAGGCUUUACAGCGCCGCACAAUACAACGUGCCUCAUUUUGGUCCUCGGGGAGCUCUUGCCUAUUGAGGUAGGCCAAGAAGGGCUCGGUCCACGGGGCGAUGACAGCCAUUAUUUCGUGGGUCGAAGAUGUUAUUGCGUUGGCCGAGCCUCCGAUUACGUCUGAAGGUUCAGAAUCUGGGGUUGUGUUUGGAGCCGGACUAAUAGUACUGGACUCCCCUUCCCAUGCCACGGACGGCUGGAACAACCUUUCUAAGAAGAUAUUAGGUGGGACGGGGUCGCAUCUAGCGCCAAUGCGGGCGAGGAUAUCGGCCGCUUGAUUAUUUUCUCUGACCACAUGGUGGUAUUCGAGCCCCUCGAACCGAGCUUACAUCUUGAGGACGACAUUGCGAUAAGCCGCCAUCUUCGGGUCCUUGGCGUCAAGGUCUCCAUUUACCUGAGAUAUUGCGAGGUUUGAGUCCCCGUGCACUUUGAGGCAUUGAAUGCCCAUGGAGACCGCCAUCCAAAGACCAUGCAAUAGAGCCUCGUAUUCGACGGCAUUGUUGGAAUCUGUAUAUAGUAUUUGAGGACAUACUGUACCGUAUCCCCGGUGGGGGAUGUCAGGACGACACCUGCUCCCAAUCCAACUAGCAUUUUGGAUCUCUCGAAAUGCAUGAUCCAAUUUGAGUACACGCCGUACUCUUUAGGGAGUUCGGCCUCUGUCCAGUCGGCGACAAAGUCAGCUAGUACUUGCGACUUAAUGGCCCGCCAUGGUUUGUAUGUUAUGUCGAUCGGAAGGAGCUCAAUAGCCCAUUUAGCAAUUCGGCCUGUUGCGUCGCAGUUAUUUGUUAUGUCAUUGAGUGGUACUUAGGAGGCCAUCGUAAUUGAACACUCCUGAAAGUAGUGUCGUAGUUUCCGGGAUGCCAUGAAAACCGCAUACGCUAUCUUUUUAUAGUGCGGGUACCGAGAUUUACAUGGAGUGAGGACCGUGGACACGUAAUAUACUGUCUUUUGGAGCGGGAACUUGUGUCCGUCUGCCUCUCGUUCGACGACGAGCAUUGCGCUCACAACUUGGUUUGUUGCGGCUAUGGAUAAUAGCAUGGGUUCGCCAAUGUUUGGCGCAGUUAGGACUGGGUUGGUGGCCAAGAGUGCCUUUAUUUCUUCCACUCCGGCCAUGGAUGCAUCUGUACACUCGAAGUGUUCGGUGCGUCUAAGAAGGCGAUACAGGGGUAGUCCCUUUUCUCCUAAGCGGGAGAUAAAGCGGCUUAAGGCAGCCACACAUGCAGUUAGUUUCUGGAUCUGGUUGAGGUCUGUUGGGGUAGCCAACUGUGACAGAGCUCGGAUAUUUUCUGGAUUGGCUUCAAUUCCUCUAUUGGAAACGAUGAAGCUGAGCAACUUUCCGGAGGGUACUCCGAAGACACACUUCUCCGGGUUGAGCUUGAUGUCGUAUGUUCGGAUAUUAUCGAACGUAAGCCUCAAGUCGUCUAUUAAGGUUUCGACGCGUCUUGUUUUGACGACCAUGUCGUCUAUGUAGGCCUCGAUUGUCUUGCCGAUUUGUUUUUCCAGGCAUGUCUGAAUCAUGCAUUGGUAGGUUGCGCCGACGUUUUUUAGCCCGAAGGGCAUGGUGUUGAAACAGAAGGGGUCGUACGGAGUGGUGAAGGUUGUUGCAGCCUGGUCGGACUCCGCCAUCUUUAUUUCAUGGUAUCCGGAGUAUGCCUCGAGGAAACACAAUGAGUCGUGUCCUGCGGUGGCAUCGAUUAUUUGAUCAAUGCGGGGGAGGGGGAAGGGAUCCUUAGGGCAAGAUUUAUUGAGGUCUUUGAAAUCGACACACAAGCGCUAGGAUUUGUCCUUUUUUGGUACCAUUACCAAGUUUGCUAGCCAAUCCGAAUGUUUGAUGUCUCUGAUGAAUCGGCCCUCGAGUAGCUUGGCUAGCUCUUCCCCCAUGGCUUGUCGCUUAGGCUUGGAGAAGCGUCUAAGAGUCUGCUUGACUGGCUUGUAUCCUUUUAGUAUGUUGAGGUUGUGUUCAGCCAGCCUACAUGGGAUGCCCGACAUGUCUAAAGGAUACCAGGCGAAAAUGUCCCAAUUUUCAUGCAGGAAGUCUCGCAGUGCGGCGUCUAUUGUGGGGUUCAGCUGUGUCCCGAUGGAAGCGGUCUUCGAAGGGUCCGUUGGGUGGACCUCGAAUUUGACUAUCUCGAUCGUCCGCUGGUUUGAAGGAGGUGGAUUUAGGUCACUUGUCGAGUAUCACGUCGUCUCUGUCUACUGUUGCUCGUAGUGUUGUCAGUUCUUUGUCCGCGAGGGCUUCUGACAAUGCCUCCAGGGCGAGGGCGGCGGUUUUAUUUUUGGCGUGGAGUGCGACGUCUGGAUUGCUAGCUAGAGUGAUGAUUCCAUUUGGCCCGGGCAUUUUGAGCUUCAUGUACCCGUAGUGGAGUAUAGCCUGAAAGCUCGUGAAAGCGUCCCGCCCCAAGAGGGCGUGGUAUCCACUGCUGAACGGGGCCACUUGGAAUGUAAUUUCUUCGGACCCGUAAUUCUCCGGCGUGCCGAAUACCACAUCUAGUGUGAUUUUUCCCGCGCAUUGUGCCUCCCGACUAGGGAUGAUUCCCCUGAAGGUCGUGCUGCUCCAUUCAAUGCGGCUCUUGUCAAUUUCCAUCUUGUUAAGUGUUUCCUCAUAGAUGAGGUUUAGUCUGCUUCCACCGUCCAUGAGCACUUUAGUAAGUCUGAAGCCAUCCAUGAUUGGGCUAAAGACCAAAGCGGCUGGUGCUCGGACUAUUCGGAAUUGAGGUUCGUCACUGGCAUUGUAAGUUAUAGCCGUGUCGUUCCAUGGGUUUAUUGUUGCCACGUGGCAAACUUCUGCGAGGCUGCGCUGAGCUCGCUUGUGCCUAUUAUUUGAGGCGAAAGUCUCGAAGACUGUAAAUACCGUAUUGUUGUUUCCGGCGGGAUGUUGCUCUGCUGUAUGUUUUAUGAGGAGAUCCUCGCUGCUCUUUGCUACCUGCCGGAGUAUCCAACAUGCUCAGGCUAUGCGUUGGCAUAGUAUCCGGUGUGCUGUGAAUCUUGCACGGCCCGUUUAGCCAUCCUUCCAAUACGGCUCCGUGCCUUACGGCGGGCUUUAUUUUCUUGGUACUUGAAUCGGGUGACUUACGAGAGUUUACCCUUUUAGUCGGACAGAGGAUUUGGCUAGAGCCGGAUUGUCCCAGAAACUUGUUUGGGUUUUCCAGGUGCUUUCCAUCGCGUAGUAUUUUUCCACUAUGGCUGCUAAGUCAGCGAAGUGUACUAUUUCACGGCGACUUAUAGCAUUGAGGAUCCCUUUGUCCGUGCAAUUUUUACAAAAGAGGGAGAUUUCAUCUGCCUCGCGACAGUCCAUGACCCUGUUUAUCACAAGGAGGAAUCUGGCCCAGUAAUGAUGUACUGUUUCUUGGGGCUCUUGUCUGAUAUGGGAAAGAUUGGAUAAAUCUGGGUGGGUGGGAAGAUUUGAAUCCGAAUUCCGACCCAAUCUGGGACCCAGGGGCAAAGGAGCUUCCGAGCUUAACGGCUCGAGUUCUGGGGUGUUGCCUGAUUUCUUUGGCCCGCCCCGCGAUCCUGAGUCCGGGACCGGGGUCAUGUCCUCCCGCGAGCGGGUGUCCGGCUCGGAGAGCUCGGAAAUCCGGACAUAGUUCAUCCUCAUAGUGGAGGGAGAAUUAGGAUGAUGCUCUUCCACUACCGCUAUCUCGUGGGUGACCGGUGGAGAGUGAAUCUCCCUUUGAUCAGGUUUAAGACCAAUCCGGUCAUAGUCCGUAGCGACGCACAGGGCGGCGAUGCGAUCCAAGAGCUCAUUGAGGGAGAAGAGCUCCAUUGGGUCCAUCUGUUCGGGGAAUUCCAAAUCGACAUGGACGCUAUUUUUAAUGACCUGAGAAGUCAUUGUCGGUGCAACAGCCGAUCGGGCGGUCAUAACGAAGCGGCCCAGGCAGAGGGUUUGGCCUAAAGCCAGGGCUCCCCAGGAGGUGAUGUUGUCUUUGACAACGAGACGAGCUAUCAGGCCUUAUUGUGAUGGCACAGUGGAACUCUCAAUGAAAGCACCAAUGUCGGUGUCAAAACCGGUGGAUCUCGGGUAGGGGGUCCCGAACUAUGCGUCUAAGACUAAUGAUAACAGGAGGCAGGGGACAUGAUGUUUACCUAGGUUCGGGCCCUCUCGAUGGAGGUAAAACCCUACUUCCUGCUUGAUUGAUCUUGAUGAUAUGAGUAUUACAAGAGUUGAUCUACCACGAGAUCAGAGAGGCUAAACCCUAAAAGCUAGCCUAUGGUAUGAUUGUUGUUGUGUCCUACGGACGAAACCCUCCGGUUUAUAUAGACACCGGAGGGGGCUAGGGUUACACAAAGUUGGUUUACAGAGGAGGAUAUCUACAUCCGAAACGCCAGGCUUGCCUUCCACGCCAAGGAGAGUCCCAUCCGGACACGGGACGAAGUCUUGAGUCUUGUAUCUUCACGGUCCAACAGUCCGACCAAAGUAUAUAGUCCGGCUGUCCGGAUACCCCCUUAUCCAAGACUCCCUCAAUGGACGCUUUUGAUGUUUGCGGAAUAUUUGAGAAAAUAUAGAGGCGGAGUUAGGGUUAGGGGACUCCAUAGGGGCCCACAAGUCAAGGGUGCCCCCCUGGGUGCGCCUUGAGGGCUUGUGGCUCCCUCGGGAUUCUUCUGGCCCUCUCCCCAAGUAUUCUGGGUGUCUUCUGGUCCAAGAAAAAUCAUCGUAAAGUUGUAUUCCAUUUGGACUCCGUUUGAUAUUCCAAUUCUGUAAAAUUCAAAAACAAAUAAAAAGUAGAAACUGGCACUUGCUCUAGGUUAAUAAGUUAGUCCCAAAAAUAAUAUAAAAUAGCAUAUUAAUGCAUAUAAAACAUCCAAAGCAGAUAAUAUAAUAGCAUGGAACAAUAAAAAAUUAUAGAUACGUUGGAGACGUAUUAAGCAUCCCCAAGCUUAAUUCCUGCUCGUCCUCGAGUGGGUAAGUAAUAAAAACAAAAAAUUUGAUGGGGAAUGCUACCUAAUAUUUGUCAAUGCAAUCUUCUUUAUUGUGGCAAGAAUAUUUAGAUCCAUAAGAUUCAAAACAAAAGUUUAAUAUUGACAUAAAAACAAUAAUACUUCAAGCAUACUAAUAAAGCAAUCAUGUCUUCUCAUAAUAAGACGCCAAAGAAAGUUAUCCCUACAAAAUUAUAUAGCAUGGCUAUAUGCUCCAUCUGCAUCACACAAAGUAUUUCAUAAUGCACAACCCUGAUGACAAGCCAAGCAAUUGUUUCAUACGUUUGGUGUUCACAAAUUUUUUCAACUUUCACGCAAUACAUGAUCGUGAGCCAUGGAUAUAGCACUAUAGGUGGAAUAGAAUAUGGUGGUUUUGGAGAAGACAAAAAGAAGGAGAAAGUCUCACAACUAGGUAAAUUUUUAAUGGGCUAUGAAGAUGCCCAUAAAUUGCUAUCGAUGGAAGUGAGUAGGGAUUGCCAUGCAAUGGAUGCACUAGAGCUAUAAGUGUAUGAAAGCUCACAAAGAAACUAAGUGGGUGUGCAUCCAACUUUCUUGCUCAUGAAGACCUAGGGCAAUUUGAGGAAGCCCAUCACUGAAAUAUACAAGCCAAGUUCUAUAAUGAAAAAUUCCCACUAGUAUAUGAAAGUGACAAAAUAGGAGACCAUUUAUCCUGAAGAUCAUGGUGCUACUUUGAAGCACAACUAUAGAAAAAGGAUAGUAACAUUUUCUGUUCUCUCUUUUUCUCUUUCUUCUUUUAGGGCUUCUUUGGCCCCUUUUUUAUUUGGGCUUCUUUGGCUUCUUUUAUUUUUUAUAAAGUCUGGAGACUCAUCCCAACUUCUGAGGGAAUCAUAGCUUCCAUCAUACUUCCCUCACAUGGGACAAUGUUCGUGUGAUGGUGAUCAUCACACUUUUAUUUACUUACAACUCAAGAAUUACAACUCGAUACUAGAACAAGAUAUGACUCUAUAUGAAUGCCUCCGGCAGUGUACCAGGAUGUGCAAUGAUGAAGAGUGGCAUGUAUAAAAAAUAUGAACGGUGGCCUUGCCACAAAUACUAUGCCAACUACAUGAUCAUGCAAAGCUAUAUGACAAUGAUGGUAUGUGUCAUAAUAAAUGGAACGGUGGAAGUUGCAUGGCAAUAUAUCUUGGAAUGGCUAUGGAAAUGCCAUAAUAGGUAAGUAUGGUGGCUAUUUUGAGGAAGGGUAUAUGGUGGGUUUAACGCACCGGCGAAAAUUGCGCGGUACUAGAGAGGCUAGCAAUGGUGGAAGGGUGAGAGUGCGUAUAAUCCAUGGACUCAACAUUAGUCAUAAAGAACUCACAUAACCAUCGAAACAAAGUACUACACGCGUGCACCUAGGGGCAUAUAUUGGUAGCAAAAUACCAUCGCUCGUCCCCGACCGCCACCCGUAAGGAAGACAAUGAAAAAUAAAUAAUGCUCCGACUUCAUCACAUAACGGUUUACCAUACGUGCAUGUGAUAGGAAUCACAAAAUUUAACACAGGUAUUUCUACCAAUCCACAAUUACUCACUAGCAUUACUCUAAUAUCCCAUAUUUAUAUCUCAAAACAAACGCAAGGAAUCAAACUUCUCAUAUAUUCAAUGCUCUUUAUAUGAAAGUUUUUAUUAUAUCCCUCUUGGAUGCCUAUCAUAUUAGAACUAAAUUAAUGACCUAAGAAAUUACCAUGCUGUUUAAGACUCUCAAAAUCAUAUAAGUGAAGCAUGAGAAUUCAUCAAUUUCUAUGAAAUAAAGCCACCGCCCUGCUCUAAAAAGAUAUAAGUGAACCACUAGAGCAAACUGCCUAAUGUAACGCCCUGGAUCCGAUGAGCCAGGUGUUUGCCAGUUAUUCGUCGUUGUUGCCAUGUCAUUUGCUUGCGUGUGGCACUUUGCCAUGUCAUCCUGUGCAUCUCAUUUUUGCAUACGUGUUCGUCUCAUGCAUCCGAGCAUUUUUCCCCGUUGUCCGUUUUGCAAUCCGACACUCAUAUGUCCUCCGGCGCCCCCUUUUUGCCUCUUUUCGUCAGCGGGUGUUAAACAUUCUUCGAAUGGAUCGAGAUUUGCCAAGCGUCCUUGGUACACCACCGGUAGACCGCCUGUCAAGUUUCGUGCCAUUUGGAGUAUGUUUGAUACUCCAACGGUUAACCGGGUAACCGUAAAGGCCUCUUUUGGGUGCAGCCCAACACCCCUCCAAAACAUCCCAAUAACCCAUCCAAACCCCCUCCAUGCUCUCAGUCGUUCAAUCACGAUCUGUGGGCGAAAACUGCACCCCAUUUGGACUCUCCUAGCUCCCAGAAUCUAUAAAUUAGCCCCUCCCCCCGAAAUUCACGGAUGAUUUCCACCCUAACCCUAGAUCCACCCUCCUCUACGCCGCCGGACACGUCCAGCGCCGCCAUCCCCGACGAACCCGCCACCACCAUCUGGCCCAGCCAUCACGCGCCGCCACUGGCCCGCCAGGCCCGGGGCGGGCCCGCUGAGCCCAUCGGGGCCCAGCCGCCCCGAGCAGCACCCCACUCCGCCUCCCUGCCCUCCGGUCCCGCCGCCGGCGAGCUGCGCCACCGCUGCUGGCAGCCGUCCCCUCCGCCGCCAUCGCCAAGCUUCUCGGCGCCGGCGCCCCUCUCCGCGCGCAGCCGUCCUGGAGCGUUCCCGCCCCGAACCGACCAUCGCCCCGCCGCCCGUUCNNNNNNNNNNNNNNNNNNNNNNNNNNNNNNNNNNNNNNNNNNNNNNNNNNNNNNNNNNNNNNNNNNNNNNNNNNNNNNNNNNNNNNNNNNNNNNNNNNNNNNNNNNNNNNNNNNNNNNNNNNNNNNNNNNNNNNNNNNNNNNNNNNNNNNNNNNNNNNNNNNNNNNNNNNNNNNNNNNNNNNNNNNNNNNNNNNNNNNNNNNNNNNNNNNNNNNNNNNNNNNNNNNNNNNNNNNNNNNNNNNNNNNNNNNNNNNNNNNNNNNNNNNNNNNNNNNNNNNNNNNNNNNNNNNNNNNNNNNNNNNNNNNNNNNNNNNNNNNNNNNNNNNNNNNNNNNNNNNNNNNNNNNNNNNNNNNNNNNNNNNNNNNNNNNNNNNNNNNNNNNNNNNNNNNNNNNNNNNNNNNNNNNNNNNNNNNNNNNNNNNNNNNNNNNNNNNNNNNNNNNNNNNNNNNNNNNNNNNNNNNNNNNNNNNNNNNNNNNNNNNNNNNNNNNNNNNNNNNCGCCCUCGCGCCUCCCCGCCGGUGACCUCGUGCGUCCCAGGCCGCCUCGCCCCGCUGCCAGUUCACGGCGCCCGCCGCGCCGCCGCUCGGGGACGGCCGAGCGUCGUCCUCCGCCUCUCCCCGUCGACCUCUACCACCCUCCGCUGCCGGCAUCGGCUGGAUCCGGCCUAGAUCCACCGGAUCCGGCCAUCUCCGGUGACCUCCCCUCCACUCCGGCGUGUUCUCCGGCGAGAUCCGCCUCACCUCGAAAUCCGUGCAAAUCUGAGGUUGACCCCGUUUUCCUCCAAGUCCGCGAAUUAUUUCAUCUCAUGUGGGCUACUUUGACCUGUCAUAUCUCGUCGCAUAUUGCUCCGUUUUGCAUGCUUGAUAUAUCAAAAUGUUCACUGAGAGAUGCACUUCAUUUCAUUCCAUUGUUCCAUGUUCAUUUGAGUUCAUCUUGAUGCCCUAAUCAUCGUUGCAAUAGUGCUAUAUGAUGUUAACUGUUGUCUGUUAGCAGAACUUGAUGAUUUGUCAUUUUUGUUGCAUUUUGUGUGUGCAUAUUAUGAGCUUGAUGUCUACAUGAGUUUUGAGCUACAUCAUGCCAUCUUUACAGGGGUGCAACCCAUCUAUUUUUAUGAGUCUUGUAGUGAGUGCAUCGAGCUCGUGAAGUAGGGUACUUGCUGUUACUGUUUUGCUAGGCUAAAUCUGCUAUAUCAUGAUGCUAUGUAAACCUGCUGCUACAAGUCAUUCUAUGCAUAAUCUGGAGAUGUUCACUAAGGAUGUUUUGUUAUACAUGUCAUGUUCUAUCCAUUCAUUCCCCUGGUUGCAUUUAUAGCCUUCUGUAACUUGUUGCUAUCUUGCUCUAAACUUGCUAAAUAAUGUUGCUGUUAGCCUGUUAACAUUAAGUUCAAUGUUGCCAUGAUUGUUGUUAGUAAUCCAAGCAUGCUAUGAACUCGCUCUUGCCAUGAUUAGCUUCAUAAACAUGCCUUAUUGCUGUUGGUCACCUUGCCAUGCCAUGUAUUGCUCUGUGGUGAGUUGUACAAGCUCACCAACAUGCCUACUUAUUGUUGUUCCUGCCAUGUAUGAAUCUGUCAUAUCACUUGCUAUGUUUACAUGGGUGCCAUCAUAUUUUCUGUGCCCUUUUGGCUCAUGGUCAGUAAGGGACUUGUCUUCUAUGCAAUUAGUAGAUUCAUGCCAUGCCUUUGUUUGCCAUGUUAAGUUCCUGUAACAUGUUGUUUGAUAGCUCUAAACAUUGCAAUCUGAUGUUAUUUCUGCUAAGUCUGAAACUGUUAUUAUUUGCAAUCUUGCCAUGUCCUUUUGAACAUGUUCUAGUGAUUUCUGGAGAUAGCUCAGUGUUCAUGUUUUGUCAUGCUCUACCUGUACUUCAUGCCCAUGCCUUUUGUUAUUAUGUUGAGGUGCUGUAGCAUAUUGUUUUGAUGCUUGCUAGAUGCCUAGUUGCUGUUUUGGACAGCUUGUCAUUUAAACUUGUAUAGUCUAUGUGUUGAACCGUUGCUCUGUUUUAAGUGUGCUCUAUAUGAAACUUGCUUAGAAUUGCUUGUAGUUUCAUAUUACCUUGUUGCAUCCUUGUUUUGAAGUGUUUGCUUGAUGUUUGUAUGCAUUUUGCAUCAAUGCCAUGUUUAACUUGUUUUGCUCAUAUCUUCUAGGCCGUAGCUCCGAAUUAAAUGAACUUUAUAUGUAACUUGACUAGAAUUUCGUGUAGAUCAUCUUGGUGCAUCUUAACUUGCUGUUUAAAAACUUGAACAUAAUGGUUAUUCACAUCUGGACCAAUUUCUAAAUUUGCAUAUGAGGACUUACCGGAAUUGUUAUAUGUUGUUUCCGGUCUCAUUUAAACUUGCCUUGAUAUGUUGUUCUUGUUUGCAUCAUCUCUUGCCAUGAGUAGCCUCAUGUAGCUUUGUCAUGCACCAUGCUUGGUUGAGCAUCAUGCCUUGUUCAUGUGUUGUGUGUUUACCUUGUUGUGUGCUUCUUCUCGAUAGUUCCCGUUUCGUUGUGAUCGUGAGGAUUCGUUCGUCUACGCUUGGUUCGGCUUCAUCCGUUCGUCUUCUUCAUGGACUCGUUCUUCUUCCUAGCGGGAUUUCAGGCAAGAUGACCGUCACCUUGGAUCUCAUUACUAUCAUUGCUAUGCUAGUUGCUUCAUUCUAUCGCUAUGCUGCGCUUCCUAUCACUUGUUCUUCAAGCCUCCCCAAAUUGCCAUGAACCUCUAACCUUUGUCACCCUUCCUAGCAAACCGUUGCUUGGCUAUGUUACCGCCUUGCUCAGCCCCUCUUAUAGCGUUGUUAGUUGCAGGUGAAGUUGAAGAUUGCUCCAUGAUGGACAGGAUUAUGUUGGGAUAUCACAAUAUCUCUUAUAUUAUUAAUGCAUCUAUAUACUUGGUAAAGGGUGGAAGGCUCGGCCUUAUGCCUGGUGUUUUGUUCAACUCUUACCGCCCUAGUUUCCGUCAUACCAGUGUUAUGUUCCCGGAUUUUGCGUUCCUUACGCGGUUGGGUGAUUUAUGGGACCCCCUUGAUAGUUCGCUUUGAAUAAAACUCCUCCAGCAAGGCCCAACCUUGAUUUUACCAUUUUCCUCACCACCACCUACUUUUCCCUUGGGAGUAAUUAACCCAAGGGUCGUCUUUAUUUAAGCCCCCCCCCUCGGGCCAGUGCUUCUCUAAGUGCUGGUCCGAACUAGAGCCCUUUGCAGCGCCCCCUCAGGGAAACUUAAGGUCUGGUUUUAGUUGUACGGAUUGCUCAUCCGGUGUUGCCCUGAGAACGAGAUAUGUGCAGCUCCUAUUGGGAUGUCGGCACAUCGGGCGGUCUUGCUUGUCUUGUUUUACCAUUGUCGAAAUGUCUUGUAAACCGGGAUUCCGAGACUGAUCGGGUCUUCCUGGGAGAAGGAAUAUCCUUCGUUGACCGUGAGAGCUUAUCAUGGGCUAAGUUGGGACACCCCUGCAGGGUAUAAACUUUCGAGAGCCGUGCCCGCGGUUAUAUGGCAGAUGGGAAUUUGUUAAUGUCCGGUUGUAGAUAACUUGACACCAGAUCCGAAUUAAAACGCAUCAACCGUGUGUGUAGCCGUGAUGGUCUCUUUUCGGCGGAGUCUGGGAAGUGAACACGGUUUUGGGUUAUGGUUGACGUAAGUAGGAGUUCAGGAUCACCUCUUGAUCAUUACUAGCUUCACGACCGUUCUAUUUGCUCUCUUCUCGCUCUUAUUUGCAUAUGUUAGCCACCAUAUAUGCUUAGUCGCUGCUACAACCUCACCACCUUACCUCUUCCUUACCCAUUAAGCUUUUCUAGUAUUGAUACCCAUGGUAAUGGGAUUGCUGAGUCCUCGUGGCUCAUGGAUUACUACAACAACAGUUGCAGGUGCAGGUUUCACUACAAAAAAAGACACAUCCAUGACAUUUUGGGCCGAACGAAAAAAAAUUCUGUCAUACAUAUGACACUUCUAUGACGAUAAUUGUGACAAAACCUGGUAUCAUCAUAGAUGUGGUGGGCUCCUACUUCUAUGACAAAAAAUCAUGACAGAAAAUGGGCUUUUUGUCCUGGGUGCGCCGGAGACGCAGCUGCAUGACAUUCUUUGGGCCGUCCAUGACGGAAAAAACCAUGGUAGAAGCGAGGGAGAGGAAAAUUUCGGGGAGUUGCCGGUUAUGGUGGGAGGUCGGGAGCGGAGUGAUGCGCGUUUCUCUCGUACGUACGCGCGUGUGUGCGAGGCGUUGGCUCUAACUGAAGCCGAGCGAGGCGUUGGGCUCUAACUGAACCCGAGCGAUUGCACUGCAGGCUACGCGUUACUGAACCCGAGCGAUCGAUCGAUGGCUGUUAACUGAACCCGAUGGAGCGAUUCCUUCGCUACUGCUGCUAGCUGAAGCCGAUCGAUGCUGCCUCUGGGAUGAACAGUGAGUGUUGCGGGGGGUGGAUGAACAGUGAGCGGUGGCGUUGCCUCUGGAUGAACAGGAACCCAUGGUGUGGAUGGCUGGAUGAACAGUAGACGGUGGAGGGGUGGUUGAACAGGAACCCAUGGUGUGGAGGGCUGGAUGAACAGUAGACGGUGGAGGGAUGCCCGUGGAGGGGUGGUUGAACAGUAGCCGGUGGAGAGCGCACGGUGGAGGCUAGAUGAACAGGAGCCCGUGGAGGCUGGAGGAGGUCGACGGUAGCCCAUGGAGGCUGGAGGGGGUCGACGGUGGAGAUGAACAGUAUCCCGUGGAGUCCAGUUUUGCGGUAUNNNNNNNNNNNNNNNNNNNNNNNNNNNNNNNNNNNNNNNNNNNNNNNNNNNNNNNNNNNNNNNNNNNNNNNNNNNNNNNNNNNNNNNNNNNNNNNNNNNNNNNNNNNNNNNNNNNNNNNNNNNNNNNNNNNNNNNNNNNNNNNNNNNNNNNNNNNNNNNNNNNNNNNNNNNNNNNNNNNNNNNNNNNNNNNNNNNNNNNNNNNNNNNNNNNNNNNNNNNNNNNNNNNNNNNNNNNNNNNNNNNNNNNNNNNNNNNNNNNNNNNNNNNNNNNNNNNNNNNNNNNAGUCCGUUUCGUCUGUUUUGCGGUACGCCACACCCCUCCCAUGAACAGGACCCCCGUUUCGACCGUAGCGCUCCAACACAAGUCUGUUUCGUCCAUUUUGCGGUACGCCACACCCCUCCCAAUCCACAGGACCCCCGUUUCGAUCGUAGGAGGUACGUUUCCUCCGUUUGGCGGUACGCCAGGCCCCUCCCGAUCAACAGGACCCCGUUUCGAACGUAGGAGGUCCGUUUCCUCCGUUGUGUGGUGCGCCAGGCCUUGUUUCCAUCACCUGUUCUGUCCAAGCCGGUUGGCUCCCACGCGUUCCAUCGCCUCUCGAUGAACACGACGCAUUCCGUUGCAUCCCCAUGAACACGACGCAUUACGUUGCCUCCCGAUGAACACGACACAUUCCGUUGCCUCCCCAUGAACACGACACACUCCAUUGACUCCCCAUGAACAUGAGCCCUCGCCGUACGUAUGCGCGACUAGGCGUUCGAGACCCCGCCCGUAUGUACACAUACGUGGCCGUAUUUUCUUUCUUGCACCCUGGCCGUUGUACGUACGUGUACAUGCUACGUGCGCGCCUCUACUACGACACGUGCGCGCCUCUACAACGACCAGUAUGUACGUGCAUGUUCGCAACCAGAAUGACAACGCUACAUACGCUUCGACCAGGUGGGUCUCGACUAUCAGGCACUCCUUGCGUGUGAAAAUGUAGCUGGUGGGUCCCAGCAGUCAGAGGGGCGAAUCGUUUUUUUUGCCCGGACGCACUUCCUUGCGUGUGAAGGUGUAGCUGGUGGGUCCCAGCGGUCAGGGGGGAAACGUUUUUUUCGCGAAAUACGGUGGCCCGUCCGGUGGGUCCCCGCUGUCAGCUGGAGGAAUAAUUAUUUUCCGCGUAAUAAGGAGGCACUUCCUUGCUGCGGCCAUGGACCCAGCUGUCAGCCUCUCCACAUACAGUCCACGUCCGAUGGAAAUCAUUCCUUGACCAUGUUGACCACACCGCCCGAGAGCACCAGGGCGGUGGACGAUAGCGAGGCCUAGGAAGGGGACGACGGGGAGCCGGGGAAGACGCGGCAGUGGAAGCCCGCGCCGAGAGGAGUACGAGGGUUCACUGGUUCGGCUGCGGUAUGAAGCUGUGCCGCAGGGCCUGGCCAGCGGUGGGAAUAGUAGGGGCGGUGAGGCCUCCGCGGCAGCACAUCCGGCCACAGGAGGCAGGAGCAUGCGGCACGACCGGCGCUGCUUUGGGCGGCUGGAGCAAGAAGACCAGAGGUUGAAGAAGCACUACGGCCGUUGGAUGGACAUCGUACGGUCACUGGAGCUAGAAUCGUUUAUAUUGACUAAGUUGACAAAGCCCUCUGUCCCCGUCAACUUAGUAGUCCCACAAGUCAGCCUCCCACCAAGGUGGGUCCCAGCUAGCUGGGGGGUAUUCAUUUUUUUGUGCAUAAUAAGGAGGCACUUCCGGUGGCUCCGAGCUGACAGCAGGGGGAAUGUUUUUUCGCGAAAUACGGUGGCCCGUCGGGUGGGUCCCAGCAGUCAGGGGCAAACGUUUUUUUCGCAAAAUACUGGUGGCCCGUCUGGUGGGUCCCUGCUGUCAGGUGGAGGAAUAAUUAUUUUCCGCGUAAUAAGGAGGCACUUCCUUGCGGCACCGGUGGACCCAGCUGUCAGCCUCUCCACGUACAGUAUUCUUCUGAUGGAAUUCAGUCAUUGAUCACAUUGACCACGCCGCGCCAAGAGCACCACGGUGGUGGACGACGGCAAGGCCUAGGAAGUGGACGACGCGGAGCCGGGGAAGACGUGGCAGUGGAUGCCCACGCGGAGAGGAGUACGAGGGUUCAUUGGUUCGGCUGCGCUACCGUCGCCGCAGAAUAACAGGGGGUGUAGGUGAGUGGAGUGGAGGGAUGGCCUGGCCAGCGGUGGGAGUUGUAUGGGGGCGGUGAGGCCUCCGCGGCAGCACAGCCGGCCAUGAGAGGCAGGAGCAGGCGGCACGACCGGCGCUGCUUUGGGCGGCUAGAGCAAGAAGACCAGAGGUUGAAGAAGCACUACGGCCGUUGGAUGGACAUCGUACUGGUCAGUCGAGCUAGAAUCGUGCAUAUUGACUAAGUUGACAAAGCCCUUCGUCCCCGUCAACUUAGUUGGCCCACUAUACUGGGUCCCAGCUAGCAGGGGGAGUAUUCUUUUUUUUUGGGCGUAAUAAGGAGGCACUUCCUUGCGUGCGAAGAUAUAGCUGGUGGGUCCGAUCUGUUAGCGGCGGUAACAUUUUUUCGCGAAAUACAGAGGCCCUUUUGGUGGGUCCCAGAUGUCAGUUGGAGGAAUCAUUAUUUUGCGCGUAAUAAGGAGGCAUUUCCUUGCGUGCGGCCGUGGACCCAGUUGUCAGCCUCUCCAUGUACAGUCCACUUCCGAUGGAUGUCGUUCAUUGACCACGUUGACCAGGCCGCGCCAAGAGCACCAGGGUAGUGGACGAUGGCGAGGCCUAGGAAGGGAACGACACGGAGCCAGGGAAUACUUGGCAGUUAUUUCCCAUGCGGAGGAGUACGAGGGUUUACUGGUUUGUCUGCCGUCGCCGGAGAAUAACAUCAUGUGUGGGACUGAGGGUGAGUAGAGGGAUAGCUAGGCCAGCAAUGGGAGUACGGUGGGGCGGUGAGGCCUACGCGGCAGCACAGCCGGCCGCAGGGAGGAGGGAGCAGGCAGUCCUGCCGGCGCUUGUUUGAGCGGUUGGAGCAGGAAGAGCAGAGAAUGAAGAAGCACGACGGCCGUUGGAUGGACAUCCAACAGUAUACAGGCCAUCUGUGGAAAGCCUCAAAUCUGUGGAAAACAGCAUACAUCCCAUCUGCCAUUAUUUGAAAUAGUUUACAGCCCAUUUGCUAAUUCUUACGGGUUUUUUUGGAGCCCAUAUUCUUUUUGUUAGCAUUACAGCCCAUAUUGUGGCCACGGUUAAAAAAUUAUACGAAAUUUUGCAUAUGUCGGUGCGGUCUGAACUGUUUUUAAUCCCGAAAUUUCGAGUCACAUUCAGACUGAUUUUAAAAAUAAAUGUAUAUCAAUAUAAAAUCCAAUAAAUUGUCCACGCAUAAAAAUCAAUGCAAUUUAAAAUCCCGAAAUGAAAAAAAGAUAUUUGAAACUAAUUGCCGGUUUGAUGUGUUUUAAAAAUGUACAUCCCAUUUCUCAUUACUGAUAGGCCAUUUUCUCGGCCAGCUGAAUGAAGCUCUCCUCGUCUAGCUCAACAGGCCUGAUAAAGUGACUUAUUUGACAAAUCACAAAAAAACUGGGCUAGCCAUUUUCAAAAAGAAAAAAAACUACUGGGCUGGUCUGUGGUAAACAUAAAAGAAAAGGCUGUCUAGACAGGCCAGAGUGUCCCGCACAGCCCAGUUAACACCCUGCUUCCGUCUCAAAAACAUAUUAGAUAAAUGCCACUCCAAUUAUGGCGAUUCAAAAUGCCACUGCAAUUUCCAAACUUUGAAAAAUACCACUACAAUUUUUGCAAACUUUGAAAAAUGCCACUGCAGUUUGCAAACUUUGAAAAAAGCCACUCCAGACUUCAAAAAAUGCAACUAGAAAUGGCAUGAAAUGGCAUUUUUCAAAGUUUGGAAAUUGCAGUGGCAUUUCUCGGAGGCAUUUAUCAAAUUAACCCAAAACAAAAAUAACUGGGCGAGCUGCUGGGUCCCUGGUGUCAGCCGCUCGUUGUGCAAUUCUCUCGUUUAUUGACUACGUUGACAAUGGCAUGGGACACAGAUGUCAGAAAUCCACUAGGAGGAGCCAUUUUUUUAUUGGCUUGAAAUAAGGAGGCACUUGCUUGCGUACUGCCAUGACCUUGGCGGGUCCCUGCUGUCAUCCUCUCCACAUACAAUCAUCUCCUGAUUGUGUACGCGUCAACUUGCUAGGCCCACAAGUCAGCCUCUAAACCCGUGGAGGACAAAUACAACCCAUUUAAAAAAAUAAUAGCCCAUUCUAUAUGUUCAAACGGAAAGUUCAACAUUCAGAGCAAAGUAACAGGUCUGAUCCACAUAUAGAGUACUGAACUUCCACGUUGACAACCAUCAUAGCCAAGUUAACUAUCUACUCCCACUAGACAAGUACUAACUUACUCUUAGCUAACUAGAUGAUGCUGGCGGCACACGCUAAACGCCGGCACCGGCGUCCUGCGCCUCGCCUCGGACUUGCCAGAGGUGCGAUAGGGCGCGUUGCUCGCGCGUGUUGGCCCUUUCCAUGUCGGUGUGGUCCACCGAAGCUUCGGCUUCCAAGCGGGAAACCCACUUGACGAGUUGGUAAUAAAAAUCGGCGUCGCGAACGUGUGCGUGCCCGACAGCCUCUAGGGCUAUUUGUCGGGCGCCGGCCUCCAUGAAGUCGGGCCAGUUGCGGGCGCUCUGCUCGCGACUCAGAGCAUCGGUGCACUGCUGCUCCAUGUCCCGCUGGCGGCGCAAAUCGGCGUUAUGCUGUUCCUCCGCCAGGCGGUCGCGCUACAACAACUCCUACUCCUCCGCCAUACGGUCGCGCUCCAACAACUCCUCGAUCUGCGCAUUGCCAUCUAAAGACAGAUAGAAUGCCUCCUCCUUCCGUCUGCCUUCUGGUGAAAAACCGAACACUAGUUCCGAAGGUGACCGCAUCCGGCGUCGCCUACCACAGACGGACGGGGGCAUGGCGGACGUGGCGAGCGACGUCGGGCUGGUGGGGCUUAUGAGGAUAUGGCGAGUUGGUCACUGUGGCACUAGAGAAUGCCGAGAAAUAGUACUUACAGGGGGAAGGUAGCGCGAUGGUCAUCGGAAUUCAAUGCAUAAUGGCUUAGCGCGCCAGCUUGCCGUGGAAAACUAGGGAAACUGAAAUUAUGACUGUGUCGUCCCGUCCCGUCUGGGUCGCAUGCCGGCAUGGCGGUCAAACGAGUGCACUCGAAUCAUCUCCCUCCUUGUCAAUAAUGAUUUCACGGAUUUAAAAAGCCCGCAACAAUUAAAGUGUAUCUUUUUUCGCAUCAGUUAGCUGCCUUAAUUACGGCUGGCUGCAUGCAAGCACUAAGAAUCGCUCGCAGGCAGUACGCAAAGCAGCAUGCAACGAGUCGCAGCCGAGGGCAUGCAUGCAGCCACUUAAAUCACUGGAAUUAAUUAGGCUUAAACUUCUGCAUGCCGUUAAUAAUUGCCAUGCCUUGGUCUUGCUGUUUUGCUCACGGGACUAACAAUCCCGGACGGAGGGAGUACCUUGGUUGGUGAGAGGUUUGAAUUAAGCCCUGCAAACCGGAAAGGAGGUACUAGUACGUGCGUGAUCUGCUAUUUAUUCGUGUAGGAUCGAGUAGGCCGUUUCUUGAAUUGAGCCCUGCAAACCGGAAAGGAGGUAGUACGUGCGUGAUACGCUAUUUAUUCGUGUAGGAUCGAUAGUGUAGCUUGUCAGUUUCUUCAGAGGUAGGCAUUUUUAUCCGUGUAGGAUCGAUAGUGUAUCUUGUCAGUUUCUUCAGAGGUAGGCAUUUUUAUUCAAAAAACUGCCACUUUGCAUCUUGCGUCGCAAAUAAAACUGCCAGGUGCGCAUUUGUAGGCUAGCUAGUGAUCGAUCAGUAACUUCUAAACACUGAGCGAACAGAAAUAAGUAACUGUUAAUGCAUCUCAAUGAUUCACAGAUCAUAUACAAAUAUGUAGCUCCAAAAGCAAAGAUCAGCCACUUUGGAUCUUGCGUCGUAACUAAAACUAACUAGUACGAUUCCCAUACAUAAGAUCAACAUGUUAAUGCAUCUCAAUGAUUCACAGAUCAUAUACAAAUAUGUAGCUCCAAAUGCAAAGAUCUAGAAAAAACAUCUAUUCUUCCUACUAACAUGGAUGCUUCUCUUGGCCAACAUUCAGUACAGACUGAAAGACAAAUUUGUUUGUGAAGUCUACAAUUCCUCUUACAAACGUAAGUGGUUUCACCAACAGCUGGAACCAUGAGAAUGAACCACACAUGAUGGAGGAACAUCCACUGCAAUAUGAUUUGGUCUUCUCUCGAUCACACCGCGAGACUAUUUUCGGAAUACAAACUUUAACUUAGGGAAAAUGAUGCCCAUUGUAUAAUCAGACCAAAGCAAUGAAGCACCAACUGUUGGCCAUUAAAUAGUACAGUACUACUUUUCUGCAGUCCAUGAAGUGACUAUACAAUCUUUGUGUCUAUUUUCAAAUGGCACUGCAUGCAGUGACUAUACUAUUCUCUUGUGCAGUUCAACCAAAAUUGCGGACACUUUGUUUGUUUGCCAAAUAGCAACGGGCAGACAUCUCUGUCUGCACAAAUAUCAAGCAGCUAGUAAACAUAUACCACACCAUGUUCGCAGUGAUGGAAGAGGUGAAAUCGAUACAACCGAAAUUGAGCAUCCAAUCAUUGAAUCAUGUCCUGCACCUCCAAUGUAGGUCCACCCUGCCAAUAAAUUCACAUGCAAACCACUAGUAUUACUAUCUAAUGACAGUACAAAAAGAGUAGCAAGAUAGUAGAAAAUCAUGUACCAUCGUAAUGAACAGCUCAUAGUGCCACCAAUUGGAUAUAAAGGUUUGGAAAAAACAUGCUCCUAAUGUUGAACUAGUUGGACUUUUUGUGCAGCUCCACUAAAAUCGAGCAUCCCUGUUUGCAUAGAUAUUGGAAGUGUGAUUACUAUAAAAGUGGCACUAGUUGAAGCAUAGACUCACAAAUAUAAGCAUUACAAUUUCUUAAUGGGAAAAGGUAGCAAGACUGUUUCUAACCACCUGUUUGAAGGAAUAAAUAAAGCAUCAGCGGCUGAUGUCAGGAAGGCAUACAUAGUUUUUUUCUGAAAAACUGAGCCAUUCCUGACCUUUCCUCUUCUUUUAAGCAAUUUUUGUGUAGUUCUACUAAAAUAAAAUGCCAUCACCGCCUUGACAAUUUAGUUACACUGUACAAAAGGAAAUGACUUAACAUUACAUCAUGAUGUCGGGUAUGUAGUAGACAGGCAUUAGAGACAAACAUAAAGACCUCCUCCGAUAACAUAAUGAACAUUAAUUUUAACAAAGGUGUGACUAGCUUUACCGGGAUAAUUUGAGUGAACUCUACACCCUUUGUUCCUUAAUAUAAGACAUUUUCGCGGUUCAAUUUAAAGUACCCAAACGUCUAGUAUUUAGAAAAACAGGUAGUAGUUUUCUUGAGCACAUAUCUGGGAAAGCUUGCCACACUUUAUUUAUGUCCAUACGCUAAAGCAACUCCAUUCGAAUACUACAAAUAUACACUAAUCCAGUGGCUAGUGCAACAGUAGAGUAGUUAGUUUAUUACAGGGUACAGUACAAUGGUUUUACUGAAUAGAUUUCAAUAAACUCUAGCACUGGAAGGUUUCUAUAAGAAUUAACAAUACAAAAUGUAAAGGUAACAAGUUUCAGCAUUAGUAUACUAGCUGUGCAUGAGCAUUAAACCAAAUACAAAAGUCUGAAGGUAACUAGCAUUAUUAACUAAUGAAAGUAUAAAAAAAUUGCAAACCAUGUACCUCCAAGGUAAAUAUCAUUUUGAACUCGGGGGGACCUUAAAAAUUUCUAUCCCAAUCUUGAUAAUCGAUCAAACAUAAAAACUUGAUAUUUCCUCUUGAUAAUCAAGAGAAUAGCCGGAGGAGGAGGUGCCCACUCUUGACCUUUCCUCUUGUCUUCAUAAUUGUCUGUGUAGUUUAACCAAAAUAAAAUGACAUCAGCGCCUUGGCAUUUUGGUGACACUGUACAAAAAAAUUAACUUAUCUCAUGAAAGUGAGGUAUGUAAUCUAUAAGCAUUAACAGUGCAAAAAAUCUGAAGGUUAUAAAAUUGCUUGACUUGACUGCUGGCGUUAUACUAACAGCAAAAAAGUGGAAAUAAGAGCAUGGGAGGCCCAUUCGGACAGUGGGCGCACCAGUACGAUGUACCUCCACGGACGCAGAGUGGUGAGGGAGGUAUGGUUGCCCAGAGCAAUAAAUAUCCAGGCAGCAUAUGUGGAUUACGUCCCAUUUUUGUUCUGUUUAGCCACCUUUUUCCUAUGUGAGGACAACAAACCGAUCGACCUGGUCAUUCUCUAUUGCUUUGUCAUGCCUUUCUACCCUUCUUCAACCAAGAGACACGAGACUCGUUCCUUAGCUACUGAUUUUCCCCUUUUCAACCUAGAUGCGGGUUCGAUGCCUACUCUCUUGGACAGUACAGUCUCCCUUCCUUUCCUUAUUCAACCCAGACAUGCAUUAGUCUGCAUGAAGUAGGGUUUCCUUUAAUAGUGCAAAUUAUGGUUUUCGUCUGCGUGGCCAGUAGAGCAGAGGAUAGCAAAUUGGGAAGAUGCUGGAGUGGAAAAAGAUCCACAUGCAAUGACGUGCCAUAUGGGGCAAUAGAACAAGGGUAUGGUUCGAAAAGAGGUAGCAUACCUGAGGGUCGGCAGGAAGUGGCUUCGCUCGUGGUCGUCGUCCUUCACACACACUCGGCAGCGAUCCCGCGCGGGCGCUAGGUCUGAGAGGACGGCCUUCUCGUUAGUGUGUGACCUCGCUCCCCGACGACGAGUGCGUCAAUGUUGCACGUCCUUUUCUUCCCCGGCGAAUCUAUGACCACCGGUGAGGAGGGAGAGAGGGGCCGUAUUUUUUAGAUCUGGAGAGAGGGUGGUAGUGUGAGAAGCAAGUGGGCAGCCCUUGGCAAGAAAGCGCUGAAGCUCCAGCCUAUAUAUCUUCUUUAUACUACUAGUACUGGAGGUGGAGUAGUGGUAGAGUAGUUUAUAUUUUCUCUGCGUACAGUACCAGUUAGUCGUGCUUCAAAACUAAACGGCGCGCCAUUAAAAAAAUAAAGGCCGAUAACUAAUGCGGCACCUCGGGCCAACGCAGCCAGAUCGCAUUUUGCACGAGAAAUUACACACCAUGUCUCAUUGACAUGUGGUCCCGUUCCACAUAUCAGUGAGAUGACGGCGAGUAGUAGGAGUACUUCCGAACCGACGUGUAGGCCAGGGCGCCCCUUCGUGAACCGUGGUAAACUGGUAACCGUCCACCGACUCUUCGCCUUUCCCUCUCGAUUUGGAACUGCUGUCGCACGCUCUUCCUCUCCCUCCUCCAUUUUCCUUCAGCCCUUCACCCUUUCUUUUACCAUUGUUCGAUCAUCUUCUCCAUGGAGGGAACAGGACAGAAACGACCCCGUUAUUCUUGCCCCCUGAAAGAUGACGUGGUGGAGGAACUCAUUGAUCGGUGCGACAUCAUCACCUCGGCUAGCAUGGCAGGUUCGUUCAAGCCCAUUCUCGACUCAACUAAUAACAUCAUUACAAGGAACCCAAGAGUCAAGGAGCGGUUUGAUCUCCCCUAUCUACUUCGCCGUGACCCUGAUGACUGGCGCCGUCAUGAUGGAGGCCUCGCCCUGUGCAAAUUGAUGCCGCUUGAUAAUGAUACGUAUGAUGUUAAGAUGCCAUCGCUUGAGGGCAAGGCUUGGGCAGGCACAAAUGGAGAUUGGGUUGUUUACAUUGGGUCCAACUGUGAGUGGGAACUUGUGAAUGUGUACACUCGUGACCGGGUUCCACUUCUGAAAAUCUCAGCAGACUGCCCAGAGGUUGAGCACACCGGUAUUGUACGCACAUUCAAAUACAAUCAUGGUGAUUGUCUUCUACGGAAGAUAGCAAUUUCUCGAGUCCCCAACCGCUCUUGGAAUUAAAACAACUAUGAAGUUGUUUCUAUCUUCGACAAGCUUGUUGCCGUCGUCAGUGGUUUGACUGGAUGGAUAUUGCUCAAAAAUCAGUUUCUGUACAUGGAUGAGUAUUGUGAUGCAAUUCAAUACGAGGGCCUUGUGUUUGCUGCCACCACACGUGGCACUAUUUUUGCAUGGCAUCCUCGUUGUUUCGGUACGUUUUUCUUCCACCGUAAUUAUAAUUGUUUCAUCCACAUGCAUGCGGGUUAGCAAGGCUGGUCAUAGUGGGGAGUAACUUAGACUAGUAACAUGCAUAUGUUACUAGUUUAUGUUACUACCUCUAUAGUGCAUAGUAUCUUAGAUUAGUAUCAUAUGUGGUCUCAUUUAUUGCCAUGCAUGACACAUAGUAGCAUCACAUUUAUUAUGUUACGGUAUCUACCUAUGUUACUAUAACCAUCUCUCUCUUCCUUAAUUGCCUACCACAUAAGCAUGUUUGCGAGUCCCAGGUGCAUGAUACUACUUAUGUUACACCUACUAUGGCCAGCCUUACUAAUUAACCUUAUUCUUGUGUUUCCAAGGUCCUGUGAACAUUCCACCACCUAUACUUGAAGAUUUUUAUAACCAAGGGGGAGAUGAUGAUGGUGAUGAUCAUGAGCAUGAGGACGAGCAGCACCCAUAUACUAUUUGGCGCCUGGCAACUAAUUUCGAUGGAUCACCUCUUCUCAUGUGUAUACAGCCCACUGAUGAUGUUCUGCUAAGGAAGCAGGUGUAGUCUCCCAUGGUCGCACUCUCCGGACCUAUUCCAACACCUGUUGCAUGGUAUUCAGGAAGGAUACUAGUGUGCUAGCGCCAACUCCUUCUCCCUGGUACAGAAUUGAUAGUCUUGGAGAAAACUCGCUCUUCCUUGGACAAAACUAUCCAAUGAUGGUGAAAGGCGAUCCAACUGUUGUUGACACAACGUUGCUACCAUUUAUGAGAAGCAACUGUGUCUAUACCUCGAACAUUUGGGUGGUUCCCUACCCUGGUACUGAUAUAGUAGGCCGCUUCAGCCUGGAUGAUCAGUCCUGCGUUGGUCUCCAGAUCGACAAUGGAUGGCCCGUCCCAGAGAAUCACUUGUGGUUCAAAGCAAGCAUUUCCAACACCGAGGAAUGGUUGAGUUGAAGUUCAUUUCAUUGCUUGCUAUUUGUUGUGUGGUGAAAAAUUUAGUAUUUAUAAUGUAUUCUCGUUGUCGAUGUGGGUUGAUGACCUGUUGUAUGUAAUAAAAUGACAUGCCUGUGAUGAACUUACUAAAUUUAUGAAUGGCUUUCAAGUUUUGCUUCUGUGAGUGGGUGGUGCGACGAGGCAAAAAAAAUAUUUUCCCAAUACAUAAUUGUGCGUGCAUUGCAACAGGUUAUCGGAUGGGGCCAAUCAACAAUAGUAGUACACUAUUUGUACUAGCUUCACAUGCUUUGUGCGUCGUGCGGGUGUUUUUACAGUAGCCAUACUGUACUACGUAACCAGCACCUCAAAUCCUCGAUACUAGUAGUACUAUAUAGUACUAACUAGUAGGAGUAGUAGGGUGGCAUGGGCUAGAACAAGCAUUCACGUCUAGGAGUACAGCACAGGCCACCAGCACGACUUCCAUCUGACAUCAUAUUUCUUGGAGUCCGUGCUAGAGCAAUCUCUUCAACCUCAUCGUUUCUCUAACUCAGCCAUCGCGCGGCGGGCGAGGUGGGGGUUUGUCGAUAGUCAGUUUCCUUAACUGCGGUCCCACUUGUAAGGCCAACUGCAACGCACAACCCCAAACGGACCUCCGUUUUGCAUGAACUCCAACGAUAAUUUUGAUUAGUAAAGCAAGACCAAAGAAAACAAGAACCACAAGAAUACAUUUUACUACUCCUGUAAGUUGGAUUAGUGCCUUCUCGAUGCAUUCAUUGUUGAUCUGCGAAGGCUCAAUCUUGCGUGCUUCUUUCUUCUUCGAGUGUAAAGAAGUAGACGUUGCUUCCUCGCAUCUAGUCUCAUGUCUAGCCUCUGUUCUAGUACUCCCUCCGGUCCAUUUUUCUCUGCGUCUAAGCAGCAACACGCAUACCAAGUAGGAGUAUCAACAAGUGCACUAAUCUCAUCCAUAGCCUUUGUGCUAGCUAAAAGUGAUAGAACAUCUACUAAAUUGCACUCUAUCAAUAUAUGGAUGUACUCUUCUUCCCAAUACAAAAAAUCGCAUCCAUUCUACUCCCUUCGUUCUACUACCUCCAUCCUGGUUUAUAGGUCCCCUUUGUAGUUUGUGUCAAAUUUUGACUAAAGAUUUAACUAACAAAAUGUUAAUGCAUGUCAAGAAAAAUUAUCUCAUUGGAUUCGUAUUUGAACAUAGUUUUCAAAAAUAUAAUGUUUGGUGACAUGCGUAAACAUUUUGUUAGUUUAAUCUAUGGCCAAAAUUUGGCACGAAAUAUAAUGGGGACCAGUAAACCCGGACGGAGGUAGUAUUUGUCAAAAUAUAUAUGUAUCUAGACAUGUUUUAGUAUAUAGGCACAUCCAUUUUUGGACAAAUGGAAGUCAAGUAUUUUGGAACGGAGGGAGUACACAAUAAAAAAUUUAAGUUACCACAACUAGUCUAAUCCGAGAGCACAACCGAAGAUUUGGUCGGGUUCUUCCUCCUUUUGCUGACUUGUGGGACAUCCAGCAUCCAGGUCGUGUCAUGAAAGAAAAUAGAGUGGUAGUUGAUAAGUUGAUGCCACGAGAUGUGCAUCUUGGGUUAAACUGUAAAUAGAAUCUUACUACUCUUGAGUAACUCCAAAAGCGGCCACCGAAGAUCUUUCUUUGAUUUUUUUCUCAUCACCAGCACGUCAAGGUGAAAGAUGUGCAGGUUCAGUGGGUCCCCUUGCGUUUUCACUGACAUGUGGGACCGCAUGUGAGCAAACAGACGAUGGGCUCCGCGCGUCCGCUGGCUGGCUAAGAAGAGAGAUAGAGGAGUGCUGAGCACGAACUGCAGGAAAUUUGUUCUACGUAUUGUACCUCGAUAUAGGCUCAAUAUAGAGGGGUGGCAUGGGCCAUAACUAGCAUUCACGUCUAGCACUACAGCACACGCCACCCACACGAGUUCCAUCCGACACCAAUUUUCUUGGAGUCCAUGCUACAGCCAUCUCUUCUCCCUCCUGUUUUCUCAGCCAUCGCGCGGUGGGCGGGGUGGGGGUUUGCCGAUAGUCAGUUUGCUCAAAUACGGUCCCACUUGUAAGUGAAAAUGCAACACCGCGUGCAUUCCCGCUUGAGCGGCAUGCCGGACCAAUCGUGUGGGGGUGCGGCGCGAACACAGCAGGCUUUUCCUUUUGAACUCGUAACUUGUAAAAUUUGGUUUUUCUCCAUGGUGCGAUCGGUAGAUAGAAAAUAACGAUUUUGCCUAGAGUAAUGAGAAGUUUGGUUCUGGCGCCGUUCAUGCAUGGAGUACGUAUGAAAAUUAUGAAGUUGAUGCGAGAUAAUUACUGUAGUAUCAUAUACUACUACAUGGAUUUGACGGAAAGAUAAAAACACAUACGGAUCCAUCAACGACAUCCUCAUGCCCUAGUGCGCCGGGUCACCAACCGACGUGUGAGGAGCAGCGGCGUUGGCGGCGAGCUCAACGUGCUUCUAAAUAGUGCGUCCAAGGUUGCCCUGCGGUCCAAGAAGGCCAGCGUCUUAUCGUCCUCCUCUUGCAUGCGUGUAAACGUGGGUGAUUAUGUCCAUGGUGUCUUGCUGCGCCAGGCGCUGCGCGGCGAGCGCGACCUCAAGGUGGACAUUCUCCGGCGCAAUGGCGGGCAGUCGCAGGGCCACCAGUGCGUUGAAGAGGUUGUCACCAUAGUGGCCAUUGAGGGUGGCGGGCAUCACAGAGCCUGGGCGCGUCGGCUGAAGGCUUACGUCAAAGUCGUCCACGAGCUUCUUGACAACGGUGAACUUGUCGAGGAAACCGACGAGGACCUCGUCGAACAAGGAGACGAAGUUGUCGUCCAAGCGGCCCCUCAGCCUGCCGGCCUCAAGCAAUACUACCUGGAGACGUUCCUCGUUGCCGAGCCGUAGGCCGGCGUCGUGGACCAUCUAGCACAGCCGGCUGAUGCUCGCGCUCAUCGCCUCCAUGGGUCUAGCUUAGCUUCUAUUAGUCAACUGAUCUUGCGAUUCGAGUGAUCACUCUUGCCCUUGGUUAGCAUGCGUAGGUGCGUAGGAUUUCGUACUACUCCUCGGCCCUCUACUUCACCUGCCUUUGGCUGUAAGAUAGGUGGGCCAGCCACCCCCUGGGCCCACGUGUCAUUCACCCAAAGGCAGUUGCCGUAAGUCAAUGAAGUUGCGCCCCCCUUCGUGCCGAUGCAGUAUAGUCAUCUCACCGGACCUCUAGUUGGGGCCAAACGAGAGAAGUUUGAUGUUUACUGGUUUAUUGGUCCCCUUUGCAUUUUGCGCCAAGUUUUGACCUUUGAUUUAACUAAUAAAAUGUUAAUGCAUGUAAACAAAAAUGUUGUGUAAGUCACAUUACGAAAACCAAAUAAUCCCAAAACACUUAGGCACGUUGCAUUAAAUCCCUCCUUGUUUCUUAUUUCGUGACAUAUCAACCAAUGAGAGAUGUGGGCCGUGCAUGCUUUCAAUGACUUGAGACUACCAAACAUGACAUGCAGUGUUUAGUUCAUUGCAUGUAAUCCUAUUAAGACUCUAGUUAGCAAGAAAACAUUAAGUUCUCUUGCCGAUAGGAAUAAAACACCAUGUAUUUAUUUACAGAGGGAGUAGUACAUUUUUUGUGACAUGCAUUACUAGAUAUUGCUAGUCAAAUACUAAAAUCUAGAUGGACGUGGUAGUACUCCUAAAUCCAGAUGGUGGUGCUACUAGUAUUAGUAGUAGUACUACCAGUGUAGUACUCCUAGGGGUACUAGCACUGUACUACCCGUUGUCAAAUUAUUACGUGCUGCUCCUCACAGUGAAGUGACAAGACCCUGCGCCGGAGAUGACACCUGAGUAUAGGCGCCGUCUUCGGCAUACCAUAGUCAGCCUCACUGUCUGCAGUCACUAUCAUCAUGGCUGUAGAGCUAGCCUGCUUACAACUAGCCCUGUUCGACAUAAUUUCCCGUGCGUAGAUGCCUGUGCAUUGCACGGAACACCAAGAUUGGGGGUGGACUGCUCCGGCAGCGGCCAUCGCGCCAGAUUUUUCAACGGCCUUCUAGAUGUGGUGGGGAGGAGAUAAGGCUAAUUGUGAGAGACAGGGAGUUGUUUGUAAAUAGGGAACAAGUGCGGGCAUCUUUUUGCAAAAAUGGAGAAGCUUGGUUUGUAUGCGUCAGAUCUAGAUCCGACGGAUACUGGUGAAAGAUGGGAGGCACAACAUCAUCACCAACUCAGAGACCUGUUUGAUUCGCAGGAUUUUGAAAACACAGGAAUAGGACACAGCAAUAUUACAAGUUUCAAACUGAUAUUACAAAUGUUAGGAGUAAUGUUGCACCUAGGAAGAGGGAAUUACUAGGAAGUUCACGUAAGAACUUUCGUUACUUUAGGUGGAUACAGCGUUAUCGUACAAACUAAAAUCCACCUCCCUGACAAGUCACUAAUGGGCAAAUAAGUUUUCGAGUCUCUGGCCACUUGAUGUUUCAAAAACAAAUUCAGCUUCUGCGGAGACUUUGUCCUUUAGGCUUAGACGCUUGCGGUGAUUAGCACGCCAUUCAUUUUUGCGCCAAAGAAUGCCAAACCUCAUUACCUUGAGCACACUUGCCUCCAGAACAAAGAACCUGGCCAAUUUAAUCUCAGAUGUGCUGCCUCGAUAGUCGAUCAAAUCAAUUUCUGUAAGAGGGAGAUCAAGGCAUUCGAUGAGAUUGUUAUAGUGCAGCACAUUUUUCACUUUUGGGUAUUUUUUUAUCUGCAAAAGAAGAGAACAUAUUAGAGCAGCUGGCUGCAUAAGAUUGCCGUGUCAUCAAGAGGUACCAAUAUCAUUCGCUCAUACGAUAGGGUUGGCUGGCUAGUGAUAUUUUUUCACUCUCUCUCUCUCUCUCCCUCUCUCUCUCUGUUUAUGUUUCCUCUCAUUUAACUAGGAGCACGUGAAGAGCUUGGGCAUUUGUUGCCUUCCACUGUGUGGCCGAUGCCAUAUUUCACAAAAGUAUGCCACAUAAUACGCAUCAAUGUCAAAUCAAAAGAUUUUGGCACCGCUCUCGCGAUGUGAGAGAGUUGGCACCGAUGUGCACACAGACCCACAUGUAUAAACAAAGCAAUCAAACCAACUACACCAGCCUCUCACUCUCCCAAACAAGUGUUUUUUUAUUGCCUCAGUCAUCUCUCUCUCCCACGCAGUGUUUUUUCAUUGUGUGAGUUAAUUUGGCACCGGAGCAAAGUAGGUGCUCCAGAUUGGGGCACCAGGUGAGCAAUGGAGGGGCAUCGAUGCCAAAUGCAUCACAAGUGAAUUUGGCACAUGUUUUGGCCUACAUAGCCCACUUUUGUACUCCCUCCGUCCCAAAAUUCUUGUCUUAAAUUUGUCUAAAUAUGGAUGUAUCUAGUUACAUUUAAUGUUAGAUACAUCCGUAUCUAAACAAAUGUAAGACAAGAAUUUUGCGACGGAGGGAAUACUACCUUGUAUUUAGUAUAAAAUUUUGACCAUAGAUUUACCUAAGAAAAUGCCAAUGCAUGUCACUAAAAAUUACACCAUUUGAAAUUUUGUUCAAAUACGAAUCCAACGAUAUAGUUCUUAGUGACAUGCAUUAACAUUUUGUCAGUUAAAUCUAUGGUCAAAUUUUGAUACUACAAAAUAGGAAGAGUAAACCAGGACGGAGGUAGUACUUGCCCUUAGGGUAACCAUAGAGUUACUGGAGUAGUCUAAGUUACUUUCCACUAUGACUAGCCUAGGCUACUAUAGUAGUACAGCAUAAAAAUGAUGCAGGUGAUCACGUGAGAAAAAAAUACUAAAAACAUUUAUUUUGGUGCAGUGCGUAGAUGUAGUUUUGAACACUACACUUGUCAUCGUAAUUUGGGAAAAUUACGAAAAAAAUUGAGCUACGUUGUGAUUACCGUUUACUAAUAGGAAAGAAGUUCACCUCGAUGAGUAGCUUCUCCGUGCAUGGAAAGCAUGUAAGGAAUCCAACAACUUGAUCCAAAUUGGGGCCAAUAGAUUUUAGUGCUAAGAUCUUCACUGUGUGCAUGGACUGGGUCAAGCUUGUGGGAAUCAUUUUCUGGAAGACGGUCGUAAAUACAUCAAGAAGAAAUUUAAAAAUGUGAAUUUCAAGAAGACGGAGAAGAAGAUGAGUGUUGUACCUGAACGAUUACGGAUCCAAUAAAGAGUUCGGAGAAUUUGGCAGACGAGUACACCAACGCAGUCAAUUUCGGCGCGUCAAUGACCCUGGUUUUUGUUGGACCUUCUAGAUUCGAUACAAGCAAUCUCUCAAGGAAAGGCGCAUUCUCAAUGACCAUAACACAGAACAGCUGGAGUGAUCUCUUCCCAAUUGAUGUCUUGUUGCGGGGCCAGCAAGACACAUAAAUCCAUCGGAGAUUCGUCGAGGCGAUGUGGAGGCUAAUGAACCCGUGGAUCUGCUCAAGACGAAGGUACUCGAGCAUAGUACAGCUACGGAGCAGGUGCUCCAUAGCCUUCUUCGAGAUGACAACGUCGAAGAGGUCGAGCUGCUUGAGUUGAGGGAGAAGAAGGGCGGACGUGGCAUUAAUCUGGGGAAGAUAGCAGGAGCUGAAGCUGGCGCCGCGCAGCGUUGGCGUGAGGCGGAGCACGGACAGUGGCAGAGAGCGACAUCGUCCAGCUUCAAAGCUGAGAUCCUCAAGCUGAUCUAGGGUGGGGGAUAAGAACCACUCAUUGAACUUGGGUUGGACCUUGCAGUUGGUACUGAACAUGCGGAUGUCAAGGCGUCUGGCUGGCCCAGGGUACGAUGAAAGGAUCUUGGAAACUGCGGCCAUGCAUUUGCAAUCCCCGUCGCAGAGGCAGCUGUCGACGGUGAGGUUGAGGGGGACGCAGCGCCAGAGGGGGCGCCACCGCCGGGAGAGUAGGGCGGUCCGCACGGCAGAUUUGGUGGGUUGGAGGCCGAUGAUGACGAGCAGCAUGUCAUCGGGGAGGCUGCUGAUGAAGUCCAGGCUCACCAGAUGCGGUUUUGGCUCGAGCGGCCUCUGCUUGUUGGCUGCCUCGCUGUCCAUCUCAACCGGCGGUGACGCCGGUGUACACGUGUGCUGGUGUGUGUUGUGUGUUGGGUGUGCGCGAGUGCGUCCUUCUAUGCAUGCCGCCGCGCAGUGGUGAAUUGUGCGCGAGUGCGUCCUUCGCGCGCAAGAAGUUUGUCCUCAAUGCGCCCUCAAUUUACUAGCGUGCAGGGUGCUACCCCGAGUGGUUUCAACUUUGUUUCCUUCACCGCGUGUCAGAUGGGCCUCUAGUUUACUUAUUUUCACCCACUGCCACAUGGGCCAGCACACCAAGAUACAGAACACGAGCUGACAACACGGCAUGUGGAUUGGUUGACCGGUCAACUAAACAAUAUACAGAGCUAUACGCUGACAUAGUGAGGGUAUAAUCCGUCGGUAUAGAGAGUUCGAGUGAGAGGGGAGGCCCAUGAGAGAUAGCAGAGAGAGAGAAAGAGCUACUCCCUCCGUUCGAUAAUGUAGUUACAACAUUGUUUUAAAGUCAAACUUUUGAAACUUUGACCAAGUUUAUAAAGAAAUUACUUAUAUCGGCAAUACCAAAGAUAAAUGAUAGUGUGAAGUAAGUACAUGUUGUGAUGAAUCUGAUGAUCGUUCCAGAUGUAAAUGUUUUUCUCCACAUAUACCUAGUGAAACUUUUCUGAGGUUUGACUUUUCAAAACAUCCAUAUGCUUAUGGACGUGACAGAGUCCCUGACGAGAGAGAGAGAGAGAGUGAGUGAAAAAAAUGUGCGUGCGUGUGUGAAAGAGACAUGGACAACACACGAAAAAGUGGAGAAAAAGUGUGCGUGUCUUAUGCAAACAUAUCACACAUGCAUCUUCGACAAAGGAGGCAAGGUGAGGAGAUAGUGUGUGGUUGUUUGGAACCGAGAGAGGAAGACCCCUAGCACGUGGCCAAGAGGGGUCUGAAAAACAAGGGAGAGAGGUCGAGAGAGACGUACGGAGAAAAUGCAGACAUGGGGAGGAGAGAGUGUAUGUUUGUCAUAGAGAGAUCCCCUGGAGAUCGUGAUGGGACUACAUGGGUGGGAGAUCGAGUGGCAAGGUGUGUGCGCGAUAGAAGAUGCCCCGAGAAAUAUCGAGAUAGACGUAUGGAUGGAAGGAGACAAUACGUGUGUUCUUGAUGGCUAGUAAGAGAUAAUCAUACUUAGGAGGGGGGAGUGCUUGCGCCUACGGCCCUGUUUGGAUACUCUAACUCAGUUAGAGGUUAGAGUUAGAUUCUAACCCUGAACUAACUCUAAGUAAAGAGGUGUUUGGAUGGCAGGGUUAGAUGGAGCACGGAUACGGCAAGGCACCUUCACGGGCGGUGCGAGAGGGAGGGAGGGAUAGGAGAAGAAGCUUCGAGGAAGUGGGGAGGGAUCUGCUGCAGGGAGAGCGAGAGAAAAAAGUGUUUAUUAGUGGUCCCAAGAAGAACUAACCCAAAUAAGCACCUCUUGGAUGGGUUAGUUUUUUUGGAUGGGUUAGAUGCAUCUAACCUAAAUUAACCCUCCUGUUUGGAUCUUUUUGGGUUAGUUGACUCCAAACUAACCCAAACUAACUCUAACCCAUGGAUCCAAACAGAGCCUAUGAUGGAGUGAGGGAUUAUGGUACUUAGGGGGGUGCGUGUCACAUGGAGAGAGAACAAGGGCAGAGAGUGUUGGAUGGGUCUAUAUGUAUAGCGCAAGCGAGACAUGUGUAUGUGUGAACCAGGGAGAUAUAAGGCCCGUUUGGCUUGCGUCGUGAGGAUCUUUUGCGUGGCCUGGGGUUGUGGCUAGAUUUCAUGCACGCUUGUUUGGUUGCUACCCUAUGAAAAAGAAAGCCCGCCUGGGUUGGGUUCCCUUGCACUUUAAUUAUCCUGGCUGAACUCCAGACACUGCAAGUAGCCUGGCCCAAGCGACCAGUUUCGAAUGCCUGGCCAUGCCUGGUCGUGCGGCCACGAGGCUAACAGCAACAUGGAUGGAUAUUAGCAUUAAAUAAUUGAUGCAUGGAUUGAUUGAUGGGACGUUGAUGCUUUGCCUGAGCCGGGCAUGAAUCAAACGCUUCAUCACCACACAAGCCUGGCCAGGCAAAAAUAUUUUACAUCUCACGUCCACACCAGGAAGUACCGACCAUCAAGGUAUGAGGGUCAGGUCACGAACCAAAUUGACCAAUAAAGUUUGAGAGAGAUUGAGGAGCCCCGAUAAGGCCGAGUGGUGCGUCAGAUAGCUGAGAGGGGGAAGAUAUUCCAUCCGCUCGAUAAUGCAGUGCAUGUGAAUUUUUUAGAAGUCAAACUGUGGAAACUUUGAUCAGGUUUACGCAAAUGUUAUUUAUAUCUACAAUACCAAAGAUACACCAUACAAAACUACAUCUCAUGGUGAAUCUAAUGGUAUAUGUUUGUCGUACUAGAUGUAAUUCUUUUUCUCCACGUACAUGGUCAAACUUUGUGAUGUUUGACUUUUCAAUAAAUCUAUGUGCUAUGGACGGAGGUGAGUGCCUCAGUCGAGACAGAUCAAGUGCGUGUGAAGGAGAAUGAGUAAGUGUACAAAAACAGUAUGUGUGUGAAAGAGAAAGUGACAACAAACGAUAAAUUAGAGAGAGUGUGUGUUUUUUCGUUUCUUAUGCGAACAUAUCACGCAUGCAUCUCCGAGAUGGAAAAGCGAGGCGAGGAGAUACACGAAGAUAGCUAGUGUGUGAUUGUUUGCAAUGGAGAGAGACACCCCUGUAGCACAUGUCCAACAGAGGUCUGGCCAACAAGAAAAAAAGGUCGAGAGGGACACAUGGAUGGCAUGGACGCAUGGGGAGGGAGAGAGGGUGUGUUUGUGAUAGAGAGAUCCCCUCGAGAUCGUGAGGGGACUAUAUGGGUGGGAGAUCGAGGGAGUGCGUGCGUGAUAGAAAGAUGCCCCGAGAGAAAUCGAGAUAGACCAUGCACAUGUUUGUGAUGGAGACUAAGAUUAGCUAGUCAUAUACAUAUACGGGGGACUACGUGUGCCUACAAUUGAGUGAGAGACCAUCAUACUUGGCUAGCUGGGCAUGAGAUUGUGUGUGUGUGCGCGUGUGAGAUGGAGAGAGAACGAUGGAGAGAGAUAGAGUUUUAGAUGGGCCUAUCGAGUGCGAGUGAGAUAUGCAUGUGUAUGUGUGACCCAGGUGGAUGGAGAGUUUGAGAGAGGGGGGAAGAGCUCCGAGACAACAUAGUGGUGCGUGAGAGAGUUACGGGCAAAGAGCCAAGGAAUUUGUGUGCGUACGAUGAGUGCACCCAAGAUAUCUAGCUUGGACUAGCUAGAGUAUCAUACAUAGUGUGCGAGAGAGACCUAUAGAUGGUGUAUAUAUGAAUGCGGACUAGAAAGACCCCCCCCACACACACACACACCCAGAGAGAGAGAGAGAGAAAGGGAGAGGGACGAACAAGGUUUUUGUGUCGGAUGCGUGCGACAGAAUUGAAGAUUGUCGGCGAGAGUGAGAGAGAGAGAGAGAGAGAGAAAACAGGAGUCCGGGAGAGGGGGAGGUCGCGUUUUAUGCAUCAAAGACUGAUAUAAACUUGCAUUCAAAUAUUUAAAUUGGAGACCAUGCUGUCUGCAAUCCACACAUGAACGGAUAUAUGCGUAUGUCAAACAAGUUCAUUAAUUUGACUUUCAACAUGUUCAUGGAGCAAUAUAAUACUGUACAACAUGCUACUCGAUUGAGGUGUUCAAUUUUGGAUUUAGUUCACUAUUUUGACCUACUGAACGAGCUAGUUCAUUGAAUCGAGAUAUUUCAUUUUGGAUUUGAUUCGCAUUUUUGAGUGGGUCAACUAUUUGUCAUAUAGUAAAUCGCUAGCAACGAGCAUGUAAAAACACAUUACUCCGGAGCAUCAUCUCUCCAUCUAAAAAAGAAGUGGCAAGCUAAUAUUUCAAAAUUUGAUUCGAAUCGACUUGGUAAGGUAGAUGUGGAUGCUCGUUCUCCCAAAAUUUGAAUGAACCGUUAAACAUCCUCUCUACACGGUGGAUUUCGCCCGAGCAAAUAAAUGGGAGACGUGAAAUUACCGUCCUAUGUGGGACACGCAUCAAUUGGCCCGUUGUACAUCGAGGGUAGGUUCGUAACUUCAUCCAAGCGCGCCUUCUCCUUGGCUGAAAUGACAUGUGCUAAAUAAUUCAUAAACCAUGGUCGGCAAAACACGCUCUCCUCGCCCGAAAUAGCUCGCGCCCACUAUUUCAAAACACGCUCUCCUCGCCCGAAUUCGCUCGCGCCCACUAUUGUUCAAAACACGCCCUCCUCGCCCGAAAUCGCUCCAGGCCACUAUUUGGGGAGAAGCAAAGUUACUCUACUAUCCCCGACCCUCAGUACACAGACCCAAGACAAGAAGCCUAUAGGCAAGGGUAGAACUGUAACUCCCCCUCACAUUUCAGACAAAUGCGUCUGUAAGACAUGGUUCCACUCCCCUCCCAAUUCCCCCCCCCCUCCCGCCCCCAUUCAUACCUCGUGGGCGCCAAAUCACCUUCUCCCCGGGAAGUUCCCUUCUCCCGAGCCGUGAAACCUCAGCCCCACCUCCAUGGCGCCCCCCACCGCACCAAUUUCACAGCCGCCCUCCUCCCUAAUGCCGGAGACGUUGUCCAAUUGCCGUCGUGCACUGGGCCGUGUGCCUCUUACUCCGUGCUGCUGGUGCUGCCUCGACGACGGCUGCGUGAACCGUACCGGAGCCGAUUCACCCCCGCCAUUGUUCACGGCGCCGGAGCGGCUCCAACUUCGUAUCCGUCCAGAGUCCUGGCACUGCUUCCGCGUAGCCGUCGACCGUCGCGACAUCGCUCUUUCUCUGCCGCCGGUCACCACCGCAACCGCGCCGGCCUCACCGACUCGGCAGCUGGACCUGCCUACUUCACCAUAUCGCCAGAUAGGUCACACCCUCAUCUGAAAUCACUUUAUUUAGGCGUCAGUUGUCUGAAUUUUUUCUGGGCCAAUCGAUUCCCAAUGGGAAGCAGCACCCCUCAAGGCGGCGGAGCUCCUAGGCUGCCAGUUGGCUGGUGUCUAACGUAAGGGUGCGGGCUGCAAGUUCGUCGUAGAAGCAGCGCCUAGAUGGCUAUCUUUUAGAGUUUCGUGGGUUGAAGGUACUGCCGCCACCAGAUCUGGAUGAUGGGGAGUCGUUGUGGAUUGGCCUGGGGGUGGCGCAACCACGGCAGUGCGGUGGGGCAGGGAGCGGGGUUUUGGACGGGGCCACGGACAGCGGAGGCAGGCUGCUCUGCCGUUGGUCACUGGCUCUUCGGGGAAGAUUCCGAACAGUGUUAGCCGAGAGGCACAAGACGGCCAUCAAGCCAUCCAGCGUAGAUCGGACAGUACCAAAAUAAAAUAAAAUCGUGUGACCCCAAUUUAGUCUUUAGUCAACAGACGUGUGACCACUCUCGUACCUUGCUGUUGAUCUCUUAGUGUAUUUCUUCAGAUCAAAGAGAUAUGUCGUUCUUAACUUUAUGCGUUAUCUGCAUCUUCAGACACACCGUCUUCCGACUCACCGCAGCUGCUCCAACAAGGGAAGCAUACACCAAAAGGGAGCUACAGUCCCCACUCAACAGUUCCCUGCAUCGAAUGCGCGUGCUCGACAUGGACAACCACAACAACUGCAGGGCCAUCGACAAGUCAACACAUGAUGCUCACCCCUAUGGAUGGCAGCCAGAUAGGUUGUACCCUCAUCUUACUUGUGUGCAACAUUCAUGGCUUUGUUAUUCAUCUAAGCAUGGAAAAUAGAUCAUCACAUUUCACUUUAUAUUCAUGUUGAUCUCUUAUGGGUCUUGUUCAGGAGUUCACGUUGUUCCAUAGUUCAGCUAAGAUACUUGUUCUUUAGGUAACGCUAUUCCAUAGUUAUCAUCCAUCAGCCAAUGCUACCCCACAGGCUGGUGAUUAUAGUAUUAUACCACGUCUAGUAUUACCUAUGUUGUUCUUUAAUACUUUUGUGUGCCAUCUAGUUAAUCUCGAGUACAAAUGAUACAUAUUGUAUAGCUUUCAUCUGUGUUCUCCCUUUAGUUUAUGAGACCUAUUGCUGCUAGUUAACCCCAGUCCUACUAUUUAUGUCGUCUCCUACAGGCACUCAUUUACAUAAAUCUAACUACUAGUUGUCUUCCAUGCAUGUCGGAUAUAAUUGCACACACUGAUAUAUCCACAAGAACCUCACGGAGCAAUGUAAAGGCCAAUAAACUUGAUGUCAAUGAUACCCAAUAUGAUGGAACAUAUAAAGGCAGUUCUUCAGAAGACUUGCAGAAAGAUGAUGAAUCCUCUUCACCCCACAAGGUCCUUGCUCUAACUUGGCCUGUGAUAUGGGUACAACAUGCAUAUAAUGUCCUGGAGUGUAUCUACUCUGUUGCAAUGCCAUGUGCUUAGCAUGCUGAUCAUGAAUGUAAAUAUGUCAUGCCUUCCUGUUUUUCAGUACCUAUUCCAUUCAUGAUAACAUGUUUUCAAAUUCAAGUACUGUCAUUCUACUCUAUCGCAAUGCCAUCUGCUUGAUUUGGACAUCAUGCUUCUGAAUAUCGUAUGCAUUGUUAUUCAUCAGUAUGUACUUCAUCUGUCUGCCAUACCAUGUUUUUUUACAUUGAAGUGUUGUUCUAGUGCUCUGUUGCAAUGCCAUCUUAUUUUCCCAAUCAUACACGUGUAUGUUGCCUUGGUUAUUUAUGUACGUAUUCCGCUAGCAUAUAGUUUUACAUUCAACUAGUUUUUUUUUGCUAUGUUGUCCUGUCAUAUCCCUAGCUCUUACACCAUACUCCCUCCGUCCGGAUUACAUGUUGCCGAAAUGUAUAAAAAAGGAUGUAUCUAGAACUGAAAUAUGCCUAGACCCAUCCAUUUUUUUCCGGAUGGAGGGAAUACAUGUCAAUAUGUCAUGCCUUUCUAUUCUUCGGUACCUAUUCCAUCUCUCUGUUGUCGCAUGUUUUAUAAUUAAAGCAUCAUUCUUCUAUACAAGGCAUGCAAGGGGAAGACGACUAUGUUAGAAUCUGAAGGGUUACAAACAAGGCCUUUGCAAAAGAUCCAAAUGCCAGGAGAUAAUAAACCAACUCCAGUUUUUAUAGAUACUGCUCCAGCAUAGAGAAACCCAACUCCUACUGAUAAUAAGCAGAUUCCAGUGUCCAAAGAACUAGUCCGCUCCAGUCGAGCAAAAAUAUGUCAACUCAAUUCUAAGAAGCGUGUGCGUAUCCUUGCAUCAUGAAAUUUUAUAGCAUGCUGAUCAUAGUUUCUACAUGUUUCUUACCCAUCUCUCUUUUAGAAAAUAAGCUUAACAGAUAGAAGAAUUUCUGCAAUGGUAUCGUUUGUGAGGAAAGAUUCUUGCAGGAAUUCUCUAUGCUCCAAUGUAGAUGUAAGUACCUGUUGUAUAUCACUAUAUUUUUACAUCAGCAUGUAUUUUGUUAAUCGGCAUGAAUCCAACCUUUAUCUAAUCUAAAUUUAGUUGUAGCAAAAUGUAUGAUUAAAGGCCACAAUGUUGAUUUUUGUAAGGAAAACUGCCUGGUAGUUUGCAUCCUGAGCUGCAUGAGUGUACUAUCUCAUAUCAGUGGGUUUGAAUACUUUGGUUCUGCAGUGGGUUUUUCAGUGUUUUUUUACUGUGUUGUCCUCUCGUAUCCAUAGCUCUUACAUCAUACUCCCUCCGUCCGGAUUAAAUGUCGCAGAAAUGGAUAAAACUGGAUGUAUCUAGAACUGAAAUACGCCUAGACCCGUCCAUUUAUUUCCGGAUGGAGGGAAUACAUGUCAAUAUGUCAUGCCUUUCUAUUCUUCGGUACCUAUUCCAUCUCUGCUGUAGCAUAUUUUAUAACUGAAUCACCAUUCUUCUAUAUAAGGCAUGCAAGGGGAAGACGUCUCUAUUAGAAUCUGAAGGGUUACAAACUAGGUCUUUGCAAAAGAUCCAAAUGCCAGGAGAUAAUAAACCAACUCCAUUUUUCAUAGAUACUGCUCCAGCACAGAGAAACCCAACUCCCACUGAUAAUAAGCAGAUUCCGGUGGCCAAAGAACUAGUCCGCUCCAGUCUAGCAAAAGAAUGUCAACUCCAUUCUAAGAAGCGUGUGCGUAUCCUUGCAUCAUGAAAUUUUAUAGCAUUCUGAUCAUAUUUUCUACAUGUUUCUUACCCAUCUCUCUUUUAGAAAAUAAGGUUAAACAAUAGAAGACUUCCUCCAUUGGGAUCGUAUUCGAGGAAAAUAUCUUGCGGGAAUUCUCUGUGCUCCAAUGUUGAUGUAAGUAUCACUAUAUUUUUACAUCAACAUGUAUUUUGUUAAUCGGCGUGAAUCUAACCUUUAUCUGAUAUUAAAUUAGUUGUAGCAAAAUGUUAAAGGCGCCAAUGUUGAUUUUUGUAAGGAAAACUACCUGGUAGUUUUGCAUACUGAGCUGCAUGAAUGUACUAUCUCAUAUCACGCACAUUACUGAAUUGUAGUGCUUCUCUGGUUGCCCAUUCAUUCAUUGUGUCAAUGUUGCUUUCGUACUACCUUACCUGGCUGAUGAUAGCUGUGCCACAUUGUGUUAAUUUGGUGUAGGCUACUUGCCCAAACGUUCAUUGUGUCAAUGUUACUUUCCUAUUAUCUGACUUGGCCAAUGAUAGCAAUGCUAGUGUGUUAAUUUUGAGCAGGCUGCUGAAGGUAAGAAGACAAAUUCUGAAAAUAGCAAGGCAACCCCAUUGUUUCUUUCCAGUAAAUCUAGGCCAGGUAAUAUGGCAAUAACUCAUGAUUAAUCUGUUUGGUUCCCGUCCUAAUUUAUGUUAUGAUGCAGUGGUCGAGACACUCUCCACUAUCAAUAAUACAAGCCUGCCAAAAUUGCCAUCUGAAUCUGUUCAGUAUCCUCUGUCUCGAAUGCAACAGAAUAAAUGUAUGUUUGUGAAUCAAUUAAUUGCUGAAGCAAUGAUGGAAAUGGUGGAUGAAUCAGAGGUGCAGAGUUGUGCGACACAACAACAGAUCAAUGUUUUCAGAGACAGUGUAGCAAAGCAGAAAAAACAUGCCCACAUGCUUAUGGGCGUCAUUUGUGCUGAGGUUGCAGAUUGUGACGUUGUAGAUGGUUAGGUUCUGCUCAUUUAUUUGCACUGGCAUCAAUCUUUGAUUGCCCAGUGGAUGUAAUUUCCUGUAAUAUAUGCUGGAUGUGCAACGUUAUUCCCUGUAUGCCGUACCUUUGCGUGAUCGGUUUUGGUCCUUUGCAUAAUUGCUCGUCGUAAUGGGCUCAAAUUAUCUAAUUUGGCCUAAAGACAUGUAUGAACUUUAGUGGGCCCAUUAAGUUAAACGGGUCGUUAAUAGGCUGAAAUUUCAUCGGGCCAAUAUUGAGCCCAGAUAUAUAGCGGGUUGUUAACGGGCUCGAACUGACGAUGGGCUGUAAUGGUGUCAAAUCUUUAACGGGCCGUUGACGGGCCGAAUUGGCUCAUCUCGUAUGGGCCGUGGGCUUAAAUGGACCUGACACAAGUAGGCCUUAUAUGGGCUGGCAUGCUAAUUUUUACUGGGCCGGCCUUUUCACAGGAAUGGGCCCCUGUUGGGUCGUGCCACGUAUCGAUGUACCAUAGGCGUCUUCCGUCCAGUGAGUGGAUGACAUCUGUCCCAACGGUGAGCCGACACGUGUUUCCUCCAGCCAAUGAUGAUUUUACACGUGGAAAAUCCCAAUUGGUCGGGGCUGUUAACGGGUUAUCGGAUCCAAAACCCGACCCGAUAGCUUAACGACGUUCCGUUAGGUGGAUGCCACGUGUUGGUCACCCUUGACGAAAGCACUUCUGUGACACGUGAUUUAUCGUCAUGGAAGUGGACACUUCUGUGAUGAUAAUUUUGGUAAUGUCAUGGAACACUUCUACGACAGCACACGUAUGACUAUCUUGAUUCUGUCAUAAAUUUGUCAUGGAUGUACAUGCAUGACAAAAAACGCGACCUACUAUGACAAACACGUAUCAUCACGGAAGUGUAUUUUUUGUAGUGUUUAUGCGAUGAUCAUGACGCGAGAGCGAUGUUUGCUUGUUUUGGGAGUUCUUCUUCUACUUCUUCUUUGAUCAGGGGAUAGGUUCCAGGUCGGCAGCCUGGGCUAGCAGGGUGGAUGUCGUUUGAGUUUCUGUUUAUGUUUCAUCCGUAGUCGGAUGUUGAUCUUGUAUAUGACAUGAUGUUGUAUUCGUGUGGCAUUGUAUGCCUUAUGUAUGUAUCCCUAUCUAUUAUGUAAUGUUGAUGUAAUUAUAUUCACCUUACAAAAGUGUCUUCAAGAUGCGCUUCUAUCCUUGGUGGGACCUUCGAGUUCCUUUAGGAUAGGGUCACAUCUUGGGUGUGACACCUAGCUCAAAAGAUAUAAUUGAAACACAAAGAGUAUUCUAAUAAAUUCAUGAUUAAUGCGUGUCCCUCUCAAAAGGUGUUGGGGAACGUAGUAAAUUCAAAAAUUUCCUACGCACACUCAAGAUCAUGGUGAUGCAUAUCAACGAGAGGGGAGAGUGUAGUCCACGUACCCUCGUAGACCGAAGGCGGAAGCGUUAGCACAACGCGGUCGAUGUAGUCGUACGUCUUCACGAUCCGGCCGAUCAGGUACCGAACGCACGGCACCUCCGAGUUCUGCACACGUUCAGCUCGAUGACGUCCCUCGAACUCCAAUCCAGUCGAGCUUUGAGGGAGAGUUCCGUCAGCACGACGGCAUGGUGACGAUGAUGAUGUUCUACCGAUGCAGGGCUUCGCCUAAGCAACGCUAUGAUAUUAUCGAGGUGAACUAUGGUGGAGGGGGGCACCGCACACGGCUAAGAGAUCUCAAGGAUCAAUUGUUGUGUCUCCAAGGGGUACCCCUCUCCCCGUAUAUAAAGGAGUGGAGGAGGGGGAGGGUCGGCCCUCUCUAUGGCGCGCCCUAGGGGAGUCCUACUCCCACCGGGAGUAGAAUUCCCCCUUUCCUAGUAGAACUAGGAGCCCUUCCAAGUAGUAGGAGUAGGAGAGAAGGAAAGGGAAAAGAGAAGAGAAGGAAGGAGGGGGUGCAGCCCCUCCCCCUAGUCCAAUUCGGACUAAGACUUGGGGGGGCGCAACCUCCCCUCUCUCUUUCCCUAAAGCCCAAUAAGGCCCAUCUACUCACCGGUGAAUUCCCGUAACUCUCCGGUACUCCAAAAAAUACCUGAAUCACACGGAACCUUUCCGAUGUCUGAAUAUAGUUGUCCAAUAUAUAGAUCUUUACGUCUCGACCAUUUCGAGACUCCUCGUCAUGUCCCCGAUCUCAUCCGGGACUCCGAACUACCUUCGGUACAUCAAAAUACAUAAACUCAUAAUAUAACCGUCAUCGAACUUUAAGCGUGCGGACCCUACGGGUUCGAGAACUAUGUAGACAUGACCGAGACACGUCUCCGGUCAAUAACCAAUAGCGGAACCUAGAUGCUCAUAUUGGCUCCCACAUAUUCUACGAAGAUCUUUAUCAGUCAAACCGCAUAACAACAUACAUUGUUCCCUUUGUCAUUGGUAUGUUACUUGCCCGAGAUUCGAUUGUAGGUAUCUCAAUACCUAGUUCAAUCUCGUUAACGGCAAGUCUCUUUACUCGUUCCGUAAUACAUCAUCCUAUAACUAACUCAUUAGUUAUAAUGCUUGCAAGGCUUAUAGUGAUGUGCAUUACCGAGUGGGCCCAGAGAUACCUCUCCGACAAUCGGAGUGACAAAUCGUAAUCUUGAAAUAUGUUUCCGGUUAAUACAAUUCUAGCAUGAAUAAUAAACAUUUAUCAUGAAAUAAGGAAAUAAAUAAUAACUUUCUUAUUGCCUCUAGGGCAUAUUUCCUUCAGUCUCCCACUUGCACUAGAGUCAAUAAUCUAGUUCACAUCACCAUGUGAUUUAACACUAAUAUUCACAUCUGCAUGUGAUUAACACCCAUAGUUCACAUCGUCAUGUGACCAGUGCCCAAAGGGUUUACUAGAGUCAAUAAUCUAGUUCACAUCAAUAUGUGAUUAACACCCGAAGAGUACUAGGGUGUGAUCAUGUUUGCUCGUGAGAGAAGUUUAGUCAACGGUCUAUCACAUUCAGAGUCGUAUGUAUUUUGCAAAUAUUCUAUGUCUACAAUGCUCUGCACGGAGCUCUAUAGCUAAUUGCUCCCACUUUCAAUCUGUAUCCAGAUUUAGACUUAGAGUCAUCUGGAUCAGUGUAAAAGCUUGCACCGAUGUAACUUUUUACGACGGGCUCUUUUAUCACCUCCAUAAUCGAGAAAUAUUUCCAUAGUCCUCACUAAGGAUUUUCUUGACCUCUGUCCAGUGAUAUACUCUUAGAUCAAAAAUUGUACUCCCUUGCCAAAUUCAGAGCAAGGUAUACAACAGGUGUGGUACACAGCAUAGCAUACUUUAUAGAACCUAUGACUGAGGCAUAGGGAAUGACUUUUCAUUCUCUUUCUAUUUUCUGCCAUGGUCGGGUUUUGAGUCCUACUCAACUUCACACCUUGCAACACAGGAAAGAACUCCUUCUUUGACUAUUCCAUUUUGAACUACUUCAAAAUAUUAUCAAGGUAUGUACUCAUUAAAAAAUCUUAUCAAGCGUCUUGAUCUAUCUUUAUAGAUCUUGAUGCUCAAUGCGUAAGCAGCUUCACUGAGGUCUUUCUUUGAAAAAACUCUCAUUCAAGUAUCCUUUUAUGCUAUCCAGAAUUUCUAUAUCAUUUCCAAUCAACAAUAUGUCAUCUACAUAUAGUUUUAGAAAAUGCUACAGAGCUCCUACUCACUUUCUUGUAAAUACAGGCUUCUCCAAAAGUCUGUAUAAAACCAUAUGCUUUGAUCAACUCAUCAAAGCGUAUAUUCCAACUCCGAGAUGCUUGCACCAGUCCAUAGAUGGAUCGUUGGAGCUUGCACAUUUUGUUAGCACCUUUAGGAUUGACAAAACCUUCUGGUUGCAUCAUAUACAACUCAUCAUUGGUAAAUCCAUUAAGGAAUGCAGUUUUGACAUCCAUUUGCCAGAUUUCAUAAAAUGUGGCAAUUGCUAACAUGAUUCAGACAGACUUAAGCAUCGAUACGAGUGAGAAAAUCUCAUCGUAUUCAACACCGUGAACUUGUCGAAAAACUUUUUGCGACAAGUCGAGCUUUGUAGAUAGUAACACUACUUAUCAGCGUCUGUCUUCCUCUUGAAGAUCCAUUUAUACAAUAUGGCUUGCCGAUCAUCGGGCAACUCCACCAAAGUCCACACUUUGUUCUCAUACAUGGAUCCUAUCUCAAAUUUCAUGGCCAAAAGCCAUUUCGCGGAAUCUGGGCUCAUCAUCGCUUCCUCAUAGUUUGUAGGUUCGCCAUGUCAAGUAACAUGACUUCCAGAAUAGGAUUACCGUACCACUCUGGUGCGGAUCUUACUCUGGUUGACCUACGAGGUUCGGUAGUAACUUGACUGAAGUUUCAUGAUCAAUAUCAUUAGCUUCCUCGCUAAUUGGUGUAGGAAUCACUGAAACUGAUUUUUUGAUGAACUACUUUCCAACAAGGGAGUAGGUACAGUUACCUUAUCAAGCUCUACUUUCCUCCCACUCACUUCUUUCGAGAGAAACUCCUUCUCUAAAAAGGAUCCAUUUUAGCAACGAAUAUCUUGCCUUCGGAUCUGUGAUAGAAGGUGUACCCAACAGUUUCCUUUGGGUAUUCUAUGAAGACGCACUUCUCCAAUUUGGGUUCGAGCUUAUCAGGUUGAAACUUUUUCACAUAAGCAUCACAGCCCCAAACUUUAAGAAAUGACAACUUUGGUUUCUUGCCAAACCACAGUUCAUAAGGCGUCGUCUCAACGAAUAUUGAUGGUGCCCUAUUUAAAGUGAAUGCAGUUGUCUCUAAUGCAUAACCCUAAAACAAUAGUGGUAAAUCAGUAAGAUACAUCAUAGAUCGCACCAUAUCCAAUAAAGUUCGGUUAUGACGUUCGGACACACCAUUACGCUGUGGUGUUCCAUGUGGCAUGAGCUGUGAAACUAUUCCACAUUGUUUUAAAUGAAGGCCAAACUCGUAACUCAAAUAUUCUCCUCUACGAUCAGAUUGUAGAAACAUUAUUUUCUUGUUACAAUGAUUCUCCACUUCACUUCUGAAAUUCUUUGAACUUUUCAAAUGGUUCAGACUUGUGCUUCAUUAAGUAGAUAUACUCAUAUCUGCUCAAAUCAUUUGUGAAGGUCAGAAAAUAAAGAUAUUUGCCACGAGCUUCAACACUCAUUGGUCCGCAUACAUUGGUAUGUAUUAUUUCCAACAAGUCAGUAGCUCAUUCCAUUGUUCCGGAGAACGGAGUUUUAAUCAUCUUGCCCAAAAGGCACGGUUCGCAAGCAUCAAAUGAUUCAUAACCAAGUGAUUCUGAAAAUCCAUCUUUAUGGAGUUUCUUCAUCCGCUUUACACCGAUAUGACCCAAACGGCAGUGCCACAAAUAAGUUGCACUAUCAUUAUCAACUUUGUAUCUUUUGGCAUCAAUAUUAUGAAUAUGUGUAUCACUACAAUCGAGAUCCAACAAAUUUCUUUCAAUGGGUGUAUGACCAUUGUAGGUUUUAUUCAUGUAAAUAGAACAACAAUUAUUCUUUUACUUUAAAUGAAUAACCAUAUUGCAAUAAACAUGAUCAAAUCAUAUUCAUGCUCAACGCAAAUGCCAAAUAACAUUUAUUUAGGUUUAACACUAAUCCCGAAAGUAUAGGGAGUGUGUGAUGAUGAUCAUAUCAAUCUUGGAACUACUUCCAACACUGAUCGUCACUUCCCCUUCAACUAGUCUCUGUUUAUUCUAUAACUCCUAUUUCGAGUUACUAAUCUUAGCAACCGAACAAGUAUCGAAUACACAAGGGCUACUAUAAACACUAGUAAGGCACACAUCAAUAACCUGUAUAUCAAAUAUACCCUUGUUCACUUUGCCAUCCUUCUUAUCCACCAAAUAUUCAAGGCAUUUCUGUUUCCAGUGACCAUUUCCUUUGCAGUGCAAGCACUCAGUUUCAGGCUUUGGUCCAGCUUUGGGCUUCUUCACGGGAGUGACAACUUGCUUGUCAUUCUACUUGAAGUUCCCUUUCUUUCCCUUUGCCCUUUUCUUGAAACUAGUGGUCUUGUCAAUCAUCAACACUUGAUGCUCUUUCUUGAUUUCUACCUUCGUUGAUUUCAACAUCGCGAAGAGCUCGGGAAUCAUUUUCGUCAUCCCUUGCAUACUAUAGUUCAUCAUGAACUUCUACUAACUUGGUGAUGGUGACUAGAGAACUCUGUCAAUCACUAUCUUAUAUGGAAGAUUAACUCCCACUUGAUUCAAGCGAUUGUAGUACCCAGACAAUCUGAGCAUAUGCUCACUAGUUGAGCGAUUCUCCUCCAUCUUUUAGCUAUAGAACUUGUUGGAGACUUCAUAUCUCUCAACUCGGGUAUUUGCUUGAAAUAUUAACUUCAACUCCUGGAACAUCUCAUAUGGUCCAUGACGUUCAAAACGUCUUUGAAGUCCCGAUUCUAAGCCGUUAAGCAUGGUGCACUAAACUAUCAAGUAGAAAUCAUAUUGAGCUAGCCAAACGUUCAUAACGUCUGCAUUUGCUCCUGCAAUAGGUCUGUCACCUAGCGGUGCAUCAAGGACAUAAUUCUUCUGUGCAGCAAUGAGGAUAAACCUCAGAUCACGGACCCAGUCCGCAUCAUUGCUACUAUCGUUUUAAACUUAGUUUUCUCUAGGAACACAUAUAAAACAUAGGGAAGCAACAAUGCGAGCUAUUGAUCUACAACAUUAUUUGCAAAAUACUAUCAGGACUAAGUUCAUGAAAAAUUAAAGUUCAAUUAAUCAUAUUGCUUAAGAACUCCCACUUAGAUAGACAUCCCUCUAAUCAUCUAAGUGAUCACGUGAUCCAAAUCAACUAAAUCAUGUCCGAUCAUCACGUGAGAUGGAGUAGUUUCCAAUGGUGAACAUCACUAUGUUGAUCAUAUCUACUAUAUGAUUCACGCUCGACCUUUCGGUAUCUAGUGUUCCGAGGCCAUAUCUGUAUAUGCUAGGCUCGUCAAGUUUAACCUGAGUAUUCCGCAUGUGCAACUAUUUUGCACCCGUUGUAUUUGAACGUAGAGCCUAUCACACCCGAUCAUCACGUGGUGUCUCAGCACGAAGAACUUUUGCAACGGUGCAUACUCAGGGAGAACACUUAUACCUUGAAAAUUAGUGAGAGAUCAUCUUAUAAUGCUACCGUCAAUCAAAGCAAAAUAAGAUGCAUAAAGGAUAAACAUCACAUGCAAUCAAUAUAAGUGAUAUGAUAUGGCCAACAUCAUCUUGUGCUUGUGAUCACCAUCUCCGAAGCACCGUCAUGAUCACCAUCGUCACCGGCGCGACACCUUGAUCUUCAUCGUAGCAUCGUUAUCGUUUCGCCACCUAUUGCUUCUAUGACUAUCGCUACCGCUUAGUGAUAAAGUAAAGCAAUUACAGGGCGAUUGCAUUGCAUACAAUAAAGUGACAACCAUAUGGCUCCUGCCAGUUGCCGAUAACUUUGUCACAAAACAUGAUCAUCUCAUACAAUAAAAUUUAGCAUCAUGUCUUGACCAUAUCACAUCACAACAUGCCCUGCAAAAACAAGUUAGACGUCCUCUACUUUGUUGUUGCAAGUUUUACGUGGCUGCUACGGGCUGAGCAAGAACCGUUCUUACCUACGCAACAAAACCACAACGAUAGUUCGUCAAGUUAGUGUUGUUUUAACCUUCUCAAGGACCGGGCGUAGCCACACUCGGUUCAACUAAAGUUGGAGAAACUGACACCCUCCAGCCACCUAUGUGCAAAGCACGUUGGUAGAACCAGUCUCGCGUAAGUGUACGCGUAAUGUCGGUCCGGGCUGCUUCAUCCAACAAUACCGCCGAACCAACGUAUGACAUGUUGGUAAGCAGUAUGACUUGCAUCACACACAACUCACUUGUGUUCUACUCAUGCAUAUAACAUCUACGCAUAAAACAUGGCUCUGAUGCCACUGUUGGGGAACAAAGUAAAUUCAAAAAUUUCCUACGCACACUCAAGAUCAUGGUGAUGCAUAUCAACAAGAGGGGAGAGUGUAGUCCAUGUACCCUCAUAGACCGAAAGCGGAAGCGGCAGCACAACGCGGUUGAUGUAGUCGUACAUCUUCACGAUCCGACCGAUCAAGUACCAAACGCACGGCACCUCCGAGUUCUGCACACGUUCAGCUCGAUGACGUCCCUCGAACUCUGAUCCAGCCGAGAUUUGAGGGAGAGUUCCAUUAGCACGACAGCGUGGUGACGAUGAUGAUGUUCUACCGAUGCAGGGCUUUGCCUAAGCACCGCUACGAUAUUAUUGAGGUGAACUAUGGUGGAGGGGGGGCACCACACACGGCCAAGGGGUGCCCCUCUCCCCGUAUAUAAAGGAGUGGAGGAGGGGGAGGGCCGACCCUCUCUAUGGCGCGCCCUAGAGGAUUCCUACUCCCACCGGGAGUAGAAUUCCCCCUUUCCUAGUAGAACUAGGAGCCCUUCCAAGUAGUAGGAGUAGGAGAGAAGGAAAGGGAAAAGAGAAGAGAAGGAAGGAGGGGGUGCAGCCCCUCCCCCUAGUCCAAUUUGGACUAGGCCUUGGGGGGCGUGCAUCCUCCCUUCUCUCUUUCUCUAAAGCCCAAUAAGGCCGAUCUACUCCCCGGCGAAUUCCCGUAACUCUCCGGUACUCCAAAAAAUACCUGAAUCACUCGGAACCUUUCCGAUGUUCGAAUAUAGUCGUCCAAUAUAUCGAUGUUCACUUUGUCAUGUCCCCGAUCUCAUCUGGGACUCUGAACUACCUUCGGUACAUCAAAACACAUAAACUCAUAAUAUAACCGUCAUCGAACUUUAAGCGUGCGGACCCUACGGGUUCGAGAACUAUGUAGACAUGACCGAGACACAUCUCCGGUCUAUAACCAAUAGCGGAACCUGGAUGCUCAUAUUGGCUCCCACAUAUUCUACAAAGAUCUUUAUUGGUCAAACCGCAUAACAACAUACGUUGUUCCCUUUGUCAUCGGUAUGUUACUUGCACGAGAUUCGAUCGUCGGUAUCUCAAUACCUAGUUCAAUCUCGUUACCGGCAAGUCUCUUUACUCGUUCCGUAAUACAUCAUACUAUAACUAACUCAUUAGUUACAAUGCCUGCAAGGCUUAUAGUGAUGUGCAUUACCGAGUGGGCCCAGAGAUACCUCUCCGACAAUCGGAGUGACAAAUCCUAAUCUCGAAAUACAUCAACUCAACAAGUACCUUUGGAGACACCUGUAGAGCACCUUUAUAAUCACCCAGUUACGUUGUGACGUUUGGUAGCACACAAAGUGUUCCUCCGGUAAGUGGGAGUUACAUAAUCUCAUAGUCAUAGGAACAUGUAUAAGUCAUGAUGAAAGCAAUAGCAACAUACUAAACGAUCAAGUGCUAAGCUAACGGAAUGGGUCAAGUCAAUCACAUCAUUCUCCUAAUGAUGUGAUCCCGUUAAUCAAAUGACAACUCAUGUCUAUGGUUAGGAAACUUAACCAUCUUUGAUUAACGAGCUAGUCAAGUAGAGGCAUACUAGUGAUACUAUGUUUGUUUAUGUAUUCACACAUGUAUUAUGUUUCCGGUUAAUACAAUUCUAGCAUGAAUAAUAAACAUUUAUCAUGAAAUAAGGAAAUGAAUAGUAACUUUCUUAUUGCCUCUAGGGCAUAUUUCCUUCAAAAGGUGUGUUCAGCAAGGAUGAUUGUGGCAAACUAAAAAGCAAAGACUCAUAUCGUACAAGAGCUUCUAAGCAAAACACAUAUCAUGUGGUGAAUAAAAAUAAAGCCUCAAGUAAAUUUACCGAUUGAUUGAAGAUGAAAGAGGGGAUGCCAUCUGGGGCAUCCCCAAUCUUAGAUGCUUGGUUAUCCUUGAACAUGACCUUGGGGUGCCUUGGGAAUCCCAAGUUUAGGCUCUUUCCACUCCUUAUUCCAUAGUCCAUCAAAUCUUUACCCAAAACUUGAAAACUUCACAACACAAAACUCAACAAAAAACUCAUAAGAUCCGUUAGUAUAAUAAAAUAAAUCACCACUUUAGGUACUAUUGUGAACUAAUUCUAAAUUCAUAUUGGUGUUAAUCUAUUGUAAUCCGACUUCUUUAUGGUUCAUACCCCCCAAUACUACCCAUAGAUUCAUCAAAAUAGGUAAACAACACAUAGAAAACAAAACAAUCUAUAGUAAUAUGAAAAAUUAGUAUACUUCUAUAACUCUAAAAAUUCCGAAAAAUUAGGACAAUAUAGGAAAUUUGUAUAUAAAUAUGUUGCAAAAGUUUCGGAAUUAUAUCACGCAUCUGAGAAUGUCUAAAAUUCUGGCAAUGAGCACAAAAGUUUCUGUUUUUUAGCAAGAUCAAAUCAACUAUCACCAUAGACCAUCCCAAUGGUCUUACUUGGGCCAAACACUAAUUAAAGCACCAAAACACAAUUACUACAAAGGUAAUAAUGUGUAUUUAUUGAAAAACAGAACCAAAGCAAAAAAACAUAAAAAUAAAAAAUUGUGUUGCCUCCCAACAAGCGAUAUUGUUUAACACCCCUAGCUAGGCAUAAAACAUAGAUCUUAAUUGUUGUAAUAGAAGUGAGGGAGAUCAUCCAUGCUCAUCUCAUACUCCCUCCUCUCGCCAGCAAGCUUUCUUUGUGGCGAGAAAAAAUAAUAAAAGGGGCUAAACUUAAUAGGGCAAGGAUCUAUAAGAUCAAGUUUGGGAGGAAUGGGUUCCUCCUUCGGCCCUUUGUAUUUGAUAAUUAUUUCUUCAUUAUAAACAUUCCUUUGAGUGAAUUAUCUUAGUUUAUCUCUUAGCACAAACCCAAAUAUGUUCUUUUGUAUAGCAAAAUUUACAUUGUGUUCAGAAAUCUUAUCAACCAAAACAUCGGGAGGAACAUUCUUUCUUAAGUUUUCAUUAUAAGCAACAUAAUCCGAAGAUUGCAAUCUCAUUAUUUGUUCUUGAGUAAAAAGGAUCUCCUCUAUGGGAGGAUAACCACCAUUGAUAUUAUAAUGAGCAAACAUUUCACCCGCUUCUUUUAAAAUAAACCUAAAUUCAUGAGCUAGGAAAAUGGUGGCAAUACGCUUGAUAGAAGGGUGAAAACCCUUUGUAUACAUUGAUGCAUGUGAACAAAUUGUCUUUCAAGUUAAAUUAUAAGCAAAGACAUUACAUCCGCAAGGUUAUUAGUUUUAUUAAGAAUUGACCCUCCUAGCAUGGGUAUCAUACCAACACAAGUAAAGAAAUCUUGAAUAACACAUUUUCCAAUAAUAUUUACCGCUACCCACGCGGAGUGUUUUAGUAUGCAUGAUAGUAGGUUCUUCAUGAGGAUCAUUAUUUGCAAAGUCAUCAAAGUUUACCACCAGAUUAUUACUAUCCUUCUCAACAAUAACCUCACCAGAUUCAGACAUGAAAGCAAAACAAGCGAUCUAGCACACAAGCAAACGAAAAGCAGGGCGAAUAAAAAGGCAAAUACUUUUGUGUUUUUUGAAAAUAUUUAAGAAGUGGGGGAGAGGAAAACGAGAGGCAAAUGGCAAAUAAUGUAAGUGCAAGAGAUGAGAGUUUAUGAUGGGUACUUGGUAGGCUUGAUGUAGAACCUCCCUGGCAAUAGCGCCAGAAAUUCUUCCUUCUACUUCUUGAGCUUGCGUUGAUUUUUCCCUUAAAGAGGAAAUGGUGAUCCAGCAAAAUAGAGAUAAGUAAUUCUCUCAGUUAAGAACCAAGGUAUCAAUCCAGUAGGAGGCACAAGCAAGUCUCCAAUAUAUGCACCUGCACAAACUAACAAACACUUGCACACAACGCGAAAAAACGGUUGUCAAGGAUCUCUACUAUUAAAGGGGGAUCUGCAGUCGUUGUGAUGGUUCGACUCCCCACGGGUAUGACUCCACACGCAAAAUGAUCGCAGGAGCAGCCCACGUUCCCUGGAAGCAAGCCUUCCUUCGCGCAAUUAAAAAAACAACCAAGACCCACUACUGUCCCACGUCCCAUGUAUCCUCUCCACCUCUCGCUCCUGAUCCAUCCUCUCUCGAUCUCGUGAGAAAAAUCGCCGCCGCCACCGCCGCCCCCUCACUCGUGUGCAACUGCCCAUCUACAUCACCGUCCGACGCUCAUGUCGGUCGUUGCUGCAUAGCCAAUGUACGCCGCCCUCGUACGAUCUACUUGCCUCUGACACCGCAACAACCGUCGGUUCCAUGGACUACGCCGCCGACGACUUAGGAGGUUGACCCCUUGUGGGGAAGCUGGCGGGAGGCCGACGCCGUCGAGGUGCUCGCCACCGCGAGGCGUAGGAAUGUGGCGGCCUACUGGUAGGUGGCUCCCAGGGCUAGGGCUAUCAGGUAGGAGCGCGACCGCAACCGCCGGUUCCUUGAAGCUGCUCGCCUUGGCUUUCCAGAGCCUCACCGGUGAGCCCGUGUAUGGCACUAGUGCCGCAGUAUUGGGCGCAUUGGGAAGAUCUUUGCGGCCCUUACCGUGUUCUUCCCGCUCGACGAAGAGGCCCGCGCUAGAUUGCCUCCCCGAUAUCUCUCAAGACCCUCGUCUCGGUGCUCUCUCACGGUGACCUUGCCGCGUGGGCCAGCGCCGCCAUCAUCCUCCGCGAGCUCGCCUUGUCCCCCGACCGGCACACCGUCAACGUCAUCUCGAGGACACCCAGCGUGUGCAGCGCGCUCGUUGGCCUUGUCAGGAAACCCAUGUCCCCGCAGGCCACCAAGGUCGCGCUCGUCACGGCCUACAUCUCGUCUCCGGCAGCAACCGCGCGGCCGCCCGCUUUGCCGAGCUAGGGGCAGUGCUCGUCGUUGUGGAUAUCGUCCUGGACGCUGACAAGAGGACUAGCGAGAAGGCACUGGCCAUGCUGGACGGCGUCCUGUGCCCACACCGGCCUCGAGUCCGUGCGUGCGCAUGCGCUGGUUGUGGCGGUGCUAGUCAAGAAGAUGUUGCGCAUGUCCGACAUGGCCGCGUGGUUCGCCGUCUUUGUGCUCUGGCGCCUCUGCCGUGCCGCGGACACUGGCACCAGCGUGUGCUACGAUGAGGCGCUGCGUGUGGGCACCUUCGAGAAGCUGCUCCAGGUGGGUUGCGGCGGCGUGACCAAAGAUCGGGCCAACGAGCUGCUCAAUGGUUUUAGGGACAGCGUAGUGCAUCAAGAUGGUGGACUUCAAGGGGCUCAAGAGGCCAUUUUGCUCGGUGUGAAUGCUGAAUUUUUAGUGUCUGGUUUCACCCUUGUUUCGAUUGUAUUGGGAGCUAGAUUCGAUGUGUAGAUAAAACAUAGUCCAGGAUGACUAGAAUUUUUUACCCCAUAACUAAAUACCCGUAUACAAAAUGAUCAACACAAAAGAGAACUGAAAAUUUUCAUGUUUAUUUAUCUUCAUAGUUUGAAAGUUAUUUCGUGUUAUUUACGAUUUUGAAGUGAUGCACACAUUACAGAAUUCCAUGAAGAGUUGAGAAACAUAAGUCUAUUUUUGUGGUCAUCAUGAUGUUGAUAAACUCCUAUAUGCCUCUUUUUCUGAGUAGUAUGCUCCAAUUUUGUGGUCAUCAUGUGUAUUGCAGCUUCAAUCAUGUUCAGUUCCUCUCUCUACACGUUUGGAAAUCGAUCAUACAUAGUAAGAUAGAAAAUCUAUUUUUAAUUAAGAUGUCCAUAAAAAACAUUUACUUGUGAAUAUUUGAAUAACGGAGCAUAUAUGUACCCUUGCCUUCUCCCUGAAGAAAUGAUGCCCGUUGUGAAUUAUGUCAAUCUCGAACACCAUAUUUACUAUUCAGUAGACCAACAACGUGCUCUUAUCAUAUUUGUGUAUCCUUACUAUUUUUUUAUUAAAGAAAAGAUACAAGAAUGAUGGUGGAGAGCUUAGAAUAUAUUCUGUGUGCACGUAUUCAUCCAGUGUUGCGCUCACUCUUUUCCCAUAGAGGCUCAACCAGGAGAAGCACCUGGGCCUGUCACUCAUGGACAUACCUGUUUAUGCAUAUCAGAGGCAACACUCACCCUGCUUCUUCAACAAAGUGAUCAUACAUGGGCUUUUUCUAGAUGCAAGGAAGGUAGUGAAAGAGACGAUGGCAUAGGAAGUUAAGGACACACUUCUAAUUUGUGAAAUAUACAUUAGGGGUCUCUCUUACUAUUUCACGUUAAAAAAAAGAGACAUGAUAGAGAAAGCAACGGGAGAAAGAAUUGGUAGUUAUUGUUAUAUCGAUUAAUAUCCAUCAUGUUUGGCAUGCCUUUUGAAUUAGAAGAAUGACCGAUGUAUACAUUUUUUUAAGUCCCGUGGCAACGCACAAGCAUUCAGCUAGUAGGUAUAAACGAUAAAUAAAAGACAAAACUAAAGUAAUAUAAAUAAAUUGCAGCAAGGUAUUUUUUGGUUUUUGGUUUAUAGAUCUGAAAAUAUAUGAUGGAAAAUAGACCCGGGGGGCAUAGGUUUCACUAGAGGCUUCUCUCUUGAAAUAAAACAUGCGGUGAGUAAACAAAUUACUGUUGAGCAAUUGAUAGAAAAGCGCAUAGUUAUGACGAUAUCUAAAGCAAUGACCAUGAAUAUAGGCAUCACGUCCGUGACAAGUAGACCGAAACGAUUCUGCAUCUACUACUAUUACUCCACACAUCGACUGUGAUUCAGCAUGCAUCUAGAGUAUUAAGUACAUAAGAACGGAGUAACGCCUUAAGUAAGAUGACAUGAUGUAGAGGGAUAAACUCAAGCAAUAUGAUAUAAAUCUCAUCUUUUUACACUUUAUGGCAACAAUACAAUAUGUGCCUUGCUACCCCUUCUGUCACUGGGUGAGGACACCACAAGAUUGAACCCAAAACUAAGCACCUCUCCCAUUGCAAGAAAAACCAAUCUAGUUGGCCAAAUCAAACUGAUAGUUUGAAGAGAAAUACAAAGAUAUCUUAAUCAUGCAUAAAAGAGUUCAGAGAAGACUCAAAUAAUAUUCAUAGAUAAUCUGAUCAUAAAUCCACAAUUCAUCAGAUCUCAACAAACGCAUCUCGAAAGAAGAUUACAUCGAAUAGAUCUCCAAGAACAUCGAGGAGAACAUUGUAUUGAAGACCAAAGAGAGAUAAGAAGCCAUCUAGCUACUAGCUAUGGACUCGUAAGUCUGUGGUAAACUACUGACACUUCAUCGGAAGGGCAGCAAGGUUGAUGUAGAGGCCCUCUGUGAUUGAAUCUCCCUCUGACAGAGUGACGAAAAAGGCCCCAACAUGGGAUCUCACGGGAAGAGAGGCUUGCGGUGGCGGAAAAGUAUUUUGGUGGACGCUUAUGAUGUUUGGGGAAUAUUUGAGAAUAUAUAGAGGUGGAGUUAGGGUUAAGGGACACCCGAGGGGCCCACAAGCCAGGGGCGCCCCCCUGGGCCUGAGGGCUUGUGGCCUCCUCGGGACUCUUCUGGCUCUCUCUGCAAUUCUUCUGGGUGUCUUCUAGUCCAAGAAAAAUCAUCAUAAAGUUUUAUUCCGUUUGGACUCCGUUUGAUGUUCCUUCUUUGUAAAAGUCAAAAACAAGGAAAAAACAGAAACUAGCACUAGGCUCCAAGGUAAUAAGUUAGUCCAAAAAAUAAUAUAAAAUAGCAUAUUAAUGCAUAUAAAACAUCCAAAACAGAUAAUAUAAUAGUAUGGAACAAUAAAGAUUAUAGAUACAUUGGAAACGUAUCACAGAGCCACGAGGGCCCCACAAGCCUAGGGGGUGCGCCCCUAUGGGGCACGCCUUAGGGCUUGUGGCCUCCUUGUGGGUCUUCUGGCCUCGUCCUGAAGCUUCCUAGUUGUCUUGUUGUCCAAGAAAAAUCAUCAUAAAGUUUUGCUCCGUUUGGACUCUUUUGGUAUUGAUUUUCUAUAGAAUUCAAAAACAAGGGAAAACAACAACUGUCACUGGGCACUAGGUUAAUAGGUUAGUCCCAAAAUAAUAUAAAAUAGCAUAUAAAUGCAUAUAAAACAUCCAAGAUAGAAAUAUAAUAGCAUGGAACAAUCAAAAAUUAUAGAUACAUUGGAGACGUAUCACACACCACUAGCACACGGCACUUAAGAUGAUCAAUGUCCAUGCAAGCUGAAGGUCACUCCAAACACCUUGAAAGGAUUGGCCUGAGAAGCUCUCAUACGUGCCCCACCUCCUCCACCAAAAAAAGGGAGGAAGCCACAUGAUCAAAAGAAGGAUUACAUGAACAUGGGGGGAGGGGGCUGGUAGUCAGCCAACGGUUCAAAAGACCUAGAAACCGGCUGAGAAUGAGAUUGAGGAUAGUCCUACUGUGUUUCGAGGGGUCCUUACCCUGUCAAAAGAAGGAUUACAUGAACAUGGGGGGGAGGGGGGCUGGUAGUCAGCCAACGGUUCAAAAGACCUAGAAACCGGCUGAGAAUGAGAUUGAGGAUAGUCAUACUGUGUUUCGAGGGGUCCAUUACCCUGUUAAACACAUGUCACCUGCUACUUCAUACAACCACAUAUUGUAUGGCGUGAGGUAUCUUCAUGAUGAUAUUCCAAGGAAAGAGAAGGCGUCCAAGGACACAUUUGGUACCCCAUAUGAAAGUCGCCUGGUCUACACAGUGAAGGUGCCACCAGGUGUUGGCUUCCUCGAUGAUUUCCCUGUGGACAUAUUGAUUUUAGGGAAAUCUUCAACCUUACCCACCUCUGCAGUAUAGAGGGGUGCUCCUUGGUAAGGCUAUGGGUGCUACAUCUCUCAGGGAAGGAGAAGGCCGAUAACAUAUCCGUCACGGUGGCGGACCCUUACACUUGCACUAGCACAACCAUAAAGACUGGCAUGGUGUAAAAGUUAUGAUCAAGUUGUUGGGAAAUGUUGCAUGGAAAACAAAAAAUCUAUGCACACGCAGGAUCUAUCCAUGGAGAUGCAUAGCUACGAGAGGGAAGAGCAUCUUCAUACCCUUGAAGAUCGCAAAUCGGAAGCGUUUAUCAACGCGGUUGAUGUAAUCGUACACCUUCACGAUCCGUUUCGAUCAAGAACCAAACAAACAACACCUCCGCGUUUAGCACACGUUCAGCUCGAUCACGUCCUCACCUUCUUGAUCUAGCAAGACGGACGAAGUAAUAGAUGAGUUCGGGCAGCACGACAGCGUGGUGACGGUGUUGGUGAAGAACAAUCUCCGCAGGGCUUCGCCAAGCACAACUGAAACUAUGACGGAGGAUAAACUAGAGCGGACGGGGUUGCUGGCACGCGGCUUGGUGAUUCUUGAUGUGUUCCAGCUGCUAGCCCUGCCCCUCUACUUAUAUGUUGAGCCCUAGAGUCAUAACUUGGAGAAAGAGCCUCUUCAAAGUCGGUUUUGCCCCUAAGGGAGAGUCCUUCACGGACUUCCAGGACCAGACGCCACAAUCCUUGCCGUCUAGCCUAGACGCCAUGGGCCUCGGUGUCUGGUCCAGGGCCAGACGCUAGGGUCUCCAGCAUUGGCCCCUUGCCAUCACAAAACUCCUUUUGCACCGACCUAAAGCCCUGUGGGCUUUACCCCUUGGCUGAACCAUAUCAUCCUAUAUCAAUCUUUACAUCUGGACCAUUCUGGAGCUCCUCGUCAUGUCUGUGAUCUCAUCCGGGACUCCGAACAACAUUUGGUCACCAACAUACAUAACUCAUAUAGUACUAUAUCGUCAACGAAAGUUAAGCGUGCGAACCCUACGGGUUCGAGAACUAUGUAGACAUGACCAGAACACCUCUCCGGUAAAUAACCAAUAGCAGAACCUGGAUGCCCAUAUUGGCUCCGACAUAUUCUACGAAGAUCUUUAUUGGUUGAACCAUUAUGGCAACAUACGUAAUUCCCUUUGUCCAUCGGUAUGUUACUUGCCCGAGAUUCGAUUGUCCGUAUCUUUAUACCUAGUUCAAUCUCAUUACCAGCAAGUCUCUUUACUCGUUCCAUAAUACAUCACCCCGUGAGUAACUCCUUAGUCAUUUGCUUGCAAGAUGUGUAUUACCGAGAGGGCCCAGAGAUACCUCUCUGAUACUCGGAGUGACAAAUCCUAAUCUUGAUCUAUGCCAACUCAACAAACACCUUCAGAGAUACCUAUAGAGCAUCUUUAUGAUCACCCAAUUACAUUAUGACGUUUGAUAGAACACAAGGUAUUCCUCCGGUAUCUGGGAGUUGCAUAAUCUCAUAGUCGAAGGAAUAUGUAUUUGACAUGAAGAAAGCAAAAGUAAUAAACUCAACGAUCAUUAUGCUAAGAUAACGUAUGGGUCUUUGUCCAUCACAUCAUUCUCCUAAUGAUGUGAUCCCGUUAUAAAAUGACAACACGUCUUUGGUUAGGAAACCUUAACCAUCUUUGAUCCAUGAGCUAGUCUAGUAGAGGCUUACUAGGGACACGGUAUUUGUUUAUGUAUUCACACAUGUACUUAAGUUUCCGAUCAAUACAAUUCUAGCAUGAAUAAUAAACCUUUAUCAUGAAUAAGGAAAAAUAAAAUAACAAUUUUGUUAUUGCCUCUAGGGCAUAUUUCCUUCAGUCUACAAAUUGCACUAGAGUCUGUAAUUUAGAUUACACAUAGUAAUUAAUCUAACACCCAUGGAGUCUUGGUGUUGAUCAUGUUUUGCUCGUGGAAGAGGCUUAGUCAACGGGUCUGCCACAUUCAGAUCCGUAUGCAUUUUGCAAAUCUCUAUGUCUCCAUCCUUGACCUUUUCAAGAAUGGAGUUGAAGCGUAUCUUGAUGUGUUUGGUUCUCUUAUGAAACUUGGAUUCCUUCGCCAAGGCAAUUGCUCCAGUGUUGUCACCAAAUAUUUUCAUUGGAUCCGAUGCACUAGGUAUUACACCUAGAUUGCAUAUGAACUCCUUCAUCCAAAAUCCUUCAUUUGCUGCUUCCGAAGCAGAUAUGUACUUUCCUUCACACGUAGAUCCCGCCAUGAUGCUCUGCUUGGAACUGCACCAAAUGACAGCUCCACCAUUCAAUAUAAUCCAUUUCUCGGUUUGUGACUUAGAGUCAUCCGGAUCAGUGUCGAAGCUAGCAUCGACGUAACCAUUUACGACAAGCUCCUCAUCACCUCCAUAAACGAGAAACAUAUCCUUUGUCCUUUUCAGGUACUUCAGGAUGUUCUUGACGGCUGUACAGUGAUCCACUCCUGGAUUACUUUGGUACCUCCCUGCCAAAGUUAUGGCAAGGCACACAUCAGGUCUGGUACAUAGCAUAGAUAGCAUACAUGAUAGAACCUAUGUCUGAGGCAUAGGGAAUGACUUUCAUUUUCUCUCUAUCUUCUGAAGUGGUCGGGCUUUGAGUCUGACUCAAUUUCACACCUUGUAACACAUGCAAGAACCCUUUCUUUGACUGAUCCAUUUUGAACUUCUUCAAAACUUUAUCAAGGUAUGUGCUUUGUGAAAGUCCUAUUAGGCGUCUCGAUCUAUCCCUAUAGAUCUUGAUGCCCAAUAUAUAAGUAGCUUCAUCGAGGUCUUUCAUUGAAAAAUUCUUAUUCAAGUAUCCUUUUAUGCUAUCCAGAAUUUCUAUAUCAUUUCCGAUCAACAAUAUGUCAUCCACAUAUAGUAUCAGAAAUGCUACAGAGCUCCCACUCACUUUCUUGUAAAUGUAGGCUUCACCAUAAGUCUGCAUAAAACCAUAUGCUUUGAUCACCUCAUCAAAGCGUAUAUUCCAACUCCCAGAUGCUUGCACCAGUCCAUAGAUGGAUCGCUAGAGAUUGCACACUUUGUUAGCACCUUUAGGAUCGACAAAACCUUCUGGUUGCAUCAUAUACAACUCUUCUUUAAGAAUUCCAUUAAGGAAUGCAGUUUUGACGUCCAUUUGCCAGAUUUCAUUAUCAUAAAAUGCAGCAAUUUCUAACAUGAUUCAGACAGACUUAAGCAUUGCUACGGAUGAGAAAGUUCAUUGUAGUCAACUCCUUAAACUUGUCGAAAACCUUUUGCGACAACUCGAGCUUUGUAGACCGAUACGUCUCCAACGUAUCUAUAAUUUUUGAUUGUUCCAUGCUAUUAUAUUACCCGUUUGGAUGUUUAUGGGCUUUACUCUACACUUAUAUAUCAUUUUUGGGACUAACCUACUAACCGGAGGCCCAGCCUGAAUUGCUGUUUUUUUGCCUAUUUCAGUGUUUCGAAGGAAACGAAUAUCAAACGGAUUCCAAACGGAAUGAAACCUUCGGGAGUGAUCUUUUUAGAACAAACGCAAUCCAGGAGACUUGGAGUGGAUGUCAAGAAGUAACCGAGGCGGCCACGAGGGUGCCCGGCACGCCCAAGGGGGGUGGGCGCGCUCCCACCCUCGUGGGCCCCUCGUGGCUCUCCUGACCUACCUCCUUCACCUAUAUAUAUCCAUGUACCCCGAAAAUAUCAAGGAGCACCACAAAAAACUAAUUCCACCGCCGUAACCUUCUGUAUCCGCGAGAUCCCAUCUUGGAGCCUUCGCCGGCGCUCCGCCGGAGGGGGAAUCGACCAUGGAGGGCAUCUACAUCAUCUCCAAGGCCUCUCCGAUGAGUUGUGAGUAGUUUACCAGAGACCUUCGGGUCCAUAGUUAUUAGCUAGAUGGCUGCUUCUCUCUCUUUGAAUCUCAAUACAAAGUUCUCCUCGAUCUUCUUGGAGAUCUAUUCGAUGUAACUCUUUUUGCGGUGUGUUUGUCAAGAUCUGAUGAAUUGUGGGUUUAUGACCAAGUUUAUCUAUGAGAAAUAAUUGAAUCUUCUCUGAAUUAUUUUAUGUGUGAUUGGUUAUCUUUGCAAGUCUCUUCAAAUUAUCAGUUUGGUUUGCCCUACUGGAUUGAUCUUUUUGCAAUAGGAGAAGUGCUUAGCUUUGGGUUCAAUCUUGAGGUGUCCUUUCCCAGUGACAGCAGGAGCAGCAAGGCACGUAUUGUAUUGUUGCCAUCGAGGAUAAAAAGAUGGGGUUUAUAUCAUAUUGCAUGAGUUUAUCCAUCUACAUCAUGUCAUCUUUCUUAAUGCGUUACUCUGUUCUUCAUGAACUUAAUACUCUAGAUGCAGGCAGGAGUCGGUCGAUGUGUGGAGUAAUAUUAGUAGAUGCAAGUAGGAGUCGGUCUACUUGUCACGGACGUGAUGCCUAUAUACAUGAUCAUGAAUAGAUAAUAUCAUAACUAUGCACUUUUCUAUCAAUUGCUCGACAGUAAUUUGUUCACCCACCGUAAUACUUAUGCUAUCUUGAGAGAAGCCAGUAGUGAAACCUAUGGCCCCCGGGUCUAUCUUUUAUCAUAUAAGUUUCCUAUCUACUUUUAUUUGCAUCUUUACUUUCCAAUCUAUAUCAUAAAAAUACCAAAAAUAUUUAUCUUAUCUUAUUAUCUCUAUCAGAUCUCACUUUCACAAGUUACCGUGAAGGGAUUGACAAUCCCUGUAUCGCGUUGGUUACGAGGUUCUUGUUUGUUUGUGUAGGUGCAUGGGACUUUUGAGGAGCGUCCUACUGGAUUGAUACCUUGGUUCUCAAAACUGAGGGAAAUACUUACGCUACUUUGCUGCAUCACCCUUUCCUCUUCAAGGGAAAACCAACGCAGUGCUCAAGAGGUAGCAUAGAUAGUAACAUUACCAUCAGCGUCCGUCUUCUUCUUGAAGAUCCAUUUAUUUUCUAUGGCUUGUCGAUCCUCGGGCAAGUCCACUAAAGUCCACACUUUGUUCUCAUACAUGGAUCCUAUCUCAGAUUUCAUGGCCUCAAGCCAUCUGUCAGAAUCUGGGCUCAUCAUAGCUUCUUCAUAGUUCGUGCAUUCGCCUUGGUCUAGUAACAUGACUUCCAACAAAGUAUUACCAUACCACUCUGGUGCGGAUCAUGCUCUCGUCGACCUAUGAAGUUCAGCAAUAAUUGAUCUGAAGUUCCAUGAUCAUCAUCAUUAGCUUCAUAUCUAGUUGGUGUAGGCAUCACGAGAAUAGCUUUCUCUGAUGUACUACUUUUCAAUUCGAGAGAAGGUACAAUUACCUCAUCAAGUUCUACUUUCCUCCCACUCACUUCUUCCGAGAGAAACUCCUUAUCUAGAAAGGUUCCAUUCUUGGCAACAAAGAUCUUGCCUUUGGAUCUGUGGUUGAAGGUGUACCCAAUUGUUUCCUUAGGGUAUCCUAUGAAGACGUUCUUCGAUUUGGGUCCGAGCUUAUCAGACCGAAGCCUUUUGACAUAAGUGUCACAACCCCAAACUUUUAGAAAUGACAGCUUAGGUUUCUUACCAAACCAUAGUUCAUAUGGUGUCGUCUCAAUGGAUUUAGACGGUGCCCUAUUUAACUUGAAUGUGGUUGUCUCUAAUGCAUAACCCCAAAAUGAUGGUGGUAAAUCGGUAAGAGACAUCAUAGAUCACACCAUAUCUAAUAAAGUAUGAUUAUGACGUUUGGACACACCAUUACGUUGUGGUGUUCCAGGUGGCGUGAGUUGUGAAAUAAUUCCACACUAUUUUGAAUGAAGGCCAAACUCGUAACUCAAAUAUUCGCCUUCGCGAUCAGAUCGUAAAAACUUUAUUUUCUUGUUACGAUGAUUCUCCACUUCACUCUAAAAUUCUUUGAACUUUUCAAAUGUUUCAGACUUGUGUUCCAUUAAGUACAUAUACCCAUACCUACUCAAAUCAUCUGUGAAGGCAGAAAAUAACGAUACCCGCCGCGUGCUUCAACACUCAUCGGACCGCAUACAUCGGUAUGUAUUAUUUCCAAUAAGUCAUUAGCUCGCUCCAUUGUUCCGGAGAACGGAGUUUUAGUCAUCUUGCCCAUGAGGCAUGGUUCACAAGUAUCAAAUGAUUCAUAAUUGAGUGAUUCCAAAAGCCCAUCUGCAUGGAGUUUCUUCAUGCGCUUUACACCAAUAUAACCUAAACGGCAGUGCUACAAAUAUGUUGCACUAUCAUUAUCAACUUUGCAUCUUUUGUCAUCAAUAUUAUGAAUAUGUGCAUUACUACAAUCGAGAUUCAACAAGAAUAGACCACUCCUCAAGGGUGCGUGACCAUAAAAGAUAUUAUUCAUAUAAAUAGAAUAACCAUUAUUCUCUGACUUUAAUGAAUAGUCGUCUUGCAAUAAACAAGAUCCAGAUAUAAUGUUCAUGCUCAAUGCGGUCAUGAAAUAACAAUUACUCAGGUCUAAAACUAAUCCCGAAGGUAGAUGUAGAGCUAGCGUGCAUCGUCACCUCGUCCUUAGCUAAUCUUCGUUUAAUCCGUAGCUCCUAUUUCGAGUUACAAAUAUGAGCAACCAAACCAGUAUAAAAUACCCAGGCGCUACUACGAGCAUUAGUAAGGUACACAUCAAUAACAUGUAUAUCAAAUAUACCUUUGUUUUUUUGUUCACUUUGCCAUCCUUCUUAUUCACCAAAUACUUGGGGCAGUUCCACUUCCAGUGACCAGUCCCUAUGCAGUAGAAACACUUAGUUUUAGGCUUGGGUACAGCUUUGGGCUUCUUCCCGAGAGUGUAACUUGCUUGCCUUUCUUCUUGAAGUUCCCUUUAUUUCCCUUGCCCUUUUUCUUGAAACUAGGGUCUUAUUAACCAUCAACACUUGAUGCUCCUUCUUAAUUUCUACCUCCGUGGCCUUAAGCAUUGCAAAGAGCUCGGGAAUUGUUUUGUUCAUCCCUUGCAUAUUAUAGUUCAUCACGAAGCCUUUGUAGCUUGGUGGCAGUGAUUGAAGAACUCUAUCAAUGACACAAUCAACUAGAAGAUUAACUCCUAGCUGAGUCAAGUGAUUAUAAUACCCCAGAUAUUUUGAGUAUGUGUUCACUGACAGAAUUGUUCUCCUCCAUCUUGCAGCUAUAGAACUUGUUGGAGACUUCAUAUCUCUCAAGCAGGGCAUUUGCCUGAAAUAUUAACUUCAACUCUUGGAACAUCUCAUAUGCUCCAUGACGUUCAAAACGUCUUUUAAGUCCCGGUUCUAAGCCGUAAAGCAUGACACACUGAACUAUCAAGUAGUCAUCAGAUCGAGCUUGCCAGACGUUCAAAACAUCAGCUUCUGCUCCUGCAGCAGGCCUUUCACCUAGCGGUGCAUCAAAGACAUAAUUCUUCUGUGCAGCAAUGAGGAUAAUCCCAAGUUACAGACCCAGUCCGUGUAGUUGCUACCAUCAUCUUUCAACUUAGCUUUCUCUAGGAACGCAUUAAAAUUCAGGGGAAUGAUAGCACAGGCCAUUGAUCUACAACAUAGAUAUGCAAAACUAUAAGACUAAGUUCAUGAUAAAUUAAGUUCAAUUAAUCAAAUUACUUAAGAACUCCCACUUAAGUAGACAUCCCUCAAGUCAUAUAAGUUAUACGUGAUCCAAAUCAACUAACCCAUGUCCGAUCAUCACGUGAGAUGGGUAGUCAUCAAUGGUGAAAAUCUCUAUGUUGAUCAUAUCUACUAUAUGAUUCAUGUUCGACCUUUCAGUCUCCGGUGUUCCGAGGCCAUGUCUGUACAUGCUAGGCUCGUCAAAUUUAACCCAAGUAUUCCGCAUGUUCAAAACUGUCUUGCACCCAUUGUAUGUGAACGUAGAGUCGAUCACACCCAAUCAUCACGUGGUGUCUCAACAUGACGAACUGUAGCAACAGUGCAUACUCAGGGAGAACACUUUUUCCUUGAAAUUUAGUGAAGGGAUCAUCUUAUAAUGCUACCGUUGUACUAAGCAAAAUAAGAUGCAUAAAAGAAAACAUCACAUGCGAUCAAAAUAUGUGACAUGAUAUGGCCAUCAUCAUCUUGUGCUUUUGAUCUCCGUCUCCAAAGCAUCGUUAUGAUCUCCAUCGUCGCUGGCUCGACACCUUGAUCUCCAUCGUUGUGUCGUGGUCGUCUCGCCAACUAUUGAUUCUACAACUAUUGCUAAUGCAUAGGGAUAAAGUAAAGCAAUUACAUGGCGUUUGCAUUUCAUACAAUAAAGAGACAACCAUAAGGCUCUUGCCGGUUGCCGAUAAAUUAGAAAACAUGAUCAUCUCAUACAAUAACGUAUAUCACAUCAUGUCUUGACCAUAUCACAUCACAACAUACCCUGCAAAAACAAGUUAGACGUCCUCUACUUUGUUGUUUGCAAGUUUUACGUGGCUGCUAUGGGUUUCUAGCAAGAACCAUUCUUACCUACGGCAAAAACAACAACGGUGAUUUAUCAAGUUUGUUGUUUUAACCUUUUUCAAGGACCGGCUGCAGUCAAAUUUGAUUCAGCUAAAGUAGGAGAAACAGACACCCGCUAGCCACCUUUAUGCAAAACUAGUUGCAUGUCUGUUGGUAGAACCGGUGUCAUGUACGUGGACAUGUAAGGUUUGUCCAGGCCGCUUCAUCUUACAAUACCGUCGAAUCAAAAUAAGACGUUCGUGGUAAGCAGUAUGACCAUCACUGCCCACAACUCUUUGUGUUCUACUCAUGCAUAUCAUCUACGCAUAUACCUGGCUCAGAUGCCACUAUUCGGAAAUGUUGCAUGGAAAACAAAAAAAAUUCUACGCACACGCAAGAUCUAUCCAUGGAGAUGCAUAGCUACGAGAGGGGAGAGCAUCUUCAUACCCUUGGAAAUCGCAAAGCGGAAGCAUUUAUCAACACGGUUGUUGCAGUUGCUAGCCCUGCCCCUCUAUUUAUAUGUUGAGACCUAGGGUGGUAACUUCGAGAAAGAGCCUCCUCAAAGUCGGUUUUGCCCGUAAGGAAGAGUCCUUCACGGACUUCCAGGACCAAACACCACAAUCCUUGGCAUAUGGCCUAGAAGCUAUGGGCCUCAGCGUCUGGCCCAGGGCCAGAUGCCAAGGUCUCCGGCGUUUGGCCCCCUGGCCUCCACAAAACUCCUUUUGCAUUGACCUAAAGCCCCGUGGGCUUUACCCCUUGGCCGAACCAUAUUAUCCUAUAUAUCAAUCUUUACCUCCGGAGCUCCUCGUCAUGUCUGUGAUCACAUCUGGGACUCCAAACAACAUUCGGUCACCAACAUACAUAACUCAUAUAGUAUUAUAUCAUCAAUGAACGAUAAGCGUGCGGACCCUACGGAUUCGAGAACUAUGUCAUGACCGAGACACCUCUCUGCUCAAUAACCAAUAGAAGAACUUGGAUUCCCACAUUGGCUCCUACAUAUUCUACGAAGAUCUUUAUCGGUCGAACCGUUAUGACAACAUACGUAAUUCGCUUUGUCCAUUGGUAUGUUACUUGCCCGAUAUUCGAUCAUUGGUAUCUCUAUACCUAGUUCAAUCUCAUUACCGGCAAGUCUCUUUACUCGGUCCAUAAUACAUCACCUCAUGACUAAUAACUCCUUAGUCAUUUGCUUUCAAGCUUUAUGAUGUGUAUUACCGAGAGGGCGCAGAGAUACCUCCCUGAUACUCAGAGUGACAAAUCCUAAUCUUGAUCUAUGCCAACUCGAUAAACACCUCCGGAGAUACCUGUAGAGCAUCUUUAUGAUCACCCAGUUAUGUUGUGAUGUUUGAUAGAACACAAGGUAUUCCUUUGGUAUCCGGGAGUUGCAUAAUCUCAUAGUCGAAGGAAUAUGUAUUUGACAUGAAGAAAGCAAAAGCAAUAAACUCAACGAUCAUUAUGCUAAGCUAACCGAUAGGUCUUUGUCCAUCACAUCAUUCUCCUAAUGAUGUAAUCCCGUUAUGAAAUGACAACACAUGUCCAUGGUUAGGAAACCUUAACCAUCUUUGAUCCACGAUCUAGUCUAGUAGAGGCUUACUAGGGACACGGUAUUUGUUUAUGUAUUCACACAUGUAUUUAAGUUUCCGAUAAUUAUAAUUCUAGCAUGAAUAAUAAAACUUUAUCAUGAAUAAGGAAAUAUAAAAUAACAACUUUAAUAUUGCCUCUAGGGCAUAUUUCCUUCAGAAGUACCUUGCUGAUGGCUUGAGAAUGUGUUAUAUUUUUCAAGUGAUCCUUAUUUGGUUUUCACCGGAUCUUUGCCACUUCUCAAUUAUUUCUAACGCUAAUCCUUCAAAAGAGAAGAAAAUCCGUGUUUCCAUUGUUUGGCAGAAAAUAUCAUUUACGGAAGGAAACCGAGGAGGAUUGCUACAAACCAAGUCAAAUGGAGCAGCUUUCGUGUGGAGAGCCAAAUCACCAGGUGCACCGGAGCAAAAGACAACCUUCCAUGUGAUCACCAGUGCUCACAUAAGCUGUCGUAUGAGGUGCCAAUAGCUCCACCACAUGUAUACAAGACACUUUCGUGAAGGGACCCAGGGGAGAAGAGAACCCUAGCUGCCGCCACCACAUCCAGAAUAGAAGAGGAAGUGAUGAAGAACCUUCAGAGAUCUUCUUAGUUUUGUUCCUUUCAUCUCCAUCAUCAUCCCAUCCUUCACUAUUGUAAGAGGAAUUCCAAGUUGUGAGAAAAAAGUUUUAACUCUAUUCAUACUCAUUUGGAGAUCAAGACUAUUUGAGUUGUCCAUUUCAUCUCAUUGUGGAUCUUCAUGGUAUUAUUAUUAUCAAUAUGGUUUUCAUGGGUUUAAUAUCUGGUGUGAUUGGUUUCUCUAUUAUGAUGCGUGAAUAAUUCCCCCUAGGCAUGGGAGAUAUAGUGAGUAGUAAGAUUCAUUUGUGCCUGAUCAAUAUGUCAGCAUUCGUGUUUGUAGUCUUAUGAUCGUCUAGUAAGUUGUUAUAUUGUGGUGAAACCUAUGUGUGUUGUCCAAUUUAAGGCCCCGGGAAGCACGAUCUCAAGAACUACACAUGUAACACAUAUUGUUUAGGAAAUCUAGAACCUUUGACAUGAAAGGUGGACACAUCUAUGAGGACCGAAGACAAUAUGAGAUAACGGUUAUCCAUGAAACUUAAUGCUUGGUUCUGGUCUGAGGACCUUUAUUGUGGAUACGGCCACUCUGUGGCAACGGUGAAGCAGGACCAUAGAAUGGAAUUUAAUCCCGCGAGGAGGAGUUCCAUGACUUUAGGGUGAUCUGCCUACGGAACAAACAUGUCAAAUACUACGAAUAUGAUACAAGGUAACUAGUAUUACCGUCGCAUAGGCACACUUGAUGUAUACCAUGAGCUGCAUUCUCCGCGUGCCUAAUCUCUUCAUUACAAGAAGCACCACCCUAAUUUCAUAUUUAUUUAUGUUAUUUACUUUAAAAAGUUUUUACUGUUGUUACUAUAAACAAUUUUCAUCUUUGUUACCCUGGCUAAUUCGUCCACGAGGACAGUAACUGUAUUUGUAGAACCACAUGCAGUUACUUCACAUAAGAAUUGUGACAGAAGUGCAAAUAUAAAUACUCUCAUCUGCUCUUCAUUAUCAUGAUAACUAAUUGGGAUACUUCCAUGGAAGUGCUACAUAACCAUGUAUGUCUUGCAGGCCAUCAAGCAUUUUCUGGCACCGUUGUUGGGGAGCUAAGUGCAGAGUAUUUUCUUCGUAAUUGUUUUUGUAGGUGUUGUUACUGUACAUGCUUCCUGUAAGUGACAGGGGCUCUACUUGUUCUGGAAGAACGUAUUUGCCAGAUUAUAUUGCUCGUUUUCCUCAGGAGCAACAAGUUUCAUUAAUAGAAAAAUACAAAAAUACUCAGACCAUUGAACUUAACACUUUCUUUGCACAGAUGUCGAUUACUCAGAAACCAAAGAAAUUUUUAAGAGAUUAUUAUACUCUAGUUAUGAUUCAAAGAUCUCCUAUAGUGUAUCCUACAAGUUAUGCAAAAGAGUAUUUGAUUGAUUAUGAUCUAUCAUGGAAGUUAAAAGGCAUGCCUUUGCAGGAAUCGAAGAGGAAGACCCUCAAGCACAUCUUAUGUUCUUUGAUACUUUAUGUGGUAUUUUUAAAUUGAAAGAUGUGUCAGGAGAAUUUGUUUUGUCAAGACUCUUUAGAUUUUCUCUUAAGGGUGAUGCUGAAAAUUGGUACAAUCAAUAACCUUAUUGGGGUAUAAUCAGCUGGCUAAUGCGCGCGGAUAAAUUUAUGGCUAAAUUCCUUCCAGGCUCAAAGAUCACUAAAUUACGUAGAAAUCUCACUUUAUCUAUUCAAGAAGAUGGGGAAAGUCUAUAUGGAGCGUGGGAAAGAUAUAACAAUUUUUGAACCUUUGCCCUAACCAUGGUUAUGCUGAACAUGUUAUACUUCAUAUAUUUUAUCAUGGGAUUAAUGAUGAAUCCAAAUCAAUACUUGAUCUAAGUGCAGGAGGAUGUUUCAUGUCUCUAACUCUUGAAGAAGGACAAGCACUAAUAGGUUCAUAACGCGUAGGACCCGACAUCUCCUCCCUUUGUCCCUCCUCCAAGAAAAGGCGACUAGGGUUUCUGCCUCUCAUCGGCGAUGCCGCCGAUCUCCCACGUCUCCUGUGGCCUUAGGGCCAUGGGUGCGCGGUGGAUCCCAGCCCUUACCGGAGGGAGGGUUCUGUUUUCAGGUGCUUCUUCAAGUUUUGUUAGGGUUUGCGUCCUGCUCAAGAAGACGAGAUGACAGCGGCUUCUUGAAGAUGGAAUAAGGUUCUCCCCGCCUAGCCCCCAUCCCAAUGGUGUGUCUAGCAUCGUCGGAGGGCGUGUGGAGGUGUGUCUCCGGCGGAUCUCGCGAGAUUUGGUCGGUGGUUGUCUUGGUGGAUCUGCUCGGAUCCGGUCUUUGCUAGUGUUUGUUCAUGUGUCCUCGGGUUGGAUCCUUCCGAUCUAAAAUUCUCUUCAUCGGUGGCUGUUGCUGUUCUUGGGCGUUGGUCCUAUGGGACCUUAGCACGACGACUUCCUGACUGUCUACUACAACAAGUUGUGCCCGGCUCCAGUGGGGGAGGGGCAAUGACGGCGGCGCGCCUUCGGCUUGCUUCAGUGUUUAUAGUCGUCGCUAGGUGGUCUAUGAAUCUGGAUGCAAUUUUGAUUAUUUCCGGUGUUCGUUGUACUACCAUGAUUGAAGAUGAAUAGAUCAACAGUUUCCCGCAAAAAAAGAAUGAGCACUAAUAGAAAAGAUUAUGAUUGCUAAAGAGCAGUGGAAUAUUGAUGAGCCACCAAAGCCCACCAAAAAAAAUAUCAUAUUGAAGACAUGGAAGAAUUAAAAAAGGUUAUUCAAGAAAAAAGCAAACAUGUUGAACAAGUUAUCAAUGAAAAAGUGGAUAUAUUCAGUAUCUAUCAGCGGGAGGACAAACUUCAAGAAACAAUGAAUAAAUUCAAGUUUCACCAAGACAACUUCAAUAGAGACUUCCGAAGAUGCAUUCACCAUAAUGAGAAGGUUAUAGCCUACCUUUCUGAAGAGGUAGAAGGGUUAAGUCAUGCAGUGAAGAACCUUGAUAAACACUCUCGCAUGAUAGAAACCCAAUGUUUUCAAAUUACGAAACUCAAUCUUUGAUUCUUGCUCAAUUGAACGAUGAAGCUCCCUCCCGCCGCGGGAGGCGCUCGUAUGCAGGAGGCGGCUAAGCUCAGAACAGAGGGAGUAGUGACGGAGAGAUAUUAGAUGCCAUAAGGAUAACAUAGCAUGUCAGGGUAUUUGGUUUGUUAGUUGCUGCUGCUCAAAGAUAAGAUUGCCGAUCUGCCGCGUAUUGUGAAGCAAUGGAUGAUAAGUGAAGAUGUCUGGAACAUCAUCGACUCAAGUGGCCAAGAAACCCAAUGGCACCACCAACAAACAAGAUCAGCAGGUCCCAACCAACCUCUCAUGAAGAGACUCAUGUGUCAACCUCAAAUUUCGCAUUUGUCUCGCACAACAAAACAUAUUCAGGCACACCACUUCACCUUAAAAUAGUAGAGAUUUUGAGGCCAAAAACCUACCCUGCAAUAACUUUGAGACAAGCAAUUUGAUUUAUCAAAUUGAACGAACAGGUUUAAGUUUACCAUUAGGCCAUAAGGCCCAUUACACCCAAUACGAAACAUGAACAGAAACCAUUGCAUAUGUUAUGAUUUUAGCUGUACAAAUCUCACAAGUGCCUUUAAAAUUGCACAUAACUAUGAUAUGUAUGGAGACCAUUCUAAACAUAACCUUCACAUGCAAAUGUAUCAAUACUGUGGCACAUAUAUUCUCAAAGGUACUAAUUGAUGGGGAUUAAACAGCUUGACACCUUAGAAAAAAGAGAAAUUAAAGAGAGCAUAUAAAUUAGAAAAAAAGUAGAUGAGCACAGAACAUCCAGAAAAACUAGUGAAGGUUCAUAAAUAAAUUCAGAUAUCGGAUGAGCAUCCAAUCGAUACAUGCACGAGAUAUGAUCAUUCUUCUCCAAAAGACACCAAAAUAUCUCUAAAAACUAUAGGACAUGAAAGGCUAUUUAUAUUCCAAAGACUCCAAUGAUCUCUGCAAACUAAGGACAAGCCCAGUUCAGGUGGCUAUGUAUUGAGUAACUUGCGGAAGCUUACACAAGAAUCCAAGAUGAGUAUUACUAAAAUUUCCAUGCCUUCUCCAACAUAUCUGCUACGAUAGUCUCCCCCAAAUUAUCUCUAGAUAGAAAGUGGAAGGUGAAGCAUACACUACUUCGUCUCAGGUGGCUACAUGUUAACUAAGCCAUCUAUUCUAAGUUUCUAACCCAGGAUGGACACAAUAAAAUUUGAGAAGCUUCAUAACUCUCUCCAAGAUAUUUACUGAGACAGCAGGGCAUGAUUUCUUCAGGUGCACAUAACCCUGGCUUGCCAACACAUCAUCCAAUCUAUUGGAAGACAUGAUAAAUUGAGCACAAGCAUCUUUUAGCCUGCUGCAGUUAUGCUGAUCAGCUAGAGCUGAUGUUGUCGCCACAGUCUCAACAUCAAGAGUUUCGCAAAGAAUGUCUUCACAUAUCAUCUUCAUCCUUUCCAUCGCAUAUCGAUCAGCAGCCACUAGUAAGUGCCUGACCAUUUUUUUUUCUCUUCAUCAUCAAUUUUGUCGAUGGAAGGCAAUGCAUCCGUGUAGAUAAAGUGCAGCAAUGCCUUGAAAACAGUAGGCUGCAUGUCUUUGACGGUGAUGUUCUGUCCACACUUGCCUCUCAUCGGUCCAUACAGCUCUGCCUUGAAGACUGGGGACCGCGUUGCAAGCACAAUCCCAUGUGCAGGAAAAAUCUCACCUUCAACCUCGAAUGUCACAUCUGCUUCCUCGGCUGCCUCUAGCAAUUUUCUGAAAUUUUUUGCCAAGUCUGAGGGUGGCAUCUGGACCUUAACUGUUAUCCCGGUGUCCGCAACAAGUGGUUCAUUGAUGAUAGUUAGAUCGCACUCAAUUACAAGACGGUCAUCCUGCAGAUAAGCCGACUCCUCCAGCUCACUCUUCUUAAAACUUAUAACACCCCAAAUAUAAUAAUCAUCGGUCCCCCUGGCAUCGAGAGAAUUGAACACUGUCGGUGAUUUCGAGCAGGGCAUCACCGGCGACGAUAGCCCGCUGGCCUGAUUGACCAACCUCAAGUCGUAGAGCACCCUUACCUUUGCACCCUUGCUCAGGAGCUGCAGGUAGACUGAGACGUGGCCCUGGCUUUCGUUGCUCUCUCCGUCUGGGUAGUAGCGGAUGCACCAUUCAUACCCGCCAACAGAGACGGUGGUGGACCGGAUGAAUUUGCCAAUGCCCAUGCCCUCAUGCAGGCUGUACCCGACGAUCUCGAAUACAAGCGUGGCCCGCGCCGUCACAGGGGUGCACCUCGACGCCCUCCUUUCUGUUGGCCUCUUCGAUGCCGCCAUUGUGGGAGUUUCCCUGCGGGCUGAGGAUGGCCGAUGGCGUGGGGUGGGGAUCAACCGAUCAAGGCGGUGGCGAUGGGAGAGCUGGGGGAGGGGGGAACCUCGAUGCGACCUGGGCGUGGGAGACAGCGACACGACGGAGGAAGGUAGGCGGGCGGCGCGAUCGAACCGGAAGACGAGGGUUUGGGCGAGCAACCGGGGACGAGGGCUCCAGAAUUUCAAGCAAAAACCCUCCGUUUCCGAGUAUAUAUCUCUCCUAUUCCGCUGGCUCGACGAAACUGUCCGCCCGAUCGAUCUCAUGUUGCCCACGUGAACAAGGAAAGUGUCCUAGCGACCGGUGGCUCCCGAUCGAUCUCAUACGGAGGUCAUGGAGCGGAAAAAUACACAGGUAUCCACGAUCUGCGGAUCGGCGAUACGAUCCUUCCCACCUAGACGAGACGAGAUCGGCUACGGCGCCGGCCUCUCACCUCCACUCCCCUUUCCCCUCGCGGUAAACAUAUUGUAGAGCAUCCUCUCGCGCACGCCGGUUGGGACGAGUUCCCCGUCGCCGGCGUCCAGCCCCCUACAGCACGUUUUAAAUAGCGCGCUAAGCAUCUUAGCGGCGGACCUCUUUCAAAUGCUAUUCGCUAUAGCGCGCUAUUUAAAAUGUUUGUUCAUUUGUUUGGACCAAAGUCUUUUAGCGCAAGGCCUUUUAUAAACGCUAUAGCGUGCUAUAACGGAGCUAUAGCGGGCUAUUUAAAACAGUGACGAUGGUUCCAUCCGUUAUAGGCGGCGGCAGGUAUCAUACACGCUGCCGGAGGCAACCUCGCGUCAAGCUCAGGGAGGAGUGCGCCUCACUCGGCCUCCCCUCCGUGGACGUGCAGGCCGGACCGCCGGAGCCGCCUACGUCCCGCGGUCUCGCGCUUGGGACACCGAAGCCCGCGCCCGGCUCUCCUGCGCGCCAGGACGGACGGUGCAUACGCUCUCCCGCGUGGGCAAUCUGCUCGACGUCGUUGCACUCUCCUUGUGCCAGCCCACAUGGGUACAAGAGAUGGUGAACUCCUACGAGACUGAAGCGAAUGCGCAAAGAGUGGCUCCAACAGCAUGCCAUCCAUAUAUAGCCCCGACGACGACUAUACAUGGGCAGCAAAAGGUCCACCCGAUCGAGCUGUCUACUACUGUGCACGUACUGCCGGGUUUGUACCCUGUAGUUUCAGAUUGGACAAUAUACAGCACCAUGCCCUUGUGCAACUUCCUCUUUUCCAAUUAUUGCACCAUGUCUCACCUGUACUUUGGAUUUUUCUUAUCCUGUUUUUUCAUCCGUUUUUUUUAGCAAAUGUUUUUUCAUCAAUUGUACUACUCCGAUGCUUUCUUUUGCUUCAGGAAAGGUGGCUACAAUGGUGGCCCACCUGAUUGAGGAACGAACGAUCAGGAACAGCACAAGACCGACUGAACUCGAGCAGCUCUAAAUCACUCUGCCUCUCAUAGCCUAUCUGCUUUUCUGCUUUCAGCUAUCAGAUUACCAAUUGGCAGUCUGCUCGCCAAGUCAACAUACCACCUAACCCUGUCAGGCGCCUUCAAUUUACUUUUUAUCCGAGCUUGAAUACCCAAAGAUUCCACCUAGCUAGCUCUGUCACUUGUUUUUGUUCGAUGCCAUGUUUGGAAUGAAGAAAUUACUCCCUCCGUCCGGAAAUACUUGUCAUCAAAAUGAAUAAAAGGAGAUGUAUCUAGAUGUAUUUUAGUUCUAGAUACACCUCUUUUUGUCCAUUUUGAUGACAAGUUUUUUCGGACGGAGGGAGUACAAGGAUAUGCUCUUGCUAAAAGAAAAACUCGUUGAAACAAAGGAUUAUAGUUUGUAAUUUAUAAACAGGCUUUCUUUAGAAUUUUUUGUGCGAGCAUGCAGGGACUCAUGUGUCAACUUCAAAUUUCGUAUUUGCUAGCUGUGUUUUCAGGCCAAAAAUAGUAUUUCUACUAAACAUAUUGAGGAGAUCAUCUUCACAUUAAAAUAGUAUUUUCAGGCCAAAAACCAAUCAUGACUUUGAGACAAGCAAUAUGAUUUAGCAAACUAAGAACUGCUUUAACCUGCAUAUAUUAUGAUUUUAGUUGUAUAUAUGUCGUAAGUGCCUGUCAAAUCAUACUCAUCCUACAUCUGCAAUUGUAUCAAUAAGGAGGCACAUAUAUUCCCAAAAGGUACUAACUGAUAGGAAUUAAACAUCUUGGCACCUUAAAAAGGAGAAAUUAAAGAGAGCAUAUAAAUUAGACAAAAGUAGACAAUUACAGAACAUUCAGAAAAACUAGUGAAGGUUCAUAAAUUCAGACAUAGGAUGAGCAUCCAAUCAGUACACGCAGUAGAUAUACUCAUUCUUCUCCAGAAGACACCAAAAUAUCUCUACAAAUUAAAGGACAUGAAAGUCUAUUUAUCUCCAAAGAUCUCUGAAUUCAGGUGGUAUUUAGUAACUUGCAGAAGCUAACACAAGAACCAAGAUGAGUAUACUAAGACUUCCAAGACUUACUUGAAUUUUCCAACAUAACCACCAAGUUUGUCUCCUCCAAAUGAUCUCAAGAAAGUGAAAAGUGAAGGAUAAGACUACUUCAUCCCGCAGGUGGUUACAUGUUAACUAAGCUAACUAUUCUAACCCAGCAUUGGUACACUAAAAUUUGAGAAGCUUCAUAACUCUCUCCAAGAUAUUUAAUGAGACAGCAGGGCAUGAUUUCUUCAAGUGCGCAUACCCUUGGCUUGCCAACACAUCAUCCAAUCUAUUUGAAGACAGGAUAAACGGAAAGUUCCUUCCUAGCUCGGCCUACCCGGUACCCUCUAUAUGUACCAUUGGCAAUUCCUGGAGAUAUGUGCUGGAAGGAGCAUCCGCAGGGUAUGCCAUAGACAUUAGUCAGAGAUGCCAGGCUACGUGAAUAGUGACAAGAUUCCAUCGUAGGUCCUGCAUGCUCUACCACCACGCUCUUGUCCGCCUCAUGUCACAGCCUCAGCCUGGAAAGUGGGUUGUCCCGGGGUCCACGCACACGUCUAUUCAGCCGCCCAUAGCAAAGUUGCAUGCAUCCUGUCACAUGCAGCUCAUUGUUCACUGUUCACCUUUCAUCCACCUCAUGCAUAUUCAGAGUCUCGUCUCUCUCUUCCUCCAUAGCGCGCAACAGUCAACAAUUAGAGAGAACAACAGAAGAGGAGAGAGAGUAUGCAAGAUCCAGAAGUUUUCAGAAAUUGGCUCAAAAAGUCAAACUGAAGUGAGAGAGAGUUGCCAGGUGCAAAAUGUUUUCUGGAAUAUUUUUCUGAGUCUAUUUCAUAAAUAAGCUGCAUGCACAUUCAGAGAGACGACACGUUGUUCUUUCCGUUCUCUCUGCUCUUCUUCUCUUCGCAUGUGAUGGUGACUGAUGAGAGAGAAAUAAGAAAGAACAAGCAAAGUUUACGAGGAAGAGAGAACAUGGCUACAGUAGCACUGCAGCAUGACCUGCUAUGGAUGUCAGAUUUUUGUAGGUCUCAUGUCAGUGUAUUAAGCAUAAGAUGGCCCUGACCAGCUGCACAUUUUCAAAGCUCUGCACAUAUCCGCAUGCAUCUACCCAAAAUCUGGACCGUGACGAUAGUGGGUAUCAGGGAGCUCGGCCUAAAAAACACACACUCCAGGAUAAAUUCAGCACACGCAUCUUUUAGCCUGCUGCAGUGAUGCUGAUCAGCUAAAGCUAACGUGGUCGCCACAGUCUGAACAUCAAGAGUUUUGCAAAGAAUGUGUUCACACAUCAUCUUCAUCCUUUCCGUUGCAUACCGAUCUGCAGCCACUAGUAAGUGCCUGACCAUUUCCUUUUUCUCUUCAUCAUCAAGUUUGUCCAUGGAGCCAGAGGAGAGAGAUCUCAAUGCAUGUGCAUCAAUUCUAAGACUCUUUGGGGAGGCUUCGGGCCUCAAGCCAACCUCCGGAAGUGUGCAGCGGUGCAACUCAGAUGUGAUGGCAGAGGUGACCCAAAUCCUAGGAUGCCCAGCAGGCUAUUUUCCUUGCAAAUACCUGGGACUCCCUACGGAAGCCGACGGCCGCACAGCUCACAGGCCUAGUUGAUCAGCUAGCGCGGUGUCUCCCAAGGUGGAAAGAGGCAAAUAUGCCGAAGAUGGGUGAAUGGUUUUGGUGCAGUCCGUUCUAUGUGUGAUACCUAUACAUGCGAUGAUGGCCCUCGACAUACCCAAGAAGACGGUCGUAGCCAUGAAUAAAAUCUGCAGAGACUUCCUGUGGUGCGCCAAAGAUCAGGCGAAUGGAGGGCAGUGCCGUGUGGCGCGGGAGAUCGUGUGCUCGCCAAGAUGGGCGGGAGGUUUGGGCAUCACCAACUUAAAGUGGCUUAACGUUGCCAUGCAGGCAAGAUGGCCUUGGCUCAAAUGUGUGGACCAGACUAGGCCCUGGGCGGAGUUCGAUAUAGCAGUGCUGAAAAGAUCAUUGCAACUGUUUCAGGCGGUCACCCGUGUAAUGGUAGGAAAUGGUGAAAGUACCUUAUUUUGGGAAGAUCGUUGGCUGGACGGCUUCAGGGUGGAGGAUUGGCGCCAUCAAUAUACGGUUCAGUGAGGAAAAGGAUUCGUGACAAUCGCACGGUCAGCCAAGGGGUAGCGAACGGAGCUUGGGCACUGAACGUCGGGCCGGAGGUUAAUACGCAAAUGCUCCAUGAAUACUUGCGGCUCUGGGAUAGACUUGCAAGGGUGCAACUACACCCAGAGGUGGUGGACACGAUUCGGUGGACUUGGGAGGAAAGUGGAUCCUACUCCACAAGAUCAGCAUAUGAGGCGAAGUUUUGGGCAAAGGAAACAAUGCCAACAGCGAAGUUCACAUGGAAGUCCAAAGCACCACUUAGAUGUCGUUUCUUUGCUUGGCUUGCACUACAAAACCGCUGCUGGACUUCUGACAGGUUGGCAAGACGAGGGUUGGACCACCAGGAAAAGUGCCCGUUCUGUGAUCAAGAGGAAGAGAGCAUAAAUCAUAUCCUACUCCAAUGCGUCUUUGCGAGGGAAGUGUGGGCGCGCGUCUGCGCUGCUUGGGAUAGACCAGAUUGGGAACCAACCUCUAUGUCGAACUUGGGAGCAUGGUGCAUGAGCAACACAGACAAGGCUGUGGGAGGCAAGGAUGCAAGGGCCAUGUUGUUGUUGGUCAUAUGGGAGCUUUGGAAGCAUAGAAACAGGUUUUUUUUAUGGAGAUGCUCCUUCGAGCUCUUUUGUAAUUAAACAGAUAGCCGUAGAGUGUAGGGCAUGGAAGGUGGCAGGCCUGUUUAGAUCUAACUUGGAUAGCGUCAUUGCGGUCAUUGAGGUGGGCCAUGAUGCGAGUAGUUAGCCUAGGCAUGCGGGUGGAGUUGGGCUAUGUAACGCUAUGUAGCUCCAACGUGGAGGGGUCUUUUAAUCUCCAUCCUCUUCUUUAAUAUAUAGUAUGCACACUCGUGCGUAUUCGAGAAAAAAGUUUGUCCAUGGAAGGCAAUAAAUUCGUGUAGAUAACAUGAAGUAAUGCCUUAAAAACAGCAGGCUGCAUGUCUUCGACUGUUAUGUUCUGUCCACACUAGCCUCUCAUCGGUCCAUACAACUCUGCCUUGAAGACUGAAGACCGCGUUGCAAGCACAAUCUUAUGUGCAGGAAAAAUCUCACCUUCAACCUUGAAUGUCACAUCUGCUUCCUCGGUCGCCUCUAGCAAUUUUCUGAAAUUUUCUGCCAAGUCUAAGGGUGGAAUCUGGACCUCAGCUGUUAUGCGGCGUUCACAAUAAAUGAUUCCUUGAUGACAGUUAGAUCACACUCAAUUACAAGACGGUCAUCCUGCAGAUAAGCCGACUCCUCCAGCUCACUCUUCUUCUUAAAACUUGGAGCACCCCAACAAUAACCGGUCCCAAUCCCACUGGUGUUGUGGCGAUCGAACACUGCCCGGAUGAACUUUUUGAAAAUUAUGGUUAACAAAUUUUGAAUACAAUGAACAAUUUUUGAAUUAAAUGAUUUUUUUUAUUUUUUAAACUUGAUGAACAAAUUCUCAAUUCAAGACACGUUUUGAAAAUCGGAUGAACUUUUUAAUACUCAGAUGAUUUUUUUUUAAUUUGGUAAACAUUUUGAAAAUUAUGGUGAAUUUUUUUUGAAUUUCAUGAACAUUUCUUGAAUUAAGUGAACAAAAAAUGUUCACGAAAACGAGAAAAAGAAAAAAAACAAAGAAGAAAAAAGGAAGUGAAGAAGAAACAAAAAUCAAAAAGAAAAGAAACUAAAACGAAANNNNNNNNNNNNNNNNNNNNNNNNNNNNNNNNNNNNNNNNNNNNNNNNNNNNNNNNNNNNNNNNNNNNNNNNNNNNNNNNNNNNNNNNNNNNNNNNNNNNNNNNNNNNNNNNNNNNNNNNNNNNNNNNNNNNNNNNNNNNNNNNNNNNNNNNNNNNNNNNNNNNNNNNNNNNNNNNNNNNNNNNNNNNNNNNNNNNNNNNNNNNNNNNNNNNNNNNNNNNNNNNNNNNNNNNNNNNNNNNNNNNNNNNNNNNNNNNNNNNNNNNNUUCUAGGUGUGGGCCCGGCAUGAGUUCAUCUCUGUCGUGACUGGCCGUCCGUCACGCAGAACAUUAGGACGACCACCUUGCAGUUCAAGAUGUAUAUCAGCAAUUUCUCCCUCGACGAGCAUAGCGACCUCCAAGAUGCCGAUUGACUUAGCAUCGGUGUGCCUGGCUACACAUGUAGCAACGCCAUCAAUGUUCCCGUGACAAGGUCCAAGGUGGAGAAGGAGUGGCACGAACAAGUUAUGUGUAAGCAUUUUAUUAUUUCUUCUUGCCAUAUCUAAAUAAUGUUCAAAAAAUGUGAUUUGUAGAACAUAACGUCAACACUAUUAUGAGGUGGACACACACACACACACACUUCAUCACGUAUUUAUUUAAUACUCCCUCCGCCCGUAAAUACUUGUCAUCAAAAUGCAUAAAAUUGGAUGUAUCUAGAUGUAUUUUAGUUCUAGAUACAUCCAUUUUUGUCCAUUUUGAUGACAAGUAUUUUCGGACGGAGGGAGUAAUUGUUUAUAGUUUAGUGCAUAUAUCUUAUAAUCAUUAUUUGCAUCAUCAGGCGGCUUCAGUUUCCUUUUUGUUUGAGCUUGAACAUCCAAAGAUUCCACCUUAGCUAGCUCUGAUAGGCCUAAUAACAUGGUGGUUUCGUCUUCCCGUGAGUCGGCAUCCCAAUACUCAUGGGCAAGAAGUUGAUAAGCGUGCGUGCAUCCCAGGCACACAUUAGAGAAAAGGCUGCUUAGUCUUUUUCAAGUAUUUACCGCAUGAAUUAUUCUGGAGAUAUUAUCACGAGUGUCAGUUGUUGAAGCAGCAAAUUAAAAGCAUCGAUGUGAUUUCACCCUUCACUUUGUCUCUGCAUUAAAAGUUUCAACGCUCCUGUUGCAAUUGCAAGCGUUGUAGACANNNNNNNNNNNNNNNNNNNNNNNNNNNNNNNNNNNNNNNNNNNNNNNNNNNNNNNNNNNNNNNNNNNNNNNNNNNNNNNNNNNNNNNNNNNNNNNNNNNNNNNNNNNNNNNNNNNNNNNNNNNNNNNNNNNNNNNNNNNNNNNNNNNNNNNNNNNNNNNNNNNNNNNNNNNNNNNNNNNNNNNNNNNNNNNNNNNNNNNNNNNNNNNNNNNNNNNNNNNNNNNNNNNNNNNNNNNNNNNNNNNNNNNNNNNNNNNNNNNGGGGGAGCUUUGCUACAUCUACGUAAAAUCUCUUACGAAUCUUGCGUAGAAUCUUGCGUACAAGCUCACCUGGUUUGAUUUGAUUGGAACAAAACAAGGCCCAGGCCCACCCGGCAAAAUCAGGGGGGAGAUGAUUGGAGUUAGGAAGGAAUGUUACAUAGCUUUACGCAACCUGCUACAUAGGUGUAGCAUUUUUGGGGGGUGGGGGGUGAGCCAAACACACAAAACUUCAUAACCUAAGCUCCUUUUCAAAUUACAAUGCACUAAGCUGACCGAGGCUUGCAAGUUGCAACUGAACCAUGGUCCAUGAAACAAGUACGAGUAGAACCAAAAUACCAGUCAAUUUGCCAACCGGCCAAAUAAAUUCUCGUAACAGUGCCAUAGAAGCAUACAACAAAGAGAAGGAAAUGCAAUCUAUACCACCUCAAAAGGAAACUACAGCCUCUUGUACAUGGUAAGUAUAAGAUUUCCACAGAUCUCUAGAUUCCCAUUCCACUCAAUGUUCUUCCCCAUCACACGACUCCCCUCGCCAUAAGCGUGAUGCAGUGCCAUUUCAUGGUCUAGCAUGUACAGUCAAUAUGCAGAGGUAGCAUUGGUUCACUGGCCUGCAUUAGCCACACGUAUUCAUCCAUAUGACCAUGUUUUGUAUGCACCGAUAGCUCGAGAGCGGUUGCGCCCUAGAAUGCCACAUCGUCUAGUCAUAUGGCAUCAUAUCUUGGCCGUUUUCGCAAAUGAGCACUCCCAACUAGUGACACAUGACAGAUUCUGGACGAUUGUCGCACGACGUUGAGCAAAAGUGAACAGCGCCGUUCAAUACUCCAUCAUGCGGAGUUCGGGCGGCUACUGUCGUCCACAGAGCAGUUUCGAAUUAGAUGCCACAAGGAUAAGAAAUAAGAUGGCCGAUUUGCCGCGCACUGUAAAGGAAUGGAUGAGAAGUGAAGAUGUGUUUGGUCUGGACAUGAUAUAUCUUCAAGUAGCAAAGAAAGCCAAUGACACCAGCAAACAAGAUCAGCAGGUCCCAAGGAAUCUCAUACAGGUUUGAACAAGAAGGACAUUUGUAAAAACCUUUCUGCAGCAGUAAGGCCACUGCAAAUCAACAUCAUAUCAGACAAGAGGACUGUUCACAUUAGCUAUUCUUCAAUUCAGGAAAGGUAGGCCUGUUUUUUUUUCUGAACAUAAUAAUAAUACUGAAAGUAAAAUAAUGGCUGUACACUGUAAUUUUACAUUAGCAAUAAUUUGAUAGUAGCAAAUCACGGCUUACAUCCUUAGGCAGAAAAAGAAAAACAUCCUUAACGCAGAGGCUGAACCGUUGAAUGCAAGUUAACUGGGCGCCAUGCAACUGUCACUUGUUUUGUGUGUACUCUGGUUCGAUGCCAUGUUUGGAAUGCAGAAACUGCAAGGAUAUGUUCUUGCUAAAACCAAAAAAACUCGUUGAACAAAGGAUUACAGUUUGAAGUAAUUAAUAAACAUGCUUGCUUUAGAACAUUUUGUGCGAACGUGUAAGGACUCAUGUGUCAACCUCAAAUUUCGCAUUUGACUCUUACUACUAAACAUAUUCAGACCAUCUUCACAUUAAAACAGUAAACCAAUCAUGAAAAUAACUUCGAGGCAAGCAAUAUGAUCUAGCAAAUUAAGAAUUGCUUUAACCUGCAUAUAUUAUGAUUUUAGCUGUAUACAUGUCGUAAGUGCCUGUCAAAUUAUACUCAUCCUUCAUCUGCAAUUGUAUCAAUAAAGUGACACAUAUAUUCCCAAAGGUACUAAUUGAUAGGAAUUAAACAACUUGGCACCUUAAAAAGGAGAAAUUAACGAGAGCAGAUAAAUUAGAGAAAAGUAGAUGAUUACAGAGCAUUCAGAAAAACUAGUGAAGGUUCAUAAAUUCAGACAUAGGAUGAGCAUCCAACCAGUACAUGCAGGAGAUAUACUCAUUCUUCUCCAAAAGGCACCAAAAUAUCUCUAGAAACUAAAGGACAUGAAAAACAAUUUAUAUCUUACAAAGACUCCAAACAUCUCUGAAAACUAAAAGGACAGGACAAGCUGAAUUCAGGUGGCUAUGUAUUCAGUAACUAGCGGAAGCUAACACGAGAAUCCAAGAUAAGUGUAUACUAAACUUCCAAAACUUCCAAGACUUACUUGCCUUUUCCAACAUAUCUACUAAGUUUGUCUCCUCGAUAUGAUCUCUACCUCUCUGGAAAGUGAAAGUUGAAGCAUAAGACUACUUCAUCCCAGGUGGUUACAUGUUAACUAAACUAACUAUUCUAACCCAGGAUGGGACGAUGGGUACACUAAAAUUUGAGAAGCUUCAUAAUACUCUCCAAGAUAUUUACUGAGACAGCAGGGCAUGAUUUCUUCAGGUGCACAUACCCUUGGCUUGCCAACACAUCAUCCAAUCUAUUUGAAGACAUGAUAAAUUCAGCACAAGCAUCUUUUAGCCUGCUAC
rnacentral:lncRNA from 1 species